UUACCUUGGCUCAUCAUCUCAAUGCACAGGCAACUAACUUGAAAACUAAAAUUUUGGUGCAUUUCAGAAUGGCCUGAUCUCAGACUUACUUAGUACCAAUGCAUGUGUUUAAAACAUGAAUGAGGACGAAAAAAAGUUCAUAACCAAUCCAUGGUUUCUUCUCUGCUGAGUGGUGACAUUACAUAUCAGUAUCCAGGGAUCAAAUUAUCAGCUUCAUCACUCGUUAACAACCACCAAACCAGCAUCUAACAGACAUACAGCAGCGGACAACCAGCACACAGUUACAUCAGAGCACGUCCUUGGCUUAUGUGAAUCUGAAAUUAGUGGGCACUUCCCCUUUGCAAGCAGCAUCGUAGUCUUUUUCAAGGUGCGGUGCAGCUUCCUUAUGAGGGUGUAUGAACUUCUUCUUGAAUGUCAUGUCGGACUCCUUGAAAACAGUAUAGUAGCUUGAGUCGCGCUUGAGCAAUCCAUUUUCCUUGAGAAACCUCAUAGCAUAGUACCGGGGCCUGAGCCGUCCCUCUAGGCUGUGCCCGAGUAUUACCGACCGUUGAGCAAUGUGCACCGGUUCCAAACCCGCCUCGGAGAUGAGGAACUCAGACCUGAGCUGCAGCGAUUCCUUGGACUUAUUCAGCACCGGUGGAAACUUAGAAAUGGCCAUGCCUACCUCAGCAUCCGUCCACCUGAACGUGUUCCUCAAGUACUCCACUCUGGCUGCUAUCUCCUCCUCUCUGCAAGAUGCAACAGCACGCAGCGCGUGCCUGAACAUCCCAGAACCACGGGGCACACCUAUGUUUUGAGCGCACGCCACAAUCGCCUGGACACGCUUGGGGCUGGCGGCGAGCAACCUCGGUGUUGAGAUGCACAGCUUGGCAAUAUCACAAGCAGCUAGCCCGCACCCUUGCAGUAACGCCAAAUUGGGCUUGACCACCCUGUCGAGGUUGUAUGAGAGGACAUUGCAGAACUUCAUCACUCGGAGGAGGUUGUGGGAGGUGCCGAAGAGGCGCAGGUAGUAUUGCAGCCUGGAGACGAUGGGUCUACAACGGAAUUGGCGGCCGCUGAGUGAGGCUAGGCGCGCGAUCUCAGAGUGCGACAGACCGAGAGCGGUGAGCUCGACGACGACGGGCGCCAGGGUCCUCUCAACCCUGGCGCAGAGGAACUGCGGGUCCUUGGCUAUGAGGGCGGCGGCCUCGGUGGUGGAGAGACCCAGGCCGGCGAGGAAUGAGAGGACGGCAUCGGGAUUAGCUGGGGACUUGAGGUGGGAGAUCUUGGCGGAGGCCUUGAGGGCCUGUGCCCGGGUGAGGCCGCAGGUGGAGACGAGGUAGUCCUCCGCUGCGAAGCUAGGGUUCGAGGAGACGGCGGGCGCGGCGGCGGAGAUGAGGCGGCUGAGGUGGGAGAUGGGAGAGGCGGAGGGGGACGAGAGGAUAUGGGAGAGGAGGCUGCGACGGAGCCGGAGCAUGGCGGCGCGGUGGAGAGUGGAGCCUGGCAAGCGCGGCGGCGGCGGCGGCGGCGGCGGCGAGGGAAUGGGGGAAAGAGCGAUGGGAGUGAAAAGAUGAAGUGCGAUGCGAUGGUGUGGUUCAACCCAACCCAAAGUGGCCCCACUCGUCAGUCGUCAUCUCAUGCUGCCAACUGAAAAUGACUACUUCAAUCCAAACUCCUACUCCAAUACACUUUCACGCAAUUCCCAAAGUAAAGAACUGCUUUAACGAGCAAAAUAUACUAAUCAAAAUAUUUUUCUGCAGUCAUUCCUAAAUAUAAGUCUUUGGAAAGAUUUUACUAUGGACCACAUACAGAGCAAAAUGAGUGAAUCUACACUUUAAAUGCAUCUAUGUGGUUCAUAGCGAAAUCUCUACAAAGACUUAUAUUUAGGAACGGAGGGAGUAGUAUAUAAAACCACAAAAAAAUAUCAAAAUAUUUAAUGAGCGAAAGUCUACUUCCGCAUUUUUAUGCAGCUGCUACGAUCGGCCAGUUUGAUGUGUUGUCUUCGCACCGAAAGCAUCAUAUAUCGCCAUGGUUCAUACGGCGCUAUGGUUGCACCUUGGCUGGCCAACGUCACAGUGAGUGCCAACUCUCCCCAACAAUACUAACCUAGCCUCUCCUCCAAAUCAUAGCUUCUGGUUCAAUCAUUUAUCCCCCGAACCCUGAUUCAGUCGCAGGUACUUUGUUGUCCGGAACAUGCCGGCCCUCAGAUGUGGCAAAGAUCUCGGCUCCUUGUUCACGACCUAUAUAUGGACCGCUCAAAGAGUGAGCCAGCAGCCACAACACUAGUAGAAAAAGGGCCAUUUAUCCCGGUUCAUAAGGGCCUUUACUCCCGGUUCUGGAACCGGGACUAAAUGGUCGUUACUAAAGCCUCCCCCUUUAGUCCUGGUUCUUACACGAACCAGGACUAAAGGUCGUCCACGUGGCCGCUGUCUAGAACUCCACCUUUAGUCCCGGUUGGUAACACCAACCGGUAUUAAAGGUAUUUUUUAACAAUUUUUAUUUGAUUUUUUUUAAUUUUUUUGAUUUUUAAAUUUCUGAAUUAUUUUCCAAUUUAAUCUCUAAUCACCCCCAUCACUACUCAAUUUAACCUCUAAUCUCUAAUCACCCAUCAUCAUUCCAAAUCAUCUAACUUCCCGGCCGGUCACCCAUCAUCUCACUACUCCAGUCUGAGCAUGCUUAACUUUCAGGUUCUAUUCCCUCUCGUUUCCAAGUCUGCACUUGUUGUUUUCCUCACAAUAGUAAGAUGUCAAUCCUAUUAACCAUCAGGAGUUUAUCUUGAGCAUGAAGCCACACGUUUCACUGUUUGAGUUUGAAAUUAUUAUUCUAAAAAACAAUAAUUAUUUAGUAACACUAAUAUUUCUUCAAUAAGUAGUUUGACCAUAGCUUGACCACAGUUUGAUCAAAUUUGACCAAAAUUCAAAAAAUUGAAAUAAUUAUUUAGUAACACUAAUAUUCUUGAAUAAUUACGUAGUAACACUAAUAUUUCUUGAAUAAGUAGUUUGACCAUAGUUUGACCAGAUUUGACCACAGUUUGACCAGAUUUGACCAAAAUUUUAAAAAACUGUAAUAGUUAUUUAGUAAGACUAAUAUUAUUGAAAAAUUAUUUAGUAACACUAGUACUUCUUGAAUAAGUAGUUUGACCUGAUUUAACCAAAAUUCAAUUUUUUUUUUAAAUUUGAGCAUAACUUUUUUUCCUUUUAGAAUUUGAGGAUUCUUAAAAUUUGCAAACAGGCCAUAGGCCGUCAAAAUCGGAUGCGGAUUUUCGUGCUGGACAUUUUGAUAUAUUAUACAUUUUUUCUGACAUCAUAUGCAAAAGUUAUAGCCGUUUUACAUUUUCCCUACACUUUUUGCAAAACAUGUCCAACUUUAAGUUUUUAAAUUUUCCUAACUAGUACAUGUAGUAACAUAACUACAUCUGGAAAGACUUUAAUUUUUGAAGUUUUUAUCAUUUUCUUUUGCUUUUUACAAAACUGAAAAGGCGAUCCACAGGGGGGGUAGAGUUUGAAAAUGGGACCUUUAGUACCGGUUCGUGCCACGAACCGGUACUAAUGCCUCAAACCCCAUUAGUACCGGUUGGUGGCUCGAACCGGGACUAAAGGUCUAACCUUUAGUAUCGGUUGGUGCCACGAACCGGUACUAAUGGGCAUCGCAUCCUUUAGUCCCGGUUCGUGGCACCAACCGGGACUAAAGGUCCCAUUUGAAUCGUGACUAAUGCCUACACGGUGCCCUAGCCGCUCGAACUGGGACUAAUGCUCACAUUAGUACCGGUUCGUAAUGCAACCGGGAUUAAUGCUCUUUUCUGGCCGAACAAAAGCCUUGUUUUCUACUAGUGCAACCUAAAACCACCUCUUCAUCUUAGUCUUCCUUAUUAACGAUCCUUUGUUUUUGUUGUGCGUUUUGAUGCAUGUUUGUGUUUUUGUGUGUUUGUGCAUGGGUUUAAGGAUUCAUGCGCAAGCCCAUGACCGCCGAGGAAUGCGAGGAGCACAUUAACAUCUACAUCAAGUUCUCGCAGGUUAGCAACGCGAGGUGACCAAUGCACGUGCAUAUCUACCUCAUUCAAGUUUUGGAUUUUUGCCCGCCUCUAUGGUGAAGAGAAUUGGUGAUCGAAGGAUUGGUAUUGGUGGAUAUAGUUUGCUAUAAUAGUUUCAUGUUUGUCGGGUGUGGUUUGUAUGCUCUUUUCAACAGGAGGAAUGUUUGGUCAUGAAGGUAGUGUUCUUUGAAGUCAUCAUGUGCACGCUUUACUUUUGAUUACCAAGUUGUAAAUGGAAGGAAAGAUUGGAUUAUAUAUCCUUGUUGCAGACAGGAUGUAACUAAAAUGUAUAUCUAGGACCAUCGGCGCAUUGUUAGUAUAUUUCACUACCAUCCACCUCUUUAAGUACGAACAUCUCAUGUGCUAGCUAAUUUUGUUCAUCUCCGAGGGAUCGUGGUGUACACUGGGGUGCUUUCUGUGGAUUUUUUUGUUGCAUACUUUGUCACCAGAGAAAUGGAGAAACAAAUUUUGUCAAAAACUCUAGUGGGCAUGUGAAUUGGAGCAACUGGUAGCAGCAACAAGGAUCAAUACCUAUCAGUAAAGGUUUUGCGGUGUUUUUACUUGUCGACAUUCGCUGGCUGAUGUGUUUUGGUUUUUGGUAACAGAGGGUGUGAAUAUUUGCAUGAACAGGACGACCGGUCCUUGCAUGGCUAGUACUCAGGUUGGAUGGGCCAACCGAGCUUUCGGUCUCAGCUUGCUUGGGCGGGCUACGGAAUCAAGCAAGCCAAGCCAGUGUUUUGGGAUCAUUUCAAUGUCCGGCCCAGUUUGGCUCGGAUCAGCGAGCCCACAAGCUUAUUUGCUCGUAGCCCAGUAGCAUGUUUCACACAACAACUGCAAUGUUCUAUCUUUGUCUAAAAUACCCUGCAAUGUUCGAUCUAAUUUGAAAGACGGAAUCAAUCCGACAUCAAACAAAAUGCAGCCAAACCUUGGCCUUCGCUCUCCACGUCCUCUCUUAUGUCCAAUUCCUAUAGCCUCUCAAAUCUCGACCUAGUUCCAUGUUGACACACCCACACAGACACAACCCUUCUCUCCUAACUCCGCCAUCCUGCUGAAGCAGCAAUGCCUGUCCGUCAUCCUGGGCCCACAUAACAGUGACCUAUGCCCCCAGGCUUUCUGAGCCUGCCAAGCAGCACCGGGAUGGGGUAAAGCUCAGGCCGAACAUUUUGAUAUAUUAUACAUUUUUUUCUGACAUCGUAUGCAAAAGUUAUAGCCGUUUUACAUUUUCCCCACACUUUUUAAAAAACAUGUCCAAAUUUAAGUUUUUAAAUUUUCCUAACUAGUGCAUGUAGUAACAUAACUACAUCUGGAAGGAUUUUAAUUUUUGAAGUUUUUAUCAUUUUCUUUUGCUUUUUACAAAACUGAAAAGGCGAUCCACUUGGGGGGGGGGGGUAGAGUUUGAAAAUGGGACCUUUAGUACCGGUUCGUGCCACGAACCGGUACUAAUGCCUCAAACCCCAUUAGUACCGGUUGGUGGCUCGAACCGGGACUAAAGGUCUAACAUUUAGUACCAGUUGGUGCCACGAACCGGUACUAAUGGGCAUCGCACCCUUUAGUCCCGGUUCGUGGCACCAAUCGGGACUAAAGGGCCCAUUUGAACCGGGACUAAUGCCUACACGGUGCCCUAGCCGCUCGAACCGGGACUAAUGCUCACAUUAGUACCAGUUCGUAAUGCAAUCGGGAUUAAUGCUCUUUUCUGGCCGAACCAAAGCCAUGUUUUCUACUAGUGCAACCUAAACCCACCUCUUCAUCUUAGUCUUCCUUAUUAACGACCCUUUGUUUUUGUUAUGCGUUUUUAUGCAUGUUUGUGUUUUUGUGUGUUUGUGCAUGGGUUUAAGGAUUCAUGGGCAAGCCCAUGACUGCCGAGGAAUGCGAGGAGCACAUUAACAUCUACAUAAAGUUCUUGCAGGUUAGCAACACGAGGUGACCAAUGCACGUGCAUAUCUACCUCAUUCAAGUUUUGGAUUUUUGCCCGCCUCUAUGGUGAAGAGAAUUGGUGAUCGAUGGAUUGGUAUUGGUGGAUAUAGUUUGCUAUAAUAGUUUCAUGUUUGUCGGGUGUGGUUUGUAUGCUCUUUUCAACAGGAGGAAUGUUUGGUCAUGAAGGUAGUGUUCUUUGAAGUCAUCAUGUGCAUGCUUUACUUUGGAUUACCAAGUUGUAAAUGGAAGGAAAGAUUGGAUUAUAUAUCCUUGUUGCAGACUUGAUGUAACUAAAAUGUAUAUCUAGGACCAUCGGUGCAUUGUUAGUAUAUUUCACUACCAUCCACCUCUUUAAGUACGAACAUCUCAUGUGCUAGCUAAUUUUGUUCAUCUUCGAGGGAUCGUGGUGUACACUGGGGUGCUUUCUGUGGAUUUUUUUCGUUGCGUACUUUGUCACCAGAGAAAUGGAGAAACAAAUUUUGUCAAAAACUCUAGUGGGCAUGUGAAUUGGAUCAACUGGUAGCAGCAACAAGGGUGAAUUCCUAUCAGUAAAGGUUUUGCGGUGUUUUUACUUGUCGACAUUCGCUGGCUGACGUGUUUUGGUUUUUGGUAACAGAGGGUGUGAAUAUUUGCAUGAACAUGACGACCGGUCCUUGCAUGGCUAGUACUCAGGUUGGAUGGGCCAACUGAGCUUUCGGUCUCGGCUUGCUUGGGCGGGCUCCGGAAUCAAGCAAGCCAAGCCAGUGUAUUGGGAUCAUUUCAAUGUCCGGCCCAGUUUGGCUUGGAUCGGCGAGCCCACAAGCUUAUUUGCUUGUAGCCCAGUAGCAUGUUUCGCACAACAACUGCAAUGUUCGAUCUUUUUCUAAAAUACCCUGCAAUGUUUGAUCUAAUCGGAAAGAUGGAAUCAAUCCGACAUCAAACAAAUGCAGCCAAACCUUAGCCUUCGCUCUCCACGUCCUCUCUUAUGUCCCAUUCCUAUAGCCUCUCAAAUCUCGACCUAGUUCCAUGUUGACACCCCCACACAGACACAACCCUUCUCUCCUAACUCCGCCAUCCUACUGAAGGAGCAACGCCUCUCCGUCAUCCUGGGCCCACAUAACUGUGACCUAUGCCCCCGGGCUUGCUGAGCCUGCCAAGCAACACCGAGAUGGGGCAAAGCUCAAGCCGAACAUUUUGCUAUAUUAUACGUUUUUUUCUCACAUCGUAUGCAAAAUUUAUAGCCGUUUUUCAUUUUCCCUACACUUUUUGCAAAACAUGUCCAAAUUUAAGUUUUUAAAUUUUCCUAACUAGUACAUGUAGUAACAUAACUACAUCUGGAAGGAUUUUAUAUUUUGAAGUUUUUAUCAUUUUAUUUUGCUUUUUACAAAACUGAAAAGNNNNNNNNNNNNNNNNNNNNNNNNNNNNNNNNNNNNNNNNNNNNNNNNNNNNNNNNNNNNNNNNNNNNNNNNNNNNNNNNNNNNNNNNNNNNNNNNNNNNNNNNNNNNNNNNNNNNNNNNNAGUUCGUGCCACGAACCGGUACUAAUGCCUCAAACCCCAUUAGUACCGGUUGGUGGCUCGAACCGGGACUAAAGGUCUAACCUUUAGUACCGGUUUUUGCCACGAACCGGUACUAAUGGGCAUCGCACCCUUUAGUCCCGGUUCGUGGCACCAACCAGGACUAAAGGUCCCAUUUGAACCGGGACUAAUGCCUGCAUGGUGCCCUAGCCUCUCAAACCGGGACUAAUGCUCAUAAUAGUACCGGUUCGUAAUGCAACCAGGAUUAAUGCUCUUUUCUGGCCGAACCAAGGCCCUGUUUUCUACUAGUGCAACCUAACCCCAACUCUUCAUCUUAGUCUUCCUUAUUAACGAUCCUUUGUUUUCGUUGUGCGUUUUUAUGCAUGUUUGUGUUUUUGUGUGUUUGUGCAUGGGUUUAAGGAUUCAUGGGCAAGCCCAUGACUGCCGAGGAAUGCGAGGAGCACAUUAACAUCUACAUAAAGUUCUUGCAGGUUAGCAACACGAGGUGACCAAUGCACGUGCAUAUCUACCUCAUUCAAGUUUUGGAUUUUUGCCCGCCUCUAUGGUGAAGAGAAUUGGUGAUCGAUGGAUUGGUAUUGGUGGAUAUAGUUUGCUAUAAUAGUUUCAUGUUUGUCGGGUGUGGUUUGUAUGCUCUUUUCAACAGGAGGAAUGUUUGGUCAUGAAGGUAGUGUUCUUUGAAGUCAUCAUGUGCAUGCUUUACUUUGGAUUACCAAGUUGUAAAUGGAAGGAAAGAUUGGAUUAUAUAUCCUUGUUGCAGACUUGAUGUAACUAAAAUGUAUAUCUAGGACCAUCGGUGCAUUGUUAGUAUAUUUCACUACCAUCCACCUCUUUAAGUACGAACAUCUCAUGUGCUAGCUAAUUUUGUUCAUCUUCGAGGGAUCGUGGUGUACACUGGGGUGCUUUCUGUGGAUUUUUUUCGUUGCGUACUUUGUCACCAGAGAAAUGGAGAAACAAAUUUUGUCAAAAACUCUAGUGGGCAUGUGAAUUGGAUCAACUGGUAGCAGCAACAAGGGUGAAUUCCUAUCAGUAAAGGUUUUGCGGUGUUUUUACUUGUCGACAUUCGCUGGCUGAUGUGUUUUGGUUUUUGGUAACAGAGGGUGUGAAUAUUUGCAUGAACAUGACGACCGGUCCUUGCAUGGCUAGUACUCAGGUUGGAUGGGCCAACCGAGCUUUCGGUCUCGGCUUGCUUGGGCGGGCUCCGGAAUCAAGCAAGCCAAGCCAGUGUUUUGGGAUCAUUUCAAUGUCCGGCCCAGUUUGGCUCGGAUCAGCGAGCCCACAAUCUUAUUUGCUCGUAGCCUAGUAGCAUGUUUCGCACAACAACUGUAACGUUCGAUCUUUGUCUAAAAUACCCUGCAAUGUUCGAUCUAAUCUGAAAGACGGAAUCAAUCCGACAUCAAAAAAAAUGCAGCCAAACCUUGGCCUUCGCUCUCCACAUCCUCUCUUAUGUCCCAUUCCUAUAGCCUCUCAAAUCUCGACCUAGUUCCAUGUUGACACCCCCACACAGACAUAACCCUUCUCCCCUAACUCCACCAUCCUACUGAAGCAGCAAUGCCUCUCCGUCAUCCCGGGCCCACAUAAUAGUGACCUAUGCCCCCGGGCUUGCUGAGCCUGCCAAGCAACACCGAGAUGGGGCAAAGCUCAGGCCAAACAUUUUGAUAUAUUAUACGUUUUUUUUUCUGACAUCGUAUUCAAAAUUUAUAGCCGUUUUACAUUUUCCCGACACUUUUUGCAAAACAUGUCCAAAUUGAAGUUUUUAAAUUUUCCUAACUAGUACAUGUAGUAACAUAACUACAUCUGGAAGGAUUUUAAUUUUUGAAGUUUUUAGCAUUUUAUUUUGCUUUUUACAAAACUGAAAAGGCGGUUUACAGGGGGGGUAGAGUUUAAAAAUGGGACCUUUAGUACCGGUUCGUGCCACGAACCGGUACUAAUGCCUCAAACCCCAUUAGUACCAGUUGGUGGCUCGAACCGGGACUAAUGGGCAUCGCACCCUUUAGUCCCGGUUCGUGGCACCAACCGGGACUAACGGUCCCAUUUGAACCGGGACUAAUGCCUGUACGGUGCCCUAGCCGCUCGAACCGGGACUAAUGCCCACAUUAGUACCGGUUCGUAAUGCAACCGGGAUUAAUGCUCUUUUCUGGCCGAACCAAAGCCCUGUUUUCUACUAGUGCAACCUAAACCCACCUCUUCAUCUUAGUCUUCCUUAUUAACAAUCCUUUGUUUUCGUUGUUCGUUUUUAUGCAUGUUUGUGUUUUUGUGUGUUUGUGCAUGGGUUUAAGGAUUCAUGCGCAAGCCCAUGACUGCCGAGGAAUGCGAGGAGCACAUUAACAUCUACAUAAAGUUCUUGCAGGUUAGCAACACGAGGUGACCAAUGCACGUGCAUAUCUACCUCAUUCAAGUUUUGGAUUUUUGCCCGCCUCUAUGGUGAAGAGAAUUGGUGAUCGAUGGAUUGGUAUUGGUGGAUAUAGUUUGCUAUAAUAGUUUCAUGUUUGUCGGGUGUGGUUUGUAUGCUCUUUUCAACAGGAGGAAUGUUUGGUCAUGAAGGUAGUGUUCUUUGAAGUCAUCAUGUGCACGCUUUACUUUGGAUUACAAAGUUGUAAAUGGAAGGAAAGAUUGGAUUAUAUAUCUUGUUGCAGACAGGAUGUAAAUAAAUGUAUAUCGAGGACCAUCGGCGCAUUGUUAGUAUAUUUCACUACCAUCCACCUCUUUAAGUACGAACAUUUCAUGUGCUAGCUAAUUUUGUUCAUCUCCGAGGGAUCGUGGUGUACACUGGGGUGCUUUCUGUGGAUUUUUUUUGUUGCAUACUUUGUCACCAGAGAAAUGGAGAAACAAAUUUUGUCAAAAACUCUAGUGGGCAUGUGAAUUGGAGCAACUGGUAGCAGCAACAAGGAUCAAUACCUAUCAGUAAAGGUUUUGCGGUGUUUUUACUUGUCGACAUUCGCUGGCUGAUGUGUUUUGGUUUUUGGUAACAGAGGGUGUGAAUAUUUGCAUGAAUAGGACGACCGGUCCUUGCAUGGCUAAUACUCAGGUUGGAUGGGCCAACCGAGCUUUCGGUCUCAGCUUGCUUGGGCGGGCUCCGGAAUCAAGCAAGCCAAGCCAGUGUUUUGGGAUCAUUUCAAUGUCCGGCCCAGUUUGGCUCGGAUCAGCGAGCCCACAAGCUUAUUUGCUCGUAGCCUAGUAGCAUGUUUCACACAACAACUACAAUGUUCUAUCUUUGUCUAAAAUACCCUGCAAUGUUCGAUCUAAUCUGAAAGACGGAAUCAAUCCGACAUCAAACAAAAUGCAGCCAAACCUUGGCCUUCGCUCUCCACGUCCUCUCUUAUGUCCCAUUCCUAUAGCCUCUCAAAUCUCGACCUAGUUCCAUGUUGACACACCCACACAGACACAACCCUUCUCUCCUAACUCCGCCAUCCUGCUGAAGCAGCAAUGCCUGUCCGUCAUCCUGGGCCCACAUAACAGUGACUAUGCCCCCGGGCUUUUUGAGCCUGCCAAGCAGCACCGGGAUGGGGUAAAGCACAGGCCGAACAUUGUGAUAUAUUAUACAUUUUUUUCUGACAUCGUAUGCAAAAGUUAUAGCCGUUUUACAUUUUCCCCACACUUUUUUAAAAACAUGUCCAAAUUUAAGUUUUUAAAUUUUCCUAACUAGUACAUGUAGUAACAUAACUACAUCUGGAAGGAUUUUAAUUUUUGAAGUUUUUAUCANNNNNNNNNNNNNNNNNNNNNNNNNNNNNNNNNNNNNNNNNNNNNNNNNNNNNNNNNNNNNNNNNNNNNNNNNNNNNNNNNNNNNNNNNNNNNNNNNNNNNNNNNNNNNNNNNNNNNNNNNNNNNNNNNNNNNNNNNNNNNNNNNNNNNNNNNNNNNNNNNNNNNNNNNNNNNNNNNNNNNNNNNNNNNNNNNNNNNNNNNNNNNNNNNNNNNNNCGUGCCACGAACCGGUACUAAUGCCUCAAACCCCAUUAGUACCGGUUGGUGGCUCGAACCGGGACUAAAGGUCUAAUCUUUAGUACCAGUUGGUGCCACGAACCGGUACUAAUGGGCAUCGCACCCUUUAGUCCCGGUUCGUGGCACCAACCGGGACUAAGGUCCCAUUUGAACCGGGACUAAUGCCUGUACGAUGCCCUAGCCGCUCGAACCAGGACUAAUGCUCACAUUAGUACCGGUUCGUAAUGCAACCGGGAUUAAUGCUCUUUUCUGGCCGAACCAAAGCCCUGUUUUCUACUAGUGCAACCUAAACCCACCUCUUCAUCUUAGUCUUCCUUAUUAACGAUCCUUUGUUUUUGUUGUGUGUUUUUAUGCAUGUUUGUGUUUCUGUGUGUUUGUGCAUGGGUUUAAGGAUUCAUGCGCAAGCCCAUGACUGCCGAGGAAUGCAAGGAGCACAUUAACAUCUACAUAAAGUUCUUGCAGGUUAGUAACACGAGGUGACCAAUGCAGGUGCAUAUCUACCUCAUUCAAGUUUUGGAUUUUUGCCCGCCUCUAUGGUGAAGAGAAUUGGUGAUCGAUGGAUUGGUAUUGGUGGAUAUAGUUUGCUAUAAUAGUUUCAUGUUUGUCGGGUGUGGUUUGUAUGCUCUUUUCAACAGGAGGAAUGUUUGGUCAUGAAGGUAGUGUUCUUUGAAGUCAUCAUGUGCAUGCUUUACUUUGGAUUACCAAGCUGUAAAUGGAAGGAAAGAUUGGAUUAUAUAUCCUUGUUGCAGACUUGAUGUAACUAAAAUGUAUACCUAGGACCAUCGGUGCAUUGUUAGUAUAUUUCACUACCAUCCACUUCUUUAAGUACGAACACCUCAUGUGCUAGCUAAUUUUGUUCAUCUUCGAGGGAUCGUGGUGUACACUGGGGUGCUCUAUGGAUUUUUUUUCGUUGCGUACUUUGUCACCAGAGAAAUGGAGAAACAAAUUUUGUCAAAAACUCUAGUGGGCAUGUGAAUUGGAUCAACUGGUAGCAACAACAAGGAUGAAUUCCUAUCAGUAAAGGUGUUGCGGUGUUUUUACUUGUCGACAUUCGCUGGCUGAUGUGUUUUGGUUUUUGGUAACAGAGGGUGUGAAUAUUUGCAUGAACAUGACGACCGGUCCUUGCAUGGCUAGUACUCAGGUUGGAUGGGCCAACCGAGCCUUCGGUCUCGGCUUGCUUGGGUGGGCUCCGGAAUCAAGCAAGUCAAGCCAGUGUUUUGGGAUCAUUUCAAUGUCCGGCCCAGUUCGGCUCGGAUCAGCGAGCCCACAAGCUUAUUUGCUCUUAGCCCAGUAGCAUGUUUCGCACAACAACUACAACGUGCGAUCUUUUUCUAAAAUACCCUGCAAUGUUUGAUCUAAUUUGAAAGAUGGAAUCAAUCCGACAUCAAACAAAUGCAACCAAACCUUAGCCUUCGCUCUCCACGUCCUCUCUUAUGUCCCAUUCCUAUAGCCUCUCAAAUCUCGACCUAGUUCCAUGUUGACACCCCCACACAGACACAACCCUUCUCUCCUAACUCCGCCAUCCUACUGAAGCAGCAAUGCCUCUCCGUCAUCCUGGGCCCACAUAACAGUGACCUAUGCCCCCGGGCUUGCUGAGCCUGCCAAGCAACACCGAGAUGGGGCAAAGCUCAGGCCGAACAUUUUGCUAUAUUAUACGGUUUUUUUCUGACAUCGUACGCAAAAUUUAUAGCCGUUUUUCAUUUUCCCUACACUUUUUGCAAAACAUGUCCAAAUUUAAGUUUUUAAAUUUUCCUAACUAGUACAUGUAGUAACAUAACUACAUCUGGAAGGAUUUUAUAUUUUGAAGUUUAUANNNNNNNNNNNNNNNNNNNNNNNNNNNNNNNNNNNNNNNNNNNNNNNNNNNNNNNNNNNNNNNNNNNNNNNNNNNNNNNNNNNNNNNNNNNNNNNNNNNNNNNNNNNNNNNNNNNNNNNNNNNNNNNNNNNNNNNNNNNNNNNNNNNNNNNNNNNNNNNNNNNNNNNNNNNNNNNNNNNNNNNNNNNNNNNNNNNNNNNNNNNNNNNNNNNNNNNNNNNNNNNNNNNNNNNNNNNNNNNNNNNNNNNNNNNNNNNNNNNNNNNNNNNNNNNNNNNNNNNNNNNNNNNNNNNNNNNNNNNNNNNNNNNNNNNNNNNNNNNNNNNNNNNNNNNNNNNNNNNNNNNAAAAUGGGACCUUUAGUACCGGUUCGUGCCACGAACCGAUACUAAUGCCUCAAACCCCAUUAGUACCGGUUGGUGGCUCGAACCGAGACUAAAGGUCUAACCUUUAGUACCGGUUGGUGCCACGAACCGGUACUAAUGGGUAUCGCACCCUUUAGUCCCGGUUCGUGGCACCAACCGGGACUAAAGGCCCCAUUUGAACCGGCACUAAUGCCUGCACGGUGCCCUAGCCUCUCGAACCGGGACUAAUGCUCAUAUUAGUACCGGUUCGUAAUGCAACCAGGAUUAAUGCUCUUUUCUGGCCGAACCAAGGCCCUGUUUUCUACUAGUGCAACAUAAACCCAGCUCUUCAUCUUAGUCUUCCUUAUUAACGAUCCUUUGUUUUCGUUGUGUGUUUUUAUGCAUGUUUCUGUUUCUGUGUGUUUGUGCAUGGGUUUAAGGAUUCAUGCGCAAGCCCAUGACUGCCGAGGAGUGUGAGGAGCACAUUAACAUCUACAUCAAGUUCUCGCAGGUUAGCAACGCGAGGUGACCAAUGCACGUGCAUAUCUACCUCAUUCAAGUUUUGGAUUUUUGCCCGCCUCUAUGGUGAAGAGAAUUGGUGAUCGAUGGAUUGGUAUUGGUGGAUAUAGUUUGCUAUAAGAGUUUCAUGUUUGUCGGGUGUGGUUUGUAUGCUCUUUUCAACAGGAGGAAUGUUUGGUCAUGAAGGUAGUGUUCUUUGAAGUCAUCAUGUGCAUGCUUUACUUUGGAUUACCAAGUUGUAAAUGGAAGGAAAGAUUGGAUUAUAUAUCCUUGUUGCAGACAGGAUGUAACUAAAAUGUAUAUCUAGGACCAUCAGUGCAUUGUUAGUAUAUUUCACUACCAUCCACCUCUUUAAGUACGGACAUCUCAUGUUCUAGCUAAUUUUGUUCAUCUCCGAGGGAUCGUGGUUUACACUGGGGUGCUUUCUGUGGAAUUUUUUCGUUGCAUACUUUGUCACCAGAGAAAUGGAGAAACAAAUUUUGUCAAAAACUCUAGUGGGCAUGUGAACUGGAUCAAUUGGUAGCAGCAACAAGGGUGAAUUCCUAUCAGUAAACGUUUUGCGAUGUUUUUACUUGUCGACACAUUCGCUGGAUGAUGUGUUUUGGUUUUUGGUAACAGAGGGUGUGAAUAUUUGCAUGAACAGGACGACCGGUCCUUGCAUGGCCAGUACUCAGGUUGGAUGGGCCAACCAAGCUUUCGGUCUCGUCUUGCUUGGGCGGGCUCCGGAAUAAAGCAAGCCAAGCCAGUGUUUUGGGAUCAUUUCAAUGUCCGGCCCAGUUUGGCUCGGAUCAGCGAGCCCACAAGCUUAUUUGCUCGUAGCCUAGUAGCAUGUUUUGCACAAUAACUGCAACAUUCGAUCUUUCUCUAAAAUACCCUGCAAUGUUCGAUCUAAUCUGAAAGACGGAAUCAAUCCGACAUCAAACAAAAUGCAGCCAAACCUUGGCCUUCGCUCCCCACGUCCUCUCUUAUGUCCCAUUCCUAUAGCCUCUCAAAUCUUGACCUAGUUCCAUGUUGACACCCCCACACAGACACAACCCUUCUCUCCUAACUCCACCAUCUUGCUGAAGCAGCAAUGCCUCUCUGUCAUCCCGGGCCCAGAUAAUAGUGACCUAUGCCGCCGCCAAGCAACACCUAGAUGGGGCAAAGCUCAGGCCAAACAUUUUGAUAUAUUAUACGUUUUUUUUCUGACAUCGUAUUCAAAAUUUAUAGCCGUUUUACAUUUUCCCUACACUUUUUGCAAAACAUGUCCAAAUUUAGGUUUUUAAAUUUUCCUAACUAGUACAUGUAGUAAGAUAACUACAUCUGGAAUGAUUUUAAUUUUUGAAGUUUUUAACAUUUUAUUUUGCUUUUUACAAAACUGAAAAGGCGAUUUACGAGGGGGGGGGUAGAUUUUGAAAAUGGGACCUUUAGUACCGGUUCGUGCCACGAAUCGGUACUAAUGCCUCAAACCCCAUUAGUACCGGUUGGUGGCUCGAACCGGGACUGAUGGGCACCGCACCCUUUAGUCCCGGUUCGUGGCACCACCCGGGACUAACGGUCCCAUUUGAACCGGGACUAAUGCCUGUACGGUGCCCUAGCCGCUCGAACCGGGACUAAUGCUCACAUUAGUACCGGUUCGUAAUGCAACCGGGAUUAAUGCUCUUUUCUGGCCGAACCAAAGCCCUGUUUUCUACUAGUGCAACCUAAACCCACCUCUUCAUCUUAGUCUUCCUUAUUAACGAUCCUUUGUUUUCGUUGUUCAUUUUUAUGCAUGUUUGUGUUUUUAUGUGUUUGUGCAUGGGUUUAAGGAUUCAUGCGCAAGCCCAUGACUGCUGAGGAAUGCGAGGAUCACAUUAACAUUUACAUAAAGUUCUCGCAGGUUAGCAACGCGAGGUGACCAAUGCACAUGCAUAUCUACCUCAUUCAAGUUUUGGAUUUUCGCCCGCCUCUAUGGUGAAGAGAAUUGGUGAUCGAUGGAUUGGUAUUGGUGGAUAUAGUUUGCUAUAAUAGUUUCAUGUUUGUCGGGUGUGGUUUGUAUGCUCUAAUCAACAGGAGGAAUGUUUGGUCAUGAAGGUAGUGUUCUUUGAAGUCAUCAUGUGCACGCUUUACUUUGGAUUACCAAGUUGUAAAUGGAAGGAAAGAUUGGAUUAUAUAUCCUUGUUGCAGACAGGAUGUAACUAAAAUUUAUAUCUAGGACCAUCGGCGCAUUGUUAGUAUAUUUCACUACCAUCCACCUCUUUAAGUACGAACAUCUCAUGUGCUAGCUAAUUUUGUUCAUCUUCGAGGGAUCGUGGUGUACACUGGGGGUGCUUUCUAUGGAUUUUUUUUCGUUGCAUACUUUGUCACCAGAGAAAUGGAGAAACAAAUUUUGUCAAAAACUCCAGUGGGCAUGUGAAUUGGAUCAUCUGGUAGCAGCAACAAGGAUGAAUUCCUAUCAGUAAAGGUUUUGCGGUGUUUUUACUUGACGACACAUUCGCUGGCUGAUGUGUUUUGGUUUUUGGUAACAGAGGGUGUGAAUAUUUGCAUGAACAAGACGACCGGUCCUUGCAUGGCUAGUACUCAGGUUGGAUGGGCCAACUGAGCUUUCGGUCUCGACUUUCUUGGGCGGGCUCCGGAAUCAAGCAAGCCAAGCCAGUGUUUUGGGAUCAUUUCAAUGUCCAGCCCAGUUUGGCUAGGAUCAGCGAGCCCACAAGCUUAUUUGCUUGUAGCCCAGUAGCAUGUUUCGUACAACAACUGCAAUGUUUGAUCUUUAUCUAAAAUACCCUGCAAUGUUCGAUCUAAUCUGAAAGACGGAAUCAAUCGGACAUCAAACAAAAUGCAGCCAAACCUUGGCCUUCGCUCUCCACGUCCUCUCUUAUGUCCCAUUCCUAUAGCCUCUCAAUUCUUGACCUAGUUCCAUGUUGACACCCCCACACAGACACAACCCUUCUCUCCUAACUCCGCCAUCCUGCUGAAGCAGCAGUGCCUUUCUGUCAUCCUGGGCCCACAUAACAGUGACCUAUGCCCAGGGGCUUGCUGAGCGUGCCAAGCAACACCGAGAUGGGGCAAAGCUCAGGCCGAACAUUUUGAUAUAUUAUACGGUUUUUUUCUGACAUCGUAUGCAAAAGUUAUAGCCGUUUUACAUUUUCCCUACACUUUUUGCAAAACAUGUCCAAAUUUAAGUUUUUAAAUUUUCCUAACUAGUACAUGUAGUAACAUAACUACAUCUGGAAGGAUUUUAAUUUUUGAAGUUUUUAUCAUUUUCUUUUGCUGUUUACAAAAUAGAAAAGGCGAUCCACCGGGGGGGUAGAGUUUGAAAAUGGGACCUUUAGUACCGGUUCGUGCCACGAACCGGUACUAAUGCCUCAAACCCCAUUAUUACCGGUUGCUGGCUCGAACCGGGACUAAAGGUCUAACCUUUAGUACCGGUUGGUGCCACGAACCGAUACUAAUGGGCAUCGCACCCUUUAGUCCCGGUUCGUGGCACCAACCGGGACUAAAGGUCCCGUUUGAACCGGGACUAAUGCGUGUACGGUGCCCUAGCCGCUCGAACCGGGACUAAUGCUCACAUUAGUACCGGUUCGUAAUGCAACCGGGAUUAAUGCUCUUUUCUGGCCGAACCAAAGCCCUGUUUUCUACUAGUGCAACCUAAACCCACCUCUUCAUCUUAGUCUUCCUUAUUAACAAUCCUUUGUUUUUGUUGUGCGUUUUUAUGCAUGUUUGUUUUUUUGUGUGUUUGUGCAUGGGUUUAAGGAUUCAUGCGCAAGCCCAUGACUGCCGAGGAAUGCGAGGUGCACAUUAACAUCUACAUCAAGUUCUCACAGGUUAGCAACGCAAGGUGACCAAUGCACGUGCAUAUAUACCUCAUUCAACUUUUGGAUUUUUGCCCACCUCUGUGGUGAAGAGAAUUGGUGAUCGAUGGAUUGUUAUUGGUGGAUAUAGUUUGCUAUAAUAGUUUCAUGUUUGUCGGGUGUGGUUUGUAUACUCUUUUCAAUAGGAGGAAUGUUUGGUCAUGAAGGUAGUGUUCUUUGAAGCCAUUAUGUGCAUGCUUUACUUUGGAUUACCAAGUUGUAAAUGGAAGGAAAGAUUGGAUUAUAUAUCCUUGUUGCAGACAGGAUGUAACUAAAAUGUAUAUCUAGGACCAUCGGCGCAUUGUUAGUAUAUUUCACUACCAUCCACCUCUUUAAGUACGAACAUCUCAUGUGCUAGCUAAUUUUGUUCAUCUCCGAGGGAUCGUGGUGUACACUGGGGUGCUUUCGGUGGAUUUUUUUCGUUGCAUACUUUGUCACUAGAGAAAUGGAGAAACAAAUUUUGUCAAAAACUCUAGUGGGCAUGUGAAUUGGAUCAACUGGUAGCAGCAACAAGGAUAAAUUCCUAUCAGUAAGGGUCUUGCGGUGUUUUUACUUGUCGACAUUCGCUGGCUGAUGUGUUUUGGUUUUUGGUAAGAGAGGGUGUGAAUAUUUGCAUGACGAGGACAACCGGUCCUUGCAUGGCUAGUACUCAGGUUGGAUGGGCCAACUUCAGUCUCGGCUUGCUUGGGUGGGCUCCGGAAUCAAGCAAGCCAAGCCAGUGUUUUGGGAUCAUUUCAAUGUCCGGCCCAGUUUGGCUCGGAUCAACGAGCCCACAAGCUUAUUUGCCCGUAGCCCAGUAGCAUGUUUCGCACAACAACUGCAACGUUCAAUCUUUGUCUAAAAUACCCUGCAAUGUUCGAUCUAAUCUGAAAGAUGGAAUCAAUCCGACAUCAAACAAAAUGCAGCCAAACCUUGGCCUUCGCUCUCCACGUCCUCUCUUAUGUCCGAUUCCUAUAGCCUCUCAAAUCACGACCUAGUUCCAUGUUGACACCCCCACACAGACACAACCCUUAUCUCCUAACUCCACCAUCCUGCUAAAGCAGCAAUGCCUCUCCGUCAUCAUGGGCCCACAUAACAGUGACCUAUGCCCCCGGGCUUGCUGAGCCUGCUAAGCAACACCGAGAUGGGGCAAAGCUCAGGCCGAACAUUUUGAUAGAUUAUACAUUUUGUUUCUAACAUCGUAUGCAAAAGUUAUAGCCAUUUUACAUUUUCCCUACACUUUUUGCAAAACAUGUCCAAAUUUAAGUUUUUAAAUUUUCCUAACUAGUACAUGUAGUAACAUAACUACAUCUGGAAGGAUAUUAAUUUUUGAAGUUUUUAUCAUUUUCUUUUGCUUUUUACAAAACUGAAAAGGCGAUCCACAAGGGGGGUAGAGUUUGAAAAUGGGACCUUUAGUACCGGUUCGUGCCACGAACCAGUACUAAUGCCUCAAAUCCCAUUAGUACCGGUUGGUGGCUCGAACCGGGACUAAAGGUCUAACCUUUAGUACCAAUUGGUGCCACGAACUAGUACUAAUGUGCAUCGCACCCUUUAGUCCCGGUUCGUGGCACCAACCGGGACUAAAGGUCCCAUUUGAACCGGGACUAAUACCUGUACGGUGCCCUAGCCGCUCGAACCAGGACUAAUGCUCACAUUAGUACCGGUUCAUAAUGCAACCGGGAUUAAUGCUCUUUUUUGGCCGAACCAAAGCCCUUUUUUCUACUAGUGCAACCUAAACCCACCUCUUCAUCUUAGUCUUCCUUAUUAACGAUCCUUUGUUUUCGUUGUGCGUUUUUAUGCAUGUUUGUGUUUUUUUGUGUUUGUGCAUGGGUUUAAGGAUUCAUGCGCAAGCCCAUGACUGCCGAGGAUUUUGAGGAGCACAUUAACAUUUACAUCAAGUUCUCGCAGGUUAGCAACGCGAGGUGACCAAUCACUACAAAAAAAAGACACAACCGUGACAUUUUGGGCCGAACAAUUUUUUUUCUGUCAUACAUAUGGCACUUCUAUGACGAUAAUUGUGACAAAACCCAGUAUCGUCAUAGAUGUGGUGGGCUCCUACUUCUAUGACAAAAAUCAUGCCAGAAAAUGGGCUUUUCGUCCUGGGCGGGCCGGAGACGCAGCUGCAUGACAUUCUUUGGGCCGUCCAUGACGGAAAAAAACGUGGUAGAAGCGAGGGGAGGAAAAUUUCGGGGAGUUCCCAAUUACGAUGGGAGGUCAAGGGCCGAGCGAUGCGCGUUUCUCUCAUACACGUACGCGCGUGUGUGCGAGGGGUUGGCUCUAACUGAACCCGAGUGAGGCGUUGGGCUCUAACUGAACCCGAGCGAUUGCACUGCAGGCUACGCGUUACUGAACCCGAGCGAUCGAUCGAUGGCUGUUAACUGAACCCGAUCGAGCGAUUCCUUCGCUAUUGCUGCUAACUGAAGCCGAUCGAUUGGAUGAAUAGUGANNNNNNNNNNNNNNNNNNNNNNNNNNNNNNNNNNNNNNNNNNNNNNNNNNNNNNNNNNNNNNNNNNNNNNNNNNNNNNNNNNNNNNNNNNNNNNNNNNNNNNNNNNNNNNNNNNNNNNNNNNNNNNNNNNNNNNNNNNNNNNNNNNNNNNNNNNNNNNNNNNNNNNNNNNNNNNNNNNNNNNNNNNNNNNNNNNNNNNNNNNNNNNNNNNNNNNNNNNNNNNNNNNNNNNNNNNNNNNNNNNNNNNNNNNNNNNNNNNNNNNNNNNNNNNNNNNNNNNNNNNNNNNNNNNNNNNNNNCAGUAGACGGUGGAGGGGUGCCCCGUGGAGGGGUGGUAGAACAGGAUCCCGUGGUGUGGAGGGCUGGAUGAACAGUAGACGGUGGAUGGGUGCCCAUGGAGGGGUGGUUGAAAAGUAGCCGGUGGGGAGGCUGGAUGAACAGGAGCCCGUGGAGGCUGGAGGAGGUCGACGAUAGCCCGUGGAGGCUGGAGGAGGUCGACGGCGGAGAUGAACAGUAUCCCGUGGAGUCCCGUUUUGCGGUACGCCACACCCCUCCAGAUGAACAGGACCCUCAUUUCGACCGUAGCGCUCCAACACAAGUCCGUUUCGUCCAUUUUGCGGUACGCCACACCCCUCCCGAUCAACAGGACCCCCAUUUCUACCGUAGGAGGUCCGUUUCGUCCAUUUUGCGGUACGCCACACCCCUCCCGAUCAACAGGACCCCCGUUUCGACCGUAGGAGGUCCGUUUCCUCCGUUUUGCGGUACGCCAGACCCCUCCCGAUCAACAAGGCCUCGUUCCGAAUGUAGGAGGUCUGUUUCCUCCGUUGUGCGGUACGCCAGGCCUCGUUUCCAUCGCCUGUUCCGUCCAAGCCCUCCCGAUGAACACGACCACGCAUUCCAUUCCGACCCAGCCGGUUGGCUCCCCAUGAACACGACGAUGAUGCUGUUUCUCCGUUCCGACUUAGCCAUGUACACGAGCCCUGGCCGUACAUAUGCGCGAGUAGGCGUUCGAGACCAUGCCCGUAUGUAUGUACGUGGCCGUAUUUUCUUUCUUGCACCCUGGCCGCUGUACGUACGUGUACAUGCUACGUGCGCGCCCCUACUACGACACGUACGCGCCUCUACUACGACACGUGCACGCCUCUACAUCGACCAGUAUAUAUGUACGUACACGUUCGCGACCAGAAUGACAAUGCUACGUACGAUUCGACCAGGUGGGUCCCGACUGUCAGGCACUUCCUUGUGUGCGAAGAUGUAGCUGGUGGGUCACAGCUGUUAGGGGGGCGAAUUGUUUUGUGUUUUUUUGCCCNNNNNNNNNNNNNNNNNNNNNNNNNNNNNNNNNNNNNNNNNNNNNNNNNNNNNNNNNNNNNNNNNNNNNNNNNNNNNNNNNNNNNNNNNNNNNNNNNNNNNNNNNNNNNNNNNNNNNNNNNNNNNNNNNNNNNNNNNNNNNNNNNNNNNNNNNNNNNNNNNNNNNNNNNNNNNNNNNNNNNNNNNNNNNNNNNNNNNNNNNNNNNNNNNNNNNNNNNNNNNNNNNNNNNNNNNNNNNNNNNNNNNNNNNNNNNNNNNNNNNNNNGCUGGUGGGUCCUAGCAGUUGGGGGGCGAAUCCAUUUUUUCGGACGCACUUCCUUGCGUGCGAAGAUUUAGCUGGUGGGUCCCAGCAGUCAGGGGGCGAAUUGUUUUUUUCCCGGACGCACUUCCUUGCAUGCGAAGAUGUAGCUCGUGGGUCCCAGCAGUCAGGGGGCAAAUCAUUUUUUUCGUGAAAUACGGUGGCCCAUCCGGUGGGUCCCCGCUGUCAGGUGGAGGAAUAAUUAUUUUGCGCGUAAUAAGGAGGCACUUCCUUGCGGCUGCCAUGGACCUAGCUGUCAGCCUCUCCAUGUACAGUCCACGUCCGAUGGAAGUCAUUCCUUGACCACGUUGACCACGCCGCGCCGAGAGCACCACGGCGGUGGACGACGGCGAGGCCUAGGAAGGGGACGACACGGAGCCAGGGAAGAUGCGAUAGUGGAUGCACAUGCGGAGAGGAGUACGAGGGUUCACUGGUUCGGCUGCGCUCCCAUCGCCACAGAAUAACAUGGGGUGUGGGUGAGUGGAGGGAUGGCCUGGCCAGCGGUGGGACUAGUAGGGGGCGGUGAGGCCUCCGCGGCAGCACAGCCACCACGGGAGGCAGGAGCAGGCGGCACGACCGACGCUGCUUUGGGCGGCUGGAGCAAGAAGACCAGAGGUUGAAGAAGCACGACGGCCAUUGGAUAGAGAUCGUACGGUCACUACAGCUAGAAUCGUUUAUAUUGACGAAGUUGACAAAGCCAUUGGUACGUCAACUUAGUAGGCCCACAGGUCAGCUUCCGAAACGGUGCGCCCUAGAUGUCAGGGGGAGGAAUCAUUUUUUGGGCGGGUGAAGCUAGAAUAUCCGAGAUUGAAGAAGAAGCACGGCAUCCGUUGGAUGGACAUCCAACGGCCACUGCUGCUAGAAUCGUGUGUUAACUAUAAGUUGACAAAAGCCUUGCAUACGCGUCAACUCUAUUUUUUUAGGGGACGCGUCAACUUAGUAAGGCCAGAAGUGUGUGGCAGAGAACUUAUAGCCCAUUUGAGAUUUGUAAGAAUGUGUAGCCCAUUUUUGAAUUCUAAUGGAAUUUACUACAGCCCAUUUACAGUUUGUUAAAAGUACAUCCCGUUUCAACCAACCGUUCAAAAUAGAAUUCAAUAAAAUUUCCCACAUUUUGAUGGGAUCCGAAAUAUUUUUAUCCUGAAAUUUCUAGUUAGAUUAAAUACAAUUUCAAUAUAAAUUUAUAUUACGUAAAACUCCAACGAAACAUUGCGCUCGCAACAAUUAAUGAAAUUAAAAUUUUCAAUAUCCAAAAAUAAUAGUUUAUAAAGUAAUCACGUGUUUGGUGCAUUUUUUUAUAGUUACUGCCCAGUUUUUAUAAUUACAUCCCAUUUAUUAUUUCUUAAAGCUCAUUUUCUUGUUGAGCCUAAUGCAUCCGUCCUAGGAAAGAUUUGCAGCCUAGUCGGGCGGAGAAUAACAACUUGACCUUGCGUGGGUAUUCCUAAAAAAGAAGUAUAGCUGGGCUAGCCAUUUUCAGCUUGAAAACAAUUAAUAUCUGGGCUGGAUAUCUGGCCUGAGCUAUACAAGCCACAACCCGCCCAGUUAAUACCUGCAGUGAUGUUUUCGUUGUUGUUCAGAGGAGAAAAAUUAAUAUCUGGGCUAAACAUCAAAAAACUCUGUAGUGCUCACACCUCAAAAACACAAAUACUGCUCGAGCUGCUUGGUCCCAACUGUCGGCCGCUUCUUGUGCAAUUCUCUCGUUUAUUGACUACUCCCUCCUUUCCGGUUUAUAGUGCUCAAUUCAAAAAUCUCACCAAUCAAGGUAGAUGGUGAGUGGUGGAAUACUUUUUUGUACUUUUGCAAAAGCACCUAAUUAAUGCUCUUGUUAUCCUUAAAAAUUAUGUUUAUCAAUGCAUUAAUUGCAAUGCAUGCAUGCAUAAAGUACAUGCAUUGGUCAAUUUUCUCUUAAUACUUGCAUGCAAUGAUUUAAUGCACCUUGGAAUCUGAACAUGUGAUGGAAAACAACCAAAUUGAGCCUUAUAAAAUGGAAAAACUAAAAUUUUGAGAUAAGCCCUAUAAACCGGAAAGGAGGGAGUACAUAGGUUGACAAUGGUGUGGGACCGUGACGUCAGGAAACUAGGAGGAAGCAAAAUAAAUUAUAGUUUCCUGACGUCAUCCUCUCCAAGUAAAGUCAUCUCCUCGCCCACACGCGCUUUCCGCUCGAAACAGUCAGCGCCGCCUGCCCCGCUUCCCGGUGCAGGCGAUUGCUCCGCCUUCAAACGAGACAAGUGCCAUCCGUCCGUCCAUCUGCCGCCCACAUUAAUGAUAUGCGGUUGCCGAGGCGGCUACUCUGGCGCCACAUGUCCGUCCCUCUGCCCGCCCACCAUUGCUAUAUAAACUGCUGCGUCGGCCAUAGCCACAGUCAUCCGCAUUCGUUCCCUUUCUCCUGUCCAAACCACUACUUCCCACCAUGGCUUCCUCGCGCUCCAGCGCUCUUCAGGACGGACGGACGACGGACCACAAGGAGAUGGCAGCCAUUGCUGCCGACCGGCUGGCCGGCAGGUAGCCGGAGGACGACGACGUCCCAAUGGAGAACAUGGUAGUCGAUGAUCCGGCGCCAACUCCCUCCUCCGCGCCAUCCUCGCUGGUGCAUUGCACCAUGACCAUCGGCGAGGCCCGUGCCCAAUAUAUGGACACGGUGAGGCAGAUGUGUGAGGAGCAGUUCCAGGAGACGCAAGUCGACGCCGCCUACAACCACCAUCUCCUCUAGGAGCACCUGCAGGCAAAGGAGCAGAUCGCCGCGGAGCGGGCGGAGCAGGAGGCGCUGCUUGCUACCUCUUGAGCACUGCGUUGUAUUUCCUCGAAGAGGAGAGGAUGAUGCAGCAAAGUAGCAUAAGUAUUUCCCUCAGUUUUGAGAACCAAGGUAUCAAUCCAGUAGGAGAUCAUGCACAAGUCCCUCGUACCUACACAAAACGAUAGCUCCUCGCAACCAACGCAAUUAGGGGUUGUCAAUCCCUUCACGGUCACUUACGAGAGUGAGAUCUGAUAGAGAUGAUAAAUAAUAUUUUUGGUAUUUUUGGUAUAUAGAUGCAAAGUGAAAAGUAAAAGGCAAAGUAAAAACAAAGUAAGCAAUAAAGUAAUGGAGAUUGAUAUGAUGAGAAUAGACCCGGGGGCCAUAGGUUUCACUAGUGGCUUCUCUCAAGAGCAUAGAUAUUCUAUGGUGGGUGAACAAAUUACUGUUGAGCAAUUGACAGAAUUGAGCAUAGUUAUGAGUAUAUCUAGGUAUGAUCAUGUAUAUAGGCAUCACGUCCAAGACAAGUAGACCGAAACGAUUCUGCAUCUACUACUAUUACUCCACUCAUCGACCGCUAUCAAGCAUGCAUCUAGAGUAUUAAGUUAAAAACAGAGUAACGCCUUAAGCAAGAUGAUGUAGAGGGAUAAAUUCAUGCAAUAUGAUAAAAAAAAACAUCUUGUUAUCCUCAAUGGCAACAAUACAAUACGUGCCUUGUUGCCCCUUCUAUCACUGGGAAUGGACACCGCAAGAUUGAACCCAAAGGUAAGCACUUCUCCCAUUGCAAGAACUACCAAUCUAGUUGGCCAAACCAAACGGAUAAUUCGAAGCGACUUGCAAAGAUAAGUCAAUCAUACAUAAAAGAAUUCAGAGAAGAUUCAAAUAUUAUUCAUAGAUAAGCUGGAUCAUAAACCCACAAUUCAUCGGUCUCAACAAACACACCGCAAAAAGAAGAUUACAUCGAAUAGAUCUCCACGAGAGAGGGGGAGAACAUUUUAUUGAGAUCCAAAAAGAGAGAAGAAGCCAUCUAGCUACUAGCUAUGGACCCGAAGGUCUGAAGUAAACUACUCACACUUCAUCGGAGGGGCUAUGGUGUUGAUGUAGAAUCCCUCCGUGGUGGAUGCCCCCUCUGGCGGAGCUUCGGAACAGGCCCCAAGAUGGGAUCUCGUGGAUACAGAAACUACGACCGCAAGUAACUCUUUUGAGGUGGCGCACACGAGUCCACAUAUUCACCAUAUCAAUACACCACUAUGGAUCCGCUCCCGUCUCCCUACGAGAACGCCAUCCAUAGCACUCACGCUUAUCUUGCGCAUUUUAGAGUAUCCACUUUCACUUGUCUAUGAACUGUAUAGGCAACCCAGAAGUCAUUUACCACGGACACGGCUAUUCGAAUAGAUCAUAUUAACCCUGCAGGGGUGUACUUCUUCACACACGCUCUCGCCACUUACCGCCAUGUACACCUCGUGUAUCUCCGAAACCUUCAAGCGGAAGCCUGGCGAGGGAGUCGGCCACGACCUGACUAACCACAUAAGUCUCUCGUCCAGGUUUAUCGCCUAUUCGGGUUCCAUCCGCAAGGAGAUCUGGCCGGGGUGUCGCUCACGGCCCCAAACGAUGUGAGCAGGGUUCCCAAGCCCACCUCGACGGGUGGAUCUACGCUUGGUACACCGUGCCAUGGUGCCUAGUCUGUCCCAAGCCCACCUGUACAGGGUGCCACUUGGUAGACUACUAACACUACCUACAAACACCAGAAACUAGUUGCAACUCCUGGACAGAGAUCAAGUUGAUUAAUAAGUCGAGAGAGCUUGGAGUGCCCGGAGCCCAAUGCGUGGUAGUAAUUGUUCAUGGAUCACAAACACAGAACUCAGUUCCUAAGGACGGCUUCAAUGAGACAACCCAGCAUGUACUCCUACAUGGCCUCUCACCGCUACCUUUACCAAAUCGUGUUCACACACUUAGCUCUCAACAGUAGGACAUGUUCACACACCUCCAAUUCAUCCCCGAUGAAUCAGACCUGACACAACUCUAAGCAAUAGCAGGCAUGACAAACAAGCAUGAAUGAGUAGGCACAUCAGGGCUCAAACAACUCCUACUCAUGCUAGUGGGUUUCAUCUAUUUACUGUGGCAAUGACAGGUCAUGCAGAGGAUAAAGGGGUUCAACUACCGCAGCAAGUAACAGUUGUAUCGUUGUUGUCCUAAUGCAGUAAAAUAGAGCAGGAGCGAGAGAGUGGGAUUGUAUCGGAAUGAACAAGGGGGUUUUGCUUGCCUGGCACUUCUGAAGAUUAGCUCUUCAUCGGUGUCAUUGAACUCAUCGUCGGAACCACGUCUAUCGAGAGGGGACAAGCACCGACAAACAAGGAAGAACACAAUCAAUGCAAUGCAUAAUAUGAUGCAUGAUCAUGACAUGGCAAUAUGCUGUGGUUUGAGAUAAUGCAACUAGCAUCAAGUUAAAUGGAGUUGGUUUGAAUCUAAGAUUCAAAUUCAAACUCCAUAUAUGACAUUUCAAAUGCCAUUAAUUCAAAUUAUUGUAUACAACAGCUUUAAGUUGUUCAAACAUGCAUGAUAAUGCCAUAAACAGAUUCUUUGGAUUUUUCUGAUCAUUUUUCAUAUUUAUUUUAUUUCAUUUGGAGUUAUGGUUGAAUUUCUAUGAUUCUUAGAAGUUUUGGAGAUUUUCUGGAAUUCCUUAAUAAGAUUAAAUCCAGAAAAUCAAUUACUAUGUCAGCAUUGCGUCAUGCUGACCUUAGCAGGUCAACAGACAUGGUCCAGGUCAAACCUGACGCGUGGGCCCGCCGGUCAGUGAGCCAGUGCUGCCUAGUGUCACAGACAGGUGGGUCCGGUCAAAGGCCACGUCAGCAUGGUCAAUGCUAACGCGUGGGUCCACUGGAAUUAGACUAAUUCUAACUAAUUUCUUUAGACGGUUAAUUAAACAGGUAGGGCCCGACUGUCUGUGGGUCAAGGGUGGUUAACAAGAUGGUUAGGCAGCUAAUGACGGGUUAGCCGACGACUAAUCGCCGACGCUAAGUAGUGCACGACGGCGAUCGCCGGCCGACUGUUUUCGGCCACGGCUGCUUGCGCGGCUGGGCGCGUUGGGGAGUUGCUGCUACGGGGCUUCGGAUGGUGGAAGUGGCAUGUGCUGGGGCGGCCGAAGACGACCGCGGCGUCGACCACGAUGGCGGCCGAAGCUCGGUCGGGUGCGGGCGCGGGGCUGCAGGGUGGUAGGGAAGGAUCUGGUGGCCUAGAUGGCACCCACGGGCCACCAAAAGCACUCUGGUGCCACGGGUUCGGGCGGACGGGCUCGGGGCAAGGGAGCUGGGCGGCCAUGGCGGACGGCGGUGCUCGGGCACGCGGGCGGGGGUGCUGUGGCACGGGAACAAGCAAAGCAAAGGAGGGGAAAUGGGAAGGAGCUCACAGUGAACUCGAUGGCAUAGUCGAUGAGGUCGGGGACGCACUGGAGCCCGCGAACCCACGGCGAGGUUGCCGGCGGCCGGAGGUUGAAGAUGAGGACGGGGACGACGCUGCAGGGCUCUGCCACUCGCAUGGCUUGGCGGAUACGGCGUAGAGGUCGGCGGCGGGGCUUCUUGGAGCGUCGGGGAGGCGUUCGGAGGCCGGUGGUCGUGGUGGUGCUCGUCGGUGUGCCGCGAGGCGCUCGGUGGUGAGAGGGAGGGAGAGCAGAGGAGGGGAGAGGGUGCAGCGAGUGAGGGAGACGAGCGAGAGGACACGGGGCAUCAUCGUGGCGUCGCUAGGAGGGGCCGGGGAAGCAGGAGGUGGCCGGGGCAGCGUCGGCACUCGCCAUGCACCUGUUUGUCCUCCUAGCAGAGGAGGAAGAAGACGGUGCUACCCCUUUGGGCUAGGCUGCUACGGUGCUGGGCCAGGUGGGCUGCAGGUAAGUCCAGGUGAGUUGCUCUCUCUCUCUCUUUUAUUUAUGUUUUUCUAUUUCUGUUAUUUGUUUUGAUUUGAUUUAGAACAUCAAAUCAUUUUUAUAAACUUUCUGUAAAUUGUUAUGUGAGCUCAGGUCUAGCCCAAGUCACAUGCAACUUAGAAAAAUGUUUGAGCUUUAUUUCUUAUAUAAUAGAAAUAAAUCCAACUCAAAUAUGUCAUUGAUUUAAUUCAAAAGGCCCAAAAUAAAUAUUUCAGUCACUCCAAAAAUAUUGGUUUGCAUUUUAACUCAUGCCAAUAUUUUCACAGAAUAACAGGAACAUUUUCUUGGACUCAUUUGAUGAGAUUUAAAUGUUGGUUAUUUUUAGAGGUCUUGUGAGGCUUUUGAAAAUUCCUCAAUUCAAAUUUCAUUAGAAUUUAAACAUGAUGCUCACAUGAAGGGCUAGGCUAGUGCAUACCAAAACUAGGGAUGUGACAGAUCACCCCUACUAAACAAGAAUCUCGUCCCGAGAUUCAAGCGUAGGGUAAGAUGAAGGUGAAUUGCAAACUAACAUAAUCUUCACGAUCCAGGUGGCACUUCAAAGAAUGUUGACUCGAUCACCAUCAUUGUCUCGAUGUCUUGCCCCGAGAAAUCCAACUAACAUGACAAUGAGAGGGAAAGGAAAACUCUAGAGGGAUCGAUCUUAUGGAAGGUCGAACAAUUCAUGAUCUACUCACAGAGUCACUACUAGGAAAAGGCCUACUAAUGGCGCACUGGUUUUGCCUACUAAUGGCGCAUUACCAGUGCGCCAUUAGUAUCACGCCACUAGAAUUUUGGCGCACCACUGGUGCGCCAUUAGAAUCUGGUAUUCUAAUGGCGCACCACUUAGUGCGCCAUUAGUAUUGCCCACAGUGCGCCACUAUUAUCUGCUAUACUUAUAGCGCACCACAUGGUAGUGCGCCAUUAGUAACAAUUUUUUUAAUUUUUUUGUUUUUUCUUAAUCUCAGGUCACUAUUUCACAUAUGAGAUAUUCAACACAUAUAUAUACAACAAGCAUCCAUAUAACAAUCAUAUCCAACACACAAGUUUCAUCAUAUAUACAUACAUAGCCAACACAUAGUUCCGUCGUUACAUAUUACAAAAGUUUCACAUUGUUCAUCCAACACUGUUAUCCAUCAAUUCACAAAAGUUUCACAUUGAUACAAAAUAAAAACACAAGCACUCCAUCCACGCAAGCUUCCGUCAAUAAAAUCAAAUCUGCAAAAUGAUAAACAAGAAGUUAGAAGAAGAAGAACUUAGGUAACUUAGGUAAAAUGAAGCUAACCUAUGUCAUUUUGGAAAAGAAGAAGAAUAAGAAAAAGACUAUAAGCUUAUUAUGUAAACUUGAUCAUUUUGUGCUAACAUAAGUUAUUUUGGAGCUAACCUAUAUGAAACUAAGCAUAUAAGCUCUUAGUUAGUAUAUUAGAGCCAACUUAGGUAAAAUGAAGCUAACCUAUGUCAUUUUGGAAAAGAAGAAGAAUAAGAAAAAGACUAUAAGCUUAUUAUGUAAACUUGAUCAUUUUGUGCUAACAUAAGUUAUUUUGGAGCUAACCUAUAGGAAACUAAGCAUAUAAGCUCUUAGUUAGUAUAUUAGAGCCAACUUAGGUAAAAUGAAGCUAACCUAUGUCAUUUUGGAAAAGAAGAAGAAUAAGAAAAAGACUAUAAGCUUAUUAUGUAAACUUGAUCAUUUUGUGCUAACAUAAGUUAUUUUGGAGCUAACCUAUAGGAAACUAAGCAUAUAAGCUCUAAGUUAGUAUAUUAGAGCCAACUUAGGUAAAAAUGAAGCUAACCUAUAGGAAACUAAGCAUAUUAGAGAUAACAUAGGUAACUAAGUAUAUAUAUAUCAUUUUGGAUAGCUAACCUAUAGGAGAUCUGACAUACCUGACAAAGUUCAGUUCUCAUGCAUUGUUCUUCUCCUUCUUCUCCUUCCUCUCCCUGAUGUGCCUAGAGCGGCGAGGCGGUGGAGGCAGUGGAGGCAGUGGGAUGUAGUCUUCUACCACAAUUGGCAUGGUCAUGUCGCCCAGCUGUGGGAUCGCCGGCGCCACCACCGGUGCAUGGUCAUUGUCAGGCACCACCACCAUCGCGAGGCCACCUUCAGGCACGACCAUCCCUAGGUCAUCCUCAGCCACCUCCAUCUCUUGCCCAUGGUCAGCCACCACCAUCUCUUGCCCUUGGUCAGCCACCACCAGUGCUAGGUCAUCCUCAGCCUGAUGCCCAUCGUCAUCCUGCAGCUCCUCAUCCUCACUCUGCUCCUCUUCUCCCGCACUCCAGUCCGGAUCAUCCUUCUUGUUGUCUAUGUUGCUGCCAGAAUCGCUGCUGCUUUCGCUACAGCUAGAAUCGCUGUUGCUUUCGCUACAACCAUAGUCGCUGCUGCUUUGGCUGUAGCGAGUGUCGCUGCUGCUGCUCCCAUUACCUGUCCAAAAUGCAACAAUGACCGUUAACAAUCGAUGUGAGACAAAGCCAAAUGUAGAGGAAUAAAAAGAGGCAGAACAUACCGGCAUCAUCAUCGGCAGCGUAGCGCAUGCGACACAUAGUCUUGUCGAACACCUUCACGAUGAGCAUGUUGGCGUCGUCGUCGUACCUGAAGAGAAGGAAGUACCCCAGCUGCAGGUCGUAGGCAUGGUAGAACUUCUCCCACCCACGAGACAAGUACAUGUGGCCCUUCUUGAUCACCAACUGCACAUCCCACUGCCUGCGAAACCCGCUGCCGGCCUGUCGCAGCUUCACAUUAUUUGGCGGAUCUUCACCCAUCAGCAUGUUCAUAAAACUGUCAGGCAGCCUCUGCAGUUUGGGACAAUGAGUGAUGUAGCAAACAACAGAUAUCAUAAUGAGAUGGGUGAAGGGGAGAUCUCUCGUUUUAUAUACCUGCGUCAUGGAUGAUACUGAAGCCUCAAGUAUGAUAGUGAAGAACUCGGAAGCAUCCAACUCGUACUGCGGUGUCGCAGAUCGGCGGUGGCUGCUUCCCGCCAUCUCUGAUAAGCAGCAGAAGAGACCAAUUAGUACCCAUGCAUGAUAACAGGCAUUAGUCGCAAGUACCCCAUAUGUCCUAUUUUUAGCAAAGUAAUGCUAAAAUUCACGGAAAAUUUCAGCAUUACCUUUGCUGAAAAAAGGACAUAUGGAGUACCCGAAUUUGCCGGAACGGAAGUUAAUCGACAUUCCGACAAACUCAAGGGCCUCUCGGGGUACCUGCAAAUUCAUCACGACACAAUGGUUGGAGACAAAACCCAGCAAACUAGCACCACAAAGCACAUGACAAAAUUCAGUAAAUUUCCAGCAACUACUCCUAAUGCAAACAAGAUUCACCUAGCAAGGUUUAUUUGACAUGGAGUAGUUUAUUUCAUAGAGUAAACAUUAGCACUAUUUGACAGCAAAAGGUUUUACCUAAUUUGAAUUAACUGAAAGCAGCAGUACAUCAUUUUUAUUGAUAGUAAAAUGUUCAAAGAAACAGAAAUAUCAGUACAAUAGCUAGAUUACACUAUCAGUACACUAGCAGUAAAAUGUUCAUUUACUUUGAAUAAACAAAUAUUCAAGCAGAUUUGCUUGUCCUACUCCUGCAGAUCACCAAGCAUCUUUUUUAAUCCAACUAAUUAACUGAAACUUGCACUAAACUACUGUUGUCCCGCACUACUGCAAGUGCCAUACUACUGCAAGUGCUAUACUACUGCAGAGAAUUAUGCCCACUUGAGUUGGAGUUAAUGACCUCGAUAGACUGUCACUGGCAGUAAGAGAGUAGCACUACUAGUACUAGCCUUGUACUACUUGUAAUGGAAGAAUAUGACACAGUGCUAGUACACAGGUACAAAUUAUAAUCAGUAGGAAAAUAUCAUCAUAAUAAUAUCAUCAUUCAGUAGGAAAACAACCUUAGCUAGGUCAGUUCUGAACUACAUAUGGCAAUCUCACUUUUAGGAAAGAAGGAUCAUCAUACACAUAUAUAGCUCACUUCAUCUGGGGCAGGGGCUAUGGCAGAGGAUUUCACUCAAAACUGAAGCAGUAUAUACCUGACUGAUGUGAAGCGUUGUCCCAGAUGUAUUCACAAGAGGCUAGAAGAUGUGCUCAACCAACUAUCACAAAAACAAAUAAAUUAUUAUUUGCCUAAGUUGGUACAAGGAAUGUACAGGUACCACAAUCUCAUCACACUAGCUAAAAGACGACAAACAUGUCUUGUUAAGAACUUCAGAUAUGUCAAAAAUUGACAGGAGCUUCAUUAUUUUUAUUGCUAGGUUCAUAGUAAGACUUAACAUUGCUGCCUGUGCAAUAUUAACUAGAUGUAUGGUUUACUUGAGUUAUACAUGUUUCUACUUACAAGGUUAUAUCUGAAAAUAGAACUAAAUAGACAUUUUAAAUAUAUUUCACUCAUAAUAUGACCUUUUCCUGCAACUGUAACUAUGAAAUCCAAAUUUCCUUGGUUCACUUUCAGUAAAUGUCUGAAACAAACACUAGGCUUUGCCUACCGAUGUGCAAAACGAAAACAAACUAAAUUAGCAUGACAUUCAGCAGGAACGAAGAAUGGAUAAAGAAUUGAAGAAACACAACAUUCAGAGAAACACACAAUAGCUUGCAGUGGCUUCCGUCGCGCGGUCCUUUCAAAAGUUCAUAGCAACGGAGCGCAAUGCAGGCCAAAAAAAAGAUCAUCUACUGCAUUCUCCCCACCAGAAUGAACACAGGCCGGCAGCUCCUCGAUAACCUCAUGGAAAACCAUCAUCAUCUUACCUGGCUGUUUACUGCUGCUGCUGUGCUGCAAGGGCGGAGGAAGGGGCGCCGCCGGUGGAGAGGGCGAGGCCGAUGACGGCGUGGGGCUUGAGGGCCUGCGGCCUGGUGAGGCCGACGAGGUGGUCGUCCCCAACACCGGCGGAGCUAGGGUUCGGGGAGAGGGCGGGCGGCGCUGAGGGGACGGGGCGGUUNNNNNNNNNNNNNNNNNNNNNNNNNNNNNNNNNNNNNNNNNNNNNNNNNNNNNNNNNNNNNNNNNNNNNNNNNNNNNNNNNNNNNNNNNNNNNNNNNNNNNNNNNNNNNNNNNNNNNNNNNNNNNNNNNNNNNNNNNNNNNNNNNNNNNNNNNNNNNNNNNNNNNNNNNNNCGCGGUGUUGGACGGCGAGCACGUCGAGGGCGCAGGCGGGGCUGCGGGGGGAGGGGGCGCUUGGGCGGGAGGACGUCGAGGGAGGCGGCGCUCGGCUCGGGGACGGCGAGGGAGGCAGCGAGGGAGGCGGCGCUUAGCUCGGGGACGGCGAAGGAGGCGAGGGGGUAGCGAGGGGGAUGGCGAACACGGGGGGCAGCGGGUGAGAUCGAUGAGGCAGGGGAGAGAUUAGAGAGAUUGGGGAUUUAGUGUGGGGAGAAGCUUUCUAAUGGCGCAUCACCCCCUCGUGCGCCAUAAGUACGACUAUUCUAAUGGCGCACCACCCCUUGGUGCGCCAUUAGAAUUUUGUUUUAAUCUAGCCCACUAGCCCUAUCUACAACCUAACCCUAUCUACAACAGAACCCACCCACUAGCCCGAUUGGUCAGCAUGCAGCACACACACCAGGAGGUCCUGGGUUCGAUUCCCAGGCUCCCCAAUAUUUUUUUAUGCAUUUUAAAUGCUGUUUUUUAUAUUUAUUUGUGUUUAAAUAUGUUCAAACUUGUUUAAAUCAUAACAGUAAUAUUUUUUUAUAAAAACAGUAAUAAUUUUUUUAAAAAUAUGUUCAAAUUUGUUACUUGAAAAUAUCAUCGGCGGCGGCGGUGGAGCGGGGGAAGGUGCAGGGGGUGCCUGUUGGCGGNNNNNNNNNNNNNNNNNNNNNNNNNNNNNNNNNNNNNNNNNNNNNNNNNNNNNNNNNNNNNNNNNNNNNNNNNNNNNNNNNNNNNNNNNNNNNNNNNNNNNNNNNNNNNNNNNNNNNNNNNNNNNNNNNNNNNNNNNNNNNNNNNNNNNNNNNNNNNNNNNNNNNNNNNNNNNNNNNNNNNNNNNNNNNNNNNNNNNNNNNNNNNNNNNNNNNNNNNNNNNNNNNNNNNNCGGUGGAGUGGGGGAGGGUUGCGGUGGGUCGUCGGCGGCGGUGGAGCUAGCGGGGGAGGGUGCGGGUGGGAUCGAGAUCGAGAUCAAAAAGUGUCCAUGAAAAUAUACACGGUGCGCCAUUAGCAGUUUUGCAAAAAAGUAAAAAAAAUUAUAUACUAAUGGCGCACUGCUUACAAGGUGCGCCAUUACUUGGUAGAACUAGUAAUGGCGCACUUUGGCACCAUGCGCCAUUAGAGUGUAUGGAAAAAUGAAAAAAAAUCAAUACUAGUGGCGCACCGUGUGCCUGGUGCGCCAUUAGUAUAUAGUAGUGGCGCACUGCUUACCAGGUGCGCCAUUAGUAUCAAUCCUAUCUAUAGCCCUUUGCCUAGUAGUGAGUGGGACAGUGAAACAUCUCUCAAGCUGAGACACAAAGCAUUCGUCCAGAGGGAUGGAGUGAAACACAUGACAAAGGUUCACUAGGUAGGCAAUAAUUCCACACCUAAGAAGGUGGUGAACGGUUGUCAACACAACGAGGAGUUGAGUUGCCAUGAUACCAUAACGAUGCACCUUAGGGAAGGUGACUCGUAGAGAUAUCCCCUUAAGUGGAAAAAAGAAUUACCUUUGAUUCAGAGAUCAUUGAAACUCUUUAUACCAGCCUAAGGCAAUUCUCGAGCGAUCGUUUAGAGGGGCUCAGUAGAAUGGCAUACCCGGAUUAGAAUGGAUGAUGUGGAUUACCUUGUUGAAAACAACACGAGGGAUGAUUUUAGUAACUGGGGAGAAGCUCAACAGUAGAGAGUGAGUCCACUAUUUGAUAAGUUAUAGCAUAACCGAGGAAACUAAGAGCAAUCCCAGUUAGUGACGAUGAUAACACCUAGCACUUGUGCGUGCUCUCAGAAACUUGAGCAUCUCCAUAUUCAUCAAAGUUUUACCAACAUCCAAGCCGAGGAUCCUGGCGACACAUCAUACUACCAUGAUGAAUAGUGGUGGACGAUGUAGAUGCAAAGGAAGAUAACACUUUCUCUGAUUUCACCUUAGCAAGGCCAAGGAAAGAAAAUCUGGAUGAUCGACCGAGAGACAUUUAGCACUCCGCUUCUAAUGUUCUCCUUGAUGUGCUAGCGUAACCCAUUCAUUGAAAUGGUUUGGUAUCUAGAACAUCAAGUAGCAGGUCGGACUUCGGGAGCUCAAGAAUCCAUAAGAAAUAACUACAGAGGUAAGUCCUGCGAAAUCCUUAUGGCUGAGUGUGUUGGCCACGACAUCCACUUCACCGGUUAUCGAGUGACCAAUAUUAUAGUUCUUGGGAAAUGUUCCAACCAUCAUAUCUGCCUGAGAUUCAGAUCUGGUUGGUGUCAGAAUAUUCCAGACUCACCGAGUCUAGAAAGAAAAAUUAAAGUUUGCAACACAAAUCGACGAGAUGAUGUUGCAAGAUUCUCAGGAAAUGGACUACGGUAGUAAGCUCCAAAACAUGAGCUGGUUCUGCUACAAACAUGUGAACACGUUGUCCCAGACAAGCAUGCCCACAUGGUAGUCUUACAAUAAAACACUACCGAGUUCUGGUUGGGAACCAUCAACGAGGAUAUCGAUGUUCUUUCAUAAGUCUGGAUUAGCUCUUAUGAAGGAACUCCUUCUCCUUGAACAAAUCAGUCAGUAGCUUGGUGUGCUAGAGAAUUCAUAUGGAAUGAAGAUGAUCAGUCUAAUAGACCACAGAAUACGUCGCACGUGCAUAACUGACUUGGGAUGAUUCCAGAGGAGGUAAAAACAUGCUUUCUCGAAUUCACGACGGCAACUUGCAUCAGAUGCACAUGAAUUAGAGGAAGUCACUUCUCUCAUCCAAGCAUAUGCUUCAUGAACGGAACAUGAAGAUAAUGCUUAUAGAAGUUUCCAACACUAGCUUAAUGUUCAACAUAAUCAUGGAGAAGGUAGCAGUGUUGCUGAUGAGCUCAACAACAAUUCGUCCAGGUUUCCAUGGAGAUGGAAUUCCAUAAUUAUGUGAACAAGUGAUAGCAUUGGUCAGACCCCAAAGAUAUAAUGGUGUAUGCUUGAGGGAUCAACCACGAGUAAGACAACAUUAUGAACAUCAUUGGUUCUGAUUUGAUUUGAUGAUAACCCAUACUCAAAUCAAAGUUUUGAUACGACAAUAGGUCCAACAACUGAUCACGAGGACCAAUCGAUGAAGAUAUCAUCUUUCUUCAACACACACACAUACACAAAAAGAUAUUCCUUAACAUGAACUAGGUCAGACAAGCUUUUAUCUUCCAACUCUCCAAUUUAUUGUUCAGCUUGACCAACUAGCUCAGGGGUAUCCAACACAGUUCUUGGAGAAGGGGUGGUUACAGAAAACCAACUUGCUCACAAACUCAACAUAGCGUCCAGGUGACGACCUGGUGAUACUUCCAAGAAGAUAUUCAGAAAAUCAUGAACCACCGAUAUGUUACUAAGCUCGAGAACAAUCUUGCUUUUCAGGGCAAGACGAUAUGAUCAACAGAGCGAGGGAUUGACACAAUCCUAACUCAUUGAUCGAAGGGUGCACCAGGGAAAAUGGACUAGGUGGCACGAUCAACCUUAGGGUGAUGGUUCAACAACCAACACGCUAAGAGUGAGAGUAUUGUCCAUUAACUACCAAGCAACAAGUUGCUCGGAGUAUUGAUUUCGCACAUCACAGUUCACUUGUCGGCAUUCCGGUUACAACAACACGUAACCGAGGAAUGAACAAUGAUGGCAAGAAGUAUUACUGUGUCAAGAGUUCAUAGGAUGGUGUGAAAUUCCCAUGACAUUCUUGAUAUAAAGAUGCUAAUACUCCAAGGUAGAAUGGAUCAAAAGCUGGAUUGGCAUUUUGAUUUGCGGAUUACAACUACUUUGACCAAAUCCUGGAUAUGGAUGAGGUUCUGGAGUUUGUUUCUCCUAGUCAUUCCGGAAUAGAAUGGCUCGAUGGACCACAAGAAUAAUAGGCAUCGAUAACACGAAUGCACGACAUAAACUUGGCUAUCAGCUGAUAGACAAGGAUCGGAAUAGAACUACAGAGGGACAACUCAAAGGAACAUAUAUCUUUCUGAGUUGUGGAUGCAUAGGUUAGUAUGUCGAACAAGUUCAACGAGGAAGAGGAAGGACUGGCAGAUUCACAAUAUAGAAUGGAGAACUCAUCAAGAGCACUCUGGUUGUGAUCGUUCAGUUCAACGAGGAACUUCUGCCAUAAGUAGUUCAUGGUAUUUGGAAGAAGGAGAUACCACAGACCUCGAGGACUAUCGUAAAGGUUACUAAUAUCCUAAAGGUACGAGCAACACUAUCAACACGAGUUAAGUAGAGUGAAUCUUGGGUCAAGAACCCAGGAAUAGAAUGCCUACUAACUAAGUGGCAUCACGGGAUGCUUUCGAGAAUGAUGGUGUCAGGACCCCGACUCAAAGCCACAUCGAUCUAGCAUGUAACACCUCAUAUCACUUUGCGGCCUCACGCACGGUAUCCCCACGGGUGUCGCCUUACCUUUGCCCGGGACCGUUUGCGCCUUUUGGCACACGUAUAUGAUGGUGUCGCUAGCAUCCAUAUGAUAAAGAGCCCGGGCUGACAUGGCUAGUCGUAAACCCAAAGUGGCACUAACUUACAGGGACAGGCAUCCAUGACCCAACAUCGAACGUGUCGGUCAUCAGUGAGUGAAUCCAGGCUGUAGCACUGGGCUAACAGGACUCCGGUGAACCGGGCUGUAGCGGGCUAGCAGGACUCCGGUAUUCAUCGCGUGACAUUUCCCCGAAGGGACAGACACAGGAUCGAAGAAGGACACAUGCCGGCCAGCCUAAGUGUUCCGGAGCAGUAGCAAGCUACCAGGGCUCAGUGGAAGCACUAGGAGACAUUUCCCGGUAAGAGAGGCUACUAAGGAUAAACAACUAGAUAGUCAGAUCCCACACAUAGCAAUACACAUUACACGUACGCAUAACAUGCAAGUAUGUGCUGUACAACAUGGCAUCACAGCAUAACUCAACAACUCAUAUAGAUAAAGGCUCAGAUGAGCCGUCAUAGCAUUUAUUGCAAACAGGGGUCACAAGACCCGUCAUACAGAGCAUACAAGCAACAAGCGGAAGCAUUACAUGUCUGGGUACAGACAUCUAUAAAUGAAAAAGGCUGAAAAGCCUGACUAUCUACAACAUCCGAUCAAGAUCGUAGCUGAGGUACUAGCUACUAGUCGAAGUCCACGAGAACACUAGUAAGACAGAAAUCUCCGCUGCAAAAACAUAAAUAAAGCAACAUGAGUACAAAGGUACUCAGCAAGACUUACAUCAGAUCCUAUCAUACAUGCAUUUGCAUCAAGAGGGUAAUGUGGGGUUUAGUUGCAGCAAGCCAGCUUUGACUCUGUGGCUAUCCUGUUCUACGACUACCAGAAACUCUGGAGGUGAAACAACGUACACGAGUCCACUAAUCACCACACAAUACACUACUAUGGACUCAUCCCCGUCUCCCUACGAGAAGGCCAUCCAUAGCACUCACACUUGUCUUGAGCAUUUUAUAGUAUCCACUUCAAGUUGUCUAUGUACCAUGUAAGCAUCCAAGAAGUCCAUAACCGCGGACCCGGCUAUUCGAAUAGAUCAUGUUAACCCUGCAGGGGCGUACUUCUUCACACACGCUCUCGCCACUUACCGCCAUGUACACGUCAUGUAUCUCGGCAACCUUCAAGCGGAAGCCUGGCGAGGGUGUCGGCCACGACCUGACUAACCACACAAGACUCUAAUCCAGGUUUAUCGCCUAUUCGGGUUCCAUCCGCAAGGAGAUCCGGCCGGGGUUUCACUCACGGCCCCAAACGAUGUGUGCAGGGUCCCCAAGCCCACCUCGCCGGAUGGAUCUACGCUUGGUACACCGUGCCACUGGUGCCUAGUCUGUCCCAAGCCCACCUGGCCGGGUGCCACUUGGUAGACUACUAACACUACCUACAAACACCAGAAACUAGUUGCGACUCCUGGACAGAGACCAAGUUGGUUAAUAAGCCGAGAGGGGUCGAGUUACCGGAACCCAAUGUGUGGUAGUAUCGAGUCAUUGGACAACAUACACAGAACUCAGUGCUUAAGGACGGUUCCAGUGAGACAACCCACCAUGUACUCCUACAUGGCCUCUCACCGCUACCUUUACCAAAUCGUGUUCACACACUUAACUCUCAGCAUCAGAACAUAUCGUAACACUCCAAUUCAUUCCCAAUGAACCAGACCUGACACAACUCUAAGCAAUAGCAGGCAUAGCAUGGUAGGAACAUAUCAGUGGUUUCAAUCAACUCCUACACAUGCUAGUGGGUUUCAACUAUUUACUGUGGCAAUGACAGGUCAUGCAGAGGAAUGGGUUCAACUACCGCAGCACAAAGUAACAGAUGAAUCGCUGUUGUCCUAAUGCAAUAACUGAGAGCAGGAGCGAGAGAGUAGGGUUUUAUCGAAAUGAACAAGGGGGUUUGCUUGCCUGGUAAAUCAAUAAGGGAGGCACUGCUUCACCGACAGGUACUCUGGAACGUCUCCGAAGCAGGACCUAUCGAGAAGGAAUGGUGCCGGCAAUCAAAACACAAUCAUAUGCAACAAUAUGAUGCAUGAGCAUGGCAUGUAGAUGUGAUGCUGUUUGAGCUAAUGCAACUAGUAAACAUUUGGUUUGAAGUCCAUUUGAACCAUAAGCUCAAAUGCAAUUCUAAAUUAAGUCUCUUAUAUAUGCCAUAAUGUGUUUCCUCAUAUUAAGCAUGUAUAAGUUGGUUUGUCAUGCAUGAAACUAGUACAGAUGGAAAGAUUGCAUUUUUCUGAUAAUUUUUCAUAUAUAAAUUAUUUUAAUCUGAGCUACGGUUGAAUUGUUAUGAAUUUUUGAAGUUUAAAACAAUUUCUGGAUUUUCUGAAUUAUUUUAAUUCCAGAAAAUAAAUAAUUGCGUCAGCAUGACGUCAGCACGACGUCAGUGGUCAACGCGGCUGUCCAGGGUCAAACCUGACGUGUGGGACCCACACGUCAGUGACAGGGGGGUUAACAGGGGUUAAUUUAAUUUAAUUAAAAGGUUAGGGGGGGGGGUCGGGCCCACUGGUCAGCGACCCUGGGGGGUCAAACCCGGUCAACUCGCCGGCGUUUAGCCGCCGGCGAGGCCGAGCACGGCGGAGGAAGUGCAUUUGCACGUUACGGCCACCAAACGGGAGGCGGAGAGCAUCGACGAGCUCCUGGGAACGAGCCGCAGCUCUUGGUGGUGAUGGUUGAGCUCGGGGUGGCCAGAGACAUCGCCGGCGACGACUUUGGCGGUCGCCGGAGUUCGGGCGCCGAUGAAAACGGCGCCACCGUGCACGGGAGGAUCAACGGGUAGCAACUACGCGUUUUGCAGGCUCCCACAAAGCCAACGGGCAUAUGCACGGGGCCGAUUGGCCACCGGAGCCUCGUCGGCGACGAGUUCGUGCGGCGGUGUGCUUCGGGCAUCAUGGGAAGUGGUGCUACAACGAGCGCUAGGCCGUGGGGUUAGGGGGAAACGAUGGAGGAGCUCACUGGGAGGUCGAAGCGCAGCUCAGUGGGCCUGGGGACGACCUAGACGGCGCGAAUCAAAGACGAGGUCACCGGCGGCCGAAGGUUGAAGAAGAGCUCGAAGUCGACGCUGCAGGGCUUCCGGCAGGGCGUGGUUCGGUGAGGGGGUCGAUGACGAUGUCGCGGAGCUCGUGGGCACAACCGAGGGGCGAGGGGGUGGCUGUGGCCGUGGUGGUUCUCGUCGGCGGCGGCGGCCGCGUUCGGUGGANNNNNNNNNNNNNNNNNNNNNNNNNNNNNNNNNNNNNNNNNNNNNNNNNAAGGACGACGUCGCGGAGCUCGUGGGCACAACCGAGGGGCGAGGGGGUGGCUGUGGCCGUGGUGGUUCUCGUCGGCGGCGGCGGCCGCGUUCGGUGGAAGUGAGGGGGAGCCAGAGGAGGGGAUGAGCAUGGGGGGGAGGAGGAAUGAGAGGGCCUGGGGUGCGUGGCCGUCUCCGUGGCAUUGGGAGGGAGUCCGGGGAAGCAGGAGGUGGCCAGCAGGGGGGGAGGUGGCGCGCGCGCGUGCCGGCGAGCGUCGGGCACACGCCCUCGUCCUUCUGUCCGAGGAGGGAGACGACAGAAGGCAGCGGGGGGUGGGCUGGCCGCCAGCUGGAGAUGGGCCAGGUAAGUGGCCCAGGUAAGUCUCUCUCCCCUUUUCUGUUUUCUUUUCUAAUUUUCUGACAUUUGUUUGAUUUAAUAAAUAUAUUAAAUCAUUUAAUUUUAUUAUGCCAAUUUUUGUAGGGGCUAAUGGUAUUAUUCCAGAGCUCUUUUAUAAUUGGCAUAAUUUUUGGACCAUAUUUCAUAUAUAUAGAAAUAUAUUUCCAAUGCAAAUAUUUAUCGAAUUAAUCCAAAUGGCCAAAAUAAAUGUCCAUGAGCUCCUAAAAAUAUUGUUUUGAUUUUUAUCUCUGUCCAAUAUUUUCAGAGGGCAACAUGAGCAUUUUCUUGGACCCUUUUGGAGAAAUUUUUAUUUGGGUCAUUUUCAAAAAAUGAUUAUGAGGUUUCCACCAAUCCUCAUUUCAAAUUUAAAUGAAAUUUAAAUAUGAUGCACAAAUAGCUAGCUAGUCUAAGUCAUACCAGACUAGGGAUGUGACAACUCGCCCCCACUUGAAAGAAUCUCGUCCCGAGAUUCAGGGGUCGACGGAAAGAAAGCGGGGUACUCCAGUCGAAGACGAUCUUCUCGCUCCCAAGUAGCCUCUCUCUCGGAAUGAUGAGACCACUGAACUUUGAGAAACUUGAUGUUCUGACGUCGGGUAACACGCUCUGCUUGAUCAAGAAUGCGAACCGGGUACUCUCGGUAGGUGAGGUUAUCUUGGAGAUCAAGCGUUUCGUGGUCCACUCCGCGGAUGGGAUCCGAGAAGCAACGCCUGAGUUGAGAGACGUGGAAGACAUCAUGAACUCGAGAAAGAUGUGGGGGUAGUUCUAACUGGUAGGCAACCUCUCCUCGUUUAGCGAGAAUGCGAAAGGGACCAAUGUAACGAGGAGCCAACUUGCCCUUGAUACCGAAACGAUGGGUACCCUUUAAAGGAGUAACCCGAAGGUAAGCUUGGUCGCCAAUUUCAUAAGUCAUAUCCUUAUGAUGACGAUCGUACUGACUUUUCUGACGAGACUGGGCUAUUUUCAAAUUCUCACGAAUGAUGCGAACUUGCUCUUCUGCCUCCUGGAUCAUAUCCGGUCCAAAGAAUUGUCUUUCACCGGUUUCUGACCAGUUCAAAGGUGUUCGACAUCUUCGUCCAUAGAGAACCUCAAAAGGAGCUUGCUUGAGGCUGGAUUGGUAGCUAUUGUUAUAAGCAAACUCGGCGAAAGGAAGACAUUUCUCCCAAUCCAUACCGAAUGAGAUAACGCAAGCUCUGAGCAUGUCUUCGAGAAUUUGAUUGACCCGUUCCACCUGGCCACUCGACUGAGGGUGGAAAGCGGUACUGAAAGAAAGAUGGGUUCCCAUGGCAGUUUGGAAACUCUCCCAGAAAUGAGAAGUGAAAAGGCUGCCACGGUCUGAGUUGAUCUCUAGUGGAACACCAUGAAGUGACACUAUUCAAGAAAUAUAUAAGUCAGCAAGCUGACUAGCAGUGAUAUUGUCUCGAACAGGGAGGAAGUGAGCCACUUUGGAAAGACGAUCAACGACUACGAAGAUAGCGUUAUUCCCUUUCUUGGUCCUGGGAAAGCCGGUAAUGAAGUCCAUACCAACUUUAUCCCAUUUCCAUUCAGGAAUAGCUAAAGGCUGAAGGGUGCCAGCAGGCCUUUGAUGCUCUGCCUUAACGCGACGACAAACGUCACAGUUAGCAAUGAACUCAGCGAUUUCUCUCUUCAUCCUAGUCCACCAGAACCUCUGGCGUAGGUCCUGAUACAUCUUAGAACUACCGGGAUGAAUCGUGAGAGGAGAUUCAUGCGCCUCCUUAAGAAUCAACUGCCGAAGAUGUUGCUUCUUGGGAACCACCAAGCGAUUCUCAAAGAAAACAACACCACGAUCAUCCAUAGAGAAACAUCCACCAACUCCCUUCUUAACGUUUCUCUUGAUCCGGCUAAUCCCCGUAUCAUGCUUCUGGGCUUCUAUGAUAAGAUCCACAAGGGUAGGUUUCGCCACCAAGGUGGAAAGAAAACCGCGAGGAGCUAUGUGAAGAUUAAGCUUACAGAAUUCCUCGUGGAGAAGUGGUUGGCCUUCCUGCAACAUGAGAUUGUUGCAAUAAGAUUUACGGCUUAGAGCAUCAGCCAUGACAUUGGCUUUGCCUGGGGUGUAGGUAAUCCCUAGAUCAUAAUCUGUCAUUAACUCCAACCAACGUCUUUGCCUAAGGUUCAAAUCUGGUUGGGUGAAGAUAUACUUGAGACUCUGGUGAUCAGUGUAGAUCUCGCAACGUUUACCAAGGAGGUAAUGUCGCCAGGUUUUGAGUGCAUAGACUACGGCUGCAAGCUCUAGAUCAUGUGUAGGAUAAUUCUCCUCAUGUGGAUGCAACUGUCGAGAUGCAUAGGCAAUCACAUGACGAUCCUGCAUAAGAAUGCAACCUAGUCCCUGUCGUGAGGCGUCGCAGUAGAUAAUAAAGUCUUUAGUGAAAUCCGGUGGCACAAGUAUGGGAGCAGAAGUCAGGCGUCUUUUCAGUUCCUGAAAACUGUACUCACACUGUGGGGACCACUCGAACUUUUUAUCUUUCUUGAGAAGUUCCGUGAGGGGUUUGGCUACUUUGGAGAAGUUUUCAACAAAGCGGCGACAAUAGCUGGCUAGACCAAGGAAACUCCUAACUUGUUUGACUGUUUCAGGUGGAGUCCAAUCGAGAACGGCUUGAACUCUCUCGGGAUUGACAGCAAUGCCCUUACCAGAGAUUACGUGGCCUAGAUAGGUCACUUCUGGCAACCAAAAUUCACACUUGGAGAACUUGGCAUAAAGGCGGUGCUCUCUGAGUUUUUCUAACACAAGUCUAAGAUGUUCGGCAUGCUCUUCCUCGUUCUUCGAGUAAAUAAGAAUAUCAUCGAGGUAAACCACGACGAACUUAUCUAAGAACUCCAUGAAGAUCGAGUUCACCAAGCGGGAGAAUGUGGCUGGGGCGUUGGUUAGGCCAAAGGACAUGACGGUGUACUCGUACUGGCCAUAACGAGUGACAAAAGCUGUCUUGGGAAUGUCCCCGUUUCUGAUCUUGAUUUGAUGGUAGCCUAAUCUUAAAUCCAUCUUGGAGAAGACUGAGGAUCCAGCGAGCUGAUCAUACAGGUCGUUGAUCCUGGGAAGCGGAUACUUGUUCUUUAUCGUGACCAAAUUAACGGGACGAUAAUCUACAACCAUCCGGUCCGUACCAUCCUUCUUCUUGACGAAGAGGACGGGGCAAGCCCAAGGAGAAGAGCUAGGACGGAUGAAACCCUUUUGCAAGGACUCAUCGAGUUGUUUCUUAAGCUCGGCUAAUUCUAGGGGUGCCAUCUUGUAAGGUCUCCGGGAGAUUGGAGCUGUUCCUGGGAUAAGAUCUAUGACGAACUCUACAUCUCUGUCAGGUGGAACACCUGGCAGUUCCUCUGGAAAGACAUUCGGAAAGUCACGGACUACCGGGAUAUCUUCAAGGUCUGGAAGAGGGCUGGCAUUAAGAGAAUAGAGCUGACGCUUGGCAACUCUAGUGGAGACAAUGGCUAUCUUGCCAGAUGGGUGUGUGAGCUGAACAGACCUGGUGAAACAAUCAAUCUUGGCAUGGUGAGCUGUCAUCUAGUCCAUACCCAAGAUGAUGUUAAUAUCCGAAGACUUGAGAGAUAUCAAGGAAGCAAGGAAUGCAAGUCUGUCCACAAGGAUUUCAUUUCCAUAACUUAUCCUAGAAGUUUGCCAUUUGGAUCCAGGAGUUUGAAUAAGUAGUGGAGAGGGCAUAUCACAAAAUGACAUGUCGUGCAAGCGGGCAUAGCUUUCAGAAAUGAAGGAAUGAGACGCUCCAGUAUCGAACAAAACCGAUGCCGGAUGACAGUUGACAAGGAGUGUACCAAGAACGACAUCUGGAUCAUCAUGAGCGGCUUUAGCUGAGACGUGAUGCACAAGUCCAUGUUCAGUGGGAGCUGACUUGGCACUGAUCAUCUUGCGUGAUGGCUUACCAUGGCCAAUAGACUUCUCGGGCUGGGGUGGAGCAACUCUGGACUGAGUGCAAAGACGGGCAAUGUGGCCUGGCUCUCCGCACUUGUAACAAAUCUUGGAGGUAGGAUGUGGACCUGUAUUAGAAGGCGGUCCACCAAUAGGCCUGGAUGGAGCAUACUGCUGAACUUGAUGAGGUGCCACACAAGAUGGCCUCGGUACAUAUUUGGGUGGAAGAGCGGAGUUUGGAACCCAAAUCCGGCGCUUCUGAGAGCUAGAACCGGAGGAAGAUCCCAAAGCACGAGUGUGCUUACGAGACUCCUCGUAAGUGAGUUGAGCUGUCUCUGCAUUGAUGGCCUUGUUCACAAGGGCUUGGAAUGUAUCACAAUGAUGCAGGUGGAGAUCACGACGCAACUUGGGGUUGAGACCCUUCCGGAACCUAGCCUGCUUCUUGGCGUCCGUGGACACCUCUUCUGUGGCAUAACGGGCGAGGUUCUCAAACUCUCUACUAUAGGCAUCAACAGCCAUCUUACCCUGGGUGAAACUACAGAACUCUUCUCUCUUGCGAUCAAUGAGGGCUUCAGGAAUGUGAUGCUCGCGAAAAGCCUCAACGAAAUCCUUCCAGGUAGGAAUCUGGCCAGCUGGAAGCAUAGCCUCAUAGUUCUGCCACCAAAGACUAGCAGGACCUUCCAGGUGGUAUGUGGCAUAGGUGACCUUGUCAUCUUCAGCUAUGCUCGCGGAACACAUCUUAUGAGUGAUGCUACGGAGCCAGUCAUCUGCAUCGAGUGGCUCGAUGGAAUGAUGAAAAGUAGGUGGGUGCAAGCGAAUGAAAUCAUGAAUGGUAGCAGACCCUUUGAACUGAUGUGCGGUGUUCUCCUCGAUACGUGCCAACAAACGGUUAGACUCACGCUUGUUCCUCUCCAUCUCUAGCAUGAACUCUGUCAACGAAGGCGGGUCGGGAGGAUCCUCAUCCCUACCAUCUCCGUGGUUCUGGCUACGGACAACAGAACUUGAUGACAUCCUGGUGAAACGAAACCAGCGACGGAAUCAGCAUCAACUAUGGACUGUAGAAUGUAGGACAAGGGAUUAGUAUCACUCGAACUCCUAGGGAAAAUUCCGGCAGCAUAACGGCAGUAAAAUGCUCAGAAUGAGACAUCCUACUAAAAAUGGGGUGGUAACAUACUCAUCAGCAUUACUCAAGGUUCUGAGAUCAUACCAAACAGACUACACCGGAAAUACUCAAAACUGGGUAUGACUCUGAUCAACCAGUCCUAUGGGACUACGGAGUAGUAACACGUGAUCCUGUUAGACGGAAAAGAAAGCCUAGUUCCUUAACCCCGUAGGAAAGAUAGGACGACUCGGAUCAGAGGGCCAUGAGGCAAAGGAGUAAAAAGAGCCUUACGUUCCAACCCACAAUCAAUUCCCUUACCUAACUAAAGAAUUUCUAGACUCAACUUCGACCGGUUUGGCUUGGUAAUCCUACAGGCAGUCAGGCUCUGAUACCAAAGCUGUCAGGACCCCGACUCAAAGCCACAUCGAUCUAGCAUGUAACACCUCAUAUCACUUUGCGGCCUCACGCACGGUAUCCCCACGGGUGUCGCCUUACCUUUGCCCGGGACCGUUUGCGCCUUUUGGCACACGUAUAUGAUGGUGUCGCUAGCAUCCAUAUGAUAAAGAGCCCGGGCUGACAUGGCUAGUCGUAAACCCAAAGUGGCACUAACUUACAGGGACAGGCAUCCAUGACCCAGCAUCGAACGUGUCGGUCAUCAGCGAGUGAAUCCAGGCUGUAGCACUGGGCUAACAGGACUCCGGUGAACCGGGCUGUAGCGGGCUAGCAGGACUCCGGUAUUCAUCGCGUGACAUUUCCCCGAAGGGACAGACACAGGAUCGAAGAAGGACACAUGCCGGCCAGCCUAAGUGUUCCGGAGCAGUAGCAAGCUACCAGGGCUCAGUGGAAGCACUAGGAGACAUUUCCCGGUAAGAGAGGCUACUAAGGAUAAACAACUAGAUAGUCAGAUCCCACACAUAGCAAUACACAUUACACGUACGCAUAACAUGCAAGUAUGUGCUGUACAACAUGGCAUCACAGCAUAACUCAACAACUCAUAUAGAUAAAGGCUCAGAUGAGCCGUCAUAGCAUUUAUUGCAAACAGGGGUCACAAGACCCGUCAUACAGAGCAUACAAGCAACAAGCGGAAGCAUUACAUGUCUGGGUACAGACAUCUAUAAAUGAAAAAGGCUGAAAAGCCUGACUAUCUACAACAUCCGAUCAAGAUCGUAGCUGAGGUACUAGCUACUAGUCGAAGUCCACGAGAACACUAGUAAGACAGAAAUCUCCGCUGCAAAAACAUAAAUAAAGCAACAUGAGUACAAAGGUACUCAGCAAGACUUACAUCAGAUCCUAUCAUACAUGCAUUUGCAUCAAGAGGGUAAUGUGGGGUUUAGUUGCAGCAAGCCAGCUUUGACUCUGUGGCUAUCCUGUUCUACGACUACCAGAAACUCUGGAGGUGAAACAACGUACACGAGUCCACUAAUCACCACACAAUACACUACUAUGGACUCAUCCCCGUCUCCCUACGAGAAGGCCAUCCAUAGCACUCACACUUGUCUUGAGCAUUUUAUAGUAUCCACUUCAAGUUGUCUAUGUACCAUGUAAGCAUCCAAGAAGUCCAUAACCGCGGACCCGGCUAUUCGAAUAGAUCAUGUUAACCCUGCAGGGGCGUACUUCUUCACACACGCUCUCGCCACUUACCGCCAUGUACACGUCAUGUAUCUCGGCAACCUUCAAGCGGAAGCCUGGCAAGGGUGUCGGCCACGACCUGACUAACCACACAAGACUCUAAUCCAGGUUUAUCGCCUAUUCGGGUUCCAUCCGCAAGGAGAUCCGGCCGGGGUUUCACUCACGGCCCCAAACGAUGUGUGCAGGGUCCCCAAGCCCACCUCGCCGGAUGGAUCUACGCUUGGUACACCGUGCCACUGGUGCCUAGUCUGUCCCAAGCCCACCUGGCCGGGUGCCACUUGGUAGACUACUAACACUACCUACAAACACCAGAAACUAGUUGCGACUCCUGGACAGAGACCAAGUUGGUUAAUAAGCCGAGAGGGGUCGAGUUAUCGGAACCCAAUGUGUGGUAGUAUCGAGUCAUUGGACAACAUACACAGAACUCAGUGCUUAAGGACGGUUCCAGUGAGACAACCCACCAUGUACUCCUACAUGGCCUCUCACCGCUACCUUUACCAAAUCGUGUUCACACACUUAACUCUCAGCAUCAGAACAUAUCGUAACACUCCAAUUCAUUCCCAAUGAACCAGACCUGACACAACUCUAAGCAAUAGCAGGCAUAGCAUGGUAGGAACAUAUCAGUGGUUUCAAUCAACUCCUACACAUGCUAGUGGGUUUCAACUAUUUACUGUGGCAAUGACAGGUCAUGCAGAGGAAUGGGUUCAACUACCGCAGCACAAAGUAACAGAUGAAUCGCUGUUGUCCUAAUGCAAUAACUGAGAGCAGGAGCGAGAGAGUAGGGUUUUAUCGAAAUGAACAAGGGGGUUUGCUUGCCUGGUAAAUCAAUAAGGGAGGCACUGCUUCACCGACAGGUACUCUGGAACGUCUCCGAAGCAGGACCUAUCGAGAAGGAACGGUGCCGGCAAUCAAAACACAAUCAUAUGCAACAAUAUGAUGCAUGAGCAUGGCAUGUAGAUGUGAUGCUGUUUGAGCUAAUGCAACUAGUAAACAUUUGGUUUGAAGUCCAUUUGAACCAUAAGCUCAAAUGCAAUUCUAAAUUAAGUCUCUUAUAUAUGCCAUAAUGUGUUUCCUCAUAUUAAGCAUGUAUAAGUUGGUUUGUCAUGCAUGAAACUAGUAUAGAUGGAAAGAUUGCAUUUUUCUGAUAAUUUUUCAUAUAUAAAUUAUUUUAAUCUGAGCUACGGUUGAAUUGUUAUGAAUUUUUGAAGUUUAAAACAAUUUCUGGAUUUUCUGAAUUAUUUUAAUUCCAGAAAAUAAAUAAUUGCGUCAGCAUGACGUCAGCACGACGUCAGUGGUCAACGCGGCUGUCCAGGGUCAAACCUGACGUGUGGGACCCACACGUCAGUGACAGGGGGGUUAACAGGGGUUAAUUUAAUUUAAUUAAAAGGUUAGGCGGGGGUCGGGCCCACUGGUCAGCGACCCUGGGGGGUCAAACCCGGUCAACUCGCCGGCGUUUAGCCGCCGGCGAGGCCGAGCGCGGCGGAGGAAGUGCAUUUGCAUGUUACGGCCACCAAACGGGAGGCGGAGAGCAUCGACGAGCUCCUGGGAACGAGCCGCAACUCUUGGUGGUGAUGGUUGAGCUCGGGGUGGCCGGAGACGUCGCCGGCGACGACUUUGGCGGUCGCCGGAGUUCGGGCGCCGAUGAAAACGGCGCCACCGUGCACGGGAGGAUCAACGGGUAGCAACUACGCGUUCUGCAGGCUCCCACAAAGCCAACGGGCAUAUGCACGGGGCCGAUUGGCCACCGGAGCCUCGUCAGCGACGAGUUCGUGCGGCGGUGUGCUUCGGGCAUCAUGGGAAGUGGUGCUACAACGAGCGCUAGGCCGUGGGGUUAGGGGGAAACGACGGAGGAGCUCACUGGGAGGUCGAAGCGCAGCUCAGUGGGCCUGGGGACGACCUAGACGGCGCGAAUCGAAGACGAGGUCACCGGCGGCCGAAGGUUGAAGAAGAGCUCGAAGUCGACGCUGCAGGGCUUCCGGCGGGGCGUGGUUCGGUGAGGGGGUCGAUGACGAUGUCGCGGAGCUCGUGGGCACAACCGAGGGGCGAGGGGGUGGCUGUGGCCGUGGUGGUUCUCGUCGGCGGCGGCGGCCGCGUUCGGUGGAAGUGAGGGGGAGCCNNNNNNNNNNNNNNNNNNNNNNNNNNNNNNNNNNNNNNNNNNAAGGACGACGUCGCGGAGCUCGUGGGCACAACCGAGGGGCGAGGGGGUGGCUGUGGCCGUGGUGGUUCUCGUCGGCGGCGGCGGCCGCGUUCGGUGGAAGUGAGGGGGAGCCAGAGGAGGGGAUGAGCAUGGGGGGGAGGAGGAAUGAGAGGGCCUGGGGUGCGUGGCCGUCUCCGUGGCAUUGGGAGGGAGUCCGGGGAAGCAGGAGGUGGCCAGCAGGGGGGGAGGUGGCGCGCGCGCGUGCCGGCGAGCGUCGGGCACACGCCCUCGUCCUUCUGUCCGAGGAGGGAGACGACAGAAGGCAGUGGGGGGUGGGCUGGCCGCCAGCUGGAGAUGGGCCAGGUAAGUGGCCCAGGUAAGUCUCUCUCCCCUUUUCUGUUUUCUUUUCUAAUUUUCUGACAUUUGUUUGAUUUAAUAAAUAUAUUAAAUCAUUUAAUUUUAUUAUGCCAAUUUUUGUAGGGGCUAAUGGUAUUAUUCCAGAGCUCUUUUAUAAUUAGCAUAAUUUUUGGACCAUAUUUCAUAUAUAUAGAAAUAUAUUUCCAAUGCAAAUAUUUAUUGAAUUAAUCCAAAUGGCCAAAAUAAAUGUCCAUGAGCUCCUAAAAAUAUUGUUUUGAUUUUUAUCUCUGUCCAAUAUUUUCAGAGGGCAACAUGAGCAUUUUCUUGGACCCUUUUGGAGAAAUUUUUAUUUGGGUCAUUUUCAAAAAAUGAUUCUGAGGUUUCCACCAAUCCUCAUUUCAAAUUUAAAUGAAAUUUAAAUAUGAUGCACAAAUAGCUAGCUAGUCUAAGUCAUACCAGACUAGGGAUGUGACAGAUGGCCAGAAUCAUCACACUGGGAAUACAAGCAUUGCUAGAUUACUAGGUGACUCCCUAAGACACCUAGGGUCAUAAUAAUGGCUUCAACAUAUACGCCAUCGUACCUCAACUCACUGAUUAGUGUGAUUAACCUGGCCCAAAUGGACAUCGGGAACAGGAGGAAGGGAUUUGCAAAUGCAUCACUACUAGAAAAAGGGCUAUAGUGUCGGUGUACUAGAAUAGGGGUACCCUAGUACCCCGAACUUGUGCACGGGCAGUUGCAGCACCCCGCGGCAAAGGCUUGCCGGGUGAUCGCCAAGAUCCCCCAAGGUUCCCUUGGAGCCAUCCAAGAACAAAGUAUUUAAGCUAAGGAGACAAGACCCCGGCAAGGGGAGCUUUCCGGGAAGGCCAACCAAGGCGCUCCCAAUAAACUUGCCGCGACGCGCCACGCGCUCCGGCAAGGCAACAAGGCCCCGGCAAGAGGAGCUUGCCGGGAAGACAAACCAAGGUACCUCGAAGCCCGGUGAGCGACAAGCUUCCGGACCCGACAAGAUAACAACAGCGGCAAGGCGCUUGCCGUGGCAGGCGGCCACUCUGCGCCCACGCUCCAGCGCAUCCACCAACGCGUCGCUCUGGGGGCCUCUCCGGGCGUACGUGGCGGGAGGCUGUGCAGCCAGCGGUGCGCAGUGGCAUGCGAAGCUGACAAGAUUGCCAUCGUGGCGAACGGUGGCGCCCCUAACGGUCCUUUUCUGCACUGUUCGGGCGACUCAGAUGGGCAUUUAAUGCCCUUGUCCCCUGCCGUCAGGGUUAGGUAGGGUGCACUGUACAAGUAACUGUAUCAACUACCUCGCUUUUUACGUUUUUACCCUCCUCUGCGUUGCCACCUGUCGGUGACCCCUUUAGCGUAUAAAAGGAGGCCCAUGCGCAACGUAGAGGAGGUUCGACUCAUAGGUUCGAAGCCUCAGACAGUUUGCUUCGAUCCAUCCGUAGCCCAGAGAACAUCACACUCUCGCUUUGGAGAGCAAGAACACCAGAUAAUACAACCAGACAAGCAGCAGUAGGAGUGUUAUCUCUCCGGAGAGCUCCGAAGCUAGGUAAACUGCUCGUGUGCCUCGCCUCGAUCUGCUCUUCGUGCGAUCUCCGCCACCCGCCGAACCGAAAGGGGCCGGUCCGCCGGCCCCAUAGGUGUUUGAGGAUCAGUUUCCCCGACAUCUUUGGCGCGCCAGGUAGGGGGCGACGAGAUUGCGUGAACCUGAUCCGGCGUUCACAUGAGCUAGAUCCUUAUUCCCUUCAUCAACAUGCCACCGAAGAAGAAGACUUCGGCGGCAGCCCCUCCAUCCACGUCACUUCUGCCACCGUUGGAGCAAACGAGUGGUGGGAUGGACGCCGGCGGAAGAAAGGACGUCGACGAGGAAGCCCAUGAUGCCGCCAGGUCCAAGAACAAGGCUGCACAAACCUCGACGACUGUACAUGUUCCACGCCACUCUCAGGAGGCGCAAGAUCAACAGCGUUAUGGCACUAGUAGUGCCAUACGCAUGAUAUCCCAAGACCAAGCUGGUGGAUCUCGGGCCGCUCAAGACCAGCAUGCGCGCCAGUGUGCUGGCACGAGCGGGGCGCGGUCGCCUGGACGGGAUACUGCUCCUUCUAACAUAGUUAGAAGUUCGAGCACGUCCCGCUCCUCGCGCCGUCUGCCACUACCACCCACUACCCCAGCAGAAGCUUUGGCGCGAGCUCAACUUCUCCUAGAUUACCCUCCGACGUCAGACAAUAUCGACGAAUGGAGAGCCACCAUUCAGAGUCUCAUCGGCUACGCCAACGGCGACACUCCACGGCGGCCGAGCGCGUCGCCGCCGCGGCAGGACCGCCGGACGCGAGCCGGUGGCGACGAAAUGGGCGGAGGUGCAACUACCAUGCAAUCACUGCUCCGAAGGCCAAGAUCGCCGACUCGUCGGAUCCACCUCGACAGUGACUCCACUGCAUCGUCGGAUCCACGAGCUCCAGAAGCUCCAGAAGCUCCAGAUCCCUGACAGCGAGCUCGAAGAGACCGGCACGUUUCAAGGAAUUAACCCGAGAAGGAGCAAGCCAAAGGGAAAGAUCAUGUUGCCGGUAACAUUUGGCAGUGAGCUGAACUUCAGGACUGAGAGGAUCACGUUUGACGUUGCCGACAUUCCAUUACCUUAUAAUGGAAUCUUGGGCCGUCCGGCACUCGCCAAGUUCAUGGCAGCCUCUCACUAUGCGUACAACGUACUGAAAAUGCCAGGCCCAAUAAGUGUCAUCUCUGUCCCUGGCGACAAGAAGGAUGCUCUUAUUUGUGCCGACAAGAUCUACCGGGAAGCAGCAGCUGCAGCAGAACGAAGGACACUUGCCGCUGAAGCUCCCGGGGGGAAGAAGAAGACCAAGUCCGGCAAGAGCUCUGAUGCCCACUCCGGCAAGCGCACCUCUUCGGAGUGGUGCGCUACCGUGGAGGACGUACCAUCGAGCUCCACCGGCAAGUGCAAGAAGGCGAUGGCAGCUCCACCUGCGACUAAGAAGGUGUCCGCUAAGGAGGAUGGCACUGGUGGUACCUUCACCAUCAGUGCCACUCUUGACCCCAAAUAGGAAAGCGCGCUCGUUGCUUUCCUGCGGGCGAAUGUCGACGUGUUUGCGUGGCAACCGUCUGAUAUCCCUGGUGUUCCCAGGAAAGUGAUUGAGCACCACCUUGCCGUCUGUCCUCAUGCGCGGCCCGUCAAGCAGAGAGUCAGGAAGCAGGCAGUUGAGCGCCAAGAAUUCAUUGCAGAAGAAAUCAAGAAGUUGGAAGCAGCAGGCCUUGUCAGAGGAGUACUCCAUCCCAUGUGGUUGGCCAAUCCUGUUGUUGUGCGCAAGGCUAACGGGAAGUGGAGACUUUGUAUUGACUUCACUGAUGUUAAUAAAGCUUGUCCCAAAGACCCAUUUCCCUUGCCACGUAUUGACCAGAUUGCUGACUCCACAGCCGGAUGUGAUUUGCUGUCAUUUCUUGAUGCAUACUCAGGAUAUCAUCAGAUCUUCAUGGCAGAAGAAGAUGAAGAGAAAACCGCAUUUAUCACCCCGUGUGGCACAUACUGCUUCGUACGGAUGCCUUUCGGUUUGAGAAUGCUGGUUCAACAUUCGCAAGGGUAGUUCACCAUGCUUUUGAGCCACAAAUACACAGAAAUGUGGAAGCUUACAUGGAUGACAUAGUGGUCAAGAGCAAGGACAAAGCAACCUUGAUUCAAGAUUUAGAUGAGACAUUUGCAAACCUGCGCAAGAUCAACCUCAAGCUUAACCCCGAGAAGUGCAUGUUUGGAGUCCCUUCCGGCAAGCUUCUCGGGUUCUUCAUGUCUCAACGGGGAAUUGAAGCCAAUCCCGACAAGAUCAAAGCCAUCGAGCAGAUCGAAGCACCAAAGCGCGUCAAGGAUGUACGAAGGCUUGCCGGCUGCGUGCCUGCUCUCAGCAGGUUUAUCUCUAGAUCUGCUGAGCGCGCCCUGCCAUUUUUCAAAAUUUUGAAAAAGGCAGGUCCAAUGAAAUGGACUCCGAAAGCGGAGGCUGCGCUGCAGGACUUGAAGAGAUACCUGUCCUCCACUCCAACGCUUGUCGCACCUAAGCCACAAGAGAAGUUGCUGCUGUAUAUAGUAGCAACCAAUCAAGUGGUUAGUGCUGCGUUAGUGGCGGAGAGGGAGGCAGAUGAUGAGCCAACAACCACGGCAGAUCCAUCCAGCGACAAGCAGGGGGCUUCGUCGACAAGCUCUGGCCCCGACAAACAUGAGUUUGCGCAGGAGCAUGAUAAGAUGCCAAGGAGAAUGGUGCAGCGCCCAGUUUACUUUGUCAGUUCCCUUCUGCAGGGGGCUAGAUCAAGGUACUCUGGUGUGCAAAAGUUGCUUUUCGGCCUCCUCAUGGCCUCGAGAAAGCUGCGCCAUUACUUCCAAGCACAUGAGAUCACAGUCGUCACUCGCUUUCCGCUGAAGAGGAUACUGCAAAAUCCAGAAGCAACAGGCAGGAUUGUCGAGUGGGCGCUGGAACUGUCAAGCUUUGGCCUCAAGUUUGAGAGCACCUCAACUAUCCAAAGCAGAACAUUGGCAGAGUUCAUAGCAGAGUGGACGCCAACCCCAGAUGAAGAAAUUCCAGAAACGAGCAUCCCCGUCAAAGAGGCAAGCAAAGAGUGGCUGAUGUACUUCGAUGGAGCCUUCUCGCUGCAAGGCGCCGGUGCAGGUGUGCUGCUUGUCGCACCCACCGGAGAGCAUCUCAAGUACGUAGUCCAGAUGCACUUUCCUAAAGAGCAAGCAACCAACAAUACUGCAGAAUAUGAAGGAUUGCUUGCCGGUCUCAGAAUCGCAGCAGACCUUGGGAUUAAGAAGCUCAUUGUCAGGGGUGACUCACAGCUUGUCGUCUGAAAAGUGAACAAGAACUACCAGAGUCCGUUGAUGGAAGCGUAUAUCGAUGAAGUGAGGAAGCUAGAGGAGCACUUUGACGGCCUACAAAUGGAGCAUAUCCCAAGAGCUCAGAAUGAUAUCGCUGACGGCCUGUCAAAGUGCGCCGCACUAAAGUUACCUGUGGAACCAGGGAUCUUUGUGCUUAAGUUGACUCAACCAUCCGUAACACCAUCAACUGGACAAAGCAAGAAGAGGAAGUUGGUUUCUGGUGACUACUUUCCGGCAGAGCUCCCCGAAGCCGCCGCCAAGAAAGUCCCCAAGAUCAACACCACAGAUGCUGAGGGGCAGUCUGCUCCGGCAAGCCUUAUGGUUUGUUCCAUUGAAGCAGACGCUCCCGACAAGUUUUGCUCCGGCAAGCUUGCUGGGGAACAUCAAGCUCCGGCAGGGCCGCAAGUCCUUGCCGUAGAAGCAGAUGUUCCCGCAGCAGCAGAUGUGCCUUUAGUCCUUGUUGUCGAGCCACAAGCUCCAGCAUGGGCACAGCAGAUUGUCCAUUUCCUUCAGACAGGAGAACUUCCCGAAGAGCAGGAAGAAGCAGAAAGAGUAGCCCAGCAGUCAAGUAUGUACCAGUUUGUCGAUGGCAUACUAUACAGAAGAAGACUCAACGGUGUGAAAUUAAAGUGUAUUCGCUGGGAAGAUGGACAAAAGCUGUUGGCAGAGAUACAUGGAGGCAUAUGUGGCCACCACAUAGGCGCAAGAGCACUUGCCAGCAAAGCUUUCCGGCAAGGUUUCUUUUGGCCGACAGCCCUCCAGGAUGCAACUGCACAAGUAACCAAGUGUGAAGCGUGCCAGUUCCACUCCAAACAGAUACACCAGCCAGCUCAAGCUCUCCAGACAAUCCCUUUAUCCUGGCCAUUUUCGGUCUGGGGGCUCGAUAUCCUCGGCCCCUUCCCCCGAGCUGUCGGGGGCUUUGAGUACUUGUACGUCGCAAUCGACAAGUUCACAAAGUGGCCGGAAGUGCAGCCAGUGAGGAAGGUGACAUCACAGUCAGCAGUCAAGUUCUUCAGGUCAAUUGUUUGCCGUUUCGGGAUCCCUAACAGGAUCAUCACCUACAACGGCACGCAAUUCACGAGCCGCACCUUCAUGCAGUACGUCCAAGACCUUGGCGCCAAGGUCUGCUUCGCUUCUGUUGCUCAUCCGAGAAGCAACAGUCAAGCAGAGAGGGCAAAUGCUGAAGUGCUGCGCGGGCUCAAGACCAGAACUUUCGACAGGCUGCACAGUUGCGGAAGGAACUGGAUCGAGGAGCUGCCGGUGGUUCUUUGGUCGAUCAGAACGACGCCAAAUCGAGCCACUGGCCAGACACCUUUCGCUCUAGUCUAUGGAGCAGAGGCAGUUCUCCCCAUGGAACUUGUAUACGGAUCACCUCGAGUGCUUGCUUAUGAUGAGCUCGAGCAAGAACAGCUGCGGCAAGAUGAUGCGAUGCUCCUUGAGGAAGAUCGUCUUCAGGCUGCUGUACGAGCUGCUCGAUACCAGCAAACUUUGCGAUGCUAUCAUAGCCGCAAAGUUAAAGCCAGAAGCUUCGAGGAAGGCGACCUUGUUCUUCGGCGCGUUCAAUCCGCCGAAAAUUCCAACAAGUUGACGCCAAAGUGGGAAGGCCCUUAUCGGUUGAGACAAGUCACAAGGCCUGGCGCUGUCCGCCUUGAGACCGAAGAUGGCAUUCCAGUGAGCAACUCCUGGAACAUAGAACAUCUUCGUAAGUUUUUCCCAUAAGGCGCGGUUGCCGGAACCCAUUUCGGCAACCACCUUUUGUACAAGUCUUGCCGCUGUUGCAUGUAAUCCUUUAUACAAAGCCGGGCGCAGAUCCCGUGCAUAAGUAAAACCCCAUGUGCUCCGUACAGCUUGUCCAUUUCAUGCGUUAGUUCCUUUCUUGCAUGUGAUUAUCUGACAUUUUGUGCAGCACUUACAUCCGGUAAGCAGUAACGAGCCGAAGUGCUCCAUAUUAUUAUUUUCUCUUCUUUCUUUUUCUUUUAGAGGAAAAGAAGGUUCUCUCGCACACAAGUUUGCCGGGGGGAAGGAGAAGAUUGUGGUGUGGGCCAGGCGUCAUUCAAGCAAAGACUUGCCUUACCGGGAAGCAAAUAAUAGAAAAGCUAAGUUGCCAAAGUUUGAGCAAUCACUUUUUAAAUUUUUGAGUUAUCUUCCUCGAACGACCCUGCUUUGUAUGGAAAACCUGUGCGUGGAGGAACCAACUCAUGGCUAGUUGCGCCCUUCCUUUGUUUCGAGUCCGCUCAACAGCUUAAGCGCGCUGCAUCUAGUCACGACAAGGUUUCUUGUCGGAAGCAACACCGCCAGCAGGCUGCUGAAGUUCCGCACUCAGCGCUCACGGCUCGGGCGCCUGCGCCGACAAGUUCCCUAGAAGCGUAGGGUGAAAACAUACAAAGGGAGGAAUCUAGUAGUGGAAAUAACAUUGCAAUUGAUAGACAGAAAUAAAGUUAUAUUACAAAGAUAACUUGUCGCAGCUCUAAUAGACUAUUUUCAUGACAUGACUAGCAGCGACAAGGGAAAAGAAGAAAUGGGCGGCCUAAUCUACGCGCCCGCCCUCGACUCGCUUGAUCUCGCUCACCUUGUCCACAAUGGGUGCGACAAGGGCCUUGAGUGCGUCCAGAUCGGCGUCAGGCGGCAAGGAUCGGAGGACGUUGGUGAAGCUGAGGCCUGGAUUGCGGAAGGCUACCUUCAUCAGCACCUUCUGGAGAACCCCGGUGCAGAUUUUGCGUGACUCGUCGGCCAGCUGCUUCGGGAUCCUCUCCCGGAGUCGCUGGAGUGCCGUCGCCACGCCCUUGAAGAAUAGGCUGAGCUUGGCGCUGGGUUGAAGGCUCUCAUCGGAAGGAUACCCAAAGUCAUCCAUCCCCAGCUGCGCCAACUCCUCGUUGAUGACGGCGGCAGUGUUCACCAGGCCCUCGGUCCAGUGCUCCACCGUGUCUCUGAACGAGUUCUGGGUAACUACAAUGCUCUCCAGCAGCGCAGCGUCAGCCUUGACCUUCUCCGCCAAGGUCUUCUCCCGCUCCUUGGCGGCCUCCAGCGUCUGCGUCAGCGUGGCCAGCUUCAGCUCCAGGUAUGCUUUGGAAUCCUUGGCGGCGCUGAGCUCCUUGCCCCUCUCAACGAGAAGGCCUUGUAGCUCAUCAUGGGCGGCAGCAUCCUUCUCGCGCUCACGCUUGAGCGCGGCAAUCUCCUCGCCGCUCUUCCCAAUAUCGGCCUCCAGCCGCGCCACCUUCUCCUCUUGCUCCUUAUUGGCGGCCUCUGCAGUUGCCGCGGCAUCCUUUGCCUCCUUGAGCGCCCCGCCAAGUGCUCGCUCGCGCUCGGCGAGCUCUUCCUCAUAGCUGUCGAGGUGGGCCUUCCGCUGCACUAGCUCGCCUUCCCGCGCGGACUGCUUCUCGGCAGCAAGCCUUUGUUCCUCCUCAGCCUCGGCCUUCUCGAGAAGAAAGGCCAUGCGCUCCUCGUCUACCCGCUCCCGCUCCUGCGCCAGGGACCGAAGAGAUUCUUGGUUUUGUCCCCGGAGCUCCUCCGCGCACUUCUCCAUGUCAACCCCCACUUUCGCGACAAGCGCUUCCCGGGAAGCCAGCUUGGCUUGCCGGGUGCGGUAGAGUGAUAGCAGCUUCCGCAGCAGCUGCUGCUCCUCGGGCUCGCCACUGCUGCUGCCAGGCGCGUCAACCAAUGACAGUCCGGCAGAGGCGAGCACCUCCCCGUCAAAAGUCUCCCCCUCGACUGGCGCCCUGGAGCUCGACGCCCAGGGUAGCUUGAUGAAGAUGUUGUCACCGGCCUGCAAGUAGGCGCCGGGCUGGGGCUCCUCGGAGCCCGGCUCCGCGGAAGCGGCAGAGGGUUCGGCGGUCGGUGCAGCGCUCGGCGCUCCUGCGGCCUCAGGGUCGUCAGUGCGAUCGCCCGACUCCUCGCCGGCUUCCGCAGCAGCAGCCCCGGCGGCCUCCUCGCUGGCGGUCACAUCGGCACCGGCACCUUCCUCGCCGCCGCCCUCCGUCUCCAUUGGAUCAGCCGAAGAUGGGUCUGAAGAACGAAGAGGGGAGGAAAAUCAAUCAAAAACAUCCAAGAAAGGAAAAACAAAAGAAGCAGAACCCAAGGGAAAGUUUUUGGGCAAGUGGAUUACCUGCGCCAAGAUCUUAAGUAGCGGCCUCGGUCACCGCAGGAUCAGCAGUGCCGUCCCUUGCCGGAGAGUCCCCCCUUGCCGGAGAGCGCUCCCUUGCCGGGGAAUCCUCCCUUGGCGGCACAGUCGAAGUAGGUGGCACUUCGGGACCGGCCUCCGGGCGCUCCUGAUGAGGCUGCUCUGCUCCUGCACAAGUCAACAAGCAAGAUAUCAACAAAGGAAAAAGCACUCAAACACGCCCGACAGCAGAAGGCUAAACUAUGAUCUUACGAUGGGGGCUGCGCUGGGGGCUGCUCCGAGGGGUGAUUGCCAGGUCCGUCAAGGUGGUCUCGGACCCACCUCCUGCCGACGCAAUGGGGUCAUCCUCGAUGACAAUCACCGCAGCCUUGGCCCUCUUUGCCGCUCUCUGGGCCAGUGUUCUGAAAAGAAAAGAGUCCAGAUUGGAGCAAGUCAGAUACAAGAUAUAAACAGCAAGAUUGAAGGAUUGUAAGGGCAGCAAAGAAACUCACUCUUCUUCCUCCUCAUCGGAGCUGAGCGCGGAAAGAUCAAAGUCUGGCCCUCCUCCGGUGCGGCGAGGUGGAGGAGUAGGAUCCCUUGCCCGCUUGGCGGGGGCGGCGGCGGUGGCCCGGGAAGAUCCCGCUCCAGUUGCCGCUGUUGCGUGAGGCGCUCCCGCGGCAACAUUGCUUGCCACGGUAGAGCGCGUCGCGCGGCUCGGUGGCUGUGGAGCCGGCUGCCGCCCUGCUGCGUCCCCGGCCCUGCGAAGGCGCCUCCUUGGCGGGGCCGGGGGCUCCGCCUGCGGCAAGCUCUCUGAAGGCUCAGCCUCCUCCUCGCCGGCCUCGCUCGACUCGGCUUCAGAACCAGUAGGCUCUUCCUCGCCCAUGAACUCCGCGCGUUCGGCAAGGUUUGCCGCCUUUGCACCCUCUGCCUCCUCCACAGUAAACCCAAACACACCCGCAGCAGCUGCGGCCGCAGCUGCGGCCGCAGCCUCUUCCGCCCUAGUAGCGAUGAGCUGCAGCUCCUCGUCGAUGGUGUCACGGGUGAGGCUCUUCUGCUCGUCGGCGCGGACCGGCAAUUCCUCCAAGGUGUCGAAGAAUGCUCGCACAACAUCGUCCGCAGGCUCUUGCCAAGUUGGGACGAUGCCGUGUGAAUCGCACAACGGCAUCAUGGCGCGGAUCCGGUCAAGCGAAGAGUUAUUGCACAAAGGAACUACGCCCCUCGGCAGUGUGAAUGGAUGCUGGGGGUCGCGUUUGAAUAAUUCCAAGAGCAUUGCGUCCAACUCCAAGAUAGUGAAGUUGUAGUUGAGGCCCGGCCGCAGCCUCAUGAUGGCCGCUGAAUUCUUGAAUUCCCAGGCGGGCCUCCUCCUCUCCUGCAGGGGGGCAAUGCGGCGGCGGAGGAAAUCUGCCCCGACAGCACCUACGGUGAGCCCGGCAAGCCUGAGGCGAAGAAUCCUAGUGAUGGCGAUCUUCAGCCUCUCGUCUUCCGGGGCCAUGUUGCUCCAGUCAUUGCCGUGCACUAUUGGAGUUUGGCGCAUGGCGGUGAAGGGCUGCGGAUCCUCCUCGACGAUCCAACACCACUCCGCUCUCCACUCCUCCCACUUGCUGCGAAGCUCACCCUCCAAGUACGCCUCUUUCUUGCCGACUCUCGAGACCCAGGCAAUCCCUCCGGCAAGCGGCUCUCCUCUCUCUACCCGAGGUAUGAAGAAGUGGCGGAAAAGGGCUACACUAGGGUGGACUCCGACAAAGUUUUCGCACAAGUGUGCGAAAACUGCCAUGGUCAAGACAGCAUUGGGGGUGAAGUCAAGGAGGCGGAAGCCAUACGUGUUCAUAAUGUCACAAAAGAACUCCGAGAAGGGCGGGCAGAGCCCGCAGUAGAAGAAUAGCGGGAAGAAUGGGUACCCAUUUGGAGCCGACUCCGAGGCAGCGGCCGGGAGUACCCCCGUGCGCGGAUGCGCACGCGUCUCCAUCGCCCAAAAGAGGUAGAAGUACUCCCUCAGCUCCUGCACGCCGAGCUGGGGGGUGAAGAUCGCCCGCUCCUUCCGCAGCGCCGCGAGCCCCUGCGCCUCGGCCGACUUCACGCCCUUUCCCUUGUCGGCUUUCGGGGCCAUGGCGGAGGUGGUGGAGAAGGUCGACGGCGUGGUGAUGCUGGUGGCAAUGGGGGGGGCGGAGCGCUGCUCUCUCGGCUUCAAGAAGAAGUGGGGAGCGGCGGAGUUUGUGAAGAAGGAGUAGCAGCAACCAGCGAGGGGAACGAACUGCCCCUGUUUCCUCUGCUUAUAAAGAGGGACGGGGCGGACGUUCCGGCCUUCCACUUAAACAACCACCCACGAUCUCUCCCACGAUGCCACAUUCAACGCGUGCCGUUAUGGGAGAGUGCGGUGGAUACGGAACAAGAUUUGGCGUGGCCCAACCCGCAUGUGCCCGUGCCCUGUCUUGGGCCUGGCCCAACAGCGCUCGGCACCGUGUCUGGCCCAGGCCCGGGGGCUCCUGUCGGUGUACUAGAAUAGGGGUACCCUAGUACCCCGAACUUGUGCACGGGCAGUUGCAGCACCCCGCGGCAAAGGCUUGCCGGGUGAUCGCCAAGAUCCCCCAAGGUUCCCUUGGAGCCAUCCAAGAACAAAGUAUUUAAGCUAAGGAGACAAGACCCCGGCAAGGGGAGCUUGCCGGGAAGGCCAACCAAGGCGCUCCCAAUGAACUUGCCGCGACGCGCCACGCGCUCCGGCAAGGCAACAAGGCCCCGGCAAGAGGAGCUUGCCGGGAAGACAAACCAAGGUACCUCGAAGCCUGAUGAGCGACAAGCUUCCGGACCCGACAAGAUAACAACAGCGGCAAGGCGCUUGCCGCGGCAGGCGGCCACUCUGCGCCCACGCUCCAGCGCAUCCACCAACGUGUCGCUCUGGGGGCCUCUCCGGGCGUACGUGGCAGGAGGCUGUGCAGCCAGCGGUGUGCAGUGGCAUGCGAAGCUGACAAGAUUGCCAUCAUGGCGAACGGUGGCGCCCCUAACGGUCCUUUUCUGCACUGUUCGGGCAACUCAGACGGGCAUUUAAUGCCCUUGUCCCCUGCCGCCAGGGUUAGGUAGGGUGCACUGUACAAGUAACUGUAUCAACUACCUCGCUUUUUACGUUUUUACCCUCCUCUGCGUUGCCACCUGUCGGUGACCCCUUUAGCGUAUAAAAGGAGGCCCAUGCGCAACGUAGAGGAGGUUCGGCUCAUAGGUUCGAAGCCUCAGACAGUUUGCUUCGAUCCAUCCGUAGCCUAGGGAACAUCACACUUUCGCUUUGGAGAGCAAGAACACCAGAUAAUACAACCAGACAAGCAGCAGUAGGAGUGUUAUCUCUCCGGAGAGCUCCAAAGCUGGGUAAACUGCUCGUGUGCCUCGCCUCGAUCUGCUCUUCAUGCGAUCUCCGCCCCCCGCCGAACCGAAAGGGGCCCGGUCCGCCGGUCCCAUAGGUGUUCGAGGAGCAGUUUCCCCGACAUAUAUAUGGGAUUGACACUAAUGGCGCACCAGACAAGGGGUGCGCCAUUAGUAUAUACUAAUGGCGCACCACCUUCAGAUACGCCAUUAGAGUUGAAACUACUAAUGGCGCACCUGGCCCAAGUUGCGCCAUUAGUAUCAAUUUUUUUUUUGAACUAGUGCGCCUGUCCAAACAUACUAAUGGCGCAUCCAGACACAGUGCGCCAUUACUAGUUGUAACUAGUAAUGGCGCACCCGUCGGAAAGUGCGCCACUAAAGUUGUUUUUUUAUUAUAUUUUUUAUUCCUUUUUUUGCAAUACUACUAAUGGCGCACUGUACAACCGUGCGCCAUUACUAGUUUAAACUAGUAAUGGCGCACUGUAGAACAGUGCGCCAUUAGUAUGUUUUUUUUGCAAAACUACUAAUGGCGCACCGCCAGAAGGUGCGCCAUUAGUUACCUGGAUUACUAAUGGCGCAUUUACUGCUAGUGCGCCAUUAGUAAGUGGGCAGCAACAAGAUAUUUUGGACAGCCUCUCCUACCCACACUCACUUUCUCCCCACUUCAUUCUCUCCACCUCCUCCUUGUCUCGGGUGCCUCCUAUUUUUCACCUCAUUUCCACCAUAGAUUCAUUCAAAUUAAGUGGUUAAAUUACCUUGUUUUGAUAGGUAAGUAAGGGGGGAAGCUAUAUUUAUGUUGUUCUCCCUACAACAAUGUGCACAUGCACUUUUUAUGGCCUAGCUAGAUCUAUGUAUAUUCGUGGUGUUGCAUAUGUUUGUGGUGUUGCAUAUGUGUUUGUGUUUGGAGGUGUACCGGUAUUUGAAAUGCGAUAGUUGCCAAUAUUUUGCCGGAAUGUUGAUUCAUUUCCGUUUCGGCGAGAAUUUUGGCAUUAAGCAUUCUUUUUGGUCCUAUUUUUAGGGAAAGUCAUGCCAAAUUUUUUCUUGGUUCUAAAAUAUCGUUUUGCUCUACCCCGUAGGCGACCAUGGUCCGCACGAUGACCGAAGGCAUCGUGAAUAGGUUUUUGAGGUCCGCGAAGGCCGAGAUGCUUCAAAAGAAUGAGACAGAGAUAAGAUGUCCGUGUUGAAGAUGCAAGCUAAAGAGCCUUAUUGCGGACCCGGAUUCCGGGCAGGUGCGGGACCACCUGCUCUUGCGUGGUUUCAUGGAUGGCUAUCGGUGGCAAGGUGAUGAAGAUGACUACGAAGUUGUCCAUGGGGGCCGGGCAAGAAAUGAGGAAGGGCAGCAAGACAACCACCGCGGCUCGGGUGGGCGAGAAGACGAAGAAUCCCCAGGAGAUGAUCACGACGGUGAUGCUGUACACAGUCAUCAUGUAGAAGAUGCAGGACAUGAUGAUGAGGAAGAUGCCGGAGCAGACAACGGGCAUGAUCAUGAAGAUGAUGAUGCCGGCGGAGCAGACGACGCUGGACCAUCGAUGGGCUGGGUGCAGGACCCUCAUAUUCAAGAGCUGCUUCUCAAGCAGACGGAUAACGCAAGAGCUGCCGCCCGAGAGAAAGCCAAGAUGGAUCAACUUGAGUUAGACGCGGUUACUCCAUUGUAUGAAGGAUGCAGGCCCGAGGAUACCCGCCUGAAAGUAACGCUCAUGGCUCUGGAGAUGAAGGUAAAACACAAAAUGACCGACGCAUGUUUCGAUGAGAACAUGUCAUUCUGGCACGAACGUCUUCCCAAGGGGAACAAGUGCCCGGCCAGUUUGGAGGAGGCGAAGAAAAUCGUGUGUCCUCUGAAUUUACCGCACGUGAAAUACCAUGUGUGCAUGAACAAUUGCAUCAUUUAUCGGGACGAGCACGCAGAGUCUACCAUAUGUCCGGUGUGCGGUGUCACUCGAUACAAGAAGAGGAAGAAAGCUCCUCAAAAAGUGGUGUGGUACUUUCCGAUCACUCCUCGUCUGCAGCGGUAUUUCGCGGACCCUAAGGUAGCAAAGCUCCUGCGUUGGCACGCGGAUAGGGAGGAGAAGAAGUGAGAAGAUGACGGAAAUGAUCCGGAGAUAGAUAAAAAAGAAAAGAUGCUGAGUCACCCUAAGGAUGCGAGCCAGUGGCAAGCGUUGAACUUCGAAGACUCAGAAUUUGGGAACGAUCCAAGGAACAUCGUGCUGGGCGCGAGCACUGAUGGAGUCAAUCCGUUUGGCAGCCAGAGAAGCACACAUAGCACCUGGCCUGUGUUUGUGUGGAUGUACAACCUUCCCCCUGGUUGUGCAUGAAGAGGAAGUACAUUCACAUGAGUAUGAUAAUUGAAGGGCCGAAACAACCAGGGAACGACAUCAAUCUGUAUCUGGGGCUGCUGAAAGAGGAGCUUGACACGCUGUGGAAAACGCCAGCCAAUACGUGGGACGCCGCAGAGAAAGAAUAUUUCCCUAUGAGAGCCGCACUGCUCACGACGGUGCACAACUAUCUCGGUUACGGAUAUCUCGCAGGGCAGGUAGUCCACGGAUUUUCUGGAUGCGUAAGGUGCAUGGAUGACACAACGUAUCACCAGCUAGAUAGAGAUCCCGGGUCUUCGAAAACCGUGUUCAUGGGACAUAGAAGGUGGCUUCGCGACGAUGACCCGUGGAGGAAAUGCAAGGAUCUGUUCGAUGGUGAAACCGAACCCCGAAAACGCCCGUGUACGAGGAGCGGCGAGGAAAUAGACAAGCUGUUCAAAAAUUGGAAAGACUGCCCACUGCCGGGAAAGAAGCAAAAGGCGCCAGAGCCGGGAAAGAAGCGAAAGGCGCCAGAGCCGCUGCUGAAGGUAUGGAAAACGAGGUCUAUUUUCUGGGACUUGCCGUACUGGAAGAUCCACCGUGUGCCUCACAGCCUUGAUGUCAUGCAUAUCACGAAGAACGUGUGCGAGAGUCUGCUUGGUACCCUGCUCAACAUGCCAGAGAGGACCAAAGAUGGGCCGAAAGCAAGGGCAGUCUUGAAAUCAAUGGGCAUCAGGUAGGAGCUUCACGCUAAUGAUGAUGAUUAUGAUGAUGAUGAUGAUGAUGAGGCGAAGCAGGACACAGAAAGUCGUCGCAAAGGCAAAAAGGCCAAGAAGACCGGAAAUGACUACCCUCCCGCGUGCUUCACUCUAAGUGAGGAGGAGAUCGAGCAGUUUUUCACCUGCCUCCUAGGAGUAAAACUUCCUUACGGUUACGCGGGGAAGAUAAGCAGAUACAUAGACCCAGCGAAGCAGAAGUUCAGCGGGAUGAAGUCUCACGACUGUCACGUGCUGAUGACGCAGAUACUUCCAGUUGCAAUCCAUGGGAUCAUGGACGCGCACGCCCGUGAAACGCUAUUUGGCCUAUGCAACUUUUUUGACGUCAUCUCUCGGAAGUCGAUUGGCGUGAGGCAACUCAGAAGGCUACAGGAAGAGAUCGUGGUGAUACUAUGCGAGCUUGAGAUGUACUUCCCGCCCGCAUUCUUCGACGUUAUGGUGCAUCUGCUGGUCCAUAUCGUGGAGGAUAUCAUCCAACUCGGGCCGACGUUCCUGCACAGCAUGAUGCCGUUCAAAAUGAUGAAUGGUGUCAUCAAAGGAUACAUUCGGAACAUGUCACGUCUAGAGGGAAGUAUAGCCAGGCGCUUUCUGACCGAAGAGUGCAUCUCCUACUGCACGAAUUAUCUAGGCAUCGAGAACCCUGUUGGUCUGCCCGUCAACUGGCACCUCGGCAGGCUCGCUGGAUGGGGUCACCGUGAGGGUCGCCGCGAAAUGCAUGUCGACUUCGAGGGUCGACUCGCCGACUUUGAAAGAGCAAACCUAGUCGCGCUACAACACAUAGACGUGGUCGAUCCUUGGGUGGUAGAGCACAAAACCUUUAUUGAGAAGACGUACAAUGACCGAGGCCAACAGAGGACGGACGGAGAUAUACUCAAAGAGCACAACUCAUGUUUCACGCGUUGGUUCAAGCAGAAGCUUCUAUCGUACCCUUUACAUGAAGAUUCUUCCGCGGAAGAACAACUCAUAUUCACCUUGUCCCAGGGCGCCGAGCACAACCUGAUGACCUAUGAGGCGUACGAUAUCAACGGCUACACAUUCUACACCGAGGACAAGGACAUGAAGAGCGAUGGUUAUCAGAACUCCGGGGUAACGAUGGAAUCCUACACCGGUAAGGACAAGGACAGAUACUACGGAAGGAUCGAGGAGAUCUGGGAGCUGAGCUACACUGGAGAGAAGGUGCCGAUGUUCCGUGUCAGAUGGGCCAAGAGCGUCCUAAAAGAAGACCGAUAUUUCACCACCAUGGUUACACCCGAAGCCAAAUCCAGGACCGCGGGCGCAAACGUCACCGCGAAAAAUGAACCAUGGGUACUGGCUUCCCAAGUGGACCAAUGCUUCUUCAUUACCGACCCGCCAAAGCCCAGUCGUGUUGUCGUGAGGAGAGGCAAAAGGAAGAUCAUCGGAAUGGAUGGAGUAGCCAAUGAGCAAGACUUCGACAAGUACGGCGACCCGAGGAUCGAACAUGACAACGAUGAUGAAGUAGCAGCAUACACCACAAGAAGAAGCAGGACCACCCUACCUAAAGGACGUCCGUUCCACAGAAGAACUCCAUUUGCGAAAAAGAAGGGCAAGAAGAUUGUGAACACAUAGCUAGCUAAGAUCGAUUGUAUUUAAAUUGUAGCCUUCAUUUCUCAUUUGUAUUUCAUGGGCACUUUUUGAACUAUCAUGAAUAUUUUUAAAUUUGAUGGACACUCGAUCUCGACCCCCCUCCAUCUCGAUCACUAUCCCACCUCGCCAGAUCCAGUCCCCCUCGCCGCCGAGCACCCCCCGGCCCAUCGGCCGCCGCCGCCGACCCCCCGCACCCUCGAUUCCCCUACUCAACCGCCGCCGCNNNNNNNNNNNNNNNNNNNNNNNNNNNNNNNNNNNNNNNNNNNNNNNNNNNNNNNNNNNNNNNNNNNNNNNNNNNNNNNNNNNNNNNNNNNNNNNNNNNNNNNNNNNNNNNNNNNNNNNNNNNNNNNNNNNNNNNNNNNNNNNNNNNNNNNNNNNNNNNNNNNNNNNNNNNNNNNNNNNNNNNNNNNNNNNNNNNNNNNNNNNNNNNNNNNNNNNNNNNNNNNNNNNNNNNNNNNNNNNNNNNNNNNNNNNNNNNNNNNNNNNNNNNNNNNNNNNNNNNNNNNNNNNNNNNNNNNNNNNNNNNNNNNNNNNNNNNNNNNNNNNNNNNNNNNNNNNNNNNNNNNNNNNNNNNNNNNNNNNNNNNNNNNNNCCGGCAUUACUGUUUGAUGAUAUUUUUAAAAUAAUUAUUACUGUCUUAUAAAAAAAAAUUACUGUUAUGAUUUAAACAAGUUUGAACAUAUUUAAACACAAAUAAGUAUCAAACAUCAUUUUAAAUGCAUAAAAAAUUGUGGAGCCUAGGAAUCAAACCCAGGACCUCCUGGUGUGAGAACUGGCUGCUGACCAGUCGAGCUAGUAGAGGGAACUUGAUGUGGACCAGGUCAGGUGGAAGAUAACCUGUUGGCUCGAGCAGAAAUCAAAAAAAAAAACUAAUGGCGCACCAGGGCGAGGUGCGCCAUUAGUAUGGAUGUACUUAUGGCGCACCGUGGUGUGGUGCGCCAUUAGUAUUGUGCCGCCCCCAUCCAUAUCCCGGCUAUCCCCUCUCUCUCCCUCGCCCUCGCCCUCGAUCCCCUUCCCCUCUCCUCUCCCGACGUCGCCGCCCCGCCGCCUCGACGCCGCCCCGACGCCGCCUCGACGCCGCCCCGUCGUCCUCGUCUCCGCCCCGAUGCCCCGACGCCGCCCUCUCCUCUACCGACGCCGCCGCCGCGCCGCCCUGUCGUCCUCGUCUCCUCGGCGCCGCUCUCCCCACCGCCCUUAUCGCCGGUGGCCUGGACGCCGCCCCGUCAACACCACCGUUGCCGGAGCACCACCACCACCCGGACCUCGUCGCACCACCACCACCCGGACCUCGUCGCCCCACCUCAUCGCCCCGUCCACACCAUCGCCCCCGUGAGCUCCCCCUCCUCCUAUCCCCUCCUCUCCCCCUCUCCAUAUCGUCGGUAGUGCAAGAGGACACCCAAAUUAUCAACCGCAAUUAACACUGAUGGUUUCUGAUUUUGAGCUGUCAAACAAUUACUAAUUUUGCGCUGUCACAGAGACAACGCUGUUUUGUUAGUUAAAGUGAGGCUGCUGGUAGUGUUGAAAGAACAAGACGAAAAACCACUACCCAAAAUAGAAACUGAUGUUGUAGGCUAGAAUAACUGAUGUUGAAUCUGUAGAAUGUUCUCACUCCCAUUUGAUUGAAGUUGUGUAACAUGUACUGACUGAAGUUCAGUCAAGUGACGCCUCAUAUUCACCUAAGUCCUGUACAACAGCAAGCUGCCCUUGUGAUCUUCGACGGCCUUUAGAACUGUUGUAAUUUCACUUGAUCUAGCUGCAAUCAGAUGAACAAUUCAUCUUAGCAUUUUGAAUUUUUAACAUGUAAAGUAGCUAGCAGUUAAUGUUUGCAAAGUAGAUAGCAGAGUCUGUUAAACAUGUCUUUUUUUACCUAUACAGCAAAACUCAUAUAUCAAAGUAGCAGAGUCUGUUGGACAUAUAUGCCCUUAUGGAUUGAAUUUCUGUACAAUAGGACUGUUGGAAUUUCACGUGAUCUAUUUGCAAUCAGAGGAACAGUUGAUGUUAGCAUUAUUACGAUGUAAGCAGCAAAUUCAGUCUACAAGUAUUUGCUAAUAACCUGAGUCUAGUUUCCAUAUCGUCGGUAUGUGUCUGGUUCGUAUAGUGUUCUAUCUCUAGUCUACCAUAAUUUGUUCAAGACUAAAGAUUAUGUUGUGUAUCAUCUAUCAUGUAAACGUGAAAUUGACCCAUUUGAGCUAGGAGAGUUACUUGAAUGAGCUCAUAAACAAAAGCAGGGUCCAACCUGUAGACAUCGUUAUCAAGGCAGAAAAGUUUUGUGGUGUCCAUGAUAUGAUGCUUGAUCUGAUAUAUUCGCUGCGUAGAGAAACGCCCAUGGGAAUGUUCAGUCUAAAAGAACAUGGAUGGUAGCAGCCAAAUAACAAGAUAUUUUCAUUUCCUCCACAACAACUCUGAUUCCCCUCCCUUUCUCAAGUACCUAUGCAUGUGAAGAUUCUGAAACAAAUUAGUUGACAGGCAAGUCAACAUGAGUAUACUAUUUAUUCAUAAAGAGGAGAUAACAAUGAAUAAUGAGCUAUAUUUAUCAAGGCAAAAAAUAAGUAGGCCCCUUGGAAAAAAACAUCAUAUACCAACCAAUUCAUAGCUAGAGUGAAUCAAAAAUGAUUUGCACUUAAGAUGGUAAUUAAUGGCUAAAUAACAAUAUCCUUAACCGUGUUGCCAAACUAGGCCUUAGUAGUUAAGUCUUAACGUGGUUUGCAUUCAUUUGAAAUUACACUUGUUUUUGCCUCCACUUGAUGGAGCCGACAGCUUCCGUUUACCUGAAACGAGUCUUCUUGUUUUGCGGUGCUCAUUUUUUUCUAAGUGCACUGCAGUACUUGUUCCUUUGUGCACCAUAAGUAAAACUAGCUAAUUUUAUGAAAAUGUAUCAUGUCACUAUCCGUGACUCUCUCUUUUUAAGUCCACAUUCUGUUGGUGGCUCGGUUAACUCCUAGGGUUUUAGCAGUUAUGUAUAAAAAACAUUCUGAUCCAGUAUUGCUUGUAGUGGUUUGUCCAAAAUGUUGAAUGAUACUGCUUGGAGAUGCAUAUAUUGUUUCACCUCUUCACAUGCCAAUGUAUUUUCCAUGUUGUGAUGAAGGCCUUUUUUGCCUUGUCCACCCGAGAGGCCCUUGACUUUGCUGGAAUGUCGAUUAACUUCAGUUCCAGCAAAUUCGGGUACUCCAUAUGUCCUAUUUUCAGCAAAGGUCAUGCUGAAAUUUUCCGUGAAUUUUAGCAUGACUUUGCUAAAAAUAGGACAUAUGGGGUACUUGUGACUAAUGCAUGGGCCGGGGUACUUGUGACUAAUGAUGAAAGCUUAGGCUUUUAGGGUGCCUCGUCAUCGAAAAACCCUCAAUGAUAAAAGCUUAGCUUUUAGGAUGCCUCGGUGUCAACAAACCCUAAAUGAUGAGACCAUGAUCUUGUUCCUUGACAAUAACCAACUUUUUGACCAAACUUUGUUCCUAUUUAGAGAGAAACAUGGCCAACAACGAUCAGGCCGGGGGUUCGGGCGGCAAGGCAUUCUGGGAGCUGUCCCAGGAGAUGGAGGAACAACCUCACUUGUAUGAGGACGCCGCCUUCCCCAUCGAUCCUGAGACCACUGAUGGUACCGCCGAGGAUGACCCCACUGAUGCCACCACUGAUGGUGCCGCCGAGGAUGCCAUCACUGAUGAUGGCGGCGCACGCAUAGAUGGCAGCCAACAGAAGAGACAACGGAAGGACCGGCGACCGACCGUGCUCCGCACCCUCAAGGAGGAAGUUACUGAAGUGGACUCCAACGGGAAUCCAACGGCGCCCGAACGAAUAGUCAAGGGGUACUCGCUUCAGCUCGGGUGCAUUCUCCGGAGCACCGUCUCGAUCAACACCGAGAACCUGAGGCAUCCCGACCGAGGGCAUUUGUGCAACCUCCUCUUCAUGAAGCUGCACGAACGAUACAAGUUCCCCGCUGAUUUUGAAAACACAAGCCUCAAAGGGAAUAAAGUGAACAAUGCUGCCCUCACGAAGAUGAGCAAGGCCCUGUCUACUUGGAAAAGCAAUGUGAAGAGAAUGAUCGAGAAAGGUGAGAGUUAUGAGAAGAUCAAGGAGAAAAAUCCUUCGAUCACCGAAGAUGACUACAACGACUUCAAGAUUAAUUGCUCGAGCACCGCAAACUCCCAAUCAAGUCAGUGGGGGAAAGAAAUGCGGGAGCUGAACUUAGGGGAACACAAACUCGGUCCCGGCGGUUACAGAGUGGUGGAGCCUAUAUGGGACAAGGAGGACGCGGAGCGUGCCGAGCAAGGCCUACCGCCCCGCUUCGAGAAAUACAGCAGUAACAAGCAGAUCAGGAACUAUGUCAGGGCCCGGUACAAGGAGGACCCGAUAACAAAGGAGCUUACCACGGAUCCGAAGACCAUGGCGCUUGAGCUUGUUCUGGUAAGGAAUACACCCCCGCAUAAUUAGCUCCAUAUGGUUGCAUUCUAAUUAAUGAAGCCAAAUUUCUAAAUGGUUCACAUUCCUUCCGCAGGCGACUGAAAGCAGUAGCGCGGGGUCGACUAAGAGCAACCCUUGGGACACCACUCUAAAUAGGGUGUUGAAUGUAAUGAACAACAAGGAUAAGCUCAGCAAGCCGAUGUCAGCUGGUCGUGUGGCCGGCAAAGGCUUGUCCAGAAAAUGGGGGUCAUACUAUACCGCUGUUGUGCGGAAGGAGAAAAAGACCAGCUCGGAAAGCCAGGUGCGCGAGGUUCAAGAACUCAAGGCACAUGUGGCGCGGAUUCUGGAGAUUGUCCAAGAGCAAGUGCAACAAAAACUCGGAGCGACGAUCACCGCCAUUGUGCCUACCUUGAUCCAGGGGUUGAGUGCGUGGAUUGCGGGUGGCCAACAGGGGCCGCCCCCGAUUCCUAGAUUCACGGCCAGCAACUCGCAGAAUGCGAUGGCGGGGCCAUUGUUGUCUCCGGCGGAGGCGGCAUUGGUGUCUCCGACGCCGGCACGGGAGCUUAAUGCACCCGGGUGUACGCCGGCCGGCACCUCUGCAGCAAGCGGCCCCUCUGUCAACUGCACGCCCGCCGUUGGCGGUGCCUCGACAUUAGCCGAGCUCGACGCCAUCAUCAGGGUAACUAAUUAAGCCUCUCUCGGCCGAGGACUUCAUCUCCUUGCCUUUGACUGGGCAUCCCUGACGCCCUACAUGUUUUCGCAGGGCGCCGCCGAUGUUCCGUGCACUCUCCUGCACUUCGUGAACAACGAGUUGGUCGAUGUCGCCAAGGGCAAAAUCGUUCAACCGGGCAACCCCUUGUUCCACGGUACCCAAAUGCCACCCAACUUGUUUAGGGUUGAACUGGUUCGGGUGCUGCUAGGCUGCGACGAGUUGUUACCUCCGAUUCGACCCGUCGGGGCCGACGAUGAUGACGUGAUGACCCUCAGCGCCUGCCUGAGCUGGCCCCUGCUUUGGCCGAAGAGCCAGAUUCGUUUGGGGGCGGGGGACACCACCCCAAAGACAACACCGCCAGUCGUGCCGGCGCCAAGUCGGCCCCAUGGCAAGACCGCCGCAACGGUGCCGGACAUCCCUAUGCCACUGGAUCCAAACAUUCAUAUGGCACAGGAUCAGAACGACGACGACGAUGAUACAUUUGGCAACGUCGAUCAGUACUUUGCCGAACAUGGGUACGAUGGCGACUUCAUGGGGGCUCCUUCUCAAGAACCCAACCCAACAAAAGACGUGCGCGAUCUAGCUGGCACCAUGGAGAAGCCAAGUUGCAACAGGCAUCGUCUUCCGUUCAGCUCUCAGGAGACGCCUCCAGCUGCCGACUUCACCGAGCCUCAAAUAGGCGAGGUGCAAAAUAUUAUCAGCCCAAACACACUCAAGAAGGCGGUCUGUUAGCAGAACUCAGUCCCAUUACAGGAGAAGAAGAAGGCACGCAAAAGAAAGACUAACAAGGGUGCGAGCCAGCCGGUACCUAGUACGAUCCGUGCUCAGGACGGGCCACCUUCACCUGAGGAUAUCUCGAGGAGGGUGCAUGUGGCGGGUAGGGCGAUGCUACCAACAAAUAUGCUCAAUGCUGCAACCGGUGCUAUAUGGAGUCUGCAUGACAGUGUUCUUUCUUUGGAGAAGCGGCGUCUUAGAGAGAAGGAUGUGGCAUACCCGGUUUUCGCGGCCAAGGCGCCAGAGGGCAAGGGCUUUGUGGAUAACUCCAUCGGGCGUACGAUCAUCCUGCAGUUUGAUGACAUCCACACUAUGAUGAACCUUCAUCCGCUGCACUACACCUUCGUUCGGCUAUUUUUGCUGAGUAUGGAGAUGCGGAUCAUUCGCGACAAGACCCCGGACAUCGUGAUAGUCGACCCCUUCUACAUGUGUGCCAAGAUCUUGGGCAGCGCUGGGGACUGGCAAGUCGCGAGUUCUUACCUCGAAGGCGUCAUUCUGGCAAACCAAGAUAAGGAUAACUUCCUCGUGCCUUACUUUCCUGAGUAAGUCCUCCCCUCAACCGGCCUGUAACAUAUGAAUUCUUAGAUUUCGAUCAUUUUUCUUUUAACAUUCCGUGUUUUCUGCAGUGACACACAUUGCACGCUCAUCCUCCUAAGCCCCAAAUAUUCCAUGGCCACGUAUUUCGACCCGGACCGUCAGUCGAACGUAGACUACACAAAUGUCAAGAAGGUUCUUGAUGAUGUUCUCCCUGGCUACGCCAAAUCUGGAGGCACCUUCACUAGGCCUAUUCGUAAGUACGGCAAGCAUGUGUUCUCCCACAAUACGACAUUCUGCUACGUCAAGCAGCCGCCUGGCGGUCAUAAGGGUGCCUACUACGCCAUCCAUCACAUGCGGGCGAUCGUACGGGACCAUCAUCAACUUCUGCUACCGAGUAAACUCAAAGAUUGGGCCGCGAGCAUGUCGGCAAUCCAGGACGCGGACAUCAAACAAGAAUUCUUUCGCAUCCAGUCGGAGUUUGCGGAAAUCAUCCAUCAAGAUGUCCUUCGUACCGCGGGGCAGUUCUUCCUCAAAAAUCAACCGUCCAACAGUGACAUCGACACAAUGCUACAAAUGCAGGCUGACAACGCCCGUUCUUUCAUGACUCCCACGAUAGACGGCGGCUUCAUCCACGCUCCGGUCCCUUGAGUCGAGUCGAAAGCAGUGAUGCUGUGUCUAGUUCUGAAACAUCGAUUGGCUCAUGUUGUAAUUAAACUUUAAUGAACUUGUAGUAUGUCUCUUUGGUUUCGAGAGUCGUUCAACUUAGAUGUAAUCGAUGCUAUUAAUGUCUUGCUUUUCUCUUCCGAUCGUUCUGUUGCAUACUUAUAUAUUGCUUAUGUAUUGUCUGUGAAUUGGUACUAACAUUUCGUUUGGCUAGUGCAUAGCGAUGCCGUCGUAUGUCGUGUACAAGGGUAAGGUUCCCGGAGUCUACGACGACUGGGAGGAGUGUCGGAGACAGGUUCACCGAUUCAGCGGUAACAGUUACAAAGGGUACACCACUAGGGCCGAGGCCGAAUCUAGAUACGCCCGCUAUCUAGCGGGAGAGGGGAGGGAGCGUUGGAGGAAUCGGAUGAAGACGAGUUUCAUCGUGAUGAUGCUCAUCGUGAUGACCGCAGCUCUCUUCUAUGUGAUGGUAGUUUAGAUGAUCGAUAUCGACUUGUAAUGUGAAGACAAACUCGCUACUCGCGGUCUCGAGACUUGUAAUAUAAUGUUCUAUCUUUGUUCGGUCUUUUCAAUUCGGAGACUAAUAUGAUGAAUUGUAUUCAGAGACUAAUCUUCUAUUGUAUUCGAUGAAUCUGUUGUUGAUGUGUGCUGUCUAUAUUUUGUCCAAUUAUACAUUUUGUAACCUGUGCAAAAAACAGAAAAUAAAAAAAGUAAAAAAACCUAAUAUUCAUACUAAUGGCGCAUCACAUCAUAGUGCGCCAUUAGUAUGCCAAAGGAUACUAAUGGCGCAUCAUUAAACAGUGCGCCAUUAGUAUGCCGAAGUUACUAAUGGCGCAUCUUGCUGUUGUGCGCCAUUAGUAUGCCAAAGCACCUGGGUAUACAUGGCCCCCUGGGUAUACUAAUGGCGCACCAGUGGUGCGCCAUUAGUAAAAUAUACUAAUGGCGUGGCACUAAUGGCGCACCACUAAUGCGCCAUUAAUGGCCAAAUUAGGUGCGCCAUUAGUAGGCCUUUUCCUAGUAGUGUCAGGCUGUUUAGAAACCUGGGAUAACUCAGACAGCAUAACGGCUAUAAAUGCUCGAAAAGGGAUUUGAGACAUCCUACAAAAUGGUGGCAUAACCACUUGAACAUCAUAACAACAAGGUUUUGAGAUCAACUAUGAAUACAUGGAGAUAGUAGAAACUGAACCGAGGCUUGGAUCCAACAAUCCUAUAAGUCUACGGAUUAGUAACACAUGAUCCUGAUAGAAAGAUGAGAAGCCUAGUUUUUAAUCCCCGUAGAAGAAAAGAGGUUGACUCAGAUCAGAAGGGCAUGAGGUAAAGGAGUAAAAAGAGCCUUACGUUCCAUCCCACAAUCAAUUCCCUUAUAUAACUAAAGAAUUUCUAGACUCAACUUCGACCAGUUUGGCUUGGUAAUCCAACAGGCAGUCAAACUUUGAUACCAAAGCUGUCAGGACCUCGACUCAAUGCCACAUCGAUCUAGCAUGUAACACCUCAUAUCACUUUGCGGCCUCACGCACGGUAUCCCCACGGGUGUCGCCUUACUUUUGCCCGGGACCGUUUGCGCCUUUUGGCACACGUAUAUGAUAGUGUCGCUAGCAUCCAUAUGAUAAGGAGCCCGGUCUGACAUGGCUAGUCGUAAACCCAAAGUGGCACAAACUUAUAGGGACAGGCAUCCAUGACCCAGCAUUGAACGUGUCGGUCAUCAGCGAGUGAAUCCAGGCUGUAGCACUGGGCUGGUAGGACUCCAGUGAACCGGGCUGCAGCGGGCUAACAGGACUCCGGUAUUCAUCGCGUGACAUUUCCUCGAAGGGACAGACACAGGAACGAAGAAGGACACAUGCCGGCCAGCCUAAGUGUUCCGGAGCAGUAGCAAGCUACCAUGGCUCAGUGGAAGCACUAGGAGACAUUUCCCGGUAAGAGAGGCUACUAAGGAUAAACAACUAGAUAGUCAGAUCCCACACAUACCAAGCAUUUCAAUAACAUACACACAAUAUGCUCGAUAUGUGCAAAUACAACAUGACAUCACAACAUGACUCUACAACUCAAGUAUUUAUUCAAUAGGCUCCGAGGAGCGAGAUAUUACAGACAUGGGUCCCUCGACCCAGCAUUCAGAGCAUACAAGUCAAAGCACAAGCGGAAGCUUAACAUGUCUGAGUACAGACAUCUACAAAUGAAAAAGGCUAAGAAGCCUGACUAUCUACUAGAUCCUGCCGAGGGCACAAGAUCGUAGCUGAGGUAACAAGCUAAACGUCGAAGUCCACGUGGAAUUACUAGUGAGACGGAAGUCUCUCUGCAAAAACAUAAAAUAGGCAAACGUGAGUACAAAUGUACCCAGCAAGACUUACAUCAGAACUAUCUACAUAUGCAUCAUUAUCAACAAAGUGGGGUGGUGGAGUUUGACUGCAGCAAGCCAGCUUUGACUCAGUGGCUAUCCUGUACUACGACUGCAAGUAACUCUUUUGAGGUGGCGCACACGAGUCCACAUAUUCACCAUAUCAAUACACCACUAUGGAUCCACUCCCGUCUCCCUACGAGAACGCCAUCCAUAGCACUCACGCUUAUCUUGCACAUUUUAGAGUAUCCACUUUCACUUGUCUAUGAACUAUACAGGCAACCCAGAAGUCCUUUACCGCGGACACAGCUAUUCGAAUAGAUCAUAUUAACCCUGCAGGGAUGUACUUCUUCACACACGCUCUCGCCACUUACCGCCAUGUACACCUCGUGUAUCUCGGCAACCUUCAAGCGGAAGCCUGGCGAGGGAGUCGGCCACGACCUGACUAACCACACAAGUCUCUCGUCCAGGUUUAUCGCCUAUUCGGGUUCCAUCCGCAAGGAGAUCCGGCCGGGGUGUCGCUCACGGCCCCAAAUGAUGUGAGCAGGGUUCCCAAGCCCACCUCGACGGGUGGAUCUACGCUUGGUACACCGUGCCACGGUGCCUAGUCUGUCCCAAGCCCACCUGUACCGGGUGCCACUUGGUAGACUACUAACACUACCUACAAACACCAGAAACUAGUUGCAACUCCUAGACAGAGAUCAAGUUGAUUAAUAAGUCGAGAGAGCUUGGAGUGCCCGGAGCCCAAUGCGUGGUAGUAACUGUUCAUGGAUCACAAACACGGAACUCAGUUCCUAAGGACGGCUUCAAUGAGACAACCCACCAUGUACUCCUACAUGGCCUCUCACCGCUACCUUUACCAAAUCAUGUUCACACACUUAGCUCUCAACAGUAGGACAUGUUCACACACCUCCAAUUCGUCCCCGAUGAAUCAGACCUGACACAACUCUAAGCAAUAGCAGGCAUGACAAACAAGCAUGAAUGAGUAGGCACAUCAGGGCUCAAACAACUCCUACGCAUGCUAGUGGGUUUAAUCUAUUUACUGUGGCAAUGACAGGUCAUGCAGAGGAUAAAGGGGUUCAACUACCGCAGCAAGUAACAGUUGUAUCGUUGUUGUCCUAAUGCGGUAAAAGAGAGCAGGAGCGAGAGAGUGGGAUUGUAUCGGAAUGAACAAGGGGAUUUUGCUUGCCUGACACUUCUGAAGAUUAGCUCUUCAUCGGUGUCAUUGAACUCAUCGUCGAAACCACGUCUAUCAAGAGGGGACAAGCACCGGCAAACAAGGAAGAACACAAUCAAUGCAAUGCACAAUAUGAUGCAUGAUCAUGACAUGGCAAUAUGCUGUGGUUUGAGAUAAUGCAACUAGCAGCAAGUUAAAUGGAGUUGGUUUGAAUCUAAGAUUCAAAUUCAAACUCCAUAUAUGACAUUUCAAAUGCCAUUAAUUAAAAUUGUUGUAUACAGCAGAUUUAAGUUGUUCAAACAUGCAUGAUAAUGCCAUAAACAGAUUUUUUGGAUUUUUCUGAUCAUUUUUCAUAUAUAAUUUAUUUCAUUUGGAGUUAUGGUUGAAUUUCUAUGAUUCUUAGAAGUUUUGGACAUUUUCUGGAAUUCCUUAAUAAGAUUAAAUCCAGAAAAUCAAUUACCACGUCAGCAUUGCAUCAUGCUGACCUCAACAGGUCAACAGACACGGUCCAGGUCAAACCUGACACGUGGGCCCACCGGUCAGUGAGCCAGUGCUGCCUAGUGUCACAGACAGGUGGGUCCGGUCAAAGGCCACGUCAGCAUGGUCAAUGCUGACGCGUGGGUCCACUGGAAUUAGACUAAUUCUAACUAAUUUCUUUCGCCGGUUAAUUAAACAUGUAGGGCCCGGCUGUCUGUGGGUCAGGGGUGGUUAACAAGAUGGUUAGGCAGCUAAUGACGGGUUAGCCGGCGACUAAUCGCCGGCGCUAAGUAGUGCACGGCGGCGAUCGCCGGCCGGCUGUUUCCGGCCACGGCUGCUUGCGCGGCUGGGCGCGUUGGGGAGCUGCUACUGUGGGGCAUCAGAUGGUGGAAGUGGCAUGUGCUGGGGCGGCCGGAGACGACCGCGGCAUCGACCACGACGGUGGCUGAAGCUCGGUCUGGUGCGGGCGCGGGGCUGCAGGGCGGUAGGGAAGGAUCUGGUGGCCUAGAUGGCACCGACGGGCCACCAGAAGCACUCUGGUGCCACGGGUUCGGGCGGAGGGGCUCGGGGCAAGGGAGCUAGGCGGCCAUGGCGGACGGCGGUGCUCGGGCACGCGGGCGGGGGUGGUGUGGCACAGGAACAAGAAAAGCAAAGGAGGGGAAAUGGGAAGGAGCUCACAGUGAACUCGAUGGCAUAGUCGAUGAGGUCGGGGACGCACUGGAGCCCGCGAACCCACGGCGAGGUUGCCGGCGGCCGAACAUUGAAGAUGAGGACGGGGACGACGCUGCAGGGCUCUUCCGCUCGCAUGGCUUGGUGGAUACAGCGUAGAGGUCGACAGCGGGGCUUCUUGGCGUGUCGGGGAGGCGUGCGGAGGCCGGUGGCCGUGGUGGUGCUCGUCGGUGCGCCGUGAGGCGCUCAGUGGUGAGAGGGAGAGAGAGCAGAGGAGGGGAGAGGGUGCAGCGAGUGAGGGAGAGGAGCGAGGGGACACGGGGCAUCGUCAUGGCGUCGCUAGGAGGGGCCGGGGAAGUAGGAGGUGGCCGGGGCAGCGUCGGUGCUUGCCACGCACCUGUUUGUCCUCCUGGCAGAGGAGGAAGAAGACGGUGCUGCCCCUUUGGGCUGGGCUGCUACGGUGCUGGGCCAGGUGGGCUGCAGGUAAGUCCAGGUGAGUUGCUCUCUCUCUCUUUUAUUGAUGUUUUUCUAUUUCUGUUAUUUGUUUUGAUUUGAUUUAGAACAUCCAAUCAUUUUUAUAAACUUUCUGUAAAUUGUUAUGUGAGCUCAGGUCUAGCCCAAGUCACAUGCAACUUACAAAAAUGUUUGAGCUUUAUUUCUUAUAUAAUAGAAAUAAAUCCAACUCAAAUAUGUCAUUGAUUUAAUUCAAAUUGCCCAAAAUAAAUAUUUCAGUCACUCCAAAAAUAUUGGUUCGCAUUUUAACUCAUGCCAAUAUUUUCACAGAAUAACAGGAACAUUUUCUUGGACUCAUUUGAUGAGAUUUAAAUGUUGGUUACUUUUAGAGGUCUUCUGAGGCUUUUGAAAAUCCCUCAAUUCAAAUUUCAUUAGAAUUUAGACAUGAUGCUCACAUGAAGGGGUAGCCUAGUGCAUACCAGAACUAGGGAUGUGACAGUGAGUCUCAUAUAUUGUGCUUCAAAGUAGCACCUUGUUCUUCAUGUAGUGAGUCUCAUAUAUUGUGCUUCAAAGUAGCACCUUGUUCCUCAUGUAGUGAGUCUCAUAAGUUGUCUUUUCAUACUAGUGGGAAUUUUUCAUUAUAGAACUUGGCUUGUAUAUUCCUACGAUGGGUUUCCUCAAAUGCCCUAGGUCUUCGUGAGCAAGCAAGUUGGAUGCACACCCACUAGUUUUCUUUUGUUGAGCAUUCAUAGCUCUAGUGCAUCCGUUGCAUGGCAAUCCCUACUCCUCAUGUUGACAUCAAUUGAUGGGCAUCUCCAUAGCCCGUUGAUUAGCCUCGUCAACGUGAGACUUCCUCCUUUUUGUCUUCUCCACACAAUCCCCAUCAUCAUAUUCUAUUCCACCCAUAGUGCUAUAUCCAUGGCCCACGCUCAUGUAUUGCGUGAAGGUUGAAAAAGUUUGAGAUUAUUUAAGUAUGAAACAAUUGCUUGGCUUGUCAUCGGGGGUAUAGAAGUUGGGAACAUCUUUGUGUGACGAAAAUGAAGCAUAGCCUAACUAUAUGAUUUUGUAGGGAUGAACUUUCUUUUGCCAUGUUAUUUUGAGAAGACAUGAUUGCUUUGAUUAGUAUGCUUGAAGUAUUAUUAUUUCUUUGUCAAUAUGAACUUUUGUCUUGAAUCUUUCGGAUCUGAAUAUUCAUAUCACAAUUAAGAAGAUUUACAUUAAAAUUAUGCCAAAGUAUAACUCCGCAUCAAAAAUUCUUUUUUAUCAUUUACCUACUCGAGGACGAGCAGGAAUUAAGCUUGGGGAUGCUUGAUACGUCUCCAACGUAUCUAUAAUUUUUGAUUGCUCCAUGCUACUUUUAUCUUCUGUUUUAGGCAAUAUUGGGCUUUAUUAUCCACUUUUUUAUUAUUUUUGGGACUAACCUAUUAACCGGAGGCCCAGCCCAGAUUUGCUGUUUUAUGCCUAUUUCAGUGUUUCGAGGAAAAGGAAUAUCAGACGGAGUCAAAACGGAACGAAAUCAACUGGAGAAGUUAUUUUUGGAAGGAAACCCACCUGAUGGACUUGGACCCCAUGUCAGAAGAUAUGGGAGGUGCUCACGAGGGUGGGGGGCGCGCCCUCCCCCCUGGGAGCGCCCCCUGCCUCGUGGGGCCCCCGUAGCUCCACCGACGUUCUCCCUGCACCCAUAUAUACCUACGUACCCUAAAACUUCCAGAACAGAAAAUAGACCGGGAGUUCCGCUGUCGCAAGCCUCUGUAGCCACCAAAAACCAAUCGGGACCCUGUUCCGGCACCCUGCCGGAGGGGGAUCCCAUUACCGGAGGCCAUCUUCAUCAUCCCGACGCUAUCCAUGAUGAGGAGGGAGUAGUUCACCCUCGGGGCUGAGGGUAUGUACCAGUAGCUAUGUGUUUGAUCUCUCUCUCUCUCGUGUUCCUCUAUGGCACGAUCUUGAUGUAUCCCGAGCUUUGCUAUUGUAGUUGGAUUUUAUGAUGUUUCUCCCCCUCUACUCUCUUGUGAUGAAUUGAUUUUCCCCUUUGAAGUUAUUUUAUCGGAUUGAGUCUUUUAUGAACACUUGAUGUAUGUCUUGCGUGGGAUAACCGUGGUGACAAUGGGUUAUUCUAUUGAUCCACUUGAUGUAUGUUUUGGUGAUCAACUUGCGGGUUUCGUGACACUUGGGAACCUAUGCAUAGGGGUUGGCACACGUUCUUGACUCUCCGGUAGUAGCUUUGGGGCACUCUUUGAAGUACUUUUAUGUUGGUUGGAUGAAUCUGAGAUUGUGUGAUGCAUAGCGUAUAAUCAUGCCCACGGAUACUUGAGGUGACAAUGGAGUAUCUAGGUGACAUUAGGGUUUUGGUUGAUUUGUAUCCUAAGGUGUUAUUCUAGUACGAACUCUUUUAUAGAUCGAUCCGAAAGAAUAACUUUGUGGUGGUUUCGUACCCGACCAUAAUCUCUACGUUUUGCAAUAAUAUUCACAAGUAUAUGGGAUAUUAUAUUGAUUAUAUCAUGUGCAACUUUUCAUAUAUGAAACCAAUGAAACAAGAUACUUUUGCCGUCGUAAAGAUUUGAGUAGCCUAUUAAUAGAUGUACUUGAGGACAACCACUUAUAAUAGAUGGUAUGCUAGUACAAUUUUCAAAUAUUUACGCACUAGUUAAAGGUGUCAAUCUCUUGAAAUUUGACCGCAGUGGCUCUAAAAGGAUGCCUAAAGCAGGCGCGGGAAAGGAGGGUGAUGAGACAGUUUUCCUGAAGUGUCGCAAACUUGCGAUUGUCCUCAGCUAGACUGCUAGAGAUUCUCGUCACCAUCAGACAUCGGGGGAGUGAUUUCCUUGUACCGUGCGUGCAAUGCGGUCGGUCGAUUAUAUGGUGCGCGACAUAUAUCUAGCUGGUCCUAGCAUGCAAUAUGCAGGCGGUUAUUUAAACAGUUUUAUUUAAUUGGCCUGCGUUUCUGUGAGAUUGUUCUCCCCUAUUAGUGUCUUUGGAGUGACUCUUUGUCGCAUGUUGAGGGCUUGUCAUAUGUUCUAUCUAUGUUAUUAUUGUUGAGAGAACUUGCACUAGUGAAAGUAUGAACCCUAGGCCUUGUUUCCUAUCAUUGCAAUACCGUUUACGCUCACUUUUAUCGCUCGUUACCUUGCUGUAUUUAUUAUUUCAGAUUACAAAAACCUAUAUCUACUAUCUAUUUUGCACUUGUAUCUUCAUCUCUUCACUGAACUAGUGCACCUAUACAAUUUACCAUUGUAUUGGGUGUGUUGGGGACACAAGAGACUUUUUGUUAUUUGGUUGCAGGGUUGCUUGAGAGAGACCAUCUUCAUCCUACGCCUCCUACGGAUUGAUAAACCUUAGGUCAUCCACUUGAGGGUAAUUUGCUAAUGUCCUACAAACCUGUGCACUUGCAGGCCCAACAACGUCUACAAGAAGAAGGUUGUGUAGUAGACAUCAAUGCAUCUCAGCGACUCACAUGUCAGAGGCAAUAUUUACUUCACAACUAAAGAAUAAAGAAAAAAAUUGAUCGACGCUGCUGACAGCAAAGGGCGUCCCAUUCGAAAAUAUCAAAUGCAUGUCUUGCUAAAUUCAAUGAGCAAAAUUUGACAAGGUUGUCCCAUUCCAAAAUAUCAAAUGCCUACGAUUGUGGAAUGGGCAGGGUUUGCCAUCAGUUCGGAUAUUGACAUGGCACCUCGUGCUAAAUAAACCAGCUGUUCUUUUUGUGCAGUUCCACCAAAAUCAACCAAAUUCACGUGUAGCUUGUAUGAUUUCGCCCUUAUAUGUUGCAACUCCUUGAACUUAUCGGCACCUCCUUUCUUGUGGUGGAAAUGAAUGAUUCGAUGUAUUCACGAACAUUUUGUGCAGUUCCCAUUGAAAUCAAGCUGAGCACCCCUGUUUGCACAAAUACAAAAAAGUGAUUAGUAUAAAGCAAACUGUACUAUGAAUUGACAGUUUCAACAGGCACAUACAUGGUCCAUGUAGAGCACACUUUUAGAAAAAUGGAACUCACCAGAAAGAAUCCUAGAACAACAUUGUACUCGCGCAUCACAACAAAAAAAUGGAGAUUUGUCAGUCCUUCUGAGCUGAAGUUAGUUAGGUCUUGUGGGGAGUAAUGUAACCAUCCUUCAACUACUCCUUCUGAUGAGAAGAUAGACAGGGCUUCUUCAUCCUGGCAUAAUCGGAACUAGUCACUUCACGUAUUCCAUAUUCUUCUUCAGAGGAAGAUGAUCCUAUUGUGCAAAGACAAGAGGGCUACAAAAUGCUAGCAUCCCUGUUUGCUCGAAAAAAGGAAAGGAAAUAUUUAAAACAACACAGAUGAAGCACUUCUCAAGGACAAUACCACCUUUUAAUGACAGUAUCUAAACAGUAGCACAACACCAAUAGAGAUGACAAAGCUCAAUCAUAUGGAUGAAAUCAGUGGGCGAGUACCAACGUUUGUUAGGAGGCUUAUUGUGUAGAGCAUACAGAUGAAGCACUUCUCCGAAACCAUCUGUUGCUAUCUACGGUGGUGGCCAUGCUUACUAUAUACCCCUUGAUUAGUUUAAUGUUUCCAACAUCUUCUUGUGCAGUUCCACUAAAAUAUAUGGUAUCUUCAAAGAAGAUCCCUGUUUGCACAAGUAGAGAUAAUUACGUAUUACAUUAAGAGUGGCAUCAAAUCAAUGGCAAAACAAUUGGUCGUUCCAGCCAUAGCAAUAAAUUAAGAUGCAAAACUAUAUCAUUACUUGUGUCAUUAUAGUUCCAGUGCUUCAUUACAACACCGGGAGUUGAUUUUUGUUUUUCUUCUGCUUGUUCUUCCCCUUCAUCACUUGGUUCAAUAACAGACAAGCUUCGCCUUCAAUGUAAGAUUUGGCAUGUCAAUUAGGGAGCACAAGUAUAGUACUAAACUUAAUUUUCUGAUGAAAGUGGCAAAAUACAGGCCAAUAGUUGUGAAAUAUCCUAAUCUUACCUCAAUGGGAUAUUACGGUGCACAUACAGAUUGGAAGUCUUGUCUCCAUUUGUGCAGUUCACUAAAAUCAAGCAACAUUAUCGUACAAGUAGCACAACAUAUGAAAGCACACUGCAGAAUCAUGUGAAAGAAGGCUAGUACUGACCUCUCAUGAUGCGGAAUUCAAACAACUCACAAGAAGAAGAUCUGAACCAAAUUCGCCUUAACGGAUAGGAAGUAAGAUCUCCUCUUGUGCAGUUCCACUAAGAUCAAGCAAUCAAGCAACAGUGUCGGUGUGACAUUUUGGUUGAACUGCACAAAAGACUCUUAAAACAAAAGUGUUUUGUGCAGUGCAACAAAAGGUCACAAUGGCAACGAGGUGAAGUAGAUAACCUUGUUUACAAAGAGGUGCAAAGGAAACAAUUAGUGGUCAAUAACGGUGGAUGACAUAGAAGCCAACAAAAAGAAGCAUCUACCUUAUCUAAAUGGGAAAGAAAGCAAGACAGCAGCAUUUCUCAAACGGUGGCGUUGAUUAAUAUUAACAUAGAGAUUAUAUUAACAAUAAAAUUCGUUAAACAUGUAAUUUGCUUUUAACUGUGGCAUUGCAUCUAUUUUCCAGCGGCAUUAUUAGAGGGUGUUUGUUUACAGGGACAUUUUGGUGUAGGGACUAAAAAAACUCCGUGUCAGUCCCAUCUAAACCAAACUGGGGGGACUUUUAGGGACUAAAAGUGGGCAUUUGGGACUAAAGAAAGAAGACCCCGAGGGAGUGUUUUUGGGACUUUUUCCAAUAGUUGCCCCUGCCACGAAUCGGACCUUGUCUCUAUUAGUUCAUUAGUAGGGGUAACAUGGUAUUUUAGCAUGUCAUUUAAUAACCUCUAGUCCAUGUUUAGUCCCUGGAACCAAGCAGGUAGGGACUAGGGAGUUUUUAACGAAACAGGGCCUUAGAUUAACAACAACUAAUGAGUUGCACGGGACAGUGGACGCACCAGCACCAUGUGCAUCUACCGAUGUACUGUGGUCAUGCACAGUCUGUUGCAACAAAGAACAAACAACUAAGGAGCAUAUUUGUGUUGGUCCCAGUUUUGUUAUCUUUAGACACCUUUCCCUAUGUGAGCGCGGCAAAUCUAGUCAUGCUCAAACUCUACAGCCUUGUCCCUUCCUUUCCUUUUUGAACUAGUACUUUCGCCCCUUCCUUUCCUCUUUGAACCACGUCCUAGAUUUAUGCGAUACAACUUUCCCCACUACUUUCCCCAUUCCUUUCCUCUUUGAACCACGUCCUAGAUUCAUGCUAUACAAAUUUCACCCUUCAUUUCCUCUUUCAACCAUGUUCUAGAUUCAUGCUAUAUACAACUUUUCCCACUACUUUCCCCCACUCCUUUCCUCUUUGAACCACGUCCUAGAUUCAUGGUAUACAUGCAGCUAGAGUAAUGCAUGUGGAGUAAGUAAAUUAUACCUUGUUCGGUGGGCGACGGGACGACGGCAAAGAAGAAGGGGUCGGAGGCCCUCCCACGCCGCCGCUGGGUGGAAAUUUAAUAGUUGCGCCGGUAGUGGAUUCCCUCCCUCGCCGACGGUGACAGCGUUAAGCCUCCUUCCCUUCCCGGCGGACGGAUCCUGCCGGCUCUUUGAGCAGCAGUGAGGGGAGAGAGAGGCCAACGAAGUCUUGUUUAGAUCUGGAGAGGGCGAGAGUGUGAAGAGAGCAACUACAAGCGCUGAGGCUCCAGCGUAUAUAUAUAUACUGGAGAGAGAGUGUGAAGCGUGCAAACCCUAGAAAACAAGUGCCGAGGCUACAACUUAUACGUGAUGAGGUGAUUAUACGGUCACUACGAGAUCGUAUAGCUCCGUAUGCAUCUAUUUUGACCAGUCAAAGAAUCCUCCUGGCAUAAAUUAUGCUCAUGUGUAGUUAUCGAACCCGAGACCUCAAGUUUGAUGAGCGAACAGGCUAACCAGCUACACAACCCUCCCGUUAUGUUCGACGAGAGGAAAAUAACCUUUUAUACAUUCCUGCAUUCGUGUGACAAGCAUGCCGUGUUUUUGUGUGUGUGUGUGGGAGUCAUUGGGAUUUCAAUCAUAAUCGUGUCAUGUGGCUUUGGUGGUAAGACUAUGCACAGUGGUGCAGAAAUAAUGCAGCCUUAGUCACAUUACCUCUCUCCACAUAGUACGUUGGGUCCCACCAGUCAGAGGGUGAAACAAACAAAUUAAUAAGAAAAAAUAAAAGCGCCAGCGGUGUAUCUUACCUCACACAUCUCGCUACUACUCGGGAACACUGGAAAGUUAACAGUUGCGCCGGUAGUGGAUUCCCUCCCUCGCUGACGGUGACAGCGUUAAGCCUCCUUCCCUUCCCGGCGGACGGAUCCUGCCGGCUCUUUGAGCAGCAGUGAGGGGAGAGAGAGGCCAACGAAGUCUUGUUUAGAUCUGGAGAGGGCGAGAGUGUGAAGAGAGCAACUACAAGCGCUGAGGCUCCAGCGUAUAUAUAUAUAUAUACUGGAGAGAGAGUGUGAAGCAUGCAAACCCUAGAAAACAAGUGCCGAGGCUACAACUUAUACGUGAUGAGGUGAUUAUACGGUCACUACGAGAUCGUAUAGCUCCGUAUGCAUCUAUUUUGACCAGUCAAAGAAUCCUCCUGGGACAAAUUAUGCUCAAGUGUAGUUAUCGAACCCGAGACCUCAAGUUUGAUGAGCGAACAGGCUAACCAGCUACACAACCCUCCCGUUAUGUUCGACGAGAGGAAAAUAACCUUUUAUACAUUCCUGCAUUCGUGUGACAAGCAUGCCGUGUUUUUGUGUGUGUGUGUGUGGGAGUCAUUGGGAUUUCAAUCAUAAUUGUGUCAUGUGGCUUUGGUGGUAAGACUAUCCACAGUGGUGCAGAAAUAAUGCAGCCUUAGUCACAUUACCUCUCUCCACGUAGUACGUUGGGUCCCACCAGUCAGAGGGUGAAACAAACAAAUUAAUAAGAAAAAAUAAAAGCGCCAGCGGUGUAUCUUACCUCACACAUCUCGCUACUACUCGGGAUCACUGUCCAAUUGAUCCCUCUGUUCGCUCACGUACUAUUUUAAGUGAAUCCUUAUUAUAACAUGCACACAAAUUUUGGGCAGUUGUAUUCGACUUAAGUCAGUGUGCCACCGUAUCUCGUAUACUUACUACUCCCUCCGUCUAGGUGUAAUAAGUCACGUUAGAAGGUGCAACGGGACCAAGGUGCGUGCAUGUGCGUGUGUGUGUUUAACAUCAUGUGUGUGUUAGAGAGAGCGACAGAUCGACCUACUCCUACAGAGAGAUGGUGUGUAGUGUACGAUUUUAGCCACGAGAGUCGGUGCAUCCUCUUGUUUAUGGGUGUGUCCGGUAGGGACAUGCGGACAGCUGCCACGCCCGCUCCUGACCAGCCUGGCCCACCCAAAGCCCCUCCAUCGCCCAUGCGCGCUUCCCACCUGAAACGGUUAGCACCGCUCCAAAGAAUCGGUGCCGCAUUCUUGCCCGGGCAGAGCGGAUGCGACCUCUCACUGGCGCAAGAGUGAUGGUUGCUUCAUCCGUCCAACUUACUGCUGGGUCUAUGUGAUUUGACAGCUCAUUGGUCUUUAUUACUGAGGUGGUAGGACUGCUGGAUGUCCCACGCUUUCGGCAAAAGGAGGUACUACUACUACUAGAUUACAUUUUCUCCAUUCUUACAGCGGAGGAGUGCAAGAGCAGUGAAAACACGCAUGCUCAGUGAUUACAUGGCCCACCUCACACUAUCACCGUGCGACACCUAACUCUUUACAUAAUACUCCCUUCGUUCCUAAAUAUUAGUAGAUGAGUCCCACACGUUGCCGCGGAACAGCGGUAUAUCUCUCUGCGCAAAAUUAUUGAUUUCAUAGAACUAAAAAAAACUCUAUAACCGCAUGAAAAAUGUGGUAGCCAAACUAAAUAAACUCCCAUCAUCAUUUAGAUCAUCCCACGUAAGGAAAAAAGAUCAGCCAACUCCUACUGCAUAAUGGGAUUAUAUUUUCUUUUGACAUGUUAAUGGGACUUAAAAGCUCACUUACAUGCAUGCUACCGGUGCAUGCUUGCAUGCAGACAUGUUGAUGUGAUUUAAAACCCACUCACAUGCAUGUGCCACGGUAUUUCUGCAUGCUUGCAUGUGGCUUAGUGCGGAGCCUCUCAACGUCUAGACCAGACGACUAUUAUGGACUGAUUUACUACAUCUAACGGCUACAUCAAUUUUAAUGAUGUGGCUCAAGGAGAGGAUAGAGAAUUCCUAGUAGUGGGGGCUAGCUAUUACUAGUAGAUAAGUCUUUGUAGAGAUUCCACUAGGUGAACUACAUAUGGAACAAAAUGAAUGAAUCUACACUUAAAAUGCAUCUAUAUACAUCCGCAUGUGGUUCAUGGUGAAAUCUCUACAAAGACUUAUAUUUAGGAACGGAGGACGUACUAGUAUAGUACGUACUGUAAUUUAUCAGCGAGAUAAAUUUGUACAAUGCUAUGAAGCUUCCAGCUUCUGUUACAUGUAUCUUGCGUCCAAGGUUGCCCGUUGCAACAUUUCAUCAAAUACAAAGAAGACUAACAUGCAUGCUAUUGCAUCUCAAUGAUUGACAGAUCAUAGCAAAUAUGUACUCCCUGCGUUCCAAAAUAAGUGUCUCAACUUUGUGCAAACUUUAGUACAAAGUUGUACUACUACUAAAGUUGACACUUAUUUUGGAAUAGAGGCAGCUAGCCUUUGAACCGUGAACCCUGACCAGGCUUCAAUUUGCUGGCAACGUUCAAGCUUCCUAAUAAAUGAAGUUUGCAACCUUUUGACCAUCGGAUCAUUUUGUGCAGUUUCACCAAAAUCGAGAUGAGCAUCCCUGUUGCAAAGAAAUUGAAGAAGCAUGAUUAGAAUAAGAUUACUGAGACUAGUUGAUGAGACAUAAACUCAUCACAAAUAUAGUACAUAGAAGCUAAUAGAGGUACGUGCGGGGCAAAGAAGUAGAGAAAUAUCCACAGGGAGUGAUGUGGGCUACUGGAGCAGUGGUGCAAGCCGGCUGUAAAGGGAAUUUUACCUGAGGGAUGUAGCUCAACCUUGAGGAGGGCGGCGGGAGGCGGCAACUGCCCAUGUCGCGGUAGUGAGCAAGGGACGAGGGCAACCUCACCGCUUUGUGGGAGAGAACAGUGGGGACCCCUGAUCGGGAUGUGCCGACAGUGGGUUUUCACCGUCGGCGACGGCCACCGCAUCUACACUAAGCAUCCACCCCUUCCCCAAGCGGACGUGAUCCGCCGGGAUGUUAGAGAUGUGGCCACAGUCGUUUUGUGCGAGAGAGUGUGAAGAGAGCAACCCCAGCAAGCAACCGUGUAGGCUGGCCCGUCCUGACUAUGUAUAUAGUGGAGCGGUUUCCUUUUCUCUCCAUAUGAACCUAUCAUAUUGCGUAUGUGCCACUGAAGAAAAAAAAACUUUAUUUAUAAAUGACGCGGCACCUACUACUCGUUCUCCUAUAACCUUGUGCUUGGCAUCUCCAAAAUAUUAACCUUGCGAUUGGCUCUUCGCCUCUUCGGGAAGUCGAGCAAUAAUGGUAGUGCAGUAUAUAUCGUUCUGGCUAUAUGAGACCGAAUGAAUUGCUGCACGUCCACCACGUGGGCGAGGGUCGAGGGGCGAGGGAGAGUGCUACAUACGGAGCAAAAUGAGUGAAUCUACACUCUAAAAUACGUCUAUAUACAUCAGUGUUUUGAGUAUGUACUAGUAGUUCAUAUUGAAAUCUACUAAAGGACAUAUAUAUUCUAAACAAUAUGAUAUAAUCUCUAUAACCAAGGUAGUAGGGACGAGGAGUAAACAGAGAGAGUAGUAAAUUUUUCUCCUCGUCCUGCGAGCCACCGCGUGCAUGGGCGAGGGAGCGGGCGUAAGGCGGAGCAAGCUUCACCUCAUCCUGCGAGCCACUGCGCCCGUGGGCGGGGGAGACGGUGUACUAAGCAAUCUUCUGCUCGUUCUGCGAGUUGACGGGACACAUCAAAAGUACUCCAGUGUAUAGAGCCUUGCCUCUAAGGUAGGCCCCACAUGGUUUGCCUCUUUUUUUAACAUAACACGUCAAGUCACAAUUUGUUUGUUCACCCGUGGUAGAAGAUCCUCCCUCCACCAACUGGACAACCAGUACACGUGCCAAAUUACCACAUGGGCUGCCUUUUGAGUACAGAAAUGAGCUCCACUGUGUACCUGCGCGAGUGUGGUUGGGAAAGAGACGGAGUACGUGCGCCGUGCAUGCACCUCUUCUCUUCGUGCACGUCCCCCACCUACGUGGGUGUGUGUGAGAGAUACAAACCGCNNNNNNNNNNNNNNNNNNNNNNNNNNNNNNNNNNNNNNNNNNNNNNNNNNNNNNNNNNNNNNNNNNNNNNNNNNNNNNNNNNNNNNNNNNNNNNNNNNNNNNNNNNNNNNNNNNNNNNNNNNNNNNNNNNNNNNNNNNNNNNNNNNNNNNNNNNNNNNNNNNNNNNNNNNNNNNNNNNNNNNNNNNNNNNNNNNNNNNNNNNNNNNNNNNNNNNNNNNNNNNNNNNNNNNNNNNNNNNNNNNNNNNNNNNNNNNNNNNNNNNNNNNNNNNNNNNNNNNNNNNNGAACGACUCGUAUAUGUGUUGAGAAGGAGAGACCCAGCUAUGUCUUGAGGGAUAUCGGUCGACAUCCAUACAUAACUGAAGGACGGGAAAUAUGAUGGGACAGAGAGAGAGAGAGAGAGAGGAGAGAGGGAAGGAGGGAGAGGGAGGGAGAGGGGUAGAGUGCUGGAUGGGUGAUGGAGUUGCUUCUCGGAGAUGGUGGGAAAGGCCUACUAGACAAACUAAGGGUGGAACUACAAUUUUAUCAAUAAGAGUGGGGAUGUGUUUCUGUGUGUGCCUGUGCGUGAUAGAUCUGUCGGGGCGCAUCCAUGGAUGAUGAAGGGGAACCAUGUGUUUGGUAAGCAAACCUAACUAGAUCGGUAGAUCAAUUGUUGUUUGUCGGAGGAAGGGAGAGACACAACUAAUGAGGUAGAUCGAUCGACGUGUGGGUAAAAACGAGUUAUAAGUACCUAGCUAGCUAUAUGUAUAGCGAGAUAUCAGUCGGUGUACGUCCAUUUGUUAGAGGCAAAUAAGGCCCAGCGAGACGGAUAGACAGAGAGAAUGGAGCUAGGAGGUGGUGCGAGAGGCCUAACUACUAGCUAGAUAGGGGGAGGAGUGUGCGGUUGUGAGAUCAAUGAAAAGAGGGGCGAGAGUUUACACGUGUGUCUGACCGUAUGAGAGACAUGAGGCAAGGACACAUAAAGGAGGAGAUUGAAGGUGUGUGUGUAUGUUGUAGGCAGGCAUCGCUGGAGAGGUUUAUCAAUCGGUGUGUGUCGGAAAGGAGUUGUGGAGACUCUGGGAGAACGACCUAAAGAAAAAAUGAAUGUUCCCGGUGGAUAGAAUGCCGAGGGAGGGGGAGGGCGAGGAGGGCGUGUGCAUGCACGAGAGAAAGUUAGUGGUAGCUACAAAGGUUAGAGGAUUGUGUGGGUGUAAGAGACUAACAAAGAUCAUAAUUUGAUAUGAAAGUGGAUUCAUAUAUUUGAAUAGGAGAUCAAAGUGUUUUAAACAUUGCAUGCAUGAAUACAGCGGUGAUACACGUGCUGUGCACAUGUUAUACCAUAAUGUGAUAAUGCAUGGCGUUUGCAACUCACAGUUAAAUGCCAAACAAUCUAAACCAUACUAUACAUCAAACAAUCUCACAUUUUAUUUGAAUUUGUGAUAAUGUGUGGCGUUUGCAGCUUACAACUAAAUAUCAAACAAUCUAAACAAUACUAUAAAUCAAACAUUCUCACAUUUUAUUUGAAUUUGUGGUAAUGUGUGGUGUUUGCAACUCACAUCUAAAUACUUGUAGGCGUAGGGGGUGGGGCACAUACAUAAUGUGAUAAACACAUUAUACAUAUGAGACAUGGUUUAAAUUAUGAAGAUCUAGCUAGAGCUAGAAAUGUAAUGUGUUUUGAAAUCAAAAUAAAGUGGAUUCAAAAAAUCUAUUUCGAUUUCAUAUAGUACACAUAGUUCAUAUGUAACUCGAGACUAAUCAUGUGGUGUGCUGUGAAGAUGAUACACAAACGAUGGUUUAACUUGACAAUAAUGAUGAUUGUAGAUCUUAUUAAAACAGAGAAGCAAAUUCAAAUACUUUGACUUCACAACAAUCAUUACCGUAGAUCUUAUUCAAAUAGAGAAACGAAUUCAAAUUUAGUUCAUAUUGAAGCGGUAGCAUAUACGUUUGGAACGCACUAAAAUGUUCAUUUGAGUAGUAGGUUGCAUGCAUUAUACACAUAGCAAAAUAUUUUAAUUGAACAUAACGUGAAUUCAAAGUUUUGAAUGGCAUUUGUAGUGCGCAUUGAUUUGGUACAUUACACGUUAGGCUUGUCCGGAAAUUUCAACCCGCGCCUUGUUAGCCCAAAAUAUUUAAGAUAUAUCUUUGUCUUGUUGUGAUCCGACAACUCCCUCCAUCUCAACCCGCGCCUUGCCAUUCCAAAAUUACAACGCAUGCGAAAACUCCCACCUCCUGUGAAAUCCCGACAUGCGACAUGCCCGUGGUACCCCUGAACCGAAAGAACCGCCUCAAAUCGGUGGGGGUACUUUCGUAACUUACCCCACAUUUCGGACAAACGCGUCUCUAAGCCAUGGUUCCCCACUGCCAUCCCAUCUGCCCACCCAUUCGUACACCGAGGCCGUGAAAACCCACGACGAAACCCCACACCCUGCUCCGUCCGCCACCCAGCUGGAGCCUCUUCCCCGACGAUGUCAUCCACAGCAACACCUCGACGUCCCUCAUCCACCGUACCGGAUGAGGAUCCAUUGUCGAUCUCAUCGUCCCGCCGGUUCAGCCACCCCGUCCUCCACCUCCAAGGAGCUGCCCCGACGUUCCCCUCAUCUUUCACGCCACCUCCAUUCCCACAUCACCUUCUUCACCUGCACCACCGGAAGAGCAUCAUCAUCACUGUUUCCUCGGAUGAAGCUGCGGCCUAAUCGGCGCCACCAAAGAGGUUGUACACUAAUCGCCGCAUUUUCUUCUUGAUUUGAGCUCACGAUCCUGUCGGCGCUCGGUCCCGAGCCGACACGGCACGACUCCAUCCACGGCAGCAUCGCCGGCCACUUCCUCCACGGCGUCGCUCCCUCGGCGGCGACGUCCACAUCAGUAGGAGCUGCUGCUGCUUUAGCUCUCGCUCGCACUGCUGCUCUGCUCUUGCUCUCGGUCCCUUGCCUGGUCUGCUCUUGCUCGCACUGCUGCUCUUGCUCUUGCUCUUGCUUGCGAUGCAGCUCUGAUUUAGCUACACUUCAGUCAACUGAAUCGACUUUUGGGUCAGUCGAUUNNNNNNNNNNNNNNNNNNNNNNNNNNNNNNNNNNNNNNNNNNNNNNNNNNNNNNNNNNNNNNNNNNNNNNNNNNNNNNNNNNNNNNNNNNNNNNNNNNNNNNNNNNNNNNNNNNNNNNNNNNNNNNNNNNNNNNNNNNNNNNNNNNNNNNNNNNNNNNNNNNNNNNNNNNNNNNNNNNNNNNNNNNNNNNNNNNNNNNNNNNNNNNNNNNNNNNNNNNNNNNNNNNNNNNNNNNNNNNNNNNNNNNNNNNNNNNNNNNNNNNNNNNNNNNNNNNNNNNNNNNNNNNNNNNNNNNNNGGUGGCGUGGGGAUCGCCAGAGAAAAAGCUCGACACGGGGGGGCCUAGAGGGAUGGCCGGGGCGGCAGCGGACCGGCGGUGGGGAAUGUUUUUGGGGCGGGCUGUGCGGCGCACCGCCGGCCGCGGGCGGCGGGGUGCUGCUGUUUGGCCGGUGGUGGCUGGUGGCUCAGGGGGGGGGGUGGAGGUUGAAGAUGAACCGCAGGCCCUUGAUUUCGUAUCCAGCGGCUGGAAAAUCGACUGACCAGAGAUGAAAAAGUCAGUCGACCGACGUGUAGCCUCACCUUGCUAGUGCGUUCAGUUUCGACAGCAAAAUUCAGUUUUGACAACAAAAUUCAGUUUCGACAGUUAAGUUCAGUUUCGACAGUUAAGUUCAGUUUCGACAGUUAAGUUCAGAGAUGAGAAGCUGAUGUAUUUUACAUCUAGCACUUUGUGGUUAUGUAUUUUACGUCAUGUACUGGAGAUGCUAUUAGAAUUCCACUCAGGUUAACGUUGUUCGUUGUCUCUCUUGUCCUGCUUCAGCCUUGGUGUCGUACAACUCACCGGAGCAGCUCCAACGACGAAACCCUCCAUCACAGCAGAGCAGUACUUUAGGCUCCAUCUCUAAACGCCUAAGAUCUUAUUCCCCUCCUCCGAUAGCAAAGUCAGCCGGAGCAUCCUCACCGGCCAACCCAAUCACGCUGAGAUCGACAUGGCUUCGCCAAAGAGGUUGUACACUUGUUGCAUCUCUUUUUUACUCUACAUGUUAUAUAUAUUGUCCACUGAGCACACGGAUUUGUUCCUUUAGUGUCUCCUUGAAAGAAAAACAUAGGAAUUUUAAUUUUCACUUGUCCUCCUUUUCAAAUUGCUAUUCAUGAAGCACAAGACUAAGAGAUAGUAGCAUAAUAGCAUUAUAACCCUACAUUUUCUUGUGGUUUGACUUAAUCUCACCAUGCUUCUUUGCAUCCUGUGAUCUUCCAAUUGUUGUGAACCAAACACCCAGAUUGACAGAAAUCCUUUGUUUUUAAACUCUCUGUUUUGCACGUGCAUUCCUAUCCUAUUCCUGUCUAUUUCCUAUCCCUACAUUGUUGGAAUCCUCCAAUUCAAACGAGCCCUUAUAGAAUUACUUCUCUUACAGAUAGUUGUCAAAGAAAACCUUACGUGGUUUGUCCCGCUCUUGCUGCGUCGUCGUCCACCACAGCUCAGCUGCUCCAACGACAGAAGGGUCCAGCACAGUAGGGAUCCGACCUCCAGACUGUCUUUUGCCGCCUCAGAUCUUCUUACCCACCACUGAUAGCCAUGAAAACUGCAUUACCAUCAUCAACCGAGCAGAUGACCUCGAGGACUACACGGGUCCGCAAGAGAGGUCGCACUCUUUCGUGUCUCCUUACAUUAUGCAUCGCUUAAUAUUACAUGCUACUUUAUCAUCCUGUUCACUGAUUAGACUCUGAGUCAGCUCCAAACUAAUUGUCAAACUUAAGUUUUUAAAUGGUUGUGGGGUACAUAUCGGGGCCGCUAUCAAUAGUAUCUAUCUACUAUCUGGUUAAUCUCCGGUGUCUACUAUGAGUUUCAUGUUGGGUGGGAAACAAACAGUAAAGAAGCCAUUAUCUGUAUUUUUUAACUUAAGCCAUUAUCUGCGUGCUAUUGUUGGUUUUGGGUCUAUCCACAGGUUGCUACCAUCACUCUAGAUUUCUGCAUGCACUCCUUACAUAAUCUCACUAUGUUUUAUUCCUAUGCAUGACAGUUAUUGUAAACAAUGGAACCGAACAUGUAGAGCAAAAGAGAUGAGCCUUGCAUGGCAAUAAAAUUUCAUGCAGACGUCGCUCCAUGGUAGGUGCAAAGGCAGCCCCCCUCCAUGCAUUUCGGAUUGUAAUUGAGAGGAAGAUAUCUGUUCUUAGGGGGAUUCAGAAGGAGAAGACAACUCCUAUUUACCCCCUGAGGUCUUCGCUCUAACUUGGCAUGCUGAUGUUGGUUAUAUCAUGCAUAUGGUGUCUUGCAUUGCUUACUUUAUACAUCAAAUAUGUCAGCUGCUUAGUUUAAACAUCCUUUGUGCGAAUGCCAUCUGUUUAGUUUAUUCAUCAUUUAUGUGAAUUAUGCAACGCCAUCUUGUUUAGCGAGGCAUCAUAUAUGUGAAUUUUGCAAUGCCAUCCUGCUUAGCCAGUCAUCUUAUAUGUAAAUUAUAUCAGGCCAUCCUUUUUUUCGUUACAUAUUACAUUUGUCAACAAUGUUAGUACAUUCAACUGCUCUUCAUGUGCAUCAGCCAUUUGACACGAUGAUGGCAAAUUCUAGAGUGAAAACAAGGUCUUCAAAGCAGACUAUGCUAUCUGACGAAGCGCAUAUCUCGCUGGUUACGGAUAGCUCCUCAGAGGAGGAUUCAGAGACAGAUGACCAGUCCUAUCCACCCCCCGAGGUGUAUGCUCUAACUUGGCAGGGUUAUGUUGCUCAUAUCGUGUGUAUGGUGUCUUGCAUUGCUAUGUCAUUUGAUUAGUUUAGACAUGCUUUGUGUGAAUGCCACCUGUUCAGUGUCUAAUUACCAUUUAUGUGAAUUAUGCAUUGCCAUCUUGUUGCAAGACAUUAUAUAUGUGAAUUAUACAAUGCUAUCUUGUUGCAAAGGCAUUGUAUAUGUGAAUUAUGCAAUGCCAUGUUGUUUAGCCAAUCAUCAUGUAUGUGAAUUAUAUCAUGCUAUCAUUUUUUUGUAUUAUGUGUUCCAUUUGUUGACAACGUUUGUAUAUUCAACUACUCUUCCUAUGCAUCAGCCAUUUGAAGCGGUGAUGGAAGUAUCUGGAGUGAAAACAAGGUAUUCAGAGCAGACAAUGCUACCUGCUGAAGCAGACAUCUUGCUGGUUACAGAGAGCUCCUCAGAGGAGGAUUCAAAGACUGAUGACCAGUCCUAUUUCCCCCCGGGGUCUAUGCUCAAACUUGGCAGGGUUAUAUUACCCAUGUCAUGCAUGUUGUCUUGCAUUGCUUAGUUUUUACAUCAUAUAUGGAUUGCCAUCUGCUUACUUGCUUACUACAUAAAUCAUAUAUUCGAAUUAUAUCAUGCCAUCAUGUUUACAUAGUACAUACACAUCAUCUAUCUAAAUUAUGGCAUGGCAACCCAUUUAAUAGAGACAUCAUAUAGUUAUAUCAUCUCAUCCUGUUUAGUGUUUACAAUGAUCAUAUUUUGAAUUAUGGCAUUCUCUCCGUGAAUGUAUGUGACUUAUGGCAUGCCAACCUAUUUAAUAAACACAUUAUACAGUUAUGUCAUGUCAUCCUGUUUACAUAGUCUCAUAUUUUGAACUAUGUCUUUCCAUCUUUUUUAGUUAGCCAUCAUAAUGUGAAAUUGUGUCAUGCUAUCAUGUUUAGUUAGCCAUCAUAUAUGUGAAAUUGUGUCAUGCUAUCCUGUUUGGUUAGACAACAUAAAUAUGAAUUAUUUCAUGCCCUCUUUUAUUCCCCACUAUCCAUUGCACCUGUCUAUCAUACAAUGUCGAUACUUUCAAUUACUUUUCUUGUUUAUCAGCCAUUUGAAUUGGAGAGCGUGAUGCCAGUAUCUAAGGGAGUAACAACACGGUCUUCAGAAAAGAUAGUGCUACCAGUUGAUGCAGAUAGAACCACGAUUGUACUUGCCCAAGGACCAGAUCCACUACACAUAACCCAGGCUCUCACAGAUUGUACCCCUACCCAGUUGGACAGAGAACCAGCUACACCCCUUCUAACCCCAAUGUCGUGGAAUUGUCACGUCAGAUGUCCUAGUGAAAGGACUUAGUUGUGGAGCCAUCGCAACUAGGAAGCUUGAAGGGGUUAAUCAGGACAAGGGACAAGAGAGGUUUAUACUAGUUCGGCCCCUUACGGUGAAGGUAAGGCCUACGUCUAGUUGGGUUGGUAUUGAUUCAUGUUUCGAUGACCAGGGAGCGAGAUACGCUAUGCCCGGCUCUCGACGAGUUGUUUCUUGCCCUAAGCCGCCUGCGGGUUGCCCCCUUAUAUACACUGGUGGACGCCCUGCAGCCUACAGAGUCCCGGUCGGCUCAUAAACAGUGUCCGGCUCGGUGACUAGUUAAGUCUACCAUAUGUUACAAGUCAUAUAAUUAUGGCGGUUUACCACUAUGGGCUUUAAGCCGCCUGUGGGCCUUAGACCCUUUAUUGAACCGCCAUCUUCAUGCUUGGUCUCGGGCUUCUUUCUGAUGAGUCUUCUUUACGUAACCCGGCCCCUCCUGGGCGGGUUACACAAAUAGUUAUAUCCCCAACAUUAGGCCACAAAUUGAUUUGAACUGGUUCAUGUCAAUCUUAAAAUACCUUAAGAAAUAAAUCUUCAGCCUUCUGCAUGUACAAAAGGUUCUCUUUAACCCGCCGUGACAUCAUCUUUUCGAUCGGCAUUAACCCGCCGUGACGUCAUCUUUACUUAAAUUCAUUCUUUAUUCCACCGUAUCCUCCAACAGACCUUUGCUUUUACUGACCGUUCCAAAAACCGAGGCGUCGGGGCCGCUGGAUAAUAAUGUUUAUCUCCUCAUUUCUCGCGCCGUCUCAGUCAGCCCUUCCUUAGAAAUAGGCACGACCUAGGUCUUCUUCAUUUUCUCCCUCAGUCGUUCAUCUCCUUCCUCUCACUGUCUCUCUGCCGCUCGAGCUCCGCCGCCGCCGCUAUCACAGAUCUCCUCGUCCUCAUCAACCCAGGCCGCUGCAUCAACCUGAUUUGACCAGAGAAACACGAGAACUCCCGCAGCAACUUUGCAUCUGUAAGUUUCCUCCUUCGUGCUCCUCAGAUCUGCAUUAGGACCUUCAAGUUCCUCGGUGUUCUUCGAUGUUCGUUAAGGACCCCUCAUAGAUUUCAUCUCCAUCGCCAUUUCUUGAUCUUGAAGAUGGUAUAAACGGAUGCGGCAGCUAUUUCGCACCCAUUUCGAAUACAAGUAGAUCCCUUUCCGUCGCACAGAGGCCCUGUUCGAGCCCUUGAGCUUCAUCUUUGCCAGUUCUAGGUCUAGAAAUUUUUCUUUUCAGAAUAGUUGUUUGAUCCAGAAUAAUAGCCGCAACUUGUGAAACCUUCUUGUUCCACCCUAAAAUAAAAAACUGCCUCUGUCGAAUAUGUUUAGCCACGACUGUCCAUGUGGCCGGUUUAAGUAAAUGAUACCUGUAGCGGCAUAAAUAUUGUUGCAUUGUUACCCAUAUGUCAUUAGGCCCCUUCUUAAGCCGCCAUCUUGAAUAGUUUUAAAAUGUUUUCCUCCGGGUUAAAUUUGAACCGGAACCUCUUAUUUUGUCAUAGGCUUCAAUUUACAUCAUGGCCCCUAAGGCAACCAAGGCUCCUGUGACCUGUAAUUGGGUCCCAUCCACAGUCACAAGAAGUAAAUUGUCUGAUUUUGUGAAGUCUGGCCAUCUGCCCAAGAAGGAGGUCAUGUCUUAUCGUGCCCCUGACCCGUCCGAGGAGAAACCUCAACCCAAAGAAGGGGAGGUGAUAGUUUUUAUGGAUCAUAUGAGCCGGCGAUUUGCUCCACCCGGUUUAAAAUUCUUCAGGGAUGUUCUACAUUUCUUUGACCUCAGACCUCAAGACAUCGGGCCCAAUUCCGUGUCAAAUAUUUGCAACUUUCAAGUCUUCUGCGAGGUGUACCUGGGAGAAGAGCCCAAUCUGCUUUUGUUCAGAGAGCUUUCCUACUUAAACCGGCAGAAUGAACGUGACAACGGGCCCAGUCUUGAACUUGGUGGCAUUUCGAUUCAGCGGUGGAGAGACUGCCUUUUUCCUUAUGCUGAACUGCCAAGUCAUCCAAAUUGGAAUCAGACGUGGUUCUAUUGUCAAGACACUUCUCUGGCUGACGAGAAGCCUCUGCCCGGCUUCCGUGCUCUGCGCCUUGAAUGCAACCACCCGCUGGCGGAUAAACUUUCUGCUGUUGAACGUCUGCCACUUGCUCCCACUAUUAGAAAAAUCAAAGCUCUUUUGGGAAAUGGCUUAGAUGGCAUCGACCUGGUCCGAGUCUGGGUUACUUGGCGAGUGCUUCCAUUAAGCCGCCGCCCCGGCUUAAUGUGCACUUACUCAGGCGAGAAGGAUGACCCACUGCGUCAUAGUCCCAACGACUUGCCGGAUGAUGUGGUGGAGGCUACGACCCAAACGUUGCUGAAAGAGGGCACAAUGACUAAUAACGCCUUUGGCUUACUUCCUUUCUGCAAGAAGAACCCGGCCCCUGCAGUGAGUCAUCAAUCCUCAAUGAAUACUCUUUUAGUAUAUUACACCUUACUUUUACUCAUAACCCCUUUAUCUUUUUCAUAGGCUGAUGACAACUUCUGGAAGGUCAAGUAUGACCAUGAGGCUGCCAAACAAGCCAGAGAGGCCAAGAUAACUGAAAGAAAAACCACCAAAACAGGAACUUCAAGGAAGAAAAAGCCAAGCGCUUCAGAUUUACUCAAAUUGGAUGACACUUCUGAGGAUGAGGAAGAGGUAAUCCUUAAUUCUCUUGACUCCUUUGUCAUUAUUUUAUUGACAUUCUAUCUUUUCAGGAGGAUACGGGGAACAGCCAAGCGGUUGACGAAGAGGUAACUAUAAUCUCCUCCGACUCAGAGCCUUUGCCAAAGCAAAAAAUCUGAAGGGUGACCCGGAAAGUAAGAUUUUCACAUCCUCUAGCUUAUCAAGAUCCUCAAUUUCUUUUGAAGCAACAACAGCUUGAAAGCCGGAGGCAGACCCGGACCAGCAAGGAUGUAGAGCUCUCCUCCGGUUUACCUGACGUAACCAGGAAGCGUCGGACUGAGGUUAUCUCCGAUUUACGUUCUGUUUUACCUUUGGCGGGUUUAAUUCGCCAACCUCUCAAUUCAUCUCACUCCAAUUAUCAGGAUACUUCUCCUUCCUCUGGCGAGUCUAUGCAAUAUAACAUGCCGGCUUUCAAAACUUCCCCCGGGUAAUGUAACUUUGUUUACCUUAUGCUUUACCUUACUCAUGUUUUUGUAUUCAUCCUUCUGCCUUUGUUGACAGCAUGCAAGUGAAGCCCAGUAAGAGGGCAAAGAAGAGUAAGCCGUCCCAAAACCCAGUCAUGAUUGAACCGGCGCUUGACACGUCUGCUCCUGACAGUUCCACCCAUCAGCCGCCGCCUGAACCACCCUCUGACAUUCCAGCACCAACCUCUGCUCCACCCAUCGAAGAUACUCUCAAUAGCUCUGAUAACCUGGAAGCUCCUAGCUCGGUCAAGACAAAUGACCCGGAAGUUGAGAUUCUGAAGAGUCAGUUUGUUGAGCCAGGGCGACCCACUGUCCUUGCCAAAUGCACUGCUAAGGAGGAACUCAUAGAACGCCGAAAGGCUAAGCUGGACAUUACUGAUUAUACUCACUUAAGCAUUGGAGAUAUAGUCUCUGGCUACCUUAAUCAAGUGCAUAGCAGCCGUGACCUGGAAAUUGACAUGGUGAAGCAAAUACAACAAAAAUUUGAGGUAUACCUUUAUGCCCCUUUCCUGAAUCAUACUUACUGUAUCAGCCCCCAAGUCUAUUGCUUAUGAAUAAAUAUGCUGUAGACUUAGAAAACUGCUUACCACUGUUUUUUCCGGUUUAAAAAGAAGAAAUUUAACCCGGUUGUAACAUGAUACCUUGAACUUGCGAUAUACAUUAGCCCCCAAGUGUCAAGUAUAUUUGCUUGCAAAGUGCUUGGGACUUAAUUUGCAUGAACCGACGUUGUAGGGUAAAAAUUCUUUAGCACACAUUAGCCCCCAAGUGUCAAGUAUCUUUGCUUGCAAAUUGCUUGGGACUUUAAUACUAUCUUACCAUGAUUCUGACUAUAACCCGACAUCAAUACAGGCCACCAUAAGUCAAUUUGAGUCGGAAGUUGCUGACCUGAAGAGCCGUCUGACAGCUCAAGAACUUGAAAUUCAAAAGGCCAACUCCAAAUUUGAAUUCAGCGUCUUUGAACAAGAGAAGUUGAAGAAGAAUUUUGAAGCGGAGAAGAAAAUCUGGGCUGAUGAAAAGGCUUCACUGGUGACCCGGGCCGAGACGGCAGAGGCAUCACUUGCAGAAGCAACAACCGAGCUGUCCGACUUAAAGCGCCAGAUAUCUCAAAUGGUCUCAGCCAUCUUCGGUAAGUUAUUGUAUAUAACCUCAAAACAUUGUAAUCCUUUGUUUGAUGAUUAUUUUAAUUGUUAUCCCCAGCUCACCUUAUGUUCAUGAACACAUGCCCCAGGAGCACAAACCUCAAGCAGAACAUGCUGAUCAAACUAAAGGCGGUUUACACUCUAGUGGAGUAACUGUACACCGGGUCACAACGUGCUUUGGCCGUUGUAGCUUUAUCAAAUAACACUCACCACCUUCUACAAGACAUGCUGAAGUGUCUUACUGUGCUACCUCAGCGGAUCCAGGAUCUAAGGCGGGCGUCCUCAAGAGUCGGGGCCAUAGCCGCGUUGAGCCGGGCAAAAGCAUGGAUUCCAGAACUAGACCCAGCCGACCUCGCUCUCAGAUACCCGAGUCUGAAAGAGGAUGGGACCGUAUUUGAUGAUCAGGAUUUCACCGCCUGCGUCAAAGACAUACGUCCCGUGGCUACCCUCAUUGGGAAUGAUACUGACCUUACCAAGUAUCAGCCGGGCUAUGACAGUGAGAACCGGAGAAUUCCGACACCUCCCGAUGAUCAAGUCAGCCUGAUCCCUCCAACUCGUAAGCAUACCUUUGCCCCUGAAGUGGACCCAGCCGGUUUAAUAGAUGAUGAAGCUGAGUUUGAAGCCUUGAGUGGCAUUGACUGGGCCUCGUCAACCUUCCAGGACAAAGCAACCGACGGAGAGGCGCAGAAGGAUAACCCGGAAUCUUCAAGCCCACGGAAGGAGUGAACCGCCAGGCAUUUUAUGACUCUGCAAAAAACAAUGCUUCAUUUAUUCAGACUCGGGGAGUCUUGUAAUAGGGUAGAAAAUCAUCUCAAUUUUUGUCAUGCCUUCGCGCAUGUUUAUGGUGCUUAAUACUUUUGUAAGCCGCCAUCGCUAUAUAUUUCCAGCUUAUGUUGAUCGUUUAUUUCCUUGACGUUAAAUUUGCUUGCCUUAUCCUGCGAUCCCCUUGGUAAUCUCGCCUGCUUAUAUGACCUUCAACAUGCGGGUAAAUCCAACUCCUAAAAGUUGGAACUUAUAAUGUUCACCUGGCACCUAACAACCUGGGGUGAUCAAUAUUAAGCUGGAAGAACAAAAAACCAUCUCAUAGUGCUUUCAAAAAAGGUCUCAAGAUAGUCAAAUAAUUAUGCUUAUGAAAUAUAAUGGAUAAUAAACAAUAUUCAAAGGCCUCUGAUUCGAAUACGAUCAGUAAACCGUUCCAAAGGGGUUAAGCUAAGAUUCGGAUACGAUCAUAUAGCUCCAAUGGCUUUGGCGAUGCCGAUCAAGUGGGUAUCGACAGCUAUGUUCGCUUUGGUUCGAAUACGACCUAUGUUUGAACAGGAAGCCCCCAAGUGACCAUAAGAGUUGUUUAAUGACGCUGAUUCAAAUACGAUCCAUGUCAGACCCAAAGGGGUUAAGCUAUGAUUCAAAUAUGAUCAAGAAGCCCCCAAGUGGGUUUGGCAGUAUGUCGAUCAAGUGGGUAUCGACAACUAUGUUCUCUUUGGUUCGAAUAUGACCUAUGUUUGAAUAGGAAGCCCCCAAGUGAUCAUGGCUAGAUUCAGAUAUGAUCAUAAGCCGGACCUAAGGGAAAGCCGGAUUCAGACAUGAUCCGCUCCCUGUUGGUUGUUUUCACCACCUGAUAAAGAAGACAUAUACACCUUUGAAGAUAAAAAGGACAGAGGUCCUGUUUAUUGCUUUAUAUAAUAUAUACAUUGUCAAAAUAUAUACAUCUUGAGAGCCGGUGGCUCAAGUAUAGUAAAGCCGGAGAUGAGCGAUAUUCCACGGCCGGCGGGUCUCCUCCUCUGACUUACGUGAGUCUUUGUGCUCUCGAACAUCGAUAAGGUAGUAUGACCCGUUCUUCAAAUUCUUGCUGACCACAAAGGGUCCUUCCCAAGGUGGGGAUAGCUUGUGCAUGUCAGACUGAUCCUGGAUGAGCUGGAGCACUAAGUCGCCUUCCUGAAAGGUUCUGCUCCUAACCCGGCGGUUGUGAUAGCGGCGCAGGUGUUGUUGAUAAAUCACCGAGCGGGCUAUUGCCAAGUCUCCCUCCUCAUCCAACAAGUUAAGUGCAUCCUGACGAGCUUUUUCGUUGUCAGCCUCAACGUAAGCCGCCACGCGGGGUGAAUCGUGCCGGAUGUCACUUGGCAGGACUGCCUCUGCACCAUAUACCAUGAAGAAAGGUGUGUAACCUGUAGAUCUGUUAGGCAUAGUGUUGAUGCUCCACAGUACAGAGGGUAACUCCUCCACCCAACAACCCGGAGUCCGCUGCAAGGGGACAAAGAGCCGGGGCUUGAUACCCUUCAGGAUCUCUUGAUUAGCUCUUUCUGCUUGACCAUUGGAUUGAGGAUGAGCAACAGCUGAAACAUCAAGCUGGAUAUGUUCUCGUUGAUAGAACUCUUCCAUGGCACCCUUGGAAAGAUUAGUGCCAUAAUCAGUUAUAAUGCUGUGUGGAAAACCGAAACAAAAGAUCACCUUUUUCAUGAACUGAACCGCCGUGGCUGCAUCACACUUACUGACCGGCUCUACCUCAACCCACUUUGUAAACUUAUCCACUGCCACCAGGAGGUGUGUCUUUUUAUCCUUAGACCUCUUGAAAGGUCCAACCAUGUCAAGCCCCCAGACUGCGAACGGCCAAGUGAUUGGAAUCAUCCUAAACUCUUGAGCCGACACAUGAGCUCGUCGUGAGAAUUUUUGACAUCACAUUUGCUGACUAGAUCCUCCGCGUCAGCAUGAGCCGUCAGCCAAUAGAAACCAUGACGGAAGGCCUUGGCCACAAGAGAUUUUGACCCGACAUGAUGCCCACAAUCAGCUUCAUGGAUCUCACGAAAUAUCUCCUGGCCCUCCGCAGGCGACACACAACGUUGAAACACCCCAGUGACACUUUGGUGAUGUAACUCGCCAUGAACAAUCGUCAUAGAUUUGGACCGCCCGACGAUUUGUCUUGCCAAGGUCUCAUCCUCAGGCAACUCUCCCCGGGUCAUAUAGGCCAAAUAUGGCACUAUCCAAUCCGGGAUGACGUGAAGAGCUGCCACCAGCUGUGCCUCCGGGUCUGGCACUGCUAGUUCUUCCUCUGUAGGUACCUUGACAGAAGGAUUAUGCAAAACAUCAAGGAAGGUGUUAGGUGGCACCGGCUUACGUUGAGAUCCCAACCGGCUUAAAGCAUCAGCCGCCUCAUUCUUCCUUCGAUCAAUGUGCUCCACUUGAGAACCUUUGAAGUGCCCAGCCACAACAUCUACUUCACGGUGAUAAGCCGCCAUAAGGGGAUCCAUGGAGUCCCACUUGCCUGACACCUGUUGGGCCACGAGAUCUGAAUCGCCCAAGCACCUUACCCGGCUCAAGUUCAUCUCUUUGGCCAUCCAGAGACCAUGGAGUAAGGCCUCAUACUCAGCUGCGUUGUUAGUACAAGGAAACAUAAUCCGGAGCACAUAACAAAAUUUGUCACCUCGAGGGGAAGUUAAAACAACUCCAGCCCCCGAGCCUUCUAACUUCCUGGACCCAUCAAAGUGAAUAGUCCAAUAUGUGUUAUCUGGCUUCUCCUCAGGUGCCUGCAACUCUAUCCAAUCAUUGAUAAAAUCCACCAAGGCUUGAUGAGGGAGUCCUAGACUAGGGGGUGUCCGGAUAGGCGAACUAUCAUCAUCGGCCGGACUCCAAGACUAUGAAGAUACAAGAUUGAAGACUUCGUCCCGUGUCCGGAUGGGACUUUCCUUGGCGUGGAAGGCAAGCUUGGCGAUACGGAUAUGUAGAUCUCCUACCAUUGUAACCGACUCUGUGUAACCCUAGCCCUCUCCAGUGCCUAUAUAAACCGGAUGGUUUUAGUCCAUAGAAGAACAACAAUAACAACAAUCAUACCAUAGGCUAGCUUCUAGGGUUUAGCCUCCUUGAUCUCGUGGUAUCUACUCUUGUAAUACCCACAUCAUCAAUAUCAAUCAAGCAGGACGUAGGGUUUUACCUCCAUCAAGAGGGCCCGAACUUGGGUAAAAGAUCGUGUCCCUUGUCUCCUGUUACCAUCCGCCUAGACGCAUAGUUCGGCACCCCCUACCCGAGAUCCGCCGGUUUUGACACCGACAUUGGUGCUUUCAUUGAGAGUUCCUCUGUGUCGUCACCGAUAGGCUCGAUGGCUCCUUCGAUCAUCAACAACGACGCGGUCCAGGGUGAGACUUUGGCCAUAUGGAGCAGAUCGAAAGCUAUGCCCCUGGCCGUCAGGUCAGGUUUGGAAGUCUUAACUUCAUGGCUGACAUCCGCGGAGCCUUGAUCUUCAAUGGAUUCGAGCCACAGCCGAGCGCGCCGCACUGUCACGAUGGGCAUGAUUUAGCUCUGCUGCCGGACAGUGCCCUGGAGGCCGCACACGAGUCCGCUCCGACCCUCGAUUCGGAGUCGGCUGUGCAGAUCGAGGACGGAUGGUUAGACACCGCCUCGGGGGCUGCAACCUCUAUGGUGAUAGAGCCGAAUACUAACUUUGUCCCUUCUGAAGCUCAUGACUCCAAGGUGCCGGACUCCUUUCCAGACUCCGAACCUCCCGCGCCCCCUCUAAUCGAAUCCGAUUGGGCGCCGAUUAUGGAGUUCACCGCUGCAGACAUCUUUCAGCACUCACCUUUCGGCGACAUCCUGAGUUCGCUAAAGUAUCUCUCGUUAUCAGGAGAGCCCUGGCCGGACUGCGGUCAGGACGGUGGGAUGCGGACGACGAAGAAAUUCAAGACCCACCCACCACCCACUUAGUAGCCACUGUCGACGAUCUAACCGACAUGCUAGACUUCGACUCCGAAGACAUCAACGGUAUGGACGACGAUGCCGGAGACGGCCAAGAACCAGCGCCUACUGGGCACUGGAAAGCCACCUCGUCAUACGACAUAUACAUGGUGGAUAUCCCAAAGGAUGGGAAUGGCGAAGGAACAGCGGAGGAAGACCCCUCCAAGAAACAGCCCAAGCGCCGGCGUUAGCGGCGCCGCUCUAAAUCCCGCCACAACAAGAAUGGCAAUUCCGGCACCGGAGAUAAUAAUACCCCAGACAGUGCCGAAGACAACCCCCUCCAGCAAGAUUCAGCCCUCAUGAGAGAGCGGCAGACGAAGAGGUCGAGGAUGAUAAUUACAUGCCUCCGUUCGGAGACGAGGCAAGCCUCGACGACGAUGAAUUUGUCGUGCCUGAGGAUCCCAUCAAACAAGAGAGUUUUAAACGCAGGCUUAUGGCCGCGGCAAACAGCCUCAAGAAAAAGCUGCAACAGCUUAGAGCUGAUCAGGAUCUGCUAGCCGACAGAUGGACUGAAGUCCUUGCGGCCGAAGAGCAUGAGCUCGAACGCCCCUCCAAAAGCUACCCCAAACGCAAGUUGCUCCCCUGACUAGAGGAGGAGGCAUAUAAACCUGCAUCACCAGAGCACAAUGCGGCUGACCGACCACCUCGUGGCCGCGACAGAGAGGCCUCUAGGCCCUCCACUAGAACCGUACCCCGGCAUCGCUCGAAAAGCGCAAGGCCACAGGGGAACGCUCCGGACAUGCGAGAUAUAUUGGAGGAUAAGGCAAGACAAUCAAGAUCGAUCUACGGAUCGCGUGGGCGCCCCAUGAUACGUGACGACAACCGUCGCGCCGGACACAUUAAGUCCAACCGGGCCGAACACAGUAGACAAAGCUCGUUGGAGCUCCGUCGCGAUAUAGCCCAAUACAAAGGCGCCGCACACCCACUAUGCUUCACAUAUGAAGUAAUGGAUCAUCAAAUCCCCGAAGGGUUUAAACCCGUGAAUAUUGAAUCCUAUGAUGGCACAACAGACCCCGCGGUUUGGAUCGAAGACUAUCUCCUUCAUAUCCACAUGGCCCGUGGUGACGAUCUUCACGCCAUCAAAUACCUCCGACUCAAGCUUAAAGGACCAGCUCGGCAUUGGCUUAACAGCUUGCCAGCAGAAUCAAUUGGGUGUUGGGAGGACCUGGAAGCCGCAUUCCUUGAUAACUUCCAGGGCACGUAUGUGCGACCACCAGACGCUGACGACCUGAGCCACAUAAUUCAGUAGACAGACGAAUCGGCCAGACAAUUCUGGACACGGUUCUUAACUAAGAAAAAUCAAAUCAUCGACUGCCCGGAUGCGGAGGCCCUCACGGCCUUCAAACAUAACAUCCGCGACGAGUAGCUUGCUCGGCACCUGGGACAGGAAAAGCCAAAAUCCAUGGCAGCCCUCACAUCACUCAUGACCCGCUUUUGCACGGGAGAGGACAGCUGGCUAGCCCGCAGCAACAACCUCAGCAAAAAUUCUGGCAGUCCGGAUACAAAGGACCGCAAUGGCAGGUCGCGUCGCAACAAGAACAAACGCCGCAUCAAUGGCAACAAUAAUGAGGAUACGGCAGUCAAUGCUGGAUUCAGAGGCUCCAAACCUGGUCAGCGGAAAAAGCCAUUCAAAAGAACUACUACGGGUCCGUCCAAUUUGGACCGAAUACUCGAUUGCUCGUGCCAGAUACACGACACCUCCGAAAAGCCAGCCAACCACACCAACAGGGACUGUUGGGUAUUCAAGCAGGCAGGCAAGCUAAUUGCCAAAAACAAUGGCAAGGGGCUGCAUAGCGAUGACGAAGAAGAGACCCGACCGCCGAACAAUAGAGGACAUAAGGGUUUCCCCCCACAAGUGCGGACGGUGAAUAUGAUAUACGCAACCCACAUACCCAAGAGGGAGCGGAAGCGUGCACUCAGGAAUGUAUACGCGAUGGAGCCAGUCGCCCCGAAGUUCAACCCAUGGUCCUCCUGCCCGAUCACUUUUGAUCGAAGGGACCACCCCACCAGCAUUCGCCACGGCGGAUUCGCCGCAUUGGUUUUAGACCCAAUCGUCGAUGGAUUUCACCUCACCAGAGUCCUGAUGGACGGUGGCAGCAGCCUGAACCUGCUUUAUCAGGACACAGUGUGCAAGAUGGGCAUAGACCCCUCAAGGAUUAAACCCACAAAGACGACCUUCAAAGGCGUCAUACCAGGUGUAGAGGCCAAUUGUACGGGCUCAGUCACACUGGAAGUGGUCUUCGGAUCCCCGGGUAACUUCCAAAGCGAGGAGUUAAUCUUCGACAUAGUUCCGUUCCGCAACGGCUAUCAUGCUCUGCUCGGACGAACCACAUUUGCAAAGUUUAACGCGGUGCCGCACUACGCAUACCUCAAGCUGAAGAUGCCAGGCCCUCGAGGAGUCAUCACGGUCAAUGGAAACACCGAACGCUCCCUCCGAAUGGAGGAACAUACAGCGGCUCUCGCGACAGAAGUACAAUGCAGCCUCUUAAGGCAAUUCUCGAGUCCGGCCGUUAAGCGACCGGACACGGCUAAACGCGCCCGGAGUAACCUACAACAAGACCCCUUGGCACGUUCCGAGCACGCGUAGCAAUGUGGCCCCAACCCUAGCCCUUGCAAGAUCGCAAGACUGGUCCUUCGCGUACAUCAUUAUGCUCUGGAGAUACCAUGGGCAUAGGGGAAGGGGCACGACCACGACAGGCCCAGAAUGCGGCUCAACCACAUCAGGGGCUCCCAAGUGUGUCAUUUCUUUUUUUUCUUUUUCUUUCUUACCCACAGGACUCCGUUCACCAGAGGCCCUGUCCGACAGUAGACCGGCCGAACUCACGAUGCAACAGCCAGGGAAGAUGAAAGGCUACGACGAAUAUCCAGGUGGUCUCCGUUAAAAGCACUAAAUCUAUUUUAUACACCAUUCCGCAGCCUACCCCUGGAGGGGGACAUGUUUAAUAGUCCCAUCCCUUGCUCAUCGCACUAUUUGUAUCGUCCUGCAUUCAUGGCAGUAUUUCUUGAAUAAACAAUGCAGCACCUUUUUGCUUUUAAUUGCAUUCCUUUCUUAUACAUAUGUUCAUUUAUGGCAUGCCGCAUCCGUAUACUUUGGUACGGCUAAAUACACCAGGGGCUUAAGUUCCCCACAUUAUGGUGUGAUAAGUCCGAACACUUUCACAAGUGCGGCACCCCGAACUUAUAUCAUUAUAUGCAUCGGCUCCGAAUCAUGUCUUGGGUCAAUAGUUGGGUUUGCCCGGCUCCCAUGUUUUGGUACCUUACGUUCUGUUCUAUCGGCUAAGGUAGCACUGGGAGAACCACUGCGAUUGCGCCCCGGUUGAGCUGGGCGAGCGCCUCAAUGGAGAAAGCUAAAACUGACCGUCAUGAUGAGGCGAGAGCCGGUCGCUGUUCGAGAGGGUUUUUCGAGUCCCUAAAGACUUAUGCCGCUUAGAGCGAGGAAAUGGCUUUGUCCGGCCCAGGCAUGGAUAGCGCUCCGAAUUCGGCCUUCCGAACACUAGGGGCUUCGCCGAAAUUUAAAAUUAUAGAAUUCUAUGGCUAAGUGAGAGUGUUCAAGCAUUAUAAGUCCGGUUGCCUAGUUCGUUGUGUUGAGCGCCUCCCUAGAUGGACCCAAAUAUGGGAACAAGAGUGCUCAAAUUUAUCCCGAACACCCAACACUCGUGGCAUGGGGGCUGAAGCCGACGACUUGCCAUCUCUCAGAUUUGAUAAACAGCCGCACAGAAGGUAAUAUUUUAAAUCAACAAGCAUUGCUUAGCGCAUAUGAACAAAGUUUUCAGCACACAGGAUAACAAAACGCGAGUCUACUCAAAUAUUACAUUAUUGGAGCACUCACCCGCAAUAGUGCAGGCACCCUUCAGGACACUCUUGUAAUACAUCUCGGGCGUGCGAUACUCCUUGCCCGGCGGUGGCGCGUCCGUCACAAGCUUCUCAGCAUCCAUCUUGCCCCAGUGCACUUUAGCACGGGCAAGGGCCCGACGGGCACCUUCAAUACAGGCGGAUCACUUGAUGACCUCAACCCAUGGACAAGCAUCCACCAGCCGCUGCACCAGGCUGAAGUAGCUCCCAGGCAUGGCCUCAUUGGGCCACAGCCGAAUUAUGAGGCCCUUCAUGGCCUGUUCGGCCACCUUGUGGAGCUCGACUAGCUGCUUCAGCUGGUCGCUAAGGGGCACCGAAUGUCCGGCCUCAGCAUACUGAGACCAGAAGACCUUCUCCGUCGAGCUCCCCUCCUCGGCCCUGUAGAAAGCGGCAGCAUCGGACACGCUGCGGGGCAGAUAUGCGAACGCUCCUGGAGAGCUCCGAAUUCAGGUAAGUAACAGGUAAUUCACAUUCACAUGCUUGCUUUGCAUGAAAAAUGCCUUACCCGCCUCUAUUUUCUUCUACGCCUUGAUCUCCUGAAGGGCCUUGUGGGCUUCGGCCUUAGCGGCUUUGGUGCUCUCAAGAGCCGAUGCAAGCUCGGACUCUCGAGUCUUCGAGUCGUGCUCCAAACUCUCAUGCUUUUCCAUGAGAGCCUGGAGCUCUUGCUGUACCUCCGCCACCCACGCCUCCUGCUUCUCUCGUCCGACAUGCUCCACGGCCGCAUUACGUUCGGCCGCGGACACCGCCUCCAUCAAGGUCACCACCUCGUUCUUGGCCCCUGAAGUACCCACGUUAUCCUUGUCAUUUCUCUUGCAACCAAAUCCUUUUCUGUAAGGUACAACUUUAAUAAGGUGUUGCUCACCUUCCUUGUCCUCGAGCUGCUUCUUGGCACGGCCGAGCUCGUUCUCUGACCGCUCGAGGCUUUGCUUCAAAGCAUUGACCUCCGCAGUCAGUGCGGAAGAGGUCAGCAGCGCAGCCUGCAAUCCCAUAUUGACAUAUUUAUUAAGACUCCUGCGUAUAUCUUUUUAGAUCCUCAGUCCGGCUUUUCUUUCCGAACACCGAACCGAGCAUCAGGGGCUACUGUCUAUGUGGUACUAUUUUACAUAUAUUAAUAUUCUUACCUCAAAGCCUGAUAGAAGGCUGCUGCAGGCUUCGGUCAGCCCGCUUUUGGCGAGCUGAACCUUCUAAAUCACCGCACUCAUGACAGUGCGGUGUUCCUCCUUGAUGGAAGCGCCGUUGAGCGCCUCCAGCAAGUUAUCCGGCGCCUCCGGUUGGACGGAGGCCGCCGGCGCCACGGUCUUGCCCUUCUUGUGAAGGGGCCGCCCGCCGGACUCCGGAACCACUGCAGGUUCCGGUGCGGAGUCCGGAACGAAGUCCGGGAGGUCGCCCUGUGGCACCUCCGGGUCCUCCUCCUCGGGGUGGGUCCCUCUCUGGGAUCCCACCUCGGCGUCGUCAGCGUCACGGGGAGAGGAGGCGGUUGGAAGUGAAGUAAUGUUCACAUGCGACGAGCCCAAGGACCCACUCGACGAAGCAGGAAGAUCAUCCUUGAGCGGACUACAGGGUUGUAUGCGGCGUUAGAAAGACACCAUGUGGCAAAAAGAAAAAUCAUGAAGUCAUUCGGGAGUCCGGAUACUUACGAUCUCGCCAGGGGCUUGGCCCUUGGAGGCCAAUCCUCGUCGUCGUCACCGGCGUUGGCGGAACAGUCCGGGGGAAGAGGUCUUCCUUCUUGGACCCUUCGGCCUCCCUCGUUGGGGAGACCCUCCUUUUCUCCCCCCCCCCCCCGCUGGGGGAGAGACCGUUUUCUUCUCCUCCUCGUUCUCGGGGGAGGAGUCCGCCUCAGAGUCAUCGGACACCUGAAAACGGGAAGUCUUUCGAGUGCCCGUGGCCUCCUUUUUGGCCUUCUUCUCCGGCACCACGUGAGGUGCCAGAACCAGCAGCCCCGUUAAACAAGCGUCCGCUGGGUCUUCUGGCAAGGGGGCCGGAUAGUUAGUCUGCUCGGCCUUCUUCAGCCAGUCCUGUCAAAGGAGAGGGAGUUUAGAUCCCGCAUAGAGUCAAACUAUGAAAAACAAGUGUCCCGUAAAGGGUAGAAUCGCUUAUCUCGCCAGGCUGGCGGUGCGAGCUAAAUCCGCAGUCUUCGGUAGCGGAUGCGGGAGCCCCGGCACCCUUGAACAGCACCUUCCAGGCAUCUUCGUACCUUGUGUGGAAGAGCCCGCUCAAGGUUUGGUGCUGGGCCGGAUCGAACUCCCACAACUUGAAGGCCCGUUGUUGGCACGGGAGAAUCCGGCGGAUGAGCAUGACCUGGACUACAUUGACAAGCUUGAGCUUCUUGUUCAUCAGCUUUUGGAUGCAGGCUUGGAGUCCGGUCAGCUCCUCCGAAUCGCCCCAAGUCAGGCCACUCUCUUUCCAGGAGGUGAGCCAUGUGGGGAUGCCAGAUCUGAAUUCGGGGGCCGCUGCCCAUUUAGGGUCACGCGGCUCGGUGAUGUAGAACCACCCCGAUUGCCACCCCUUGAUGGUUUCUAUGAAGGCGCCCUCGAGCCAAGUAACGUUGGGUAUCUUACCCACCAUGGCGCCUCCGCAUUCCGCUUGGCUGCCCUUUACAACCUUCGGCUUGACAUUGAAGGUCUUGAGCCACAAGCCUAAGUGGGGCUAGAUGCAGAGGAAAGCCUCGCACACGACGAUAAACGCCGAGAUGUUGAGGAUGAAAUUCGGGGCCAGAUCAUGGAAAUCUAGGCCGUAGUAGAACAUGAGUCCCCGGACAAAGGGGUGAAGUGGGAAGCCCAGUCCGCGGAGGAAAUGGGGAAGGAAUACCACCCUCUCAUGGGGCCUAGGGGUGGGGAUGGGCUGCCCCUUGUCGGGGAGCCGGUGCACGAUGUCGCUGGACAGAUAUCCGGCACUGCGCAGCUUCUUGAUGUGCCCCUCCGUAACGGAGGAGGCCAUCCACUUGCCUCCCGCUCCGGACAUAGUUGGAGAAGGUUGAGGUGAGAUAUGCGGGCUUGGGCACUGGAGCUCGAGUGCACGGAGAUGGAUAAGCAAAGGAGGAAGAGGCGUAGGUAAAAAGGUGGAUCCUUAUCCCCUUAUAUAUGGGCGGAUGAAGCUAUGCGUCCCCACCGGCCUGGUAAAACUCGCUUUUUUCCCAAGCGCCGCAAUCAAUGGCGCGGUUGGGUUACCCACGUCCGUAUUGAUGGGAAUCCCGGAAUAAGGGGAACACGAUCUCUGCUUCGACAAGACGUGCCAAGGAAACCGCUUCGCUAAACGCGCUGAGGUGGUAUAAUAAACGAUUCAAGUAAAGGCUUGGUUGUGGUGUGACGUCACACCACGAAAUACGUCAGCAGAUUGAACUUGUGUUAAUAUUAUUCUCUCUACGGUGGAAUGUGGAAUUUAUUUUGCAGAGCCGGACACUAUCCUGGUGUUCACAAUCUUCUACAAAUUAUUCGAAGGAGGAACCCGCCUUGCAAUGCCGAAGACAAUAUGCGCGCCGGACUCGUUGUCAUUGAAGCCUGGUUCAGGGGCUACUGAGGGAGUCCUGGACUAGGGGGUGUCCGGAUAGCCGAACUAUCAUCAUCGGCCGGACUCCAAGACUAUGAAGAUACAAGACUGAAGACUUCGUCCCGUGUCCGGAUGGGACUUUCCUUGGUGUGGAAGGCAAGCUUGGCGAUACGGAUAUGUAGAUCUCCUACCAUUGUAACCGACUCUGUGUAACCCUAGCCCUCUCCGGUGCCUAUAUAAACCGGAUGGUUUUAGUCCGUAGAAGAACAACAAUAACAACAAUCAUACCAUAGGCUAACUUCUAGGGUUUAGCCUCCUUGAUCUCGUGGUAGAUCUACUCUUGUAAUACCCACAUCAUCAAUAUCAAUCAAGCAGGACGUAGGGUUUUACCUCCAUCAAGAGGGCCCGAACCUAGGUAAAACAUCGUGUCCCUUGUCUCCUGUUACCAUCCACCUAGACGCACAGUUCGGGACCCCCUACCCGAGAUCCGCCGGUUUUGACACCGACACUUGAGACUUAAUAGCAGUACGUGGCAUAUAUUUUAAACCAUGAUGCCCAAGCUCGAUAGCCCACUUGGCAACUCAUCCUAUGGCCUCCCUAUUCUGGAUUAUGUCUCCCAAGGGGGCAUAACUUACCACAGUUAUAGGAUGACUUUGGAAGUACUGCUUCAACUUCCGAUUUGCCAUAAACACUCCGUAAACAAGUUUCUGCCAAUGUGGAUACCUUUGUUUAGACUCAAUGAGCACCUCACUGAUGUAAUAAACCGGCCGUUGAACCGGUUGCUCCUUGCCGGCUUCCUUACGCUCCACCACGAUCACAACACUGACGGCUCGUGAAUUAGCGGCCACAAAUAACAGCAACGGCUCUUUAUCAAUGGGAGCUGCAAGGACUGGUGGCUCUGACAACUGUCUCUUCAAAUCUUCAAAAGCAGCAUCUGCAACAUUACUCUAGACAAAAGUGUCUAUUUUCUUCAUCAUCUGAUACAGCGGUAGGGCCUUCUCACCCAACCGGCUUAUGAACCGGCUUAAAGCAGCAACACGACCCGCCAGUCGCUGAACAUCAUUGAUGCAUGCCGGUUUAGCCAGAGAGGAAAUCGCCUUGAUCUUCUCCGGGUUAGCUUCAAUGCCUCUGUUCGGGACUAAAAACCCAAGAGCUCGCCUGCAGGUACACCAGAUACACACUUGGCCGGGUUAAGCAUCAUCUUGGAGAUUAUCAAAGGUCUCUUUCAAGUCAGAUAUCAAGGUUUCCUUCUCUCGGGACUUCACCACGAUGUCACCCACGUAAGCAUGAACAUUACGCCCGAUUUGAUCGUGUAGACAGUUUUGCACACAUCGCUGAUAAGUCGCCUGAGCACUCUUGAGCCCAAACGGCAUAGAUACAUAACAGAAGGCUCCAAACGGAGUGAUGAAAGUCAUCUUCUCCUGGUCCUUAACUGCCAUUUUGAUCUGAUGAUAACCAGAGUAAGCAUCCAAAAAACUCAAACGUUCACAACCCGCCGUAGCAUCAAUGAUUUGAUCAAUACGGGGGAGAGCAAAGGGAUCAGCCGGAUAAGCCUUGUUUAAGUCCGUGUAAUCCACACACAUCCGCCAGGUGCCGUUCUUUUUAAGCACAAGCACCGGGUUAGCCAACCACUCCGGGUGAAAAACUUCAACAAUGAACCUGGCCGCUAAGAGCCGGGCGACUUCCUCUCCAAUAGCUUUCUGCCUCUCUUCGUUGAACCGUCGAAGAAACGGCCUGACCGGCUUAUACUUCGGAUCAAUAUUGAGAUUGUGCUCAGCGAGUUCCCUCGGUACACCCGGCAUGUCAGACGGUUUCCAUGCAAAGAUGUCCCGGUUCUCAGGGAUGAACUCGAUGAGCGUGCUUUCCUAUUUAGGAUCCAAAUUGGUACUGAUGCUGAAUUGCUUAGAAGAGUCGCCCGGAGUAAAGUCAACAAGCUUCGUCUCAGCGGCCGAUUUAAACUUCAACGCUGGGUCUUGCUCUGUAGUUGGCUUCUUCAGGGAGGUCAUAUCCGCCGGGUCAACAUUAUCUUGAUAAAAUUUUAGCUCUUCCGCUGCACAAGCAGACUCAGCAUAAGCCGCGUCGCCUUCUUCACACUCCAAGGCUACCUUUUGACUCCCAUGCAUAGUGAUGUGCCCUUGUGACCCAACAUCUUGAGCUGCAAAUAAACAUAACACGGCCGUGCCAUGAACUUAGCAUAAGCCGGCCGCCCAAACAGAGCAUGAUACGGACUCCUGAUUUUGACCACUUCAAACGUCAAUUUCUCAGCUCUGGAGUCAUACUCAUCUCCAAAGGCCACUUCCAGCUCAAUCUUGCCAACUGGGUAAGCCGAUUUACCAGGAACCACUCCAUGAAAAACAGUGUUGGACGUCCUCAAAUUCUUAUCAGUUAACCCCAUGCAUCGAAAGGUUUCAUAAUAGAGGAUAUUGAUACUGCUACCUCCGUCCAUGAGUACCUUAGUGAAUUUAUACCCACCAACUUGAGGCGCUACCACUAAGGCUAACUGACCCGGAUUAUCAACCCGCAGAGGGUGAUCUUCUCUGCUCCAUACAAUGGGCUGUUCUGACCACCUCAAAUAACGAGGAACUGCCGGCUCAACAGAAUUCACGACCCUCUUAUGAACCUUCUGGUCACGUUUACAUAGGCUAGUGGUAAACACGUGAUACUGCCCACUAUUCAACUACUUCGGAUGGCUUUGAUAACCCGACUGCUGCUGCUGUUGCUCUCCUUGACCAGACUGCUAUUGAUUAUAGCUGCCUUGAUGUCCCUGAAAACCGGAGCUUGAACCGCCACCCGGGCCAUGAAAGCUGCCAGCUCCCGAGCCGCUGCCGGACCGAUGACUGCCAUCAAAAGCGUUGGAAUUCUUAAAAGCCUUCAUGAUCGCGCAAUCUUUCCACAAGUGGGUGGCGGGUCGUUCCUGGGUGCCGUGUCUCGGGCUAGGAUCAUUUAGUAGCUGCUCAAGAGAUGGGCCUAACCCACCAGAUCGAGGGGGUGGUUUGCCCUUACGUCUCUGAUUGUUACCCUAUGCAUUAGCGUUGGCUACAAACUCCUGGUUACCAUCCGCCUUAUGCUUAUUGCCUCCUUGAUUCAUCGGGUUAUGCUGCUGACCCUUUCCAUUGCCGUUCUUCUUUCCCUUCCCUGUCUUUUCCUCAUCAGACGCGGGAUCCUUGGUACUAUCAGAGUCGGCAUAUUUGACUAAAGCCGCCAUCAGUGUACCCAUAUCGUUCCAAUCACGCUUAAGGCGCCCCUGUUUCUGCCUUAGCGGCUCAAAGCGGCAAUUCUUCUCCAACAUGAGGACUGCAGAGCCGGCAUCCAUCUUGUCAGAUGAAUGUAUUAUCUCCUUGACCCGGCGUACCCAAUGAGUCGUAGAUUCACCUCCUCCUGCUUACAAUUUGUCAAGUCCACAAUUGACAUAGAUUGCUUACAAGUGUCUUUGAAGUUUUGGAUGAAACGGGCCUUUAACUCUGCCCAUGAACCAAUGGAAUUGGGUGGCAAACCCUUUAACCAAGACCGGGCCGUUCCAUCUAGCAUCAUGGUGAAGUACUUAGCCAUUUCCGCGUCGCUGACCUCCAACAGCUCCAUGACCAUCUCAUAACUUUCGAUCCACGCUCCGGACUGUAAGUCGGCCGUGUAAUUCGGCACCUUUCGAGGUCCCUUGAAGUCCUUGGGUAGGCGCACAUUACGCAGAGCCGACACCAAGCAAGGAACACCGCCGGUUCUAGUAGCCACUCCCAUCUCAACGGAAGUCGUCGGAUACUCUAGGAAAUCUUGAUGAGCCGGCUGCUGAGCAGCUAGCUGAGCCGCCCGCUCGUUCUCCUGACGUAUUCGGUCUUGUACCGGGUUAUAGCUACCGGGCUGGUUACGGUGCUGAGCGUUGCUUGACGAAGCUUCUGACUCCAUAUCCCUGCUAUAACUUGGACUCCGGUUUUGACGAGGCGGUGCUAACCAAGGCGGAGGAGUUGAAUGAAUCCUGUCCCGGCUAUAAGAAUAAGUCUCUUGCUGAGCCAGGGCCGUCUGGAGAAGUUCUCUGACCCUCAGAGUCUCCAUGCUGUCGGGUCAUCACCGUCCACUGGGAGAGCCGCCAAGCAUGCUGAUGCUGCGAUUAAGUUCUCCAUGGGGUUGGAAAAGUGACCCGGCGGUAUCGGUACAUAACGAGGCGGUGCCAUGCUCCCAUGAGGAGGUGCCAUCUCCUGAGGCUGAGCCGGUCCUCCUGUUCCGGCUGUCAUAAACUGGUUUGCAUCUGGUGGGUUACUUGGGCCGGCUCCGGGUGUAGCAAAAAGAUUCCGAGGAUCAUAAACCGGAGGUAAACGGGACUGGGUUUUCUGAUGUCUCCUCCUCAUCACCUCGUUAGACGUGUUUAGGCUCAUCGUGAGCUGGUAGGCUUCUGACUGUAGCCGCUAUACCCGUGCAUCCAAAGUCACCCGUUCUGUGGCUAACCUGGUGUCCUCAGCUGCCAAGGCCUCCUUGGCCCGAGCUAUCUCCUCGCGCACCCGUGCCACCUCCGUGUCAUGCUCAUCUUUAUUUGCAGGAAUAACUGUGGCGGUUAACAGGGCCGUAAGCUUAUCCAUGAGAUCUAUCAGCACCUGAUCCGGCGGGCGCACAAGGCCUCCUGCCCCGGCUGCUCCUGUCCUGGACGUUAUUGCUGUAGCAGUUGUAGAGUUUUGGUCGGGUUCAGUCCCAACCAUGAAGACUCCUUCCCAUCUUGGGGGCUCAUAAGGGUCCAGAAUACUGGUGCCAUCAGAAUAGCCCCCGAGCCCACCGUCUUGCACUUGGUACAACGAAUCUGUUGAACCGGCGGACGAAUCACCGUCAGAGAGGACGGCCGUCUCACCACCAUCUUCAGAUCCUUCGGAAAGUUCCUCUCCGUGGAUGCAGCCCACGAAGGAACACUUCAUGACAGGUUGAACUCGGGCCUUUCUCUCACGCUGAGCCGUCUCGACGAGGUCGGUGCAGUUGUCCGGCUCGGGGCCCGGCUCACCAAUCCGACUGAUGAAGACGUGGAUUCCGCCGAAGGGGACCCAGUACCCGUACUCAAUUGAGUCGGCGUCGGGGCCCCAGCCUUCGUCAUCGAUGUAGAUCUUGCCGCGACGACUCUUGGUCAUCCGGCCCACUAUGUAUCCCUUGAGCCCUUCGAACUUGCCCUUCAAGAACUCAAAUCCACCGUGCGCUGGCCCCAUGGUGGGCGCCAACUGUCAUGGAAUUGUCAGGUCAGAUGUCCUAUUUAAAGGACUUAGUUGUGGAGCCAUCGCAACUAGGAAGCUUGAAGGGGUUAAUCGGGACAAGGGACACGAGAGAUUUAUACUAGUUCGGCCCCUUACGGUGAAGGUAAGGCCUACGUCUAGUUGGGUUGGUAUUGAUUGAUGUUUCGAUUACCAAGGAGGGAGAUACGCUAUGCCCGGCUCUCGAUGAGUUGUUUCUUGCCCUAAGCCGCGAGCGGGUCGCCCCCUUAUAUACAUGGGUGGACACCCUGCAGCCUACAGAGUCCCGGCCGGCUCAUAAACAGUGUCCGGCUCGGUGACUAGUUAAGUCUACCUUAUGUUACAAGUCAUAUCAUUAUGGCGGUUUACCACUAUGGGCUUUAAGACGCUUGUGGGCCUUAGACCCUUUAUUGAACCGCCAUCUUCAUGCUUGGUCUUGGGCUUCUUUCUGAUGAGUCUUCUUUACGUAACCCGGCCCCUCCUGGGCGGCUUACACAAAUAGUUAUAUCCCCAACACCCAACCCGGCAGAUAGUAACCCAGUUCUAGUUGACACAACACCGUCUCCACCACAGAGCACCCACACACGAGCAGUUAGUAAGGGAACUGCAGUGCCCAAAGCACGAGGACCACCACUCCGAAUCCCCACUCAAUGCUUAAAGGAGAAGGAGAUUUGUUCUCGGGUCAGGUUCUGUAGCUAUGGUUCAUACUCCUUUGCUCUUGCACUACUGUAUUUACUCAUACCAACUAUUUUCAAAUUUGAAGGAUGGAAUUGAAACUCCAAUGGCGCAACAGGUAUGUUUUAAACCUGUUUCUUUAACUGGUUUGCUGUUGUAACCUGCUCUAUGUUGAUUUCAGUUUCAAUUGAAUAAACAGUUAUGUUCUCAUGUCAUGCACAUUACAAGUGUUGUUAUUGCUCUAUAUUUACCCACACUUACAUUUUGUCUAUUCUGCUUUGUCUUGAACAAAUAUUAUUUGAACUGUGUCUCUAUCUUGAUUUGGCAACAAAAACUAGAAUGAUAUAGACCAUAAAGUGACCAUGGUACAUAGAUAUAUGUUUGUUUCAUGCUGUUAUCAUGUCCACUUUACUACUGAACUCAUUUACCAAAAUGAGUUUCAUAUACAACAUGGUAAACAUGUGAUGUGUCUGCUUGUUUCUCUUUUAGAAUGCGGACAAAAUAUUGGAGAACAGUACCGCGUUAUCCAAUGGUAAAGGAAGUAAUGCAGAUAAGGUUCAAGAUAGUGAGACAUCCCUGUUGGUCUCCAAGAAAGCUGAUAAAAACUAUCUUGACAACAGUGAGGGAACCCAAAAGUCCUGUCUUGAUGUAGUGUUCGAGUUACUGGCCACUACUGCUGGCACAAGCUCUUCGAACUCGCUGUCUGAAUCAGUUUGUCUUCUUGAGUCUCAACUUCAAGUUGAAAGACAUCGAUCAGAUGUGCUGCGACAGGAAGCUGAAGGACUGAGGAAGUCCCUGCAAAAUUCAGAUGCAUAUUUUCUGGUGCAACAGCAAGCGCUGGAGGAUUUAAGCGCCAAACAAGAGAAAGUUAAUAAGCUUGCUAAGCAUCUUGCCAGCAUUAUGGGUACCCAGGAUAUUGUUUCCUGAGAUCUUCUAAAGUGGUUUCAGUUCUGGAUUUGUUUUGCUGCGGUGUUUAUUUGUGCUGGUCGCUUACUUUGACAACCGGUGUAUGUGAUAUGCUACUUUGUUCCCUAUAUUUGCAGUGGUGGCGAACUUUGAUGCUGAGUGGAUGUAAUAUGUGUAAUAGCCGUGAUAGCCUAGCAUUAGUUGCUUGCUUAUUUAUUUCCUUGUUGUCUUGUUUAUUUGUUUGCUUGUAGUCAUUGUAGUUCUUUGUCCGCGGUUUGCUAGUGGCUGCAAUAAACUAUUUUUUAAAACUAGGCCACAAUAACCAUGGGCUAAUAUUUACUAUAGUGACAAUGGGCCUCCUACUGGCCGUAGAAACAGUGGGCCUUCUACGGUCCGUAGAAACAAUGGGUCUUCUAUGGGCCGUAGAAACAAUGGGCCUUCUGUGGGCCGUAUCAUCAAUGGGCCUUAUACGGGCCGUAUGAUCGAUUGGCCAAACAUGGGCCAAACAGACCGCAUUAUGGUUGUAAAUGGGCUAGAGUUGGAAUCAUCCGUUCAUGGGCCGACCAUAACGGGCCAUCGUUAAUAGGCCAUAUUUGAUGACACUAUGAAAAUGGCCCAACGUAUUAACGGACCACAAAUGGGCCGACUGUAACCACGGGCUGAAUUUGGCCCACAAGCAGAAAAUGACAGUAACGGGCCGUAAGUAAACAAAUGCUGGAAAUGAGCCCAAGAAUAAAUGGGCUCUGAGAAGGCCGAAAGAUAACAUGGGCUGGAAACGGCCCAACGGAAUAACAGGCUGUUAAUGGGUAUAAAGUGAUACACUGUUCAUUACAGGCCAGUUUCACCACGGGCCGUUAAUGGGUGUAAAGUGAUACACUGUUCAUUACGGGCCAGUUUCACCACGGGCCGUUAAUAGGCCAAGAGUUACAUAGGGCCUCAUAUGGGCCGAAAGACGUCAUGGGCCAUACAUGCUCCAGAAGUGAAAACGGGUUGGAAUCAUAUUGGAUGGCCCAGAUGAUGCUACUGGGCCAAAUUCGGAUAGGGCGUAACGGGCCUUAGGUUAACGGGCUGUAAAUGGGCUAUAUGCGAAUAGGCCGUUAACAGGCUUUCCAUGGGCCCGCCCGCCACCUUUUGACCAAGUCAAACGGUCCGGCCUUUUCAUAGGAAUGGGCCUCUGUUGGGCCAUGCCACGUGUCGACGUAUCAUAGGCGCCUUCUGUCCAAUGAGUGGAUGACAUCUGUCCCAACGAUGAGCCGACACAUGUUUCCUCCAGCCAAUGAUGAUUUUACACAUGAAAAAUCCCCAUUGGUCGGGGCUGUUAACGGGUUAUCGGAUCCAAAACCCGACCCGAUAGCUUAACGGCAUUCCGUUACGGUGGAUGCCAUGUGUCGGUCACCCUUGACAAAAGCACUUCUGUGAUGCGCAAUUUAUCGUCAUGGAAGUGGACACUUCCAUGAUGAUAAUUUUGGUAAUGUCAUGGAACACUUCUACGACAUCACAUGUAUGACUAUCUUGAUUCUGUCAUAAAAUCGUCAUGGAUGUACAUGCAUGACAAAAAACGCGACCUACUGUGACAAACACGUAUCAUCACUGAAGUGUAUUUUUUUGUAGUGAAUGCACGUGCAUAUCUACCUCAUUCAACUUUUGGAUUUUUGCCGGCCUCUAUGGUGAAGAGAAUUGGUGAUCGAUGGAUUGGUAUUGGUGGAUAUAGUUUGCUAUAAUAGUUUCAUGUUUGUUGGGUGUGGUUUGUAUGCUCUUUUCAACAGGAGGAAUGUUUGGUCAUGAAGGUAAUGCUCUUUGAAGUCAUCAUGUGCAUGCUUUACGUUGGACUACCAAGGUGUAAAUGGAAGGAAAGAUUGGAUUAUAUAUCCUUGUUGCAGACAGGAUGUAACUAAAAUGUAUAUCUAGGACCUUCGGCGCAUUGUUAGUAUAUUUCACUACCUCUUUAAGUACGAACAUCUCAUGUGCUAGCUAAUUUUGUUCAUCUCCGAGGGAUCGUGGUGUACACUGGGGUGCUUUCUGUGGAUUUUUUUCAUUGCGUACUUUGUCACUAGAGAAAUGGAGAAACAAAUUUUGUCAAAAACUCUAGUGGGCAUGUGAAUUGGAUCAACUGGUAGCAGCAAAAAGGAUGAAUUCCUAUCAGUAAAGGUUUUGCGGUGUUUUUACUUGUCGACAUUUGCUGGCUGAUGUGUUUUGGUUUUUUGUAAUAGAGGGUGUGAAUAUUUGCAUGAACAGGACGACUGGUCCUUGCAUGGAUUGUACUCAGGUUGGAUGGGCCAACCGAGCAUUCGGUCACGGCUUGCUUGGGCGGGCUCCGGAAUCAAGCAAGCCAAGCCAGUGUUUUGGUAUCAUUUCAAUGUCCGACCCAGUUUGGCUCGGAUCAGCGAGCCCACAAGCUUAUUUGCUCGUAGCCCAGUAGCAUGUUUCGCACAACAACUGCAACGUUCGAUCUUUGUCUAAAAUGCCCUGCAAUGUUCGAUCUAAUCUAAAAGACGAAAUCAAUCCGACAUCAAACAAAAUUCAGCCAAACCUUGGCUUUCGCUCUCCACGUCCUCUCUUAUGUCCCAUUCCUAUAGCCUCUCAAAUGUCGACCUAGUUCCAUGUUGACACCCCCAAUAGACACAACCCUUCUCUCCUAACUCCGACAUCCUGCUGAAGCAGCAAUGCCUCUCCAUCAUCCUGGGCCCACACAACAGUGACCUAUGCCCCCGGGCUUGCUGACCAUGCCAAGCUACAUCGAGAUGGGGCAAAGCUCAGGCUGUUUUACAUUUUCCCUACACUUUUUGCAAAACAUGUCCAAAUUUAAGUUUUUAAAUUUUCCUAACUAGUACAUGUAGUAACAUAACUUCAUCUGGAAAGAUUUUAAUUUUUGAAGUUUUUAUCAUUUUUUUUUGCUUUUUACAAAACUGAAAAGGUGAUCCGAGGGGGGGGGGUAGAGUUUGAGAAUGGGACCUUUAAUACCGGUACUAAUGCCUCAAACCCCAUUAGUACUGGUUGGUGCCACGAACCGGUACUAAUGGGCAUCGCACCCUUUAGUCCUGGUUCCUAGCACCAACCGGGACUAAAGGUUCCAUUUGAACUGGGACUAAUGCCUGCACGGUUCCUAGCCGCUCGAACUGGGACUAAUGCUCACAUUAGCACCGGUUCGUAAUGCAACCGGGAUUAAUUCUCUUUUAUGGCCGAACCAAAGCCCUGUUUUCUACUAGUGCAACCUAAACCCACCUCUUCAUCUUAAUCUUCCUUGUUAACGAUCCUUUGUUUUUGUUGUGCGUUUUUAUGCAUGUCUGUGUUUUUGUGUGUUUGUGCAUGGGUUUAAGGAUUCAUGCGCAAGCCCAUGACUGCCGAGGAAUGCGAGGAGCACAUUAACAUCUACAUCAAGUUCUCGCAGGUUAGCAACGCGAGGUGACCAAUGCACGUGCAUAUCUACCUCAUUCAAGUUUUGGAUUUUUGCCCGCCUAUAUGGUGAAGAGAAUUGGUGAUCGAUGGAUUGGUAUUGGUGGAUAUACACUACAAAAAAUUACACUUCCAUGAUGAUACGUGUUUGUCACAGUAGGUCGCGUUUUCUGUCAUGCAUGUACAUCCAUGACGAUUUUAUGACAGAAUCAAGAUAGUCAUACCUGUGCUGUCGUAGAAGUGUUCCAUGACAUUACCAAAAUUAUCAUCACGGAAGUGUCCACUUCCAUGUCGAUAAAUCGCGCGUCACAGAAGUGCUUUCGUCAAGGAUGACCGACACGUGGCAUCCACCGUAACGGAACACUGUUAAGCUAUCGGGUCGGAUUUUGAAUCUGAUAACCCGUUAAUAGCCACGACCAAUGCCGAUUUUCCACAUGUAAAAUUCUCAUUGGCUGACGGAUCCACGCGUCAGCUCCACGUUGGCACAUGUGUCACUCAUCCAACGGUCGAGAUGGGCCUAUUGUAUGUUGACAGGUGGACCGGCCCAAAAGUGGCCCACAAAGUUUAAAUGGGUCGGCCCAACUGAAGGCCCAUAAGAUUUAGCGGACCAUAAUGGGUCGACCCAGCUAAAGGCCCACAAAAUUUAGCGGACCAUAAUUGGCCGGCCCAGCUAAAGGCCCACACGAUUUUACAGACCAUAAUGGGUCGGCCCAGCUAAAGGGCCACAAGAUUUUGCGGACCACAAUGGGUUGGCCCAGCUAAAGGGGCACAAGAUCCUGCAGACCAUAAUGGGCCGGCCCAGCUAAAGGCCCAACAUUCUCUGUCAAAUCGGCCCAUCAACGUCCUGUCCUAAACUUGUCAUCAAUGCGGCCCAUGGUCACUUCUGGCCAUUAACAGUCCGCUAAGUAAUUGGGCCGAAUUACAACUCGGUGUAUUUAUGGCGUGUUCAAGGUACGACUUCAUUUGGGCCCAUUUAUAGGCCAUCAAAACUUUCAGCCCAUAAACGACCGUGAAGGAUUUCGUUCAUAUUCGACCAUGUCUGACAUUCGGCCUGUUAGAGGCCCACUAUAGAUUUGGGCCACUUUCGGCCUGUUGUCAUUUUCGGCCUGUUAACGCCGGACGUAAACCAUGGGCCAUAUGUGGCCCAACGUCAUAUCGGGCCCAUUAACGGCCCAUAUAAAAAUGACGAUAAUCUAGCCCGACCGAAGUUCUAGCCUGUUAAAGGCCCGUGUAUUAGGUCGGCGCAUUUACGGCUCGUCCGAAUUUCGGCCUGUCAAAGAUCCGCAUCGUGAAUGGGCCACCAUUUCGGCCUGCUAUGUCCAGUGGGUUAUUUGGCACAAUCAGGGCCCAAUCUCACUUUUGGUCUAUUAAAGGCCCAUGUCUUUAUGGGCUCGAGAUAUUUACACCUGUAAACGGCCUAUUUUUACUGAGGGCCCAAAUUAUGUUUAGGCCUGUUAAAGGCCCACUAUGGGCACAUGCCUACCAGAAAAAUAUGAAAGCUUAUGCUGAUUUAGGCCUAGAUAUUUUUAGUGGGCUACAUGCCAAUUUCGGCCCGUAAUCAUUUUUAGCCCAAUUGGAAUGUGCCCGAUGAAUGUUGGCAUGUUGGGCUCCCACGAAGCUUUCGGCCGAAUACGUUACUAAGAUAAGCCUACACUAUACAAAAAUAGUGUCGUAAUUACUGCAGCCUGUGGCGGCAUCAUAAAUGUUGUAUUACAAGAAAAUAAAUUCCAACCAUACAACAAAAGGCCUGUUGGCAUAAAAGUUUACAGUCCUUCCAGAUAAAAGCACCAUCAGAUGUAUAGAAGCACAUAUCAUUUGACCUGAGUGCUAAUGUUUCAGGCUAUAGAAUUUGAUGGAGCAGCACGAUCUCCACCUUUUUUCCGCCAUUGCUCUUGAACAACGAAGCGAAUGUCUGAUAGUCUAGUUUCAAAACCAUUCAUAUCUUGACGACAUUUCUCAACCACUAUUCUUAUUUCUGAAACAACGUCCAUUAGGGAUUGGAGUUGUGUCUGGAGCAUAGAUAUAUCACUCUGUCUAGCAGGAGGGUUUUGUGCAGUAGGCGAUUUGGACGAGGUUACCUUGACAACCAAUCCAGAAUUACGCAGGAAGGUGCUUUUUGCACUGUUAGUUGAGAGAUACUGACGCACUGCAGCAAGAGGUGACAUCGUGCCUGUAGUAGCCUCGUCAGCUUCAGGUGGUUGUGGCUGUUCAAUCAUUUGUUCCAUAGCUUCCUGAAAAUUUGAACUUGUAGAUUAGUGUACUAGAUAAGCUACUAAUGAGACAAAAACAAACAAAGUAGGUUAAACGUUUAUACAUAACUUAUUUUGGUGAACUAUUGUAAUACAUUAGCAUGUAUUGUAGUGCCAACUACAUAAUAAAAUCACUUUCGGAACAUAUGUCCAUGUAGCAUGCCUACUGUAUUGUCUAUUUCCUCACAUUCGUUGACAUCUAAGGAUAAAGAGACAUGGUUUAAAGUAGGAUGAACAUAGUAUGACAUCAUUCAUAUCAUGGGCAAACAAAUAUAAAACAAACAGGCUAUUUUAUCAUUGUGUGCGCACGUGAACAUAACAACUAGAUUACAUAUCAAGACCAAAAGAAUAUCCUUCAUCUCUUUUAAACCAUGUAAGGUGAAAUGAUACGUUAAGACAACUGUGUAUAAAAGUGAACAGAGUAAUUGACAUUGGCUGCAAACCAAGUAGUUAAAUGAACACAUCACAAUACCAAUCAGUUCAAGGCAGGAGGAGUAAGGACUUACAACAUCGGCUUAAAUUGGUGUGCUCAUGCCCUUCAUCUUAAUAGUUUGGCAAUCCUUGAAGAUUUGCACUGCAUUCAGUUCAGGUUCUUUUUGGUCCUCACGGGCUUUCCUCUGUAUUUGGAACAAGUCAAUAUAGAUACGAUAAUAUGGCACAAAAAGAAGAAGGAAGUAGCAGCUAUUUACAAGAGCCUUGCAGUGUGCAAUAUAGCUACGAGAUCAUGUAGUCUGUUGGAAUUUCACUUUAGAACGGUUGGUUUUGUUCUUCAAACAGUUAGCCUAGAAGAAGAUACACUUGUAAGGCACAUACAUAAAUACAAGUUCAGUAUGUGGUCUGAUCAAAUACAUAUAGCCUACCUGAUACUUUGGAUUAGACUAGUGUUUAACAAGGGAUGUCCAGUGUUCAUCUGUAAUAUAUUCCAUUGGAGAUGUUUGGGCGAUUUCAUUGUUAGCCUUGCCUUCAAAGUGAGAUUUUCUAAGGUGGUACCGAUACUGUCGCAGAGCAGACUGAAAAACAUGAGUACAUGCUUGUUUUAGUUGCAUCAUCUUUCGGAUCCAACUUGAACCUCAUCUGUUGAAAAAAGAAUGUGAAUCUUAUUAGGAGGAAGCUAGAAAGUAUGGGACAGAGCAAGACAAUAUUACUAAUUGUGAUGAAUAAAAUUACUUACGGAUAAAUGGUCAAGGAAGGUGUUAAACCGGGUAUUGUCUUUCUCAUUCCUGUACUGGAUCCACGUUGGGAGGAUACGUGCAUGACACCUAACGGCAACGACUGCCUUUGAUACUAACUUGGCUGACUCUGUAGCAUGACGUGGCCUUUUCAAACCUGCCUUAAAAUGGAUCUCCAUUCUUCCUCCUUUAGAUUUUGUUAAUCUAUCAAGCAUUAUCCCUGAUGUUUCUUUUCGCUUGCGCCGUGGUGCUAGUUCAACAAUGAAUAUGGAAAGUGUUAGUGUACAUCAAACUAUGAGAGUACAUAUAAAGGAGCAUGAAACUGCAACUUGCCUCGGUCAGGUACCGUCUUGGUGUUGAUGCUCAUGAGGUUCAUCUGAUCUUGCCAAGUCUAGUUGUGUCAGCAGUGCUUCGGAAGUAGUGUUAGGUGUGAAGGCAGCUUGGGAACUGGCCAGUUCCGGAACAAACGAAUGAGUAACUGGUUGAGAUGCUGGUACAGUUGAAUCGGAUGCUGCAACUGGUGGAGCAGGUGAUACUGUGUUUGUCGAUUUAGCCGGUGGACUUGGACCUUCUACUGCACUAUAAGUACCAGCAGAAUCUCGACGGCAGAUCCUUUUCUGUUUCACCCGACGAGUAACAACACUCCCUACUAUAUUAUUUUCCUUUCUCUUUUUUUACUUUGCCAUGUCAAGCUGUACCCACAACACAAAAGAAUAAAAUCACUCUUCAGAACUCAUUGAUGCAUGAUACAGACAAGCAAUACUUUGAUGUAAGACAACCAUAUGAGGAUGGAAUAUGUAAGAAAAACAGGACGGCAUGGCAUAUUUACAACUACGAUGUGCAAACUAAGCAGAAGGAUUUUCAAGAAAAUAGAAGUCAUGCAAGCUAGACACCAUAUGAAAGAUGCAACCAAUAUUACUCUGCCAAGUUAAAAGUGUCUUGUCAUAAGUGGCAAUUCGAAAAAUUAGAAGCAGUACAACAUAGAAAUCAAUGCAAGAUGCAACCACUAUCAAACUGCCAUGUUAAAAGCGUCCAAUCAUGAGUGACUGAUGUGGGAUACACAACAUCAGUACUUUGAUGUAAGAACAUGGUAUGAUAGAUAGAUGAAGUGUAUUCUAGACACAGAAAGCCAUGUCAUAUGCACAUGUAUAAUGUAUAAACUCAGCAGGUGCAAUUUAAUCAAAAUAGAAGAAAUACAGGCUAGACAACAUAUGCAACAUGAAACCAAUUAUCACAAGGUCAACUUAGAGCAAGCACCUGCGAUGGUGGAGUACGGGAGAUGAACUCAUCAUGUAGACUUGGGACUUUAACUUCAUUAGUAGUAGCAGUGGCAAAUCUAGAGAGUCUCUGUUUGCGUCAGUGCGGAGGACCACCAACAUCCCCUAACUUACUCUUUUCCUUCCUAUUUUCUGAUAUUGCCUUAUGAAGUCAAAACCACAAGAAGAUGAAUAAAAUUAGCUCUGCAUAACUGGUUGAUGUAUGAUACAGACGAACACUACUUUGAUGUAAGGCAAGCGCAGGAUAGGAGGAUGGAAUAUAUACAAAAAAGACAGUGUUUCAUAUUCACACGUACGAUAGGAGGAUGGAAUAUGUAUGAAAAAACAGUAAGCGGAAGGCAUUUCAACAAAAUUAGAAGAAAUGAAAGCUAGGCGCCAUAUGAACAUGCAACCAAUAUCACUCUAUCAGGUAAAAAGUGUCUUGUGUAAGUGCCAUUUCAAGAAAUUAGAAGCAGUACAAGCUAGAAGGCAAUGCAAGAUGCAACCUACAUCACAGUCCCAAGUUAAAUGUGUCUUAUGGGUAAGUGAUUGUUGCAGGUAUAAGUUGUAAGCUACGCAGAUGCAAUUCAACAUAAUCAGAAGCAAUACAAACUAGACAUCAUACGGAAGACACAACCACAUAUAAUAGUUCCAAGUAAGAGCAAGCACCUGUGAUGGUGGAGUAGGGGAGAUCUGCUCAUCAUGUACACGCAUGUUCUAGAAACAGGAACACGUGUCAUAUUCACAGGCAUUAUGUGUAAAGUAAGCAGAUGCAAUUCAAGUUAUUAGAAGCAAUACAAGCUAGACAUCAUACGCAACAUGCAACCACAUAUAAUAGUGCCAAGUUAGAGCAAGCACCUAUGAUGGUGGAGUAGGGGAGAUGUGCUCAUCAUCUACACAGCUACGUUGACUGUCCAACCUUGUGUUGUCUUGCAAAUCUUGUUGGGAGGAUGGCAGAGUAGAAUCUGUAGAGACCCCCUGUUUGAGUUGCUCCGAAGGACCACCAUCAUCCACUGCCGGACUAAUUUCCUUCAGAUGUAAUGAUAUUGCAUUGUGAAGUCAAACCGAUAAGAAAAAGGAAUAAAAUUCGUUCUUCAGAAUUAUUCAUGCAUGAUACUGACAAACACUACUCGGAUGAAAGGCAAACAUAUGAUGCGAGGAUGGAAUAUGUAUGAAAAACAGGAUGGUGUGACAUAUUCACACCUAUGAUGUGGUAACUAAGCAGAAGGCAUUUCAACAAAUUAGAAGCACUGCAAGCUAGACACCAUAUGAAAUAUGCAACCAAUAUCACUCUGCCACGUUCAAACUGUAUGGCGUUUCAACAAAUUAGAAGCAGUACAUGCUAGAAAUCAUAUGCAAGACAAAACCAAUAUCACAGUGGCGACUUAAAGGUGCCUUAUCAUAAGUGAUUGAUGCGGGAUAUGCAAGAAUAGUAGUCUGAUGUAGAAACAGGAACACAUGUCAUAUUCACAGGCUUUAUGUGUAAAGUAAGCAGAUGCAAUUCAACAAUGUUAGAAGCAAUACAAGCUAGACAUCAUACGCAACAUGCAACCACAUAUAAUAGUGCCAAGUUAGAGCAAGAACCUAUGAUGGUGGAGUAGGGGAGAUGUGCUCAUCAUCUACACAGCUACGUUGACUGUCUAGCCUUGUGUUGUCUUGCGAAUCUUGUUGGGAGGAUGGCGGAGUAGAAUCUAUAGAAAAUCUCCAUUUCAGUUGCUCGGAAGGACCACCAUCAUCCAAUGCCUUGCCAAUUUCCUUCAGCUUUAUUGAUUUUGCAUUGUGAGAUCAUACCAACAAGAAAAAGGAAUAUCAUUCACUCUUCAGAACUCAUUCAUGAAUGAUACUGACAAAUACUACUUUGAUGAAAGGCAAAGUAAGGAUACGAGGAUGGAAUAUGUACGAAAAAAUGGACGGCUUGACAUAUUCACACCUAUCAUGUGGUAACUAAGCAUAAGGCACUUCAACAAAUUAGAAACACUACAAGACACCAUAUGGAAGGUGCAACCAAUAUCACUCUGCCAAGUUAAAACUAUCUCGUCAUAGGUGGCGUUCAUCAAACUAGAAGGAAUACAUGCUAGAAGUCAUAUUCAAGACACAAACCAAUAUCACAUGGCCAACUUAAAGGUGUCCCAUCAUAAGUGACUGAUGCAGGAUACACAGGAAGAGUAGUUUCAUGUAAGAACAUAGUGUGAUAGAAAGAUAUAUUAUGUACCAAAAACAGGAAAGCAUGUCAUAUUCACAUGUAUCAUGUGUAAGCUAAGGAGAUGCAGUUUACACUAAUUAGGAGCAAUACGAGCUAGACACUAUAUGCAACAUGCAACCAGAUAUCACACUUCCAAGUUAGAGCAAGCACCUUGGAUGGUGGAGUAGGGGAGCGGAGACUUGGACCUUGUAAUGCACUAUCAGUACAAGGAGAAUCGGUACAGAUGCUCCUUUUACGUUGCUGCAGAGGACCACCAUCAUCGCCUUCCUUACUCUUUUCCUUCCUCUUUCUUGAUUUUGCCUUGUCAAGUCAAACCCACAAGAAAAAGGAAUAAAAUUUGCUCUUCAGAACUCAUUGAUGCAUGAUACUGAUGAACACUACUUUCAUGUAAGGCAGUCGCAUGAUAGGAGGAUGGAAUAUGUAUGAAAAACAGGACGGUGUGACAUAUUGACAUGUAUGAUGUAUAAAGUGUAAACUAAGCACAAGGUGCUUGAACUUGUUAGAAUCGAUACAAGCUAGAAACCAUAUGAAAGAUGAAACCAAUAUCACUCUGCCAAAUUAAAAGGGUGCCCUAACAAAUGUAUUUGACCAAAUUAGAAGCAAUACAUGGCAACAGGCUAGAAAUAAUAUGCAAUAUGCAAUGAAUAAGGUGACUCAUCGUAAGUAAUUGAUGCAGGAUACAGAAGAGAGGUAGUUUCAUGUAAGAACAAGGUUAACACAUAGAUGUAGUGUGUACCAAAAAUAGGAAGGCAUGUCAUAUUCAUAGGUAUAGUGUGUAAACUAAGCAGAUGCAAUUUACCCUAAUUAGAAGCAUUACAAGCUAGACACCGUAUGCAACAUGCAACCACAUAUCACAUUGCGAAGUUAGAGCAAGCACCUGUGAUGGUGGUGUUGGGGAAGUGCGGUCUUCAGGUACAGAGCUAUGUUCAAUAUCUUCAUUUAGGCUUGCUGUUUCUUGAGAAUCAUGUGGAGAGGAUGAAAUUGCAUUCUUUAUAAGAGUAUUGUGUCUCAUAUUAACCCAGCGCGUGUCUGUCUCAUCAUAAGCGAUAGAUGCAGGAUACACAAGAACAAUAGUUUGAUGUAAGAACAUGGUGUGAUAGGCAGAUGUAGUAUGUACCAAAAACAGGAAGGCGUGUCAUAUUCACAUGUAGAAUGUGUAAGCUAAGGAGAUGCAAUUUAACAAAUUAAUUAGGAGCAUUAAUGAGGGAUACACAAGAAAAGUAGUUUGAUGUAAGAACAUGGUUAAUAGAAAGACGUAGUAUGUACCAAAAACAGGAAGGCAUGUCAUAUUCACAGGUAUAAUGUGUUAACUAAGCAGAUGCAAUUUACCCUAAUUAGAAGCAUUACAAGGUAGACACCAUAUGCAACAUGCAACCACAUAUCACACUUCCAAGUAAGAGCAAGCACCUGCAAUGGUGGUGUGGGGGAAUUGUGGUGAUCAACUAGAGAGCUACGUUUACUAUCUUCAUUUAGCCUUGAUUUUUCUUGAGAAUCAUGUGGGGAGGAUGACACUGCACUCUUUAAACGAGUAGGGCAUCUCACAGUAACCCACUCGGGUGACUGUCUCCUCAUAAGUGAUUGACGAGGGAUACAAAAGAGCAUUAGUUUGAUGUACGAACAUGGUUAAUAGACAUAUGUAGUAUGUAUCAAAAACAGGAAGUCAUGUCAUUAUCAAAGGUAUAAUGUGUAAAGUAAGCAGAUGCAAUUUAACCAAAUCGGAAGCAAUACAAGCUAGACACCAUAUGCAACAUGCAACCACAUUUGACAGCACGAAGUUAAAGCAAGCACCUGGGAUGCUUGUGUAUGGCAAUUGAGAUCAUCAACUGCAGAGCUACGUUUACUGUCUCCAACUGCUGACAAUGCACCCAUUAGAGCGCUGAAACGCUUAGUGCUUAUCUUCGAAUUACACUGGAGCGACUUCUGUCUUUUCUUUUCUGCAUUCAUCAACACUGCGUCAGAGUCUGAAAUACCCAUGCAUAAAAAAAAUAGUGUGAGUAUGGGUGAAGUGUGUGCACAAUUAGUAAAGUGUAAAGGUAGCAGAUAGCAGGUCCGUGAGAAAUAAAUGAUGGGAGACAUAUGAUAGCUCGACAACAUGCAUGGCACAAUAAAAUUACUACAUGAUUCUAUGAAAAUAACAGUCGACUGAAAGCAAAUAGGUCAGUCCAUUUUUUCUGCACCGUCCGAUGUACAAAGAAUGGGCAGAUCGCCUUCAUCUACCUCCAGCCAGUCAGUGUUGAGGAUCUUCCUCGAAACGCCAGCGACCACCGGCCCAGUAUUCCUCCCCUGCCUGCGCCCUCCCCUCGACCUCACCGCACCGCCGUGCUUGGCACCGCCCCCCCGGCCAUCCAUUCAAGCCCCACCGACCUCCAGAUUGGCACAAGCAGCUCCUGCGCCCCACACCCCUAUGAUUGACACCGAUGUGCCACUUCCUUGGGGAACAGGAAGACUAGGUGCUCAGCGCGUCUAAGCGGGUGCUACUUCUUUUAAUUGCGGUUCGACUGACCCUGAAUUGAAAUCCAGGCGGGCUAGUGACCUCUAGCAAAGGUGAAAUAGUAAAAGGGAGGAGACCUUGUGCAUUUAGUAUCACGAAGAAGAUGCAGUAAGAAGCUCUCAACUAGUUUCUUUCGUGGGAUGAAUACGGUGUGAGCGGAGACGUAAGAUUUGAACGAAUAAGGGAAGAGGAGUACCUCUUUCUGCUAGCAGUGCUGUGUCCUCCUUCUGUUUUUCCGGCGAUCUUCUUGUUGUUCGCCGGAAAGCAGAAGUUGUGGAGGAUGGUGCAGCCUUGGACGAACCCAUGGACAAGUUGUUGAGUGUGGUGCGGUGGUCGUCUGUCGGCGGCGGGGAAGCAGAUCCGAGGCGGCGAACGACGGCGUAGCGGGAACAGCUCCGGUGCGGUGGACGGUCGCGACAGCGGAGCCGCAGCAGUGAGGUGCAGGAUGGUGUGGUCGGAGUGGUUCUGGUACGGCGCACGUCAGUGUUGGCAUCGUGGAGGUAGCUCUGCCUCGGCUUCGGCUGCUAAGUCCUUGAGGGCAUUGAGGUUGCGGUUGCGGUUGCGUUGGACGAUGACAUCGGGGUACCGGCUCCCGCGUGAUGGACGAGGGCGGUGGUGGAUUGGCCGCUAUGGGGUGGAGGACGGAGGAGGCUGGGGUUUCGCGGCUGGUGGAGAGGGCGUUUUCGUGCCCACAGAGUAUGAAUGGGGAAAUGGAGGGAGGCGGGGAACUAAGGGGGAACAAUGUUUCGGUUUGAGACGCGCUUGUUUGAAAUUUGGGGAAAGUUACAAACUUUGACCCCAUCUAAAAUUUCGGACAUAUUGCGGGUUGGGGGUAGGACAGUCAUGUCAGGUGUCCCAAAUGUGGGCGGGAUAGAUUUCGGCCGAGCGCAUGGGAGUUUAGGCGCCCACGGCGUAUGAAUGCUUCUUGGAGGCGGUUGAGACUGGCGUCUUGGUGAAGUUACAAACCUACCCCGGUUUAGACCUUUGGACAUUGGGCCGAUAGGCUACACGGGCCAGAGUCAGGACAGUAAUUUCCUACCACCAAACAUUAGUCUCGCGCGGUUUCGGGUGACCAGAGGCCUAUUUGGCGCUUCGUUCAAUAUUUGGGACCAGAAGCAUUAAUGUUUUCAGUUCUCUUGAAUUGAACUUUCAGGAUUUGUCAAACUUCACAAAUUUUUACUCUUGAAAAUCCUAAAGCUACGAUUAUUUUAGAAUGGAGGGGGUACAUUUGAAUAUACAUUGUACACGAGUAUAUAUUAAAAAAUAUGCAACUUACCUUAGUUCAUGAAUGGUUCUAGAUAUAAUCUCCUUGGUUGCAAAAAAAAAAUUAGAUAUGCAUAUGAAUAUAUAUAGCAUGUUCAAACUCACAACAAAGAUUGAUGCCCCAUUUUACAUCUGAUUUACAAAUGCCAUUAUCUCGGGUUCAAAUAGAUGAAUGCACUUCCUAUGAAUUCGAAUCUUUGAAACCCCCUUUAUGUUGAAUUCGACAUGUAUUCUAUUUCGUAGCUAGCAAUUUGGAAUGUAUCCAUGCAAGUGACAAAUGUAUAAAGUGAUUCACACUAACAACAUGGAGUGCACUAAUUAAUGUUUAUAUAUGAAUUGCAAAAGCAUCCGUUGCCUAUAUUUCAAACCGCUCUCACUCUAUGGAUCGAUAAUAUGAAAUAAACACAUGCACAUGCUAGAAUUCAAUAGAGUAUGGGUGUCUAAUAGACCGAUUUUCGUCCAUACGCAAUUUGCAAAAUUCAUGAUCUCAUCCAAAAAUAAUAAUGCCAUUUAUAAUUUAAUUUAAUGUGUAGAACCGCCUUUUACACGUAGAUGCACUAUGUCUCCGUUCUCACAAACACGUUAUAUAUCUCUCUAUCUAACGCAUAAGUGCACACACUUUAUAUGCAUCGACAUUUCUCUUUCACACAUGCUCACAAUCUCUCUUAGGGUGUCGGGGUGUCUCACGCACAUGCUCUCUUUGUUUCUCUCUCUCUCUCUUUCUGACUACUAUGUACCGCUCUUUUCACUAAUCUCAGUUGGAAAACACUAUUUCUCUUACAUGCAUAUAUACACACGCACAGUCUCUACUAGCCCUCUAUACGCACAUAUAUGUGCCUACAUGUCUCCCGCACGCACAUUAUCUUUAGGCCUCUCUCAUACACAUUGCCCCCCCCGACACACCUCUCUCUUAGUAGUUGGCAGAUAUCAUUUCAUCAUAUCAUUCGGUAGGAUAUCCCUGGCUGUUAGUCUGGAUGGUAAUACGAGGCAAAGUUUUACCCUAGUUCGUAUCGGACCCUUGCAGUUGAAGAAAGAGCCUACUCCUGGUACUGUAUAUUAGUGAUAGGGGUGUGUACAAAGUACACGUGAAUGCCAGGCAUUGUGCGUGUGUGUAUACUAUCGACGAACUAGCCCCAAGCUUGUAUAAUAUACUAAGAGCCUAGGGUUACAAAUCAUAUAUAGUCGGCUUAUCACCAGUGGGGAUAGAGUCCUCCGCGACUCUAGUAGCUUCGUGUUGUACGCCGAGUCCUCCACAUGGGUCUUCGUAUAACACGUCUCGGUCCAACCUAUAUGUGGUGCAGGAUGGUACCGACCCAUGAGUCUUCAUGUUAACCCACCACAAAUAGAAAUGAUGUGCCCACCACACCACACAUGCAAUCGGCCACUAAGAAAAUAAGCAUAUACAAUAGUACAACGGUAUCUAGCUCACGAUACGUCUCCAUAUCUUGUUGAUGACACCGACGGACUUUGCAUUUGAUGUGUGCUACGUAUUUUCUUGACGACACUUACGGUCAUUGUAUUUGAAGCGAAAGCACGAUAUGGUCACUGGACUUCAGAAUAAGCUCAUCACGGUCACCACAUACAUUUUGUUGUGCUAACCAACAUGUGGUUGGAUGGUUAGGAGGACAGUGGUUUCUCGAGCCCACCAAGGUUAAAGUCCCAGUGCUCGCAUUUAUCUUGUGUUAAUUUCAGUAUUUUCCGGUGAUGUACCACUACUAGGGAAAAGCCUAGCAGCAGCGCGGGUUUUAGGCCUAUCAGUAGCGCGGGCAGGAGUGCUACUGAUAAGGCGCUACAGCUAAAGCUUAGCAAUAGCGCGCCUAGACCCACGCUACUGCUAAAUUGACUUAGUAGUAGCGCUUCUCUAGAACAGCGCUACUGGUAAUUAGCAGUAUCGCUUCUCCUUUCCCGCGCUACUACUAUUAUUUAGUAUUUUUUUCUUUUUUAUUUCAUGUUGUAUUCAUACACCUUUACACAAGUUUUCAUACAACAGGAAUUUAGAGAUUGUUUUUACAUCAUAAUGAGUUAUUACAUCACGUGGUGAAAGAACCGUGGACUAGUUUCAAGUGGAUGUCCAUCCACUUGAAACUAAUCCGCGGUUCUUUCACGCAAUGAUAUAAUAAUAUCAUCAUCAUCAUCAUAUCAUUAACAACUUAUCAUCAUAAUACAUCAUUGUCAUAUAACACCUCCUCAAAAUCAUCGUUUUCAUCAAUGACAUCACAUAGCAAAUUGGUCACUAGUCGUAACCACUAAUACUCCUCAUUAUCAACUCUAACACAUUACCACAUAAUAAACAUAUUGUACCUCAUAGGACCUACUACAUUCGAUUAAUACCUACUACAUUUUCUAAGGUACAAUAGCAAAAAACAAGAUAGCCCCUGACUCUCCAUUAUGGAGAAUGGAGAUUAGCCUGUCUCCAAUUCUUGCCUUUCACUAAAUGUUGCUUCCAAGAACCUCCUUGCGAAUGUCCAUACAUUUCUUCCAUUCUUUGAUGAACAUGUGUUCACCGGUUUUAGAAAUCCAAUAUGCACAGGUGAGCUCCCUAGAUUUACCUGGCAGUAUGUUCAAAAUUGUAAGGCGGCCAUUCAGAUACAUCAGAUGAGGCACACAAUCCAACAGGAGUUUCUGUUAAAAAACAUAGUAAUAACUUCGUAGUUAGCAAUGAUGUACUAGUUUUAGAAGUAUGCAAAAGAUGCACGGAUGUCGUAAUAGUAAAAAAUCUUACCAGGGUAUCUCUAGAGAAGUUACCGUGGUUCAACACGUGCACUAGUGGCACGUAUUCACCAUAAUUUGGAGGAGUUCGAUAAUAGUUAUUGUAAUCCUCAAUAAGAGUACAAAAUGCGAUCAGAUGAUUUUUCUCCUCAUAAGUUAAUUCAGAGCCAUCGGUGUAGUGGGUUUUGUCUACCAUCUUCUGCACAGUCUUUGAAGAAUCAAAAUAAGCUGUCAAUGGAAAUCAGUUGUCAACUAUUUUGAAAUAAACAAUAUAAAUUAGUUAAUAACUAUGUUUGAGAAACUCACAUAGCGGUACAAUCGGAAGCCUAUCAACAAGGACCCAAAUGUCCAUAUUGUCUUGCUCGAUGUCAGGAUCACCAAGAUCCAUGGUGACAAUCAUACCCUCAUAAAAACCAUACAUUUUGCAAAGUGCUUCCCAAUUUUGGCAACCAAAAUGGGUUACGCUCUGAGCAUUGCAGAAAUUUACUUCAAAAUCCAUAUCAUGAUGGGUCCUUAGGUGUAUUUUCUUUGUUUCAAAAUUUUCAUGGUCUUUAAAACCCAUCCUCUCCAAGACAUAGCGUCUUGCAUGGCAUGGGAUAAGCUAGUCGAAUUGUAAAAGAUGAAAAUUAGACAUUGAAAUAGUUGAAGUCAUGCUUAAUUAUGGAAAAAAAUACUUGUCGUUGUUGCGUACCGUUUCAACAUCGAAGGUCUCCUCGAGCUUAAUGCUGAAGCGUCGAUCUUCAUCCAGCUCAACGAACCUCUCGCACAUACCUCGAUCGUCGUGGCACCAGCUGCACUCCCCCGGGAGACUGUCGUCGUCCGAGUACGACAUUUCCUAUGUUCAUAAUUCAAAGAUUAAACUUGUACAAUUAAAUAUAUGUACUAAAAAACCUAAAUUAGAUCAUUAUUUUUCGAGAAAAUCCAGGCCACUCAAUAUUUCCUACAUAUUCUAGCACAAGUCAUGCCAGAAUUCACGGAAAAAUCUGGCAUGACCUUUGCUAAAAAAGGACAUAUCGAGCGCUUGAAAUUUGCCGGAACGGAAAUUAAUCAACACUCCGGCAAAACAUAGGCCACUCGGAGGUGUAAACUGAACCUGAACGGCCACUUGGGCAACCACAUAUCCUAUUUGAGCAACAUAAGAUAUACAUGGAUAUUUGGCUGGUCUCACCUUGAUGUCGGAGGGGGUCGGUGACGGGGAGGACGGUAGGGAUGAUGGAGGUGCUCCUUGAUUUCUGUAAAAGCAAAAACCGUAUAAGUUAUCACUAAUACAUCCCGAAUAAUUGCUUAAACUAAAAAAUAACAAGAAAUAUGUCAUGUUCAACUAGUUUAUUAAUUCAACUAGUUCUUACUAAAUAUAAACUUACUAUAAAUAGAAAAAAACUAGUUCUUUCUAAAAAUAAAGUAGUUCAACUAGUUAUAUUAAUUAUCUUACUAAAAAUACAUUAGUUCUAUUAAUUCAACUAGUUCAACUAGUUUAUUAACUAAUUACUAAACUAGUUGAACUACAACUACUAUUAAUCAUACUGCCCUAGUUAACUAGUACCAUCACUACUAGUAAUUAACAUCUACUACUACUAAAAAUCAUUAUCUAUGAACCCUAAAUUAACAUCUACUACUACUAAACAACAUCUAGUACUAACUAAGCAGAGAGAAAGGGGGUGGGGGCGACGGAGAGGUAGGGGCGGCAAGGGCGGGAUCGGGAUUGGGAGGCGGCAGUGCUGGGUGGGCUCGAGUGGCCGCGGUGAGGUCGAUGGCGGUGGGAGGAGGGCUGCCGGUGGAGGAGGGAGGAGGGGCGGCCGCAGGCGGAGGGAGGAGGGUGGCGGCGGAGGAGGGAGGGGCAGCCGCAGGCAGAGGGAGGAUGUGCGAGGAGGAGGGAGGAGGGACGGAAGGGGGGGAGUACCUCGGCGGCGGACGGACAAAGGCGGCGGCGACGACGACGCACGAGGACGGUUAUCGGCGCGCGGGCGAGAGUGAGAGUGUAAGUGAGAGAGAGGGUCGGGCGCGCGCGUGGGGAUAAGGUAGGGAUAGUUGUAGCGCGUUUGCCAAAAUGCGCUACCGCUAAUCUGAAUAGCAGUAGCGCUCUGCACUAUUACGCGCUACUGCUAAGUUGGACUACCAGUAGCGCUUUGCAGAUAAAGCGGUACUGCUAAGUGUAAGUAUACAAAAAUACGUCAAUGCAAAAAUACAUUGGCCAUCAAUGAUCUUUUUGUGUACAAUCUGAAUUGUCAAUAUGAGUCCUCUCCGGUAGGAACCGGAGAGAACUCAUAUUGCGGCCACAAAUUCUACAUAUAGAGUUCAGUGAAGACCAACUGGUUGUGAUAGUUUCAGAAGUAACAUAUUUAAGGUGAUAAACACCCUGUUGGCGGAGCGAGGUGGGACUAAACUUGUGGGCUGAUCUUAGUAGUAGCGCUUUUCUUAGAAGCGCGCUGCUGCUAACUUCUAUAGUAGUAGCGCGGUUCAAUAUAGGGCGCUACUGCUAUAACUAGGUGGGUGGCAAGGUCAUGGCAAUUAGAGCAAUAGCGCGGUUUGGUGUGGACGCGCUACUGCUAUUUUCCUUUCAGCAGCGCGUUUUGCUAUCACGAGCUGCUGCUAAAUAGCAGUAGCAUCUUAUUUUGAGGAGCACUGUUGGUAAGAUUCUGUGUAUAGGCUUUUCCCUAGUAGUGUACUUCAGUGGGAGGAGACGUUCCACUCGACUAUGAGGCACCUAUGGUGACUUCGUAAAAUCUCAAGAUCAUAUAUGCUGGCCCACUCUCUCGAAGGUGCUCAUAGGGGUAGGGUUCGCGUGUGUGCGCUUAUAGCGGUGAGUGCUUGCGCGUAUAUAUGAGCCCUUGCGUCCGUACCGUGUUAAACAAAUACAUGACAUGAUUAUACGGUCACUGGCUCACCGGUACAACUCUGUAUUUUGUUGAUGACACAAUCAAUUGACCAGUCAAAUGUUCCACGCGGCGCAACUAGUGUUGCACCAUCGGGGCGCGUAACCGUGGGGCCCACCUCUCAGCCCAUAUAUGAAAGUAAGAAAUGGUAGUUUGAGUCUGUACUGUGUUAAUAAAAUAGGAGUACAUUUUAGGGUGAUCAUACGGUCACUGGCUCACCAUACAGCUCCGUAAUUUGUUGAUAACACGAUCAAUUGACCAGUCAAAUGGUCCACAUUCAGCAGCGCACAUUACCAUAGGGCCCACCCAUCAGCGCAUACAUGAAGGACAGAAAUGGUAAUAAAUUAGUGGUCGGUGGGUAUUCAAAGUCGUGAGACCUCUGGUUGGCAGUCACCGGCGGUUGGGGGCGUUCAUUGGGCGGUGGGGUGGGGAUNNNNNNNNNNNNNNNNNNNNNNNNNNNNNNNNNNNNNNNNNNNNNNNNNNNNNNNNNNNNNNNNNNNNNNNNNNNNNNNNNNNNNNNNNNNNNNNNNNNNNNNNNNNNNNNNNNNNNNNNNNNNNNNNNNNNNNNNNNNNNNNNNNNNNNNNNNNNNNNNNNNNNNNNNNNNNNNNNNNNNNNNNNNNNNNNNNNNNNNNNNNNNNNNNNNNNNNNNNNNNNNNNNNNNNNNNNNNNNNNNNNNNNNNNNNNNNNNNNNNGGCGGCGGGGAAUGGCGGUUCGGCCGGUGGUGGCUGGCGGCUCAGGGGGGUGUGGAGUUUGAUGAUAAACUGGAGGCGGUUAAUUUGGUAUCCAAUGGAUGGAAAAUCUAAUGACCAGAGAUGAAAAAGUCAGUCGACUGACGUGUAGCCUCCCCCUGCACGUACACAUGCACGCACGCAAGACACGCAUGCAUGUAGGCGUGCAACACUGACACGUACACAUAAUGUACACACGCACACAUGAUGGCGUGCAACACUGACACGUACACAUGCACUCAUGAACACACGCACGUACGCACCCAUGCAUGCAACACUGAAACGUACCCUUGGACGCACGCAAUACUCGCACGCCUGCAUGCACACAGCACACGACACAAGACACACGCUCAACCUAUACGCGCAUGCACCCUUUGUUAAGGACAUGGAUUGUUAUGGGUAUUAAUCAAUCUUAUUUGUGAUAAGCAGAACAUUGAAGUUUGCAGCGGUCUUUAUGAAUCACAACGUAUCGAACGGGCUAUCAACAUAGCAGGCUUAUCUACAUGAAAAAUAUGAUGUCACACUCAAUGAACAAUCAUCGGUGUAUGAAAUGCCCGCUUGUGACCGCCCUGGCCCACCAAAGGUUCCUCUGCUGUGCGCUGCCUGCGUUGGGUCACUGACAUGCAAGCCACGCACCCAAAGAGCCCACACGUCAGUGGAAGAACGGUGCGGUGUCCUAGGUCAGAGUCGAGGGCGCCACUCGCGGCAUGCCCGUCUGAACACGCCUCCGUGCCGCAUUCAAACGCCUCCAUGAAACCCGCCCGUGUGGAAGCCGAGAAACCCACUCUAGACAGACGUCCGUUCAUGACCGGGCGGUGUUAAACGCAAUGCCGGCCGAGCUCCUCCCGUCCGCCGUCUAUUUAAUCUCCUAUUUAAAGGAGGCCAAACGUCGGCCAAGAAUCGCACACCUCCGCCGCUCCCCUAUCUCCUCCACCAUUUUGUCCACUCUUACAAUGGCUUACGAAGAGUAGUUAUUCCGCAUCCAAGCCGGCUGGGCAGCCCGCUGGAUACACCCUAUGCAGCUCGCUGAUCAACCUCCCUACCCACGCCCGAUGGAGCCAGUUGCCGUUCCAAGCCGGCGUGCAGUUCAGCAACUCGCCGCUCCAGGCCAGCUCGACAAGCAGCGGCGCAUGAGCGUUGUUGCUGCCGUCCACGCCGCCGCCUCAUACCGCGUCUCCCGUUUCUGUGGCCGAGACUCACAUGCCGGUGGCCGCACCAUGUAAGCAGUGACAGAACCCGGGUGCGCGCAGAGCGACGAGUCGGUGGCCAGCGCCUCCGCGCCCGCCACCAUCAUCGAGGAGAAGUAGAACACGGGAGGCCGCCGCCGCUUGGGUCCCAUGAAGGCCACCGCAGAGGCAACGCCAGCGUACACAGCAGGUGUCUUGCCGGAUCAUUUUGUUGGGAGGACCUUCGUAGACCCUGCAUGGGCUCCACGAAAGAGGGGAAUGUUAGGAUGAACUCAAGCCGGUGCUGGCCAUGGCGAAGUAGUGGCCGGUGAUGAACUCGAACCGGUGCCGGACACCAUCAUCUUCGGCACCAGCCAAUGAUAUCAAUUGGGCAGUGGGGAAGCGAGCCGUCCUUUGCGCUGAAGCAUAUACCUCCAGGGAUCCCGGCAGUCCGGUGAUCGUGCUGCCGGACAUGAGGAACACAAAUCGAUCUGCGGGCGACCAUUUAGGCCAGGUAUUAUAUACCUCUGCUGUCCAGAAUUAGCACCGCGUAGUUUGUCUAAAUGUAAUGAAAUUUGUCAUGUUUGUAUGAAAAUCCGGUGUUUUAUAUGAUUUCCGUCGUUGUUUAUAUGAAAUAUCAAUUUGUCUACAUGUUUGCGUGAAUUUCGUUCGGUUGGUUGAGUUGUUGUCAUAAUGUGUGCGACUACGGUUGGAUGGCGUAAUUUGUGGGUCACCGGUCGGUCUGCGGGCGGCUCGGUCGGCGUUGUGGGACAAAAAAACACAGCUCGUGUGAGCUCAUCUCCAACGUGCGCGUUGGAGGAUGCAUGACAGCAUGAGCACCCGAGCCAUUCCUCGUUCAUCGGUGGCAAAGGCACCGGUGGACAAAAGGGUCGCCAAUAUUUUGGUUACCCCGGGCAAGAUCCAAACUGAAGGAAAUAUGCCCUAGAGGCAAUAAUAAAGUUAUUAUUUAUUUCCUCAUAUCAUGAUAAAUGUUUAUUAUUCAUGCUAGAAUUGUAUUAACCGGAAACAUAAUACAUGUGUGAAUACAUAGACAAACAUAAUGUCACUAGUGUGCCUCUACUUGACUAGCUCAUUAAUCAAAGAUGGUUAUGUUUCCUAACCAUAGACAUGUGUUGUCAUUUGAUUAACGAGAUCACAUCAUCAGGAGAAUGAUGUGAUUGACUUGACCCAUUCCGUUAGCCUAGCACUUGAUCGUUUAGUAUGUUGCUAUUGCUUUCUUCAUGACUUAUACAAAGUUCCUGCAACUAUGAGAUUAUGCAACUCCCGUUUACCGGAGGAACACUUUGUGUGCUACCAAAUGUCACAACGUAACUGGGUGAUUAUAAAGGAGCUCUACAGGUGUCUCCAAAGGUACAUGUUGAGUUGGCAUAUUUCGAGAUUAGGUUUUGUCACUCCGAUUGUCGGAGAGCACUACUAGGAAAAGGGCUAUAGAUAGGAUUGACACUAAUGGCGCACCUGGGAAGUACUGCGCCACUACUAUAUACUAAUGGCGCACCAGUUGGUGAGGCGCCGUUAGUGUGGAAGACACUAAUGGCGCACCAGACAAAAGGUGCGCCACUAGUGAUAAUUUUGUUUUUCAUUUUUACAUACAUACUAAUGGUGCAUUCGACCUAAGUGUUCCAUUACUAGUUCUAACCAGUAAUGGCGCACCAGACUAGGAGUGCACUAGUACUGAUUUUUUUUAUUCUUUUUUUUGCAAAACUACUAAUGGCGCACCGUGUCACAGUGCGCCAUUACUAGUUUAAACUACUAAUGGCGCACCGUGUCACAGUGCGCCAUUAGUAUAUAUAUAUAUAUAUUUUACUUUUCUGCAAAACUACUAAUGGCGCACCAUCUGCAGGUGCGCCAUUAGUAACCAGGGUUACUAAUGGCGCAUUUGCAGGUGGUGCGCCAUUAGUAACCUGGGACCCCAACAAAAUAUUUUGGACAGCCACACCUACCCACUCACUUUCCCCACUUCAUUCCCUCCACCUCCUUCUCCAAGCUUUCGGCUGCCUCCUCCUCCUCACCUCAUUUCCACCAUAGAUUCAUCAAAAUUAAGUGGUGAAAUUACCUUUUUUUGAUAGGUAAGUAAGGGGAAAGCUAUCUUCAUGAUGUAGAUCUACUUUUUUUCUUCCUAGCUCGCUCCAACAACGUGCACAUGCACUUUUUGUGGCCUAGCUAGAUCUAUGUAUGUUUGUGGUGUUGCAUGUGUUUGUGGUGUUGCAUAUAUGUUUGUGUUUGCAGGUACCGGUAUUUGAAAUGCGAUAGUUGCCAAUAUUUUGCCGGAAUGUUGAUUCAUUUCCGUUUUGGCGAGAAUUUUGGCACUAUGCAUUCUUUUUGGUCCUAUUUUUAGGGAAGGUCAUGCCAAAAUUUUUCUUGGUUCUAAAAUAUCGUUUUGCUCUACCCCGCAGGCGACCAUGGUCCGCACGAUGACCGAAGGCAUCGUGAAUAGGUUUUUGAGCUCCGCGAAGGCCGAGAUGCUUCAAAAGAAUGAGACGGAGAUAAGAUGUUGGUGUCGAAGAUGCAAGCUGAAGAGCCUUAUUGCGGACCCGGAUUCCGGAUAGGUGCGGGACCACCUGCUCUUGCGUGGUUUCAUGGAUGGCUAUCGGUGAUGAAGAUGACUAUGAAGUCGUCCAUGGGGGCCGGGCAAGAAAUGAGGAAGGGCAACAUGACAAGUACCACCGCGGCGAGGGCGGGCGAGAAGACGAAGAAUCUCCAGGACAUGAUCACGGCGGUGAUGUUGUACACAGUUAUCAUGUAGAAGAUGUCGUACAUGAUGAUGAGGAAGAUCAAGAUGAAGGGCAUGAUCAUGAAGAUGAAGAUGCCGAAGCAGACGACAAUGGAGGCUGGGUGCAGGACCCUCAUAUUCAAGAGCUGCUUCUCAAGCAGACGGAUAACGCAAGAGCUGUCGCUCGAGAGAAAGCCAAGCUGGAUCAACUGGAGAUAGACGCGGUUACUCCGUUGUAUGAAGGAUGCAGGCCCGAGGAUACCCGCCUGAAAGUAACGCUCAUGGAUCUAGAGAUGAAGGUAAAACACAAAAUGAUCGACGCAUGCUUCGACGACAACAUGUCAUUCUGGGACGAACGUCUUCCCAAGGGGAACAAGUGCCCGACCAGUUUCGAGGAGGCGAAAAAAAUCGUGUGUCCUCUGGAUUUACCGCAUGUGAAAUACCAUGUGUGCAUGAACAAUUGCAUCAUAUAUCGGGACGAGCAUGCGGAGUCUACCAUAUGUCCGGUGUGCGGCGUCACUCGAUACAAGAAGAGGAAGAAAGCUCCUCGAAAAUCGGUGUGGUACUUUCCGAUCACUCCUCGUCUGCAGCGGUAUUUCGCAGACUUGAGAUGUACUUCCCGCCCGCAUUCUUCGACGUUAUGGUGCAUCUGUUGGUCCAUAUCAUGGAGGAUAUCAUCCAACUCGGGCCGACGUUCCUACAUAGCAUGAUGCCGUUCGAAAGGAUGAAUGGUGUCAUCAAAGGAUACGUUCGCAACAUGUCACGUCCAGAGGGAAGUAUAGCCAGGGGCUUUCUGACCGAAGAGUGCAUCUCCUAAUGCACGAAUUAUCUAGGCAUCGAGAACCCCGUUGGUCUGCCCGUCAACAGGCACCUCGCCAGGCUCGCUGGAUGGGGUCACCGUGAGGGUCGCCACGAAAUGCAUGUCGACUUUGAGGGUCGACUCGCCGACUUUGAAAGAGCAAACCUAGUCGUGCUACAACCCAUAGACGUGGUCGAUCCUUGGGUGGUAGAGCACAAAACCUUUAUUGAGAAGACGUACAAUGACCGAGGCCAACAGAGGACAGACGGAGAUAUAAUCAAAGAGCACAACUCAUGUUUCACGCGUUGGUUCAAGCAGAAGCUUCUGUCGUACCCUUUACAUGAGGAUUCUUCCGCGGAAGAACAACUCAUAUUCGCCUUGUCAUAGGGCGCCGAGCACAACCUGAUGACAUAUGAGGUGUACGAUAUCAACGGCUACACAUUCUACACCGAGAACAAGGACAUGAAGAGCGAUGGUUAUCAGAACACCGGGGUGACGAUGGAAUCCUACACCGGUAACGACAAGGACAGAUACUACGGAAGGAUCAAGGAGAUCUGGGAGCUGAGCUACGCUGGAGAGAAGGUCCUGAUGUUCCGUGUCAGAUGGGCCAAGAGCGUCCUAAAAGAAGACCGGUAUUUCACCACCAUGGUUAUACCCGAAGCCAAAUCAAAGACCGCGGGUGCAAACGUCACCAUGAAAAAUGAGCCAUGGGUACUGGUUUCGCAAGUGGACCAAUGCUUCUUCAUUACUGACCCGUCAAAGCCCAGUCGUGUUGUCGUGAGGACAGGCAAAAGGAAGAUCAUCGGAAUGGAUGGAGUAGCCAAUGAGCAAGACUUCGACAAGUACAGCGACCCGAAGAUCGAACAUGACGACGACGAUGAAGUAGCAACACACACCACAAGAAGAAGCAGGACCACCCUACCUAAAGGACGUCCAUUCCAUAGAAGAACUCCAUUUGCGAAAAAGAAGGGUAAGAAGAUUGUGAACAGAUAGCUAGCUAAGAUCGAUUGUAUUUAAAUCGUAGUCUUCAUUUCUCGAUUGUAUUUCAUGGGCACUUUUUGAUAUCAUGAAUAUUUUUAAAUUUCAUGGGCCCUUUUUGAAUUCAUGAGGACACUUGAUCUCGAUCCCCCUCCAUCUCGAUCUCAAUUCCCCCUCCAUCUCGAUCUUGAUCCCCCUCCANNNNNNNNNNNNNNNNNNNNNNNNNNNNNNNNNNNNNNNNNNNNNNNNNNNNNNNNNNNNNNNNNNNNNNNNNNNNNNNNNNNNNNNNNNNNNNNNNNNNNNNNNNNNNNNNNNNNNNNNNNNNNNNNNNNNNNNNNNNNNNNNNNNNNNNNNNNNNNNNNNNNNNNNNNNNNNNNNNNNNNNNNNNNNNNNNNNNNNNNNNNNNNNNNNNNNNNNNNNNNNNNNNNNNNNNNNNNNNNNNNNNNNNNNNNNNNNNNNNNNNNNNNNNNNNNNNNNNNNNNNNNNNNNNNNNNNNNNNNNNNNNNNNNNNNNNNNNNNNNNNNNNNNNNNNNNNNNNNNNNNNNNNNNNNNNNNNNNNNNNNNNNNNNNNNNNNNNNNNNNNNNNNNNNNNNNNNNNNNNNNNNNNNNNNNNNNNNNNNNNNNNNNNNNNNNNNNNNNNNNNNNNNNNNNNNNNNNNNNNNNNNNNNNNNNNNNNNNNNNNNNNNNNNNNNNNNNNNNNNNNNNNNNNNNNNNNNNNNNNNNNNNNNNNNNNNNNNNNNNNNNNNNNNNNNNNNNNNNNNNNNNNNNNNNNAUAUUUUCAAGUAACAAAUUUGAACAUAUUUUUUAAAAAAUUAUUAUUGUUUUUAUAAAAAAAUAUUAUUGUUAUGAUUUAAACAAGUUUGAACAUAUUUAAACACAAAUAAAUAUCAAACAACGUUUAAAAUGCAUAAAAAAUAUUGGGGAGCCUCGGAAUCGAACCCAGGACCUCUUGGUGUGUGUGCCACAUGCUGACCAGUCGGGCUAGUGGGGGGUUCUGUUUGAGAUAGGGUUAGGUUGUAGAUAGGGCUAGUGGGCUAGAUUAAAACAAAAUUCUAAUGGCGCACCGAGGGGAGGUGCGCCAUUAGAAUAGUCGUACUUAUGGCGCACGAGGGGGUGGUGUGCCAUUAGAACCCUCCCCCCACUCCACCUACUGCCCUCGCAUUGGUCCUCCCUCCCUCCCUCGCCAGAUCCCCCUCGAUCGACCACCGCCAUCCGCCACCGCCGCAGCCGCCCACGCGCCCCCGCCAUCCGCCGCCGCCGCCCACGCGCCCCUGCCGCCUCCCUCUCCCCUUCCUCCCCCUCGAGCACCGCCUCCCCCCCGAGCCCCGCCUCCCUCGUGAGUGCCCUCCCUCCGUCCCCUCCGUACCCUCUGUCCGCCGCGCCUGCACGCCCUAGGGUUCCGGCUCCAAGGUGGGUGGCAAGCUCGACACGCCGCCUCCUCCUCGACGCGCCGCCUCCUCGUCGACGCGCCUCCUCCUCGACGUGCCACCUCCUCCUCGACGUGCCGCCUCCUCCUCGACGCGCCACCGCCCGCCGCCUCCUCGACGAUGGCGCCCUCCUACGGCAGCCUGCCGUUAUCCCACAGGUGAUUCCUCACCUCUCCCCCCUUCCCCUCCCUCCCGCUAGGCUACCUCCCGCGAGUACCACAUCCCUCUUCCCCCGUGUUCUAGGGUUGGUCAAUUACGCAUCUCUAUUAGUCUGUCUGUCAACUAGCUAGUGUACUGAUUUUGGUAUAAUCUAUCUAGCUCUGGUGGUGUUCUGGUUCUUGCUUGUUUAUUCUCCUAGGUCCAAAUAAAUACAUUAUAUGACUAAUUGUUGAAAAAAUAGGCCAAACCUUGUGAACUCUCUUGUUUCUUACAUAGUGAAUGAACCAGGGUAUCACUUACAAGUGUUGUGCUCUUGCCAACUUUAUUAGAAUGUAGUGUAGCAUCACAUCCUUGCAACUUUAUAGGUAUCAAGUUUAGCACCACAUCAGCUGUGCUUUGUUUAUGUCACUGGUCCUAGUACAACAUUAGUCAUGUGUUGUCUUUGAUGGGUCUCUUGUAUGCCUCUUUUUUAUAUUUUGGCAUAUUGGCACCCAGUGAACAUGUGUUGUUAUAUGGCAAUAUUAUAUAGUGGUUAAAGGCUCAGCUUUGUCUGACUAAUGCUAUGCAAUGUUAUUUCAUGAGUUGACAAACUAUCUGCUAAUACUUCUUCAUUGUGAGUAGUUCCACUUUCAGUUUAUAAGAAGUAUACUAUGCUUAUAACUAAGCCAAAUGUUUACAUUAUUCUUAUUACUGUGCAUGCUGUGAUGUUCUAGACAGUUAAGUAUUUGCAACCUACUGCUAAACUAGAUCAUGAAUAUGUCAUUGCUUUUCAGUGAGCUCCUAAGUGUACUAUUAUUCAUUUAUGAUAGUUUGUGAGAUACAGAAAUAGAUAAAUUUAAGUUUGUAAUGGCUAACAUCCACACAUGUAAAUUUGUUCUUGAUACACCUUUUCCCUUUUCUUAGAAUCAUCAUAUACAUCUGCAUAUUUUAGGUUUCCAAGGAGGUAAAGGAAGUGAAGUUCAUACAGUGCAGCAGCAGCAACACCUCCAAGGUGAGAAAUAUGUUCAGUUAGGUACAGUUAGCAUCAUGUAAGAAAAUGGCCAUAAUGUGCCUUGAUAAUGAUGUAUUUUGUCAUAAAAAUAUAUAGUGGACUGCCAUGAUAAUGAUAUGGUCCUGUGUUUGCAAGCUGUCAUAAUCUUCAGCCACUGUUCAUUAACAGCAAGUCAGUUCUGUUUAUAGUUCAAAGUAAGUGUGUGGUUUGAAAUUUUGACUGUUGGGGUGUAGUAUUGUAACUAGAAGACCAUGUAUUUUCAGAAUUGAGCUAAAGAUUUGGGGGGUAGUAUUUCUGAUUUUAGAGCACCUUUGCUGGAUCUAUUUUACAGCAGUUGUUGGAAUUAAAACAAUGGUUGUGGGUUGUCCUGUUAAGUUGAGUGAGUCAUUAGAGGGCAGAUAGAGUCACCCACACCAAUUAAUGUUUAUGAAGAAGAAGAAUAAACCUGUUGCUGCUGCUGUUAUGCCUGUAUUCACUGUUGCUGCUGCUGUACUUGUGAUGAUGUUGUACUUGUGAUCAUGCUACUUGUGAUCUUCUGAAAUGACCCAUUGGCGACUUCAUUACGCGGGGUUAAUGAAUUUUCAGGUACCCCGAGAGGCCCUUGAGUUUGCCGGAAUGUCGAUUAACUUCCGUUCCGGCAAAUUCGGGUACUCCAUAUGUCCUAUUUUCAGCAAAGGUCAUGCUGAAAUUUUCCAUGAAUUUUAGCAUGACUUUGCUAAAAAUCGGACAUAUGAGGUACUUGCUACUAAUGCAUGGGCCGGGGUAUCUUAGUACUUAAUUAAGUAGGAUCAACUGCCCCUUUAUUCUUGCUGCAUUAAACUAUAGGUGGCAAUAGAGCCAAGUGAUUAGGCCCAACUUUGAAGUUCUCCUCAGCAUCGAUAAACCCUAGAUGAUAAACCCAACAUAGGUGGCAAUAGAGCCAACUGAUUAGUGCCAAGUGAUUAGGCCCAACCUAGGGUGCCUCGGCAUCGAUAAACCCUAAAUGAUGAAAACUUAGCAUUUAGGGUGCCUCGGCAUCGACAAACCCUAAGUGAUGAAACCUUGGCUUUUAGGAUGCCUCGGUGUCGACAAACCCUAAAUGAUGAGACCAUGAUCUUGUUCCUUGACAAUAACCAACUUUUUGACCAAACUUUUUUCCUAUUUAGAGCGAAACAUGGCCCACAAUGAUGAGGCCAGUGGUUCGGGCGGCAAGCAAUUCUGGGAGCUGUCCCAGGAGUUGGAGGAACAACCUCACCGCUAUGAGGACGCCGCGGAAGACACCGAUCCUGACUACACAACCCCUAGUGGCGUCGGGGAUGACACCACUAAUGGUGCCGCCGAGGAUGCCACCACUGAUGGUGCCGCUGAGGAUGCCACCACUAAUGAUGGCGGCGCACGCAUAGAUGGCAGCCAAUCGAAGAAGCAACGGAAGGACCGGCGCCCGAACGCGCUCCGCACCGUCAAGGAGGAAUUUACUCAAGUGGACUCCGACGGGCAUCCAACGGAGCCCAAACAUAUAGUCAAGGGGUACUCGGUUCAGCUCGGGUGCAUUCUCCGGAGCACCGUCUCGAUCAACACCGAGAACCUUAGGCAUAAGGACCGAGGGAAUUUGCGCAACAUCCUCUUCACGAAGCUGCACGAACGAUACAAGUUCCCCGCUGAAUUUGAAAACACAAGCCUCGUAGGGAAUAAUGUGAACAGUGCCGCCCUCACGAGGAUGAGCACGGCCCUGUCUACUUGGAGAAGCGCGGUGAAGAGAAUGAUUGAGAAAGGUGAUAGUUAUGAGAAGAUCAAGGAGAAAAAUCCUUCGAUCAGCGAAGAGGACUACAAGGAGUUCAAGAUCAAGUGCGAGAGCAGUGCAACCUCCGAAUCAAGUCAGUGGGGGAAAGAAAUGCGGGAGUUGAACUUAGGGGAACACAAACUCGGUCCUGGCGGUUAAAGAGUGGCGGAGCCUAUAUGGGACAAGGAGGACGCGGAGCGUGCCGAGCAAGGCCUACCGCCCCGCUUCGAGAAAUACAGCAGUGACAAGCAGACCAGGAACUAUGUCAGGCCCAGUACAAGGAGGACCCGAUAACAAAGGAGCUUACCGUGGAUCCGAAGACUAGGGCGCUUGAGCUUGUUCUAGCGAAGGAGACUGAAAGCAGUAGCGCGGGUUCGUCUCAGAGCUCCCCUUUCGACACCCCUUUAAAUAGGGCGUUGAACGUAAUGAAAAACAAGGAUAAGCUCACUAAGCCGACGUCAGCUGGUCGUGUGGCCGGCAAAGGCUUGUCCACAAAAUGGUCGUCAUACUAUACCGCUGGUGGGCGGAAGGAGAAAAAGACCAGCUCGGAAAGCCAGUCGCGCGAGGUUGAAGCACUCAAGGCACAAGUGGCGUGGAUUCCGGAGCUUGUCCAAGAGCAAGUGGAACAACAACUGGGAACGAAGCUCAACGCCAUGGUGCCUAUGUUGAUUCAUGGGAUGACGACGUGGAUUGCGGGCGGCCAACAGGGGCCUCCCGCGGUUCCCAGCUUCACGACCAGCAACUUGCACAGCGUGCAGGCGGCGCCAUUGGUAUCUCCGGCGGCGCCAUUGGUGUCUCCGGCGGAGGCGGUAUUCAUGUCUCCGACGCCGGCACGGGCAUUGGAGCUUAAUGCACCCGGGUGUACGUCGGCCGGUACCUCGACAACAAGCGCCCCCUCCGUCAGUUGCACGCCCGCCGUUGGCGGUGCCUCGACAUUAGCCAAGCUCGACAGCAUCACGGUAACUAAGCCUCUCGGCCGAUGACUUCAUCUCCUUGCCUUUGACUGGGCAUCCCUGACGCCCUACAUGUUUUCGCAGGGCACCGCAGACGUUCCUUGCACUCUUCUGCACUUCGUGGGCGCCGAGUUGGUCGAUGUCGCCAAGGGCAGAAUCGUUCAACCGGGCAACCCCAUGUUCCACAGUAAUCCGAUGCCACCCACAGUGUAUAGGGUUGAAGUGGUUCGGGUGCUGCCAGGCUGCAAUGAGAUGUUACCUCCGAUUUGACCCGCUGGGGCCGACGAAGAAGAUGAGAUGACCCUCAGCGCCUGCGUAAACUGGCCCCUGCUUUGGCCGAAGAGCCAGAUUCGUUUGGGGGCGGGGGACACCACCCCACAGACAAGACCGCCAGUCGUGCCGGCGCCAAGCCAUGGCAAGAACGCCGCAACGCUACUGGACCUGCCGGACAUCCCUAUGGCACAGGAUCCGGACAGCCCUAUGGCACAGGAUCCGGACGACGACGACAACGACGACGGUACAUUUACCAAAGUCGAUAAGUACUUUGCUAAACAUGGGUACACUGACGAGUUCUGCGGGCCUCUUUCUCAAGAACCCAACCAAGAUGACCGCAAUCUAGCUGGUACGGCGGAGAAAUCCAAUUGCAACAGGCAUCGUCUGGCGUUCAGUUCUCAGGAGACGCCUCCAGCUCCCGCCUUCACCGAGCCUCAGAUAGCUGAGGUGCGAAAUAUUAUCAGCCCCAACACGCUCAAGGAGGCGGUCUAUGAGCAGAACUUGGUCCCAUUACAGGAGAUCAAGAAGAAGGGACGAAAACGAAAGACUAACAAGGGCGCCGAUGCGAGCCAGCCGGCACCGAGUUCGAUCCGUGCUCAGGACGGGCCACCUUCACCUAAGGAUAUCUCGAGGAGGUUGCAUGUGGUGGUAGGGCGAUGCUACCGCCAAAUAUGCUGAAUGCUAGAACCGGUGCUAUAUGGAGUCUGCACGAUAGUGUUCUUUCUUUGGAGAAGCAGCAUCUUAGAGAGAAGGAUGUGGCAUACCUGGUUUUCGUGGCCAAGGUGCCAGAGGGCAAGGGCUUUGUGGAUGGCGACAUCGAGGGUACGAUCGUCCUGCGGUUUGAUGACAUCUUUGCUAUGUUUAACCUUCAUCCGCUGCACUACACCUUCGUUUGGCUGUUUUCGCUGAGUAUGGAGAUGCGGAUCACUAGAGACAAGACCCCAGACAUCGUGAUAGUCGACCCCUUCUACAUGCGUGCCAAGCACUUGAGCAGCCCUGGGGACCGCCAACUUGCGAGUUCACACCUCGAAGGCGUCAUUCUGGCAAACCCAGAUAAGGAUAACUUCCUUGUGGCUUACUUUCCCGAGUAAGUCAUCCCUUAACCGCCCCAUAACAUAUGAUUUCUUAGAUUUCGAUCGUUCUUUUUUUUCUAACAUUCUGUGUUAUGUGCAGUGACACACAUUGCACACUCAUCCUCUUAAGCCCGAAAUAUUACAUGGCCACGUAUUUCGACCGGAACCGUAACUCCAAGAUAGACUACACAAAUGUCAAGAAAGUUCUUGAUGAUGUUCUCCCCGGGUACGCCAAAUCUGGAGGCACCUUCACCAGGGCAGUUCGUAAGUACGGCAAGCACAUGUUCUCACACAAUACGAAGUUCUACUGCGUCAAGAAGCCGCCUGGCGGUCAGAAGGAUGCCUACCACGCCCUCCAUCACAUGCGGGCAAUCGUAAGGGACCAUCAUCACCUUCUGCUACCAGAUAAUCUCAAAGAUUGGGCCGCGAACUUGUCGGCCAUCCAGGACACGGACCUCAGACAAGAAUUCUUUCGCAUCCAGUCGGAAUUUGCAGACAUCAUCCAUCAAGAUGUCCUUCAUUCCUCGGGGCAGUUCUUCCUCAGAUAUCAACCAUCCAACAAUAAGAUAGAUGGAACGCUACAAAUGUAGGGUGACAACAACCGCGAUUUCAUGACCAUCACGGCAGACGACGGCUUCAUCCACGCUCCUGUCCGAUGAGUCGAGUCGAAAGUAGUGAUGUGUAGUUCUAAAACAUUGAUUGGCUCAUGUUGUAAUUAAACUUUAAUGAAUUCGUAUGUCUCUUUGGUUUGGACAGUUGUUCAACUUAGAUGUAAUCGAUGCUAUUUAUUAGUAGGACCAUGAAUCGUGCUAUUAAUGUCUUGCUUUUCUCUUCCGAUCCUUUUGCUGCAUACUUACAUAUUUCUUAUGUAUUGUUUGUUGUUUGGCUUGUGCAUAGAGAUGCCGUCGUAUGUCGUGUACAAGGGUAAGGUUCCCGGAGUCUACAACGACUGGGAGGAGUGUCGGAGACAGGUUCACCGUUUUAGCGGUAACAGUUACAAAGGGUACACCACUAGGGCGGAGGCCGAAUCUAGAUACGCCCGCUAUCUAGCGGGAGAGAGGACGGAGCGUUGGAGGAACCGGAUGAAGACCAGUUUGAUCGCGAUGAUGCUCAUCGUGAUGACCGCAACUCUCUUUUAUGUGAUGGUAGUUUAGAUGAUCGAUAUCGACUUGUAAUGUGAAGACAAACUCGAUACUCGCGGUCUUGAGACUUGUAAUGUUUUAUCUUUGUUCGGUCUUUUGAAUUCAGAGACUAAUAUGAUGAAUUGUAUUCAGAGACUAAUCUUCUAUUGUAUUCGAUGAAUCUGCUGUUGCUGUGUGCUGCUGUCUAUAUUCUGUCCAAUAAUAUAUUUUGUAACCUGUGCAAAAAUUAGAAAAGUAAAAAAAACCAAAUAUUCAUACUAAUGGCGCAUCACCACAAGGUACGCCAUUAGUAUGCCAAAGGAUACUAAUGGCGCAUCAAGACAGAGUGCGCCAUUAGUAUGACAAAGUAGAUGGUUACAUAUGGCCCCCCGGGAGGCAUGCUAAUGGCGCAUGGUGUUACAUACUAAUGGCGCACUGCCUGGUGCGCCAUUAGCAUACGAGAUACUAAUGGUGCACCAGUGGUGCGCCAUUAGUAAAAAAUUCUAGUGGCGUGGUACUAAUGGCGCACUGGUAGUGCGCCAUUAGUAGGCAAAACCGGUGUGCCAUUAGUAGGCCUUUUCCUAGUAGUGGAGGUAUCUCUGGGCCCUCUCGGUAAUGCACAUCACUAUAAGCCUUGCAAGCAAUGUGGCCAAUGAGUUGGUUACAUAAUGAUGCAUUACGUAACGAGUAAAGAGACUUACCGGUAAGAAGAUUGAACUAGGUAUUGGAUACCGAGGAUCGAAUCUCGGGCAAGUAACAUACCGAUGACAAAGGGAACAAUGUAUGUUGUUAUGCGGUUUGACCGAUAAAGAUCUUCGUAGAAUAUGUAGGAGCCAAUAUGAGUAUCCAGGUUCCGCUAUUGGUGAUUGACCGGAAACAGUUCUAGGUCAUGUCUACAUAGUUCUCGAACCCGUAGGGUCCGCACGCUUAACGUUACAAUGACAGUUUUAUUAUGAGUUUAUAAGUUUUGAUGUACCGAAGGUUGUUCGGAGUCCCGGAUGUGAUCACGGACAUGACGAGGAGUCUCGAAAUGGUCGAGACAUAAAGAUUGAUAUAUUGGACGACUAUAUUCGGACACCGGAAGUGUUCCGGGUGAUUUCGAAGAAAACCGGAGUGCCGGAGGGUUACCGGAACCCCCCGGGGAAGUAUUGGGCCUUAGUGGGCCUGAGGGGAGAGAGAGGGCAGCAGCCCAGGAGGUGGUGCACCCCCUCCCAUGGGGAGUCCGAAUUGGACAAGGGGAGGGGGGCGCGGCCCCUCUUUCCCUCUCCCUCUCCCUCUCUUUCCUUCCCCCUUCCACCUUCCUAGUUGGACUAGGAAAGGGGAGUCCUACUCCCACUAGGAGGAGGACUCCCCCCUCCUUGGCGCGCCCCCUAGGGCCGGCCGGCCUCCCCCCUUGCUCCUUUAUAUACGGGGGCAGGGGGGCACCUCUAGACACACAAGUUGAUCUUCGUGAUCGUUCCUUAGCCGUGUGCGGUGCCCCCCUCCACCAUAUUCCACCUCGGCCAUAUCGUAGCGGUGCUUAGGCGAAGCCCUACGUCGGUAGAACAUCAUCAUCGUCACCACGCCAUCGUGCUGACGGAACUCAUCCCUGACACCCUGCUGGAUCGGAGUCCGGGGAUCCUCAUCGAGCUGAACGUGUGCUGAACUCGGAGGUGCCGUACGUUCGGUUCAUGGAUCGGUCAGAUCAUGAAGACGUACGACUACAUCAACCACGUCGUCAUAACGCUUCCGCUUUCGGUCUAUGAGGGUACGUGGACAACACUCUCCCCUCUCGUUGCUAUGCAUCACCAUGAUCUUGCGUGUGCAUAGGAUUUUUUUUGAAAUUACUACAUUCCCCAAGACAAACAACCCCUCCCAACAGAUUCAAAUCCCUCGUUCGCCGUGGAAUUUUGCCAUGUCUUGUUUUCAUGGACUAGCAAGAUGCCCGUGCAUUGCACGGAACAUCAAGAUGCAUUUUUUUACAAACUCCCGCAUGCAUGCAAGGGAUAAUUAAUGUCCUCCUUUGCUAGUACCACGAGGCAAACACCAUUAAUAUUGCAUUGAUUAGUGUUAGUGGCCUUGUAUAUCUGCAAAUUGUAUUUUUGAUAGUGGCCCCUUGUAUAUAAAAAUGGAGGGAGAAAGUUGAGAGAUAAGGUGAGGAGGAGUGGGGCAUGGUGGUGAUUAGUGGUCGGACUGGGCGGAGGCAUGGGGAUGGACGGCGCAUUAUGUCUAGGUUUUUAUCUCUCUCUCACACACCCACGUAGGUGGCGGACAUGCACGGACAGAAGAGGUGCACGCACGGAGCACGUACUCCCGUCUCUUUCCCAACCACACCCGCGCGGGUACACGGUGGAGCUCAUUUCUAUACGAAAAAGGUAGCCCACGUGGUAAUUUGACAUGUGUACUAGUUGUCCACUUGGUGGAGGGAGGAUCGUCUACCACAGGUGAACAAACAAAUUGCGACUUGACGCGUUAUGUUAUGUUAAAAAAGGAGGCAAACCAUGUGGGGCCUACCUUAGAGGCAAGGCUCUAUACACUGGAGUACUUUUGAUGUGUCCCGUCAACUCGCAGAAUGAGGAGAAGCUUGCUUAGUACGCCGUCUCCCCCGCCCACGUGUGCGGUUGCUCGCAGGAUGAGGUGAAGCUUGCUUACGAGUAGUAUUAGUAGCACUCCUACUACUGUACGCCUUACGCCCGCUCCCUCGCCCACGCGCGCGGUGGCUCGCAGCACGAGGAGAAAAUUUUACUACUCCCUCCGUUUACUCCUCGUCCCUACUACGUACCUCGGUUAGUACUCCCUCCAUUUACUUAUACAAGGCCACUAUAAAAAAUACAUUUUGCAUCUAUACAAGGCCACAAAUAGUAAUCGAGACAAAAGUUACUACUCCCUCCUUUCUAGUUUAUGGCUCAAUUUCAAAAUCUCUCCAACCAAGGUAGACGGUGAGUGGUCGAAUUAAUUUCGUAGUUUGCACAAGUAAUUAGUACGCUCGUUUUCCUCAAGAAGUUAUGUUUACCGAGGCAUUAAUUAGAACAAAUGCAUGAAUGACCACUAAAUUUCCAUGAACUUGUACAUGCAUUGGUUAGUUUCCUCUUGACACUGCUUGCGUCGGGUGAUCUAACGCACCUCGAAAUCCAACAUGUAAUGUUACUACUACUAGUAUAGUAGAAUUGAGACUUAUCAAACGGAAAAAUGAAUGUUUUUUAGAUGAGCCCUAUAAACCCUAGUGGGUACGUACUCCGUAAAAACAGAUUUUUCCAAAACUAAGUCGCUCCCUUUCAUGGAUUCUGUAGUAUACUCCUCCGUCGACCCUCCCUUUCAUGAAUUCUGUACUUCCUGUCACCGACAUGUGGGACAUAUAACAACCGGGUCGAUAUGUCAAGCACCAAAUAAUAGUGCAGAACAGCAGGGGGGACGCACCCCACUCGUACUGGCCCAGUAGUAGUAAAGAGCAAUGAGACGUCAAAUCACAAUGCCGCACCUUCCCAGACGGACAAAGCAACCAUUAUUUCACACUUCGGUUCGCCAUCAUCUCAAAUCAUGUAGUAUUGCUUCUGCCUUAAGAGGGACACGCGCAUUGCCUUGGUACAUCAUGACACGUGGGACCGCAUGACAGGCCAUGCUCCCCCGCCGAUCGCUCGGUAAAAUCACCUCAUUUUUACCAUACUUCCUAUAUAUCGGUUUACUACAAGGCAUGCACGUCGUUCUAGGUUGAGAAUUUAACUGGCUAUAUAUGUGAUGAACAGUACUCUAGCCUUUUAAAAAAUGUAUACUCGUACAGUAGUACUAUCGAUGGAUUGCGCCAUGGAGCAAAAAUUGAAAUUCAUAAAAAGAUGGUACAUAUAGAGAGCGCUCGUCGCCAAAUUUUGCAUAUAUUACUAUUUAAAAAGCUGGUACGUGCUUAAUUGUGGUGCUAAAUUCUAUUAAAGAAAUACUAGUAGUAUGUACAUACUAAAGAGUUAAAGUAACGAGAAGAAACAUAACAUAGUUCUGUUGGGGCCUCAACACAACACACCCCUCAAAUUAAACUAAGCACACCUGAAAUUAAACUAUGCAACUAAUCCGGUAGACACUGCAUUAGAAGUUUAGAACCACCAUGAGCAACGACACUGCCACCUUACUCGGAGUCCUCGUCCACGUCCUCGACUUCGUCCUUGUCCCUCUUCCUCUUGGCCGAUAAUUCUUUGCUUGAACCGCACACUUGGCUGUUGCUCUUCAUCCAACCCUUGUAGAUAUUGAAACAAAUGUAGCCAUCCAUUGCAGCAUAGUGGAUGUGGUCUAUAUCUAGUACAUUCCGCUGCCAUGCAUGACGAUGAAACGUGUAAUGAGGUUUCUCCAGUUUACGGUACGAAGGAUGAACCAUGGCUCCUGCCAGGGUCAGCAUUGAAGGCUGACAAGAGGGCAGCAGCCAAUUUCUCUGGAGGUCGAAGGGGUUGCCUACAACAAGGCCUAUCCGAACCAUGACUUCUUUGUCGUUCUUAAAGUCUACAGUAACGAAUUUCACUGUUUUGUCCUUGAGGAAGUUCUUAAAAUCCUGGCACUCAACAUCGGCAUGGCAUAUGUGGUAGACCAAGCAAACGUUAUGUACGCAAACCUAGAUCACGGCGGGCUUCUUCCUCUCUUCGUCCUCUAGAUCCUUCUCUCGUCCCAGGACUGUGGUGUACUCAACAUCUAGCCCAGCGACCCACUCAUCAUCUGAGUUUUUGAACAUGCAUCUGAAGUGAGAAAGGCAUCCUUUCACCGUCGCGGAAGAACGGGUGUAGAUGACGUCGAACUCAUCGCCGGUGAUGGUUCUAACCUUGUACUCACCAUCGAUUAAAGAGAUUUGGGACGCCAUGGAUUUGGGAGGAGGGUUAGGAUUAGUCGAACUGCCGUAAUGUGAAAGGACAGGAUGACUAAGAGCGAACUGCCGUAGUAUUGAAGGACAUGCGGGGACGAGUAGGAGUGAACUGCCAGCGUGCGAACGGCAGGGUUGUGGCUUUCCAUUCUCCCAUGAUACGGGCUUCCGAGAGCCCUUGGAUCUGAGAUCGAACGGUUGCACGGCGUGAUUCUAGACCUAUGGGUGAAUACCCUAUCCUGGAGGGUUAUUCUGCAAAUUUUCAGCAACUUAGCAUGCGACCGUUUGAUCUCAGAUCCAAGGCUGCCAGCAGCCCGUAUCAUGGUCGCGCCUACCACGACAGUUGUGUCGCUCGCGCGGUCGCGCCCUUGGAGAUUUCACAUGGUGCGUUAGGCUAUCUGAUGUUGGCAUUCAUACAUAGUCAUCACUUAGUCACUCAUACUACAACAAGGUUGGCUAUAAGGUUGGCUAUAAGUAUUUUUUUUACUUCUCUCUAUAUCUUUCUUCAUACUCCCUCCGUCCCAUAAUAUAAGAACGUUUUUGACACUAGUGUAGUGCCAAAAAUGUUCUUAUAUUAUGGGACACGGGGAGUACUAGUAUUUAUUGCAUUUGCCAAGGAGUGACCUCUUCCAAUGAAAUGGUGUUGCCAAGUUUGCUUCAUUUAAUUAGCUAUAGACUCAAAAAUUGUCUUUUCACGUAGGUACACGUGCUUAGCACCGUUUUUUCCUUGGGUCACCAAACUAGUCUCUCUCUUCUUGAUUAACUUGCCACAUCAGACUUUAUGCCUAUGUGGCAAGCUUAGCACCUGUAGGAGCAAGUAAAAGUAAGUACAAUAGUGCGCUCUACAUGACAUUUUUGCAUAUGUGGAGGAAAGAGAGGCAAGGAAAAAGUGGAGAAGUGGUCUCUCAUGCAAGAGCCAUCCUGUACUACAUGGUGGAGCAUUGGGAGAGGCACAUGUAUGGAGGUGGUCAGGAAUCGAGAGACUCACGUCGGUCGUAGCGCCGCAGUGAAAAUGAUAAUGGUAAGUCAAAUCACGGGGCCCCACCUGUCCAGCAGUAACUCGCUGUCAAAUCACACAUCCCUACGCUUGCAGCAGCCUACUCCCUCAUCUUCUCGCGUCUCUGUUGAACCGACUAGGCAGAAUUGCCCCGCCUACCGCGCAGGAAAAGCCCCGCCCUCGACUUUUAAAUACAAAUACAUCCACUUAAGAAUCCAUUGAUAUACUUUUUGUGGCAUAGUAACUCAUAUUUAGUUAGUCAAAUGCAUGACCUAGAACUAUGUGCAGGCCCUAUAAACCGAGACGCCUAAAAAUAAAAAACCGAGACGGAGAGGGUAGUUCAGCAUGUAUCUUUUUAGAUCAAUAUAGUUGGGAUUCACCAAGGAGCAAAACCAAGUGGUAGGCUGCUCCUGUCGUGUUGGCGUAGCAACUCAAGCAGGGUCAGUCCGCACACAAAAUGGAGACACACUUAACAGGACCCCUUUGGCCGACAUGUGGCUCAUCCACUGUCUUGUUCCACGUGCGAUGCACCAAAUUACAGUUCGGAGCAGCGGCUGGAAUUGGAGGCACCCUGGUCGUAGUGCCGCAGUAGUAGAAAAUGAGCGAUGAGGGGUCAAAUCACAAAGCCCCACCUUUCCCGCAUUAAGCUGGAUGGACGAAGCAACCAUCAUUUCACUCUAGGGCGCAAGAGCAUAAAGAAAAGAGAAAACAAUGAUGCGUGCGGCAGCUACCUAGGGCACCCUAGGGUAGCGGUCUCCACUAUAGAUCCUUUUCUUUUUUUGAAAGCACCUCCACUACAAAUCGGCUUCUCCCUCGUCCUGUUGAAGAAAACCGAUGAUGAGUGCGGCGGUAGGGUUUGUAGGAGUACUACGGCGUGCGGAGCCACAUCAUAGUAAACGGGUUCGAGUCGACGCCUUAAAUAUGUGUGGGCCGCUUGGUUUUACGGGAACGAGGCAGCAUUUUGGGUUCGGGGACCAGUGGAGAUAUAGUACGUACAAAAAUUGUGGACGUAGGUUCGACCGAAAGGCAAUGAUGCAUGGGCCCUGCAUUUUGCUAUACCCGGGGCCGCAUGAAAUUUGCUACUCUACUCAAAACUAGUAAGGUACACAUGUAUUGUACGCAUGAGAUUUCGAAACCAAAUUAUGAAUAAAUACACACUAUAGCAUGUAAAGCUUUGAGUCAUAUAUGCAUGAUGUAGAUGUUCGUUUAGUUCUUAUAGUUCAUUUCAUUCAAAAUCAAUUAGUUUUAUAAAAAUGUUAAGAUUCAUGGGGUUGUGCAUUGCAAAUCAUAAAGUAAAAAACAAAUAAUGGCAAUUCAUUUAGAAAAAAAUAAUCAAUUAUGAUACAGAAGAUUCUAGAACAAAGGAGAAGUGCUUGUGUUUUGAGGUUUGUGCAUUAUGCUUAAGUUCAACCAUGGAGUCUUCUAAAUUGUACACGUGGUAGAUCUGGUGGAAUGUUGAUGAUAUCCAACGGCCAGUAGUGCUCGGAUUUGCCUACCUCUACAUUGUCGGAUUAGCUUCAUCCAGCAACCAUCUUUCAAAGUUAUUGGCACACUAUAUAGUUCUUGUGCCAUAGUUGCAUGUUUUGGGAAAAAGCUACUAGUGGGUUGUACUAUCUAUUUAGGAAUAGAAGAUGUAUACAGGGAAGUUGUAUGGAAAGAGAUGACAUGGAGCAUCUCAAUUCCUAUGAGUAGGGAUUGGAAAAGAGAUGUCAUUUGGUUCACAUCAUAGGAACUUCUCUAUUGAAUCUAGAGAUGACAUGUAUCUCAAUUCCUAUGAGGAGGGAUUAGAAAAGAGAUGUAAUUUGGUUCAUAUCAUAGGAACUUUUCUAUUGAAUAUACGCUAAUGUUUAUUUUCCUUUGAAAUUAAGGGAGUAUAGGAAUCCACUCAUAUGAACCAAGUGGCUCUAAAGCUAUAGAAAUGAUAUCAUGUUUAUUUCCUUUGAAAUGUGGAGUAUAUGAAUCUAUUUCUAUGAACCAGUUGGCUCUAAAGGAAAAAAUCCUAUAAAAAUCAUAUCAUAUAGAGUUCAUAUGAUAUUCCUCGACACUAAAGGAUGGUUGAAAUUGCUGCGGGUGAUACGAUGGUCUUUCUUUGUAGACUCCUCACCCAUCUUUAUAGUUACCUCUCGAAGAUGAAUGAAAUGAUAUAUACAGGGUAUUCUACAUGUGCAAUUUGGUACACAAAAACUCGAUAAAAGUUUCCAAGGUUCAAAUUUUCAAUAAAGCUAUAUGCACUGCAUUUCGGAACGGAGGGAGCAUACGCUAGUUGCUAACACUCACGUGGAAGAUUUGUGUGUAGGAGGAGUGGCUGUUCUGUUAAAUGACAUGGCAAAACUGACACUGCCAUAUGCAGAUCGAACGGUUCUUACGGCGUUCGUCAGGAAAAGGCUUGUGGCAACGUUUUUCGGAUAAUGGUUUACGGACACAUGCAUUGAAUUGAUACAUGCCCCCUCUCUCUCAUGCACACGCACCCUCACGAGUCACGACUCUCCCGAGUCCUCUCACAGACUCGCACGUCGCACCCACCGUCUAUCUGCAGGUAGACGUCACACACAUAUGUGCUCUUCACACCCUACCCCCAGAACUUCUAAAAAACAAAAGACGGCAUGCACAUUUUAUUUUAGCUCACACGUCACAUACUUAUACUAUUACUCUUGCGGCGAAUGUUCUUUGGGCAUAGUAUAUUGUACUCUCACGAAGAGAAGCGGUGCACGCACACACUAGUUCUCUCACACCCACUCGCGGGUACACGUAGGAGCACAUUUUUUUGAAGCUGGUACAACAAAAUCACUCCACUAUAUAUAAAAGCAGGAGCCUUAGCGCUUGCUUUACUAGGGUUCCUCUCGUUCACUCUCUCAUGCUCUCCAGAUCUAAGCAAGACAUAGGUGGCCACACUCUCUCUCAGCUCACGGCUGGUCACAAACCCGGCUGGACAACCUCGACCGGGGCAGGGGUGUAGGUGCAUCAUUCACGCUGUUGUCGGCAGCAAGGGAGGAGACCAACGGCUGCCCGCGCGUCCUGAUCGGCGGCCGUGCCGUUCUCUCCGAGAGAGCGCCGGCUCGGGAGGGCCUCCGACCCCUUCUUCCUCCCUGCGGUAUUGUGGCCAAGAUGCAGCCUCCCGACGCCAUCUUUGCCACAUGCCGACGACCCUCAGGUAUAUAUUCCUUUGAAACCUGCCUUCCUCUACUUCCCCAGCUCCCUUCGUGUGGAUCCUUUUCUACUUCCGUCCGCUAUUCCAAAGCCACCUAGACUUCUACUAUUAUUAGAGGUAAAGCUAGUUUGUACAGUCGACUCUAAGCGUUGGUUCAAACAGGGAAGAAAGUGGGAAAGCUAUACCAUGAAUCUAGGACUUGGUUCUAAGAGGAAACGGGGAAAGUAGUAGAUACCUGCUGUCCCUAUGCCCAUAUCGCUACCGUUAAUGUAAAAUCACAUGAAGCAUUAAGCAAUGCCACCUAAUGUCACUAUAAGUAAUGGUCUAGUGCCGUCGAUAAAUUGAAGCAAUGCCACCACCAUUUUAUGAAGUGCUUCCGUCUUGCUUUAUUUCCCAUGAAUUGUGUUUUUGCAGUUACACUUAAAUCUCACACCACUAACAUUGCUUCAUCCCAGUGGAACUGCAUAAAUUUGAUUGCACAUUUACUGACCAUGUGCUACUCUCAUGACAGUAAUACUAAUGCUAUUGUUCUGCAUGUUAAUCUAGUGGCAUUGUUCAUGUGAUGUGAUGCUACUUACUUAAGGACUCUUCACACUGUCAAUCUAGUGCCAAUGAUAACACAAUAGAUGUUGUUGUUAAUCAUACGCCACUAUAAAUAUUUGUCACUGUUUAAAUAACCGUAUUUCGUAUUUGCGGAAACAGAGAUGUCUGUCUCCAUAUCGUUUCGGGAUGUCUGUCUCCGUAUCGUUUCUAUCCGCGCAAUCAAAAGCACAACCUCAAUUUUAGUACAACUACGCAAAAUGAGAUGGCUAUGCCUCGUUGCCGUCGUCUAACCUCCCGUCUUCAAGGUAUCCCUACAUUGGUAGUAACUAAGGUAGAAUGACCAACGCAAUCUAAAAGAAGCUCAUUCGUACGUUUUACUUCCUGAUUGCAGUACAGGGACGAGCGAAACCAACUGCAUCCUAGUCCAGAAUGCACUUUCUACCAGUUCAUCCAUGGACCGAGGACUAGCUGGCAUGGCUGCACGGCGGUUUUUUGGAUAGGUGCGCGGACAAGAGGCAUUGUGGUCUGCUUAUUUCUGCAAAUAACGGUGCUUAAAUAUUUAGUGGAAUCAACAAGCAUUUCACCUAGUCAGUACACUGCAUGGUUCAGUUCAGCAUUCCAACUGAGACCACAAUUAUAAUUGGUUAUUUUGGAAUGAGAGAACCUAACCCUGGAUGGUGGCAACAAGGAAAAACCAGAGUGAACUCCAGAAAAUUUAAGCCUGCCAGGAGGCCCUUUGCUCAGAGAAGCCUUGCUUGUUUUUUCUUGAUUUGUAAACCUUCUCACAACUUUGUCUUUUGCUGUGAACUAGUAUAUGUUUGUAUGUUCUAUGAAUCAUUGAGAUGUAUAAAAUUGCUUAACUUAUGCUUUUCAAGUUUUUUAUGAAGACGAGUUUAAUGUGAGUGUUCCACAUGAGCACUGGACUAGCGUGUGAACGUUUGUAAUUUAUUACAUUGUGGCCUCAAUUAACUGCAUGAACUACUGUAACAAGAUACAUAGUUGCUUAUAUGUCAGACAACAGAUUGUUGAUUCUUAGCUGGUCGAUAGCCUAGUGUUGAAGCGAGAUGAGCCAAUGUGCCGUGUUUUGCACAACUGCUUACAAGUGGGGUAGCACCAACAGUGUUUACAAGUACUUAUGUAUACGUCGGCGCACAGUUCUCGAACGAGUGCUCUAUUUCAUCAAAACACACACUGCUCGUAUGAUAAACCGUGACAACUUAUGUCUUACCAUGCCAUAUUCAUGAAAAAACUAGUGAGGACGCAUCUGUUUCGGCAACAAUUACGAUGGUUCUCACAUGAUUCACGGGCACACAAAAGUAGCAGCAAUUCCCAUAGAUGGAUUCAAACAGAGUACUAGCCCCAGAGGGGUCGAUAACAGGUAAGGUUCGGAUAAUUAGACACAAUCCAAACUACUAUUAAACACUAGCUGGGGCAACUAUUUCAUGCCUCGAUCUAAUUUGGGAUGGACACAAGACGGACCUUGCCAUGAACAUCAUCGAGGAUGUCCCGCAGCAGCUCAAUCCUGUGAACCUUCAUGAAGACAACCUUGUGGCCUUGCCAUUGAUAAACUUGUUUGUGGAGGCAUGCCACGUCAUCUUCCUGCGUAAGCUUGAUAAGAACAGUAUGCCUCACAAACGAAGGAGUAGCUUUGAACUUCUUGUGCUUCAGUACACCCUGGACAACACGCCUGACAACAGUGAGGCUGGAAUACAACUCUUCAUUGGUAUAACCGCAAAUGGCUUCCAGGAUCCAACAACCUAAGAACUUUGUUUUCCCAGUGCGUAUAUUCAGGUCAUCCGCCUCAUAGCGAGUGACAUGUACAACCACACAAUCCUUGUUGCAUCAGGGCUCUAAUUGAGACAGAAACAAAUUCUGAAUUACUUUUCAGUAUAAGAAACACAAGUUAUUUAAACCACUAUGUAUAGCAUGGCAUCGAAGCUAAUAAAAUUUUGCAUUAUUAAUCACCACAUACUUAUAUAAAAACCACAAUUGAGAUCGACAAAGAAGGAAAUCACCUUCGGUAGCUCAGCGGGGAGGGGGGGACACAUCCUUGAAGGGGGAAAACCGCUCCUACAGUGCCACGGGGGUUGUAACCUCAAACGGGGCGUUGACCAUCUCAGUAGUGGCCGUGAGCGUACCUGGGGUCGGCUCGGUGGCUGCCUCCAUCUUCUUGGAGCUGUCUGUCUCGUGGGGAUCAGCCUCCCGCGUCUGCUCCAAUAUCGGCAGAUCUUUGCCUGGUUCUCCUUGGCCCAUCAUGAAACUGACGAAUACUAGGAUACCACUGAAAGGAAAACACAAUCGCAAUGACAGUGAAACAAAAAAGAGAGUGAGGAUCGGUUACUGCUUUGCAAAAGUUCUUCUUUUUCUCUGAACGAAAAUAUACCAACAUCACGGAUCUACUUACCUUCCCUUCGUUGGGAGAGAAGAACAGUGGUAUAUGCGAGUGUUGCCUUUCUUGAAGACGGUGAGGGAGAAGGGGAUUCAGCGAAGAGUGAAAUGAUGGUUGCUUCAUUCGUCAAACUUAGAUUGCAGGGAGGUGGGGUUUUGUGAUACGACGGCUCGUUACUGUCACGCUACGACCGGGGUGACUCUCUGCCUGCAUCCUGCCUUCUAAUUUGGUGGAUGGCAUUUGGGCCCGAGCGCUGCAUGGCCCGCAUGUCAGCAAACAAAAGUAUAAUGGCAUUCAGUAGAGGGAGACGUUUCAAUGACCUAGGAGGAGCCAGAAGCGGUAGAGUGUCUCCACUGUACUAGUAGUAAUUGUUUUUCUGGGUAGCUAUAGAGUGUCUCCACUGUACUAGUAGUAAUUGUUUCUCUGGGCCCAAGACAAAACAGCCCAUCCACACUAGUAAAUAGUAAAAUCAAUUCAAAAGCCCAUAUAUUUACUGAAUGAGAGGCGCUACCCACACCCAGCACACCCCCCCAAAAAACUUGGGUGCUCUUCUUCCUCCUCGUUCCCACCCACCUCACGUCAGCUCGCUCCACUCGUACCCCCAAAUUCCUCACCUCACUCCUAUAGAAUACCCCAGCUCCCCUUCUUCCUCACUCCUACAGCAAACCCCCAGCUCCCCUUCUUUUUCGCUCGCACUACAACUAGGCUCGUCAUUCGUUACUCUGCUCAAAUCUGUGAGCGCUAUGCGACACCCUCGAGGAAAAUGGAGUCGGCUGACCCCAGUGCCAAGAAGAUGAGGCUCCCGCCAGCGGUGACGCAUGUUGUAGAUCCCGCACCCGGCAGCGCGGGGAGAAGCAGCGACCCCGCCCCCACCGGAUCCCAGGAACCCGUAGAAUCUCAGGUGGACCGCAUCAGCGAUCUCUCGGACGCCGUCCUUGGGGAGAUCAUCUCGCUUCUCCCCACCAAGGAUUGCUGCCGCACCCAAGUCCUCUCAAUUCGGUGGCGCCCUCUAUGGCACGUCGUGCCCCUUAAUCUCGACUAUUGUCAGCUAUCUCUCUUCAAUGAUUUUGAAAUCCCCAAAGCCAUCAUCUCCUCCCACCAGGGCUCCGUUCAAAGCCUCUGCAUCCCGUCAUGCUACCUGAGCAAGCAUACCAUGCCCUGCAUGGUGGAUGCCUGGCUGAAAUCCCCUGAAUUCACAGAACUACAGCUGCUUGAGUUGUACUAUUCCCCUGGAAAUCACAUACCACAUACCGAACGCCAUGAACUUGUGCCCUCAGCACCGAUGUCCAUCUCGCGGUUUUCCUCCUCUCUCCACACCGCCACCUUUGCGUUGUGCUACCUACCAGACAAUCUGGUACUAAACCUUCGACUCCCAUUUCUCAAGAAACUUUCACUUGUGCGGGUUCGUAUAUCGGAGGCCUCAUUGCACAAUAUCAUCCACUCUAGUUGCCCUGCGCUGGAGUGCUUGGAGCUUGUUUUCACAGUUAGAAUCGGUUGUCUCCAAAUAAAGUCGCCUAACUUUGUAAGGAUUGGAAUUUAUUUUGACAGAAGGCAACUCAUCAUCCAAGAUGCCCCUUCACUUCAAAGGUUGAUCCUUGAUUCUAGUUAUUCACCGUUGCAAAUAACCGUCCUCUCCGCGCCUAAACUAGAGACCUUGGGUGUAAUACGUGAUCUAUGUGCUCAUUUCAAUAUGGUGUUUGGCUCCAUAGUUCUUCAGGUACUUUAUAUUAUCAUCUACACUUGUAACCAUAAGCUGCAUUUUAAAUUUCUGCGCAUAAUUUAUAUAUCAUCUUGGAGUACACAUUUUGUACUAAUAUUAUGUUCUAUGCUCAAUGAAGAGUUUCUCCAUGGAUGGCCUAUCAAUGGUGUUGGAUUCUGUCAAGAUCUUAUAUAUCCAAAUGAAUAGUUUUGAUCUGAACAAGAUUAUUGGCUUGCUGCAAUGCUUUCCAUGUCUGGAGAAGUUGUAUAUAAAGGUGAUAAUUUCACUCACAUUGGAAGCCCGCAUAUAGUGUACUAGAAUUAACCGUUCAGCUGUUGCUCUUUCGAAAUCUUCUUUUAGACCUUAACUGUUUUCAAUCUUCAUGUCUAUUUAGGUAAUAGUACGAGGUAACAAAGUUAUAACCAAUCAGUGGAUUCGUAAGCAUCGGGAUUUUCUCACUUCUCAUGAGAUUCGAUUGAAGACAAUAACGCUAGAACGAUAUGUAGCCAACCGUGCAAACACAAGAUUUGUCACAUUCUUCCUGCUGAAUGCGAGGUUACUAUUGUCCAUUAGGCUUAAGUUUAUCAGCAGCAUGGUAUUGACAGAUCGAAGAGCAAAAAAAUGAGUUUCAGGUGGGCAAAAGAGCUUCUGAACGUGUCGGGCUUCUAUUUACAACAUAUUGUGGUCAUAAUCAAGUAAAUUUUACAACCCAGGAUGUUCAUUCUAUGGACCUGACCAAUCCAUUUGACUGUGACUGCCGAAAAUAGUGCUGGAGUUAGAUGUUGUUGCCCUUUCCAAUCUGGGUUUUUUUGUAAACCUGAUAAACAAUUAACCCUCGUGCUUUUGUACAGUUUGUAAGCUGGAGUUAGAUGUUCCUGCCCUUUUUAACUCCGCUGUGACUGUCAUAUUUUCUUUGAAACAAGGCAAAUGGCUUGCCAUUCGUUUAAUUUAGAGUGAAAUAUUGUAACAAAUCCCAACCAAGGGAAAUAACAUCACUCUCGCCGGCUGCUUGAGCUCACUGUACAUUACAGAAGCCAAGUGAUUAGCCCCCACCGGCACCCACAAACUUAUUUCAAACUAGCACAUCAAAUGGGCUGUAAAUUUUCAUAGGAAAGGCUGCAUGACCAUGAAAGAUUUGGAUUCUGACAUUUGGGACCCGUGAGGAAAUAGCCUAUCCAAGGUGGUGUCGACUUACUAGCCAGUCAACAAACGAUUCUUCCUACCAGCCGUUGGAUUGACAUCCAACAUCUGUCGUGUAUCUUCUAUCUCUUGUCUUCUUCUUCCUCUAGCCGCCCAAACCAAACCACCCCGUUGGCUCCGCCUGCUCCCGCCUCCCAUGGCUGGCUGCGCCUCCGCCGCCCUACCGUACGUACCCUCCAAUGUUUGCCAGUCCCUCCCUCUAUUCCCCCACACGUCCUGUUAUUCUCGGGCGACGUCAUCCCAAACACGCACCCGCGCCCGAACCAGUCAACCCUCGUACUCCCCUCCGCCUGCGACUGGUCCGGCGCAUCUUCCACGGCUCCUGGUUGUUCCGUCCGAGGCCUUGCCGUCGUCCUCCGCCUUGCGGCCUUCGUUUGCUCACCGUGCGCGGUGCGCCGUCCUCUUGCAUUGUCAACAUCGUCAACAACCGAGAGGAACAAGGAGAUGACUGUACGUGGAGAGGAUGACAGUAGGGACCCACCAGCGUCUUGGCAGUACACAAGCAAGUGCCUCUAUAUUACAAGCCCAAAAAUAUGGUUCCUCCUAAUGGUUGGACAUCUUGGGCUCACGCCAUUGUCAACGUAGUCAAUAAACAAGAGAAUUACACUACGAGCAGCUGACACCAGAGACCCAGCAAGUCGCACAGUUUUUUUGGAGGAACAAGCAGUUGUUAUUUAUACUAGUUUUAGCGACGGAUCAGGGUAACAACGGGGUUGUGCGGGGGCUGUGGCCCGUCUAGCUAGGGUUUUAUUUAUGGUUACCACAUCAUGAGCCCAGUUGUGUUUUUUUUGCUGAAAAUGGCUAGCCUAGUUCUAUUUUUUUAAAGAAAUACCCAAACAAGGCCUACUUGCUUUAUCGGCCCUACUGGGCUGCAAAUCUUACAAGACGAGUAGAGUUCAUUCGGUUUGCCUAGAAAUGGGUUGUACAUUUUUAAAACACAUCAAACCGGGAAUUAGUUUCAAUUUUUUUUUCAUUACAAGAUCUUAAAUUCCAUUGAUUUUUAUGCGUGGACAAUUAUUUGGAUUUUAUAUUUAUGUAAAUUAUUUUUCAAAAUAGUUUGAAUGUGAAUCGAUAUUUCUGGAUUAAAAACAGUUGACCGCACCGAAAUAUGCAAAAUUUCGUAUACUUUUUAACUGUGGCCACAAUAUGGGGUGUAAUGCUAACAAAAAGAACAUGGGCUCCAAAAAAAUUCUUAAGAAUUAGCAAAUGUGUUGUACAUUAUUAGAAAUAAUGGCUGAUGGGUUGUAUGCUAUUUUCCAUAGAUUUGAGGCUGACUUGUGCGCCUACUACAGGUUGACCCGUAUGCUUUCAUAAAAAAAAGGUUGACGCACACACAACGCCCUGUAAACUUAUAGUCAACACACGAGAGCAGUGGCUGUUGGAUGUCCAUCCAACGGCUAUCGUGCUUCUUCAAUCUCUGCUCUUCAUGCUCCAGCCGCUCAAACAAGCGCCGGCAGGACUGCCUGCUCCCUCCUCCCGCGGCCGGCUAUGCUGCCGCACAGGCCUCACGGCCCCAUCGUACUCCCAUCGCUGGCCUAGCCAUCCCUCUACUCACCCACACAUGCUGUUAUUCUCUGGCGACGGCAGACAAACCAGUAAACCCUCGUACUCCUCCGCGUGGGAAACAACUGCCGAGUAUUCCUUGGCUCCGUGUCGUUCCCUUCCUAGGCCUCGCCGUCGUCCACCGCCCUGGUGCUCUCGACGCGGCCUGGUCAACGUGGUCAAUGAACAACAUCCAUCGAAAGUGGACUGUUCGUGGAGAGGCUGACAGCUGGGUCCAUGGCCGCACGCAAGGAAAUGCCUCCUUAUUACGCGCAAAAUAAUGAUUCCUCCACCUGAUAGCUAGGACCCACAGGAAGGGCCUCUGUAUUUCGUGAAAAAAACGUUCCCCCCGCUUUCAGCUUGGACCCACCGGAAGUGUCUCCUUAUUACGCACAAAAAAAAUGAAUACUCCACCGGCUAGCUGGGACCCACAUUGGUGGGAGACUGACUUAUGGGCCUACUAAGUUGACGGGGACGAAGGGCUUUGUCAACUUAGUCAAUAUGAACGAUUCUAGCUCCAGUGAACGUACGAUGUCCAUCCAACGGCUGUAGUGCUUCUUCAACCUCUGGUCUUCUUGCUCCAGCCGCCCAAACCAGCGCUGGUCGUGCCGCAUGCUCCUGCAUCCCGUGGCCGGCUGUGCUGCCGCAGAGGCCUCACCGCCCCCUACUAUUCCCACCGCUGGCCAGGCCCUGCGGCGACGGCAGCCUCACACCGCAGCCGAACUAGUGAACCCUCAUACUCCUCUCCGCGCGGGCUUCCACUGCCGCGUCUUCCCCGGCUCCGCGUCGUCCCCUUCCUAGGCCUCGCCGUCGUCCACCGCCGUGGUGCUCUCCGCGCGGCGUGGUCAACAUGGUCAAGGAACGACUUCCAUCGGAAGAGUACUAUACGUGGAGAGGCUGACAGCUGGGUCCACGGCCACAACCCUGUUUUUUGUGAUUUGCCAAGUAAGUCGCUUUGUCAAGCCUGUUGGGCUGCAAACUUUCAAGACGAGGAGAGCUUUCAUUCGGCUGGCCGAGAAAAUGGCCCAUCAGUAAUGAGAAAUGGGCUGUACAUUUUUAAAACACAUCAAACCGGCAAUUAGUUUCAAAUAUCUUUUUUUCAUUUCGAGAUUUUAAAUUACAUUAAUUUUUAUGCAUGGAGAAUUUGUUGAAUUUUAUAUUGAUAUACAUUUGUUUUUCAAAUCAGUUUGAAUGUGAGUCGAAAUUUCGGGAUUAAAAUUAACCGUGGCCACAAUAUGGGCUGUAAUGCUAACAAAAAAAAUAUGGGCUCCAAAAAAACCUUAAGAAUUAGCAAAUGAGUUGUAAAUUAUUAGAAAUAAUGGCAGAUGGGUUGUAUGCUGUUUUCCACAGAUUUGAGGCUUUCCUAAAAAAAAGGGUUGACGCACAAGCAGUGACUGUUGGAUGUCCAUCCAACGGUCGACGUGCUUCUUCAAUCUCUGCUCUUCCUGCUCCAGCUGCUCAAACAAGCGCCGGCGGGACUACCUGCUCCCUCCUCCCCACGGCCGGCUGUGCUGCCGCGCAGGCCUCACCGGCCCACCGUACUCCCAUCGCUGGCCUAGCCAUCCCUCUACUCACCGACACCCGUUGUUAUUCUCUGGCGACGGCCGACGAACUAGUAAACCAUCAUACAGUCGUACUCCCCUCAGCGUGGGAAACAACUGCCGAGUCUUCCCUGCCUCUGUGUCGUUCCCUUCCUAGGCCUAGUCGUCGUCCACUGCCCUGGUGCUCUCGGUGCGGCUUGGUAAACAUGGUCAACGACCGACAUGCAUCUGAAGUGGACUGUACGUGGAGAGGCCGACAACUGGGUCCACGGUCGCACGCAAGGAAAUGCCUCCUUAUUGCGUGCAAAAUAAUGAUUCCGCCACCUGACAUCAGCGACCCACCGAAAGGGCCUCUGUAUUUCACGAAAAAAAGUUACCACCGCUGACAGCUCGGACCCACCAGCUAUAUCUUCGCACGCAAGGAAGUGCCUCCUUAUUACGCACAAAAAAAUAAAUACUCCCCAUGUUAGUUGGGACCUAGUAUAGUGGCAGGAUGACUUGUGGGCCUACUAAGUUGACGGGGACGGAGGGCUUUGUCAACUUAGUCAAUAUACACGAUUCUAGCUCUAGUGACCGUACGAUGUCCAUCCAACGGCCGUAGUGCUUCUUCAACCUCUGGUCUUCUUGCUCCAGCCGCCCAAACCAGCUCCGGUCGUUCCUCGUGCUCCUGCCUCCCAUGGCCGGCUGUGAUGCGGCGGAGGCCUCACCGCCCCCUACUACUCCCACCGCUGGCCAAGCCAUCCGCCUACUCACCCACACCCCCUGUUAUUCUACGGCAACGGCAGCCUCACACCGUAGCGAACCAGUGAACCCUCGUACUCCUCUAUGCGUGAGCAUCCACUGCCGUGUUUUCCCCUGCUCCGCGUUGUCCCCUUCCUAGGCCUCGCCGUCAUCCACAACCCUAGUGCUUUGGCGCGGCAUGGUCAACAUGGUCUAGGAAUGGCUUCCAUCGGACGUGGACUGUACGUGGAGAGGCUGACGGCUGGGUCCACGGCCGCAGCAAGGAAGUGCGUCCUUACUACGGGCAAAAUAAUUAUUCCUCCACCUGACAGCGGGGACCCACUGGAUGGCCACCGUAUUUUGUGAAAAAAAAUGUUUCCCCCUGACUGCUGGGACCCACUAGCUACAUCUUCACACGCAAGGAAGUGCGUCUGGGCAAAAAAAACGAUUCGCCCCCCCUGACUGUUGGGACCCACCAGCUACUUCUUCGCACGCAAGGAAGUGCCUGACAGUCGGGACCCACCUGGUCGAAGCGUACAUAGCGUUGUCAUUCUGGUCGUGAAUGUGUACGUACAUAUAUACUGCUCGAUGUAGAGGCGUGCACGUGUCGUAGUAUAGGCCAGUGUGCAAGAAAGAAAAUACGGCCACAUAUGUGUACAUAUGGGCGGGGUCUCGAACGCCUACUCGCCCAUAUGUACGGCCAGGGCUCGUGUACAUGGCUGGGUCGGAACAGAGAAACAGCGUCGUCGUCGUGUUCAUGGGGAGGCAACAAAAUGCGUCGUGUUCAUGGGAAGGCAACGAAAUGCGUCGUGUUCAUCGGGAGGCAACGGAACGCGUGGGAGCCAACCGGCUGGGUCGGAACGGAAUGCGUGGUCAUGUUCAUCGGGGGGCUUGGACGGAACAGGCGAUGGAAACGAGGCCUGGCGUACCGCAGAACGGAGCAAACGAACAUCCUACGGUUGAAACGGGGGUCCUGUUGAUCGGGAGGGGUGUAGCGUACCGCAAAACGGAGGAAACGGACCUCCUACGGUCGAAACGGGGGUCCUGUUAAUCGGGAGGGGUGUGGCGUACCGCAAAACGGACAAAACGGACCUCCUACAGUCGAAACGGGGGUCUUGUUGAUCGGGAGGGGUGUGGCGUACCGCAAAACGGACGAAACAGACUUGUGUUGGAGCGCUACUGUCGAAACGGGGGUCCUGUUCAUCGGGAGGGGUGUGGCAUACCGCAAAACGGGACUCCACGGGAUACUUUUCAUCUCCACCGUCGACCUCCUCCACUUUCCCCGGGCUACCGUCGACCUCCUCCAGCCUCCACGGGCUCCUGUUCAUCCAGGCUCCACCGCGCGCUACUCCACCGGCUACUGUUCAACCACCCCUCCACAGGCACCCCUCCACCGUCUACUCUUCAUCCAGCCCUCCACACCACGGGGUCCUAUUCAUCCAGAGGCAACACCACCGCUCACUAUUCAUCCACCCCCCCUGCAACGCUCACUGUUCAUCCAAUCGACCGGCUUCAGUUAGCAGCAGUAGCGAAGGAAUCGCUCGAUAGGGUUCAGUUAACAGCCAUCGAUCGAUCGCUCGGGUUCAGUAACGCGUAGCCUGCAGUGCAAUCGCUCGGGUUCAGUUAGAGCCCAACGCCUCGCUCGGGUUCAGUUAGAGCCAACGCCUCGCACACACGCACGUACGUGUACGAGAGAAACGCACAUCGCUGGGCCCCCGACCUCCCACCGUAACCGGGAACUCCCCGAAAUUUUCUUCGCCCUCGCUUCUACCAUGGUUUUUUCCAUCAUGGACGGCCCAAAGAAUGUCAUGCAGCUGCGUCUCCGGCCCGCCCAGGACGAAAAGCCCAUUUUUUGUCAUGAUUUUUUGUCAUAGAAGUAGGAGCCCACCACAUCUAUGAUGAUACCGGGUUUUGUCACAAUUAUCGUCAUAGAAGUGUCAUAUAUAUGACAGAAAAAAAUUUCGUACGGCCCAAAAUGUUACGGAUGUGUCUUUUUUUGUAGUGAUAGUUUGCUAUAAUAGUUUCAUGAUUGUCGGGUGUGGUUUGUAUGCUCUUUUCAACAGGAGGAAUGUUUGGUCAUGAAGAUAGUGUUCUUUGAAGUCAUCAUGUGCAUGCUUUACUUUGGAUUACCAAGUUGUAAAUGGGAGGAAAGAUUGGAGUAUAUAUCCUUGUUGUAGACAGGAUGUAACUAAAAUUUAUAUCUAGGACCAUCAGCGCAUUGUUAGUAUAUUUCACUACCAUCCACCUCAUCAAGUACGAACAUCUCACGUGCUAGCUAUUUUGUUCAUCUCCGAGGGAUCGUGGUGUACACUGGGGUGCUUUCUAUGGAUUUUUUUUCGUUGCAUACUUUGUCACCAGAGAAAUGGAGAAACAAAUUUUGUCAAAAACUCUAGUGGGCAUGUGAAUUGGAUCAACAGGUAGCAGCAACAAGGGUGAAUUCCUAUCAGUACAAGUUUUGCGGUGUUUUUACUUGUCGACAUUCACUGGCUAAUGUGUUUUGGUUUUUGGCAACAGAGGGUGUGAAUAUUCGUAUGAACAGGACAACCGGUCGUUGCAUGGCUAGUACUCAGGUUGGAUGGGCCAACCGAGCUUUCGGUUUCGGCUUGCUUGGGCGGACUCCGGAAUCAAGCAAGCCAAGUCAGUGUUUUGGGAUCAUUUCAAUGUCUGGCCCAGUUUGGCUCGGAUCAGCGAGCCCACAAGCUUAUUUGCUCGUAGCCGAGUAGCAUGUUUAGCACAACAACUGCAACAUUCGAUCUUUGUCUAAAAUACCCUGCAAUGUUCGAUCUAGUCUAAAAGCCGGAAUCAAACCGACAUAAAAAAAAAUGCAGCCAAACCUUGGCCUUCGCUCUCCACGUCCUCUCUUAUGUCCCAUUCCUAUAGCUUCACAAAUCUUGACCUAGUUCCAUGUUGACACCCCCACACAGACACAACCCUUCUCUCCUAACUCCGCCAUCCUGCUGAAGCCGCAAUGCCUCUCCGUCAUCCUGGGCCCACAUAACAGUGACCUAUGCCCCCAGGCUUGCUGAGCCUACCAAGCAACACCGAGAUGGGGCAAAGCUCAGCCCGAACAUUUUGAUAUAUUAUACGUUUUUUUAUCACAUCGUAUGCAAAAGUUAUAGCCGUUUUACAUUUUCCCUACACUUUUUGCAAAACAUGUCCAAAUUUAAGUUUUUAAAUUUUCCUAACUUGUACAUGUAGUAACAUAACUACAUCUAGAAGGAUUUUAAUUUUUGAAGUUUUUAUCCUUUUUUUUUGCUUUUUACAAAACUGAAAAGGCGAUCCACUAGGGGGGGGGUUAGAUUUUGAAAAUGGGACCUUUAGUACCGGUUCGUGCCACGAACCGAUACCAAUGCCUCAAACCCCAUUAGUACCGGUUGUUGGCUCGAACCGGUACUAAAGGUCUAACCUUUAGUACCGGUUGGUGCCACGAACAUGUACUAAUGGGCAUCGCACCCUUUAGUCCCGGUUCGUGGCACCAACCGGGACUAAAGGUCCGAUUUGAACCGGGGCUAAUGCCUGUACGGUGCCCUAGCUGCUCGAACCGGAACUAAUGCUCACAUUAGUACCGGUUCCUAAUGCAACUGGGAUUAAUGCUUAUUUCUAGCCGAACCAAAGCCCUGUUUUCAACUAGCGCAACCUAAACCCACCUAUUCAUCUUACUCUUCCGUAUUAACGAUCCUUUGUUUUCGUUGUGCGUUUUUAUGCAUGUUUGUGUUUUUGUGUGUUUGUGCAUGGGUUUAAGGAUUCAUGCGCAAGCCCAUGACUGCCGAGGAAUGCGAGGAGCACAUUAACAUCUACAUCAAGUUCUCGCAGGUUAGCAACGCGAGGUGAGCAACGCACAUGCAUAUCUACCUCAUUCAAGUUUUGGAUUUUUGCCCGCCUCUAUGGUGAAGAGAAUUGGUGAUCGAUGGAUUGGUAUUGGUGAAUAUAGUUUGCUAUAAUAGUUUCAUGUUUGUCGGGUGUGAUUUGUAUGCUCUUUUCAACAGGAGGAAUGUUUGGUCAUGAAGGUAGUGUUCUUUGAAGUCAUCAUGUGCACGCUUUACUUUGGAUUAACAAGUUGUAAAUGGAAGGAAAGAUUGGAUUAUAUAUCCUUGUUGCAAACAGGAUGUAACUAAAAUGUAUAUCUAGGACCAUCGGUGCAUUGUUAGUAUAUUUCACUACCAUCCACCUCUUUAAGUACGAACAUCUCAUGUGCUAGCUAUUUUUGUUCAUCUCCGAGGGAUCGUGGUGUACACUAGGGUGCUUUUUGUGGAUUUUUUCGUUGCAUACUUUGUCACCAGAGAAAUGAAGAAACAAAUUUUGUCAAAAACUCUAGUGGGCAUGUGAAUUGGAUCAACUGGUAGCAGCAAAAAGGAUGAAUUCCUAUUAGUAAAGGUUUUGCGGUGUUUUCACUUGUCGACAUUCGCUGGUGAAUAUUUGCAUGAACAGGACGACCGAUCCUUGCAUGGCUAGUACUCAGGUUAGAUGGGCCAACCGAGCUUUCGGUCCGUGCUUGCUUGGGCGGGCUCCGGAAUCAAGCAAGCCAAGCCAGUGUUUUGGGAUCAUUUCAAUGUCCGGCCCAGUUUGGCUCGGAUCAGCGAGCCCACAAGCUUAUUUGCUUGUAGCCCAGUACCACGUUCGCACAACAACUGCAAUGUUCGAUCUUUGUCUAAAAUACCAUGCAAUAUUCGAUCUAAUCUGAAAGACGGAACCAAUCCGACAUCAGACAAAAUGCAGCCCAACCUUGGCCUUCGCUCUCCAGGUCCUCUCUUAUGUCCCAUUCCUAUAGCCCCUCAAAUGUCGACCUAGUUCCAUGUUGACACCCCCACACAGACACAGCCCUUCUCUCCUAACUCUGCCAUCCUGCUGAAGCAGCAAUGCCUCUCCGUCAUCCUGGGCCCACAUAACAAUGACCUAUGCCCCCGGGCUUGCUGAGCCUGCCAAGCAACACCGAGCAAAGCUCAGGCCGAACAUUUUGAUAUAUUAUACGUUUUUUCUAACAUCGUAUGCAAAAGUUAUAGCCGUUUUACAUUUUCCCUACACUUUUUGCAAAACAUGUCCAAAUUUAAGUUUUUUAAUUUUCCUAACUAGUACAUGUAGUAACAUAACUACAUCUCGAAGGAUUUUAAUUUUUGAAGUUUUUAUCAUUUUAUUUUCCUUUUUACAAAACUGAAAAGGUGAUCCACGGAGGGGGGGUAGAGUUUGAAAAUGGGACCUUUAGUACCGGUUCGUGUCAUGAACCGGUACUAAUGCCUCAAACCCCAUUAGUACCGGGGUGUGGCUCGAACCAAGACUAAAUGUCUAACCUUUAGUACCGGUUGGUGCCACGAACCGGUACUAAUGGGCAUCGCACCCUUUAGUCCCAGUUCGUGGCACCAACCGGGAUUAAAGGUCCCAUUUGAACCGGGACUAAUGCAUGUACGGUGCCCUAGCCGCUCGAACCGGGACUAAUGUUCACAUUAGUACCGGUUCGUAAUGCAACCGGGAUUAAUGCUCUUUUCUGGCCGAACCAAAGCCAUGUUUUCUACUAGUGCAACCUAAACCCACCUCUUCAUCUUAGUCCUCCUUAUUAAUGAUCCUUUGUUUUUGUUAUGCGUUUUUAUGCAUGUUUCUAUUUUUUGUGUGUUUGUGCAUGGGUUUAAGGAUUCAUGCACAAGCCCAUGACUGUCAAGGAAUGCGAGGAGCACUUUAAAAUCUACAUCAAGUUCUCGCAGGUUAGCAACGCGAGGUGACCAAUGCACGUGCAUAUCUACCUCAUUCAAGUUUUGGAUUUUUGCCCACCUCUAUGGUGAAUAGAAUUGGUGAUCGAUGGAUUGGUAUUGGUGGAUAUAGUUUGCUAUAAUAGUUUCAUGUUUGUCGGGUGUGGUUUGUAUGCUCUUUUCAACAGGAGGAAUGUUUGGUCAUGAAGGUAGUGUUCUUUGAAGUCAUCAUGUGCACGCUUUACUUUGGAUUACCAAGUUGUAAAUGGAAGGAAAGAUUGGAUUAUAUAUCCUUGUUGCAGACAGGAUGUAACUAAAAUGUAUAUCUAGGACCAUCGGUGCAUUGUUAGUAUAUUUCACUACCAUCCACCUCUUUAUGUACGAACAUCUCAUGUGCUAGCUAUUUUUGUUCAUCUCCGAGGGAUCGUGGUGUACACUAGGGUGCUUUUUGUGGAUUUUUUCAUUGCAUACUUUGUCACCAGAGAAAUGGAGAAACAAAUUUUGUCAAAAACUCUAGUGGGCAUGUGAAUUGGAUCAACUGGUAGCAGCAAAAAGGAUGAAUUCCUAUUAGUAAAGGUUUUGCGGUGUUUUCACUUGUCGACAUUCGCUGGCUGGUGUGUUUUGGUUUUUGGUAACAGAGGGUGUGAAUAUUUGCAUGAACAGGACGACCGAUCCUUGCAUGGCUAGUACUCAGGUUAGAUGGGCCAACCGAGCUUUCGGUCCGUGCUUGCUUGGGCGGGCUCCGGAAUCAAGCAAGCCAAGCCAGUGUUUUGGGAUCAUUUCAAUGUCCGGCCCAGUUUGGCUCGGAUCAGCGAGCCCACAAGCUUAUUUGCUUGUAGCCCAGUACCACGUUCGCACAACAACUGCAACGUUCGAUCUUUGUCUAAAAUACCAUGCAAUAUUCGAUCUAAUCUGAAAGACGGAACCAAUCCGACAUCAAACAAAAUGAAGCCCAACCUUGGCCUUCGCUCUCCAGGUCCUCUCUUAUUUCCCAUUCCUAUAGCCCCUCAAAUGUCGACCUAGUUCCAUGUUGACACCCCCACACAGACACAGCCCUUCUCUCCUAACUCUGCCAUCCUGCAGAAGCAGCAAUGCCUCUCCGUCAUCCUGGGCCCACAUAACAAUGACCUAUGCCCCCGGGCUUGCUGAGCCUGCCAAGCAACACCGAGCAAAGCUCAGGCCGAACAUUUUGAUAUAUUAUACGUUUUUUUUCUGACAUCGUAUGCAAAAGUUAUAGCCGUUUUACAUUUUCCCUACACUUUUUGCAAAACAUAAUUUUCCUAACUAGUACAUGUAGUAACAUAACUACAUCUCGAAGGAUUUUAAUUUUUGAAGUUUUUAUCAUUUUAUUUUCCUUUUUACAAAACUGAAAAGGGGAUCCACGGAGGGGGGGUAGAGUUUGAAAAUGGGACCUUUAGUACCGGUUUGUGUCAUGAACCGGUACUAAUGCCUCAAACCCCAUUAGUACCGGGGUGUGGCUCGAACCAAGACUAAAGGUCUAACCUUUAGUACCGGUUGGUGCCACGAACCGGUACUAAUGGGCAUCGCACCCUUUAGUCCCAGUUCGUGGCACCAACCGGGAUUAAAGGUCCCAUUUGAACCGGGACUAAUGCAUGUACGGUGCCCUAGCCGCUCGAACCGGGACUAAUGUUCACAUUAGUACCGGUUCGUAAUGCAACCGGGAUUAAUGCUCUUUUCUGGCCGAACCAAAGCCAUGUUUUCUACUAGUGCAACCUAAACCCACCUCUUCAUCUUAGUCCUCCUUAUUAAUGAUCCUUUGUUUUUGUUAUGCGUUUUUAUCCAUGUUUCUAUUUUUGUGUGUUUGUGCAUGGGUUUAAGGAUUCAUGCACAAGCCCAUGACUGUCAAGGAAUGCGAGGAGCACUUUAAAAUCUACAUCAAGUUCUCGCAGGUUAGCAACGCGAGGUGACCAAUGCACGUGCAUAUCUACCUCAUUCAAGUUUUGGAUUUUUGCCCACCUCUAUGGUGAAUAGAAUUGGAGAUCGAUGGAUUGGUAUUGGUGGAUAUAGUUUGCUAUAAUAGUUUCAUGUUUGUCGGGUGUGGUUUGUAUGCUCUUUUCAACAGGAGGAAUGUUUGGUCAUCAAGGUAGUGUUCUUUGAAGUCAUCACUUGCAUGCAUUACUUUGGAUUACCAAGUUAUAAAUGGAAGGAAAAAUUGGAUUAUAUAUCCUUGUUGCAAACAUGAUGUAACUAAAAUGUAUAUCUAGGACCAUUGGCGCAUUAUUAGUAUAUUUCACUACCAUCCACCUCUUUAAGUACGAACAUCUCAUGUGCUAGCUAAUUUUGUUCAUCUUCGAGGGAUCAUGGAGUACACUGGGGUGCUUUCUGUGGAUUUUUUUUGUUGCAUACUUUGUCACCAGAGAAAUGGAGAAACAAAUUUUGUCAAAAACUCUAGUGGGCACGUGAAUUGGAUCAACAGGUAGCAGCAACAAGGAUGAAUUCCUUUUAGUAAAGGUUUUGCGGUGUUUUUACUUGUCGACAUUCGCUGGCUGAUGUGUUUUGGUUUUUGGUAAGAGAGGGUGUGAAUAUUUGCAUGAACAGGACGACCGGUCCUUGCAUGGCUAGUACUCAGGUUAGAUGGGACAACCGAGCUUUUGGUCUCGGCUUGCUUGGGCGGGCUCCAAAAUCAAGCAAGCCAAGCCAGUGUUUUGGGAUCAUUUCAAUGUCUGGUCCAAUUUGGCUCGGAUCAGCGAGCCCACAAGCUUAUUUGCUCGUAGCCCAGUAGCAUGUUUCGCACAACAACUGCAAUGUUCGAUCUUUUUCUAAAAUACCCUGCAAUGUUCAAUCUAAUCUGAAAGACGGAAUCAAUGCGACAUCAAACAAAAUGUAGCCAAACCUUGGACUUCGCUCUCCAUGUCCUCUCUUAUGUCCCAUUCCUAUAGCCUCUCAAAUCUCGACCUAAUUCCAUGUUGACACCCCCACACAGACACAACCCUUCUCUCCUAAGUCCGCCAUGCUACUGAAGCCGCAAUGCCUCUCCGUCAUCCUGGGCCCACAUAACAGUGACCUAUGCCCCCGGGCUUGCUGAGCCUGCCAAACAACACCGAGAUGGGGCAAAGCUCAGGCCGAACAUUUUGAUAUAUUAUAUGUUUUUUCUGACAUCGUAUGCAAAAGUUAUAGCCAUUUUACAUUUUCCCUACACCUUUUGCAAAACAUGUCCAAUUUUAAGUUUUUAAAUUUUCCUAACUAGUACAUGUAGUAACAUAACUACAUCUGGAAGGAUUUUAAUUUUUGAAGUUUUUAUCAUUUUCUUUUCCAUUUUACAAAACUGAAAANNNNNNNNNNNNNNNNNNNNNNNNNNNNNNNNNNNNNNNNNNNNNNNNNNNNNNNNNNNNNNNNNNNNNNNNNNNNNNNNNNNNNNNNNNNNNNNNNNNNNNNNNNNNNNNNNNNNNNNNNNNNNNNNNNNNNNNNNNNNNNNNNNNNNNNNNNNNNNNNNNNNNNNNNNNNAUGCCACGAACCGGUACUAAUGCCUCAAACCCCAUUAGUACCGGUUGGUGGCUCGAACCGAGACUAAAGGUCUAACCUUUAGUACCGGUUGGUGCCACGAACCGGUACUAAUGGGCAUCAAACCCUUUAGUCUCGGUUCGUGGCACCAACUGGGACUAAAGGUCCCAUUUGAACCGGGACUAAUGCCUGUACGGUGCCCUAGCCGCUCGAACCAGGACUAAUGCUCACAUUAGUACUGAUUCAUAAUGCAACCGGGAUUAAUGCUCUUUUCUGGCCGAACCAAAGACCUGUUUUCUACUAGUGCAACCUAAACCCACCUCUUCAUCUUAGUCUUCCUUAUUCUCGAUCCUUUGUUUUCGUUGUGCGUUUUUAUGCAUGUUUGUUUUUUUGUGUGUGUGUGCAUGGGUUUAACGAUUCAUGCGCAAGCCCAUGACUACCGAGGAAUGCGAGGAUCACAUUAACAUCUACAUCAAGUUCUCACAGGUUAGCAACACGAGGUGACCAAUGAACGUGCAUAUCUACCUCAUUCAAGUUUUGGAUUUUUGCCACCUCUAUGGUGAAGAGAAUUGGUGACUGAUGGAUUGGUAGUGGUGGAUAUAGUUUGCUAUAAUAGUUUCAUGUUUGUCGGGUGUGGUUUGUACGCUCUUUUCAACAGGAGGAAUGUUUGAUCAUGAAGGUAGUGUUCUUUGAAGUCAUCAUGUGCAUGCUUUACUUUGGAUUACCAAGUUUUAAAUGGAAGGAAAGAUUGGAUUAUAUAUCCUUGUUGUAGACAGGAUGUAACUAAAAUUUAUAUCUAGGACCAUCGGCGCAUUGUUAGUAUAUUUCACUACCAUCCACCUCAUUAAGUAUGAACAUCUCAUGUGCUAGCUAAUUUUGUUCAUCUCCGAAGGAUCGUGGUGUACACUGGGGUGCUUUCUGUGGAUUAUUUUCGUUGCAUACUCUGUCACCAGAGACAUGGAGAAACAAAUUUUGUCAAAAACUCUAGUGGGCAUGUGAAUUGGAUCAACUGGUAGCAGCAACAAGGAUGAAUUCCUAUCAGUACAAGUUUUGCGGUGUUUUUACUUGUCGACAUUCGGUGGCUGAUGUAUUUUGGUUUUCGGCAACAGAGGGUGUGAAUAUUCGCAUGAACAGGACGACCGGUCCUUGCAUGGUAGUACUCAGGUUGGAUGGGCCAACCAAGCUUUCGGUCUCGGCUUGCUUGGGCAGGCUCCGGAAUCAAGCAAGCCAAGUCAGUGUUUUGGGAUCAUUUCAAUGUCUGGCCCAGUUUGGCUCGGAUCAGCAAGCCCACAAGCUUAUUUGCUCGUAGCCGAGUAGCAUGUUUAGCACAACAACUGCAACAUUCGAUCUUUGUCUAAAAUACCCUGCAAUGUUCGAUCUAGUCUGAAAGACGGAAUCAAUCCGACAUCAAACAAAAUGCAGCCAAAUCUUGGCCUUCGCUCUCCACGUCCUCUCUUAUGUCCCAUUCCUAUAGCCUCACAAAUCUUGACCUAGUUCCAUGUUGACACCCCCAGACAGACGCAACCCUUCUCUCCUAACUCCGCCAUCCUGCUGAAGCCGCAAUGCCUCUCUGUCAUCCUGGGCCCACAUAACAGUGACCUAUGCCCCCGGGCUUGCUGAGCCUGCCAAGCAACACCGAGAUGGGGCAAAGCUCAGGCCAAACAUUUUGAUAUAUUAUACGUUUUUUUUCUCACAUCGUAUGCAAAAGUUAUAGCCGUUUUACAUUUUCCCUACACUUUUUGCAAAACAUGUCCAAAUUUAAGUUUUUAAAUUUUCCUAACUAGUACAUGUAGUAACAUAACUACAUCUGGAAGGAUUUUAAUUUUUGAAGUUUUUAUCUUUUUUUUUGCUUUUUACAAAACUGAAAAGGCGAUCCAUUAGGGGGGGGGGGUUAGAAUUUGAAAAUGGGACCUUUAGUAUCGGUUCGUGCCACGAACCAGUACUAAUGCCUCAAACCCCAUUAGUACCGGUUGGUGGCUCGAACCGGUACUAAAGGUCUAACCUUUACUACCGGUUGGUGCCACGAACAUGUACUAAUGGCCAUCACACCCUUUAGUCCCGGUUCGUGGCACCAACCGGGGCUAAAGGUCCCAUUUGAACCGGGACUAAUGCAUGUACGGUGCCCUAGCUGCUCGAACCGGAACUAAUGCUCACAUUAGUACCGGUUCCUAAUGCAACUGGGAUUAAUGCUCUUUUUUGCCGAACCAAAGCCCUGUUUUCAACUAGCGCAACCUAAACCCACCUAUUCAUCUUACUCUUCCGUAUUAAUGAUCCUUUGUUUUCGUUGUGCGUUUUUAUGCAUGUUUGUGUUUUUGUGUGUUUGUGCAUGGGUUUAAGGAGUCAUGCGCAAGCCCAUGACUGUCGAGGAAUGCGAGGAGCACAUUGACAUCUACAUCAAGUUCUUGCAGGUUAGCAACGCGAGGUGACCAACGCACGUGCAUAUCUACCUCAUUCAAGUUUUGGAUUUUUGCCCGCCUCUAUGGUGAAGAGAAUUGGUGAUCGAUGGAUUGGUAUUGGUGGAUAUAGUUUGCUAUAAUAGUUUCAUGUUUGUCGGGUGUGGUUUGUAUGCUCUUUUCAACAGGAGGAAUGUUUGGUCAUGAAGGUAGUGUUCUUUGAAGUCAUCAUGUGCACGCUUUACUUUGUAUUACCAAGUUGUAAAUGGAAGGAAAGAUUGGAUUAUAUAUCCUUGUUGCAGACAGGAUGUAACUAAAAUGUAUAUCUAGGACCAUCGGCGCAUUGUUAGUAUAUUUCACUACCAUCCACCUCUUUAAGUACGAACAUCUCAUGUGCUAGCUAAUUUUGUUCAUCUCCGAGGGAUCGUGGUGUACACUAGGGUGCUUUCUAUGGAUUUUUUUUGUUGCAUACUUUGUCACCAGAGAAAUGGAGAAACAAAUUUGGUCAAAAAGUCUAGUGGGCAUGUGAAUUGGAUCAACUGGUAGCAGCAAAAAGGAUGAAUUCCUAUCAGUACAAGGUUUUGUGGAGUUUUUACUUGUCGACAUUCGCUGGCUGAUAUGUUUUGGUUUUUGGUAAGAGAGGGUGUGAAUAUUUGCAUGAACAGGACGACAGGUUGUUGCAUGGAUAGUACUCAGGAUGGAUCGGACAACCGAGCUUUCGGUCUCGGCUUGCUUGAGCGGGCUCCGGAAUCAAGCAAGCCAAGUCAGUGUUUUGGGAUCAUUUCAAUGUCCGGCCUAGUUUGGCUCGGAUCAGCGAGCCCACAAGCUUAUUUGCUCGUAGCCCAGUAGCAUGUUUCGCACAACAACUACAAUGUUUGAUCUUUGUCUAAAAUACCCUGCAAUGUUGAUCUAAUCUGAAAGACAGAAUCAAUCCGACAUCAAACAAAAUGCAUCCAAAUCUUGGCCUUCGCUCUCCACGUCCUCUCUUAUGUCCCAUUCCUAUAGCCUCUCAAAUCUUGACCUAGUUCCAUGUUGACACCCCCACACAGACACAACCCUUCUCUCCUAACUCCGCCAUCCUUUUGAAGCCGCAAUGCCUCUCCGUCAUCCUGGGCCCACAUAACAAUGACCUAUGCCCCCGGGUUUUCUGAGCCUGCCAAGCAACACCGAGAUGGGGCAAAGCUCAGGCCGAAAAUUUUGAUAUAUUAUACUUUUUUUCGGACAUUGUAUGCAAAAGUUAUAGCCGUUUUACAUUUUCCCUACACUUUUUGCAGAGCAUGUCCAAAUUUAAGUUUUUAAAUUUUCCUAACUAGUACAUGUAGUAACAUAACUACAUCUGGAAGGAUUUUAAUUUUUGAAGUUUUUAUCCUUUUUUUUUGCUUUUUACAAAACUGAAAGGGCGUUCCACUGGAGGGGGGGUAGAGUUUGAACAUGGGACCUUUAGUACGGGUUCGUGGCACGAACCGGUACUAAUGCCUCAAACCCCAUUAGUACCGGUUGGUGGCUCGAACCGGGACGAAAGGUCUAACCUUUAGUACCGGUUGGUGCCACGAACAGGUACUAAUGAGCAUCGCACCCUUUAGGGCCGGUUCGUGGCACCAACCAGGACUAAAGGUCCCAUUUGAACCGGGACUAAUGCCUGCACGGUGCCCUAGCCGCUCGAACCGGCACUAAUGCUCACAUUAGUACCGGUUCAUAAUGCAACCUGGAUUAAUCCUCUUUUCUGGCCGAACCAAAGCCCUGUUUUCUGCUAGUGCAACCUAAACCCACCUAUUCAUCUUACUCUUCCUUAUUAACGCUCCAUUGUUUUCGUUGUGCGAUUUUAGGCAUGUUUGUGUUUUUGUGUGUUUGUGCAUUGGUUUAAGGAUUCAUGGGCAAGCCCAUGACUGCCGAGGAAUGCGAGGAGCACAUUAACAUCUACAUCAAGUUCUCGCAGGUUAGAAACGCGAGGUGACCAAUGCACAUGCAUAUCUACCUCAUUCAAGUUUUGGAUUUUUGCCGGCCUCUAUGGUGAAGAGAAUUGGUGAUCGAUGGAUUGGUAUUGGUGGACAUAGUUUUCUAUAAUAGUGUCAUGUUUGUCCGGUGUGGUUUGUAUGCUCUUUUCAACAGGAGGAAUGUUUGGUCAUGAAGGUAGUGUUUUUGAAGUCAUCAUGUGCACGUUUUUCUUUGGAUUACCAAGUUGUAAAUGGAAGGAAAGAUUGGAUUAUAUAUCCUUGUUGCUGACAGGAUGUAACUAAAAUGUAUAUCUAGGACCAUCGGCGUUAGUAUAUUUCACUACCAUCCACCUCUUUAAGUACGAACAUCUCAUGUGCUAGCUAUUUUUGUUCAUCUCCGAGGGAUCGUGGUGUACACUGGGGUGCUUUCUGUGGAUUUUUUUCGUUGCAUACUUUGUAACCAGAGAAAUGGAGAAACAAAUUUUGUCAAAAACUCUAGUGGGCAUGUGAAUUGGAUCAACUGGUAGCAGCAAAAAGGAUGAAUUCCUAUCAGUAAAGGUUUUGCGGUGUUUUUACUUGUCGACAUUCGCUGGCUGGUGUGUUUUGGUUUUUGGUAACAGAGGGUGUGAAUAUUUGCAUGAACAGGACGACCGGUCCUUGCAUGGCUAGUACUCAGGUUGGAUGGGCCAACCGAGCUUUCGGUCUCGGCUUGCUUCGGCGGGCUCCAGAAUCAAGGAAGCCAAGCUAGUGUUUUGGGAUCAUUUCAAUGCCUGGCCCAGUUUGGCUCGGAUCAGCGAGCCCACAAGUUUAUUUGCUCGUAGCCCAGUAGCACGUUUCGCACAACAACUGCAACGUUCAAUCUUUGUCUAAAAUACCAUGCAAUGUUCGAUCUAAUCUGAAAGGCGGAACCAAUCCGACAUCAAACAAAAUGCAGCCCAACCUUGGCCUUCGCUCUCUAGGUCCUCUCUUAUGUCCCAUUUCUAUAGCCCCUCAAAUCUCGACCUAGUUCCAUGUUGACACCCCCACACAGACACAGCCCUUCUCUCCUAACUCCGCCAUCCUGCUGAAGCAGCAAUGCCUCUCUGUCAUCCUGGACCCACAUAACAAUGACCUAUGCCCCCGGGCUUGCUGAGCCUGCCAAGCAACACCGAGAUGGGGCAAAGCUCAGGCCGAACAUUUUGAUAUAUUAUACGUUUUUUUUCUGACAGCGUAUGCAAAAGUUAUAGCCGUUUUACAUUUUCCCUACACUUUUUGCAAAACAUGUCCAAAUUUAAGUUUUUAGCUUUUUCCUAACUAGUACAUGUAGUAACAUAACUACAUCUGGAAGGAUUUUAAUUUUUUAAGUUUUUAUCAUUUUAUUUUCCUUUUUACAAAACUGAAAAGGUGAUCCACGGAGGGGGGAGGGUAGAGUUUGAAAAUGGGACCUUUAGUACCGUUUCGUGCCAUGAACCGGUACUAAUGCCUCAAACCCCAUUAGUACUCGGGUGUGGCUCAAACCGGGACUAAAGGUCUAACAUUUAGUAUCGAUUGGUGCCACGAACCGGUACUAAUGGGCAUCACGCCCUUUAGUCCCAGUUCGUGGCACCAACCGGGAUUAAAGGUCCCAUUUGAACCGGGACUAAUGCCUAUACGGUGCCCUAGCCGCUCGAAUCGGGACUAAUGUUCACAUUAGUACCGGUUCGUAAUGCAACCAGGAUUAAUGCUCUUUUCUGGCCGAACCAAAGCCAUGUUUUCUACUAGUGCAACCUAAACCCACCUCUUCAUCUUAGUCUUCCUUAUUAAUGAUCCUUCGUUUUUGUUGUGCAUUUUUAUGCAUGUUUGUGUUUUUGUGUGUUUGUGCAUGGGUUUAAGGAUUCAUGCACAAGCCCAUGACCGUCAAGGAAUGCGAGGAGCACUUUAAAAUCUACAUCAAGUUCUCGCAGGUUAGCAACGCGAGGUGACCAAUGCACGUGCAUAUCUACCUCAUUCAAGCUUUGGAUUUUUGCCCACCUCUAUGGUGAAUAGAAUUGGUGAUCGAUGGAUUGGUAUUGGUGGAUAUAGUUUGCAAUAAUAGAUUCAUGUUUUUCGGGUGUGGUUUGUAUGCUCUUUUCAACAGGAGGAACGUUUGGUCAUGGAGGUAGUGUUCUUUGAAGUCAUCAUGUGCACGCAUUACUUUGGAUUACCAAGUUAUAAAUGGAAGGAAAAUUUGGAUUAUAUAUCCUUUUUUCAAACAUGAUGUAACUAAAAUGUAUAUCUAGGACCAUUGGUGCAUUAUUAGUAUAUUUCACUACCAUUGUUGCAUACUUUGUCACCAGAGAAAUGGAGAAACAAAUUUUGUCAAAAACUCUAGUGGGCACGUGAAUUGGAUCAACAGGUAGCAGCAACAAGGAUGAAUUCCUUUCAGUAAAGGUUUUGCGGUGUUUUUACUUGUCUACAUUUGUUGGCUGAUGUGUUUUGGUUUUUGGUAAGAGAGGGUGUGAAUAUUUGCAUGAACAGGACGAACGGUCCUUGCAUGGCUAGUACUAAGGUUGGAUGGGACAACCGAGCUUUUGGUCUUGGCUUGCUUGGGCGGGCUCCAGAAUCAAGCAAUCCAAGCCAGUGUUUUGGGAUCAUUUCAAUGUCCGGCCCAGUUUGGCUCGGAUCAGCGAGCCCACAAGCUUAUUUUCUCGUAGCCCAGUAGCAUGUUUCGCACAACAACUGCAAAGUUCGAUCUUUUUCUAAAAUAUACUGCAAUGUUCAAUCUAAUCUGAAAGACGGAAUCAAUGCGACAUCAAACAAAAUGUAGCCAAACCUUGGACCUAGCUCUCCACAUCCUCUCUUAUGUCCCAUUCCUAUAGCCUCUCAAAUCUCGACCUAGUUCCAUGUUGACACCCCCACACAGACACAACCCUUCUCUCCUAACUCCGCCAUCCUGCUGAAGCCGCAAUGCCUCUCCGUCAUCCUGGGCCCACAUAACAGUGACCUAUGCCCCCGGGCUUGCUGAGCCUACCAAACAACACCGAGAUGGGGCAAAGCUCAGGCCGAACAUUUUGAUAUAUUAUAUGUUUUCCCUACACUUUUUGCAAAACAUGUCCAAAUUUAAGUUUUUAAAUUUUCCUAACUAGUACAUGUAGUAACAUAACUACAUCUGGAAGGAUUUUAAUUUUUGAAGUUUUUAUCAUUUUCUUUUGCUUUUUACAAAACUGAAAAGGCAAUCCUCGGGGGGGGGGGGUGUAGAGUUUGAAAGGUUCAUGCCACGAACCGGUACUAAUGCCUCAAACCCCAUUUGUACCGGUUGGUGGCUCGAACCGGGACUAAAGGUCUAACCUUUAGUACCGGUUGGUGCCACGAACCGGUACUAAUGGGCAUCACACCCUUUAAUCUCGGUUCAUGGCACCAACUGGGACUAAAGGUCCCAUUUGAACCGGGACUAAUGCAUGUACGGUGCUCUAGCCGCUCGAACCGGGAAUAAUGCCUGUACGGUGCCCUAGCCGCUCGAACCGGGACUAAUGCUCACAUUAGUGCCGGUUCAUAAUGCAACCGGGAUUAAUGCUCUUUUCUGGCCGAACCAAACCCCUGUUUUCUACUACUGCAACCUAAACCCACCUCUUCAUCUUAGUCUUCCUUAUUCUCUAUCCUUUGUUUUCGUUGUGAUUUUUUAUGCAUGUUUGUUUUUUUGUGUGUUUGUGCAUGGGUUUAAGGAUUCAUGCGCAAGCCCAUGACUGCCGAGGAAUGCGAGGAGCACAUUAACAUCUACAUCAAGUUCUCACAGGUUAGCAACGCGAUGUGACCAAUGCACGUGCAUAUCUACCUCAUUCAAGUUUUGGAUUUUUGCCCACCUCUAUGGUGAAGAGAAUUGGUGAUUGAUGGAUUGGUAUUGGUGGAUAUAGUUUUCUAUAAUAGUUUCAUGUUUGUCGGGUGUGGUUUGUACGCUCAUUUCAACAGGAGGAAUGUUUGAUCAUGAAGGUAGUGUUUUUUGAAGUCAUCAUGUGCAUGCUUUACUUUGGAUUACCAAGUUGUAAAUGGAAGGAAAGAUUGGAUUAUAUAUCCCUGUUGUAGACAGGAUGUAACUAAAAUGUAUAUCUAGGACCAUCAGUGCAUUGUUAGUAUAUUUCACUACCAUCCACCUCUUUAAGUACGAACAUCUCAUGUGAUAGUUAAUUUUGUAAAUCUCCAAGGGAUCGUGGUGUACACGGGGGUGCUUUCUGUGGAUUUUGUCGUUGCAUACUUUGUCACCAGAGAAAUGGAGAAACAAAUUUUGUCAAAAACUCUAGUGAGCAUGUGAAUUGGAUCAACUGGUAGCAGCAACAAGGAUGAAUUCCUAUCAGUAAAGGUUUUGCGGUGUUUUUACUUGUCGACAUUCGCUGGCUGAUGUGUUUUGGUUUUUGGUAAUAGAGGGUGUGAAUAUUUGCAUGAAUAGGACGACCGGUCCUUGCAUGGCUAGUACUCAGGUUGGAUGGGCCAACCGAGCUUUCGAUCUCAGCUUGCUUGGUCGGGCUCCGGAAUCAAGCAAGCCAAGCCAGUGUUUUGGGAUCAUUUCAAUGUCCAUCCCAGUUCGGCUCGGAUCAGCGAGCCCACAUGCUUAUUUGCUCAUAGCCCAGUAGCAUGUUUCUCACAACAACUGCAACAUUCGAUCUUUGUCUAAAAUACCCUGCAAUGUUCGAUCUAAUCUGAAAGACGGAAUCAAUCCAACAUCAAACAAAAUGCAGCCAAACCUUGGCCUUCGCUCUCCACGUCCUCUCUUAUGUCCCAUUCCUAUAGCCUCUCAAAUCUCGACCUAGUUCCAUGUUGACACCCCCACACAGACACAACCCUUCUCUCCUAACUCCACCAUCCUGCUGAAGCAGCAAUGCCUCUCCAUCAUCCUGGGCCCACAUAACAGUGACCUAUGCCCCCGGGCUUGCUGAGCCUGCCAAGCAACACCGAGAUGGGGCAAAGCUCAGGCCGAACAUUUUUAUAUAUUAUAUGUUUUUUCUAACUUCGUGUGCAAAAGUUAUAGGUGUUUUAUAUUUUCCCUACACUUUUUGUAAAACAUGUCCAAAUUUAAGUUUUUAAAUUUUUCUAACUACUACAUGUAGUAACAUAACUACAUCUGGAAGGAUUUUAAUUUUUGAAGUUUUUAUCAUUUUCUUUUGCUUUUUACAAAACUAAAAAGGCGAUCCACAAAGGGGGGGGGGUAGAGUUUGAAAAUGUGUCCUUUAGUACCGGUUCGUGCCAUGAACCGGUACUAAUGCCUCAAACCCCAUUAGUACCGGUUGGUGGCUCGAACCGGGACUAAAGGUCUAACCUUUAGUACCGGUUGGUACCACGAACCGGUACUAAUGGGCAUCGCACCCUUUAGUCCCGGUUCGUGGCACCAACCGGGAUUAAAGGUCCCAUUUGAACCGGGACUAAUGCACGUACGGUGCCCUAGCCGCUCGAACCGGGACUAAUGCUCACAUUAGUACCUGUUCGUAAUGCAACCGGGAUUAAUGCUCUUUUCUAGCCGAACCAAAGCCCUGUUUUCUACUAGUGCAACCUAAACCCACCUCUUCAUCUUAGUCUUCCCUAUUAACGAUCCUUUGUUUUCGUUGUGCGUUUUUAUGCAUGUUUGUGUUUUUGUUUGUUUGUGCAAGGGUUUAAGGAUUCAUGCGCAAGCCCAUGACUGCCGAGGAAUGCGAGGAUCACAUUAACAUCUACAUCAAGUUCUUGCAGGUUAGCAACGGAAGGUGACCAAUGCACGUGCAUAACUACCUCAUUCAAGUUUUGGAUUUUUGCCCGCCUCUAUGGUGAAGAGAAUUGGCGAUCGAUGGAUUGGUAUUGGUGGAUAUAGUUUGCUAUAAUAGUUUCAUGUUUGUCGGGUAUGGUUUAUAUCCUCUUUUCAACAGAAGGAAUGUUUGGUCAUGAAGGUAGUGUUCUUUGAAGUCAUGAUGUGCAUGCUUUACUUUGGAUUACCAAGUUAUAAAUGGAAGGAAAGAUUGGAUUAUAUAUCCUUGUUGCAAACAGGAUGUAAUUAAAAUGUAUAUCUAGGACCAUCGGCGCAUUGUUAGUAUAUUUCACUACCACCCACCUCUUUAAGUACGAACAUCUCAUGUGCUAGCUAAUUUUGUUCAUCUUCAAGGGAUCAUGGUGUACACUUGGGUGCUUUCUGUGGAUUUUUUUUCAUUGCAUACUUUGUCACCAGAGAAAUGAGGAAACAAAUUAUGUCAAAAACUCUAGUGGGCAUGUGAAUUAGAUCAACUGGUAGCAGCAACAAGGAUGAAUUCCUAUAAGUAAAGGUUUUGUGGUGUUUUUACUUGUCGACAUUCGCUGGCUGAUGUGUUUUGGUUUUUGGUAACAGAGGGUGUGAAUAUUUGCAUGAACAGGACGACCGGUCCUUGCAUGGCUAGUACUGAGGUUGGAUGGGCCAACCGAGCUUUCAGUCUCGCCUUGCUUGGGCGGGCUCCGGAAUCAAGCAAGCCAACCAGUGUUUUGGGAUCAUUUCAAUGUCCGGCCCAGUUUGGCUCGGAUCAGCGAGCCCACAAGCUUAUUUGCUUGUAGCCAAGUAGCAUGUUUCGCACAACAACUGUAACGUUCGAUCUUUGUCUAAAAUACCCUGCAAUGUUCGAUCUAAUCUGAAAGACGGAAUCAAUCCAACAUCAAACGAAAUGCAGCCAAACCUUGGCCUUCGCUCUCCACGUCCUCUCUUAUGUCCCAUUCCUAUAGCCUCUCAAAUCUCGACCUAGGUCCAUGUUGACACCCCCACACAGACACAACCCUUCUCUCCUAACUCCACCAUCCUGCUGAAGCAGCAAUGCCUCUCCAUCAUCCUGGGCCCACAUAACAGUGACCUAUGCCCCCGGGCUUGCUGAGCCUGCCAAGCAACACCGAGAUGGGGCAAAGCUCAGGCCGAACAUUUUUAUAUAUUAUAUGUUUUUUCUAACUUCGUGUGCAAAAGUUAUAGGCGUUUUAUAUUUUCCCUACACUUUUUGUAAAACAUGUCCAAAUUUAAGUUUUUAAAUUUUUCUAACUACUACAUGUAGUAACAUAACUACAUCUGGAAGGAUUUUAAUUUUUGAAGUUUUUAUCAUUUUCUUUUGCUUUUUACAAAACUAAAAAGGCGAUCCACAAAGGGGGGGGUAGAGUUUGAAAAUGGUUCCUUUAGUACCGGUUCGUGCCAUGAACCGGUACUAAUGCCUCAAACCCCAUUAGUACCGGUUGGUGGCUCGAACCGGGACUAAAGGUCUAACCUUUAGUACCGGUUGGUACCACGAACCGGUACUAAUGGGCAUCGCACCCUUUAGUCCCGGUUCGUGGCACCAACCGGGAUUAAAGGUCCCAUUUGAACCGGGACUAAUGCACGUACGGUGCCCUAGCCGCUCGAACCGGGACUAAUGCUCACAUUAGUACCUGUUCGUAAUGCAACCGGGAUUAAUGCUCUUUUCUAGCCGAACCAAAGCCCUGUUUUCUACUAGUGCAACCUAAACCCACCUCUUCAUCUUAGUCUUCCCUAUUAACGAUCCUUUGUUUUUGUUGUGCGUUUUUAUGCAUGUUUGUGUUUUUGUUUGUUUGUGCAAGGGUUUAAGGAUUCAUGCGCAAGCCCAUGACUGCCGAGGAAUGCGAGGAUCACAUUAACAUCUACAUCAAGUUCUUGCAGGUUAGCAACGGAAGGUGACCAAUGCACGUGCAUAUCUACCUCAUUCAAGUUUUGGAUUUUUGCCCGCCUCUAUGGUGAAGAGAAUUGGCGAUCGAUGGAUUGGUAUUGGUGGAUAUAGUUUGCUAUAAUAGUUUCAUGUUUGUCGGGUAUGGUUUAUAUGCUCUUUUCAACAGAAGGAAUGUUUGGUCAUGAAGGUAGUGUUCUUUGAAGUCAUGAUGUGCAUGCUUUACUUUGGAUUACCAAGUUAUAAAUGGAAGGAAAGAUUGGAUUAUAUAUCCUUGUUGCAAACAGGAUGUAAUUAAAAUGUAUAUCUAGGACCAUCGGCGCAUUGUUAGUAUAUUUCACUACCACCCACCUCUUUAAGUACGAACAUCUCAUGUGCUAGCUAAUUUUGUUCAUCUUCAAGGGAUCAUGGUGUACACUUGGGUGCGUUCUGUGGAUUUUUUUUCAUUGCAUACUUUGUCACCAGAGAAAUGAGGAAACAAAUUAUGUCAAAAACUCUAGUGGGCAUGUGAAUUAGAUCAACUGGUAGCAGCAACAAGGAUGAAUUCCUAUAAGUAAAGGUUUUGUGGUGUUUUUCCUUUUCGACAUUCGCUGGCUGAUGUGUUUUGGUUUUUGGUAACAGAGGGUGUGAAUAUUUGCACGAACAGGACGACCGGUCCUUGCAUGGCUAGUACUGAGGUUGGAUGGGCCAACCGAGCUUUCAGUCUCGCCUUGCUUGGGCGGGCUCCGGAAUCAAGCAAGCCAACCAGUGUUUUGGGAUCAUUUCAAUGUCCGGCCCAGUUUGGCUCGGAUCAGCGAGCCCACAAGCUUAUUUGCUUGUAGCCAAGUAGCAUGUUUCGCACAACAACUGUAACGUUCGAUCUUUGUCUAAAAUACCCUGCAAUGUUCGAUCUAAUCUGAAAGACGGAAUCAAUCCAACAUCAAACGAAAUGCAGCCAAACCUUGGCCUUCGCUCUCCACGUCCUCUCUUAUGUCCCAUUCCUAUAGCCUCUCAAAUCUCGACCUAGGUCCAUGUUGACACCCCCACACAAACACAACCCUUCUCUCCUAACUCCACCAUCCUGCUGAAGCAGCAAUGCCUCUCCAUCAUCCUGGGCCCACAUAACAGUGACCUAUGCCCCCGGGCUUGCUGAGCCUGCCAAGCAACACCGAGAUGGGGCAAAGCUCAGGCCGAACAUUUUUAUAUAUUAUAUGUUUUUUCUAACUUCGUGUGCAAAAGUUAUAGGCGUUUUAUAUUUUCCCUACACUUUUUGUAAAACAUGUCCAAAUUUAAGUUUUUAAAUUUUUCUAACUACUACAUGUAGUAACAUAACUACAUCUGGAAGGAUUUUAAUUUUUGAAGUUUUUAUCAUUUUCUUUUGCUUUUUACAAAACUAAAAAGGCGAUCCACAAAGGGGGGGGGUAGAGUUUGAAAAUGUGUCCUUUAGUACCGGUUCGUGCCAUGAACCGGUACUAAUGCCUCAAACCCCAUUAGUACCGGUUGGGGGCUCGAACCGGGACUAAAGGUCUAACCUUUAGUACCGGUUGGUACCACGAACCGGUACUAAUGGGCAUCGCACCCUUUAGUCCCGGUUCGUGGCACCAACCGGGAUUAAAGGUCCCAUUUGAACCGGGACUAAUGCACGUACGGUGCCCUAGCCGCUCGAACCGGGACUAAUGCUCACAUUAGUACCUGUUCGUAAUGCAACCGGGAUUAAUGCUCUUUUCUAGCCGAACCAAAGCCCUGUUUUCUACUAGUGCAACCUAAACCCACCUCUUCAUCUUAGUCUUCCCUAUUAACGAUCCUUUGUUUUCGUUGUGCGUUUUUAUGCAUGUUUGUGUUUUUGUUUGUUUGUGCAAGGGUUUAAGGAUUCAUGCGCAAGCCCAUGACUGCCGAGGAAUGCGAGGAUCACAUUAACAUCUACAUCAAGUUCUUGCAGGUUAGCAACGGAAGGUGACCAAUGCACGUGCAUAUCUACCUCAUUCAAGUCUUGGAUUUUUGCCCGCCUCUAUGGUGAAGAGAAUUGGCGAUCGAUGGAUUGGUAUUGGUGGAUAUAGUUUGCUAUAAUAGUUUCAUGUUUGUCGGGUAUGGUUUAUAUGCUCUUUUCAACAGAAGGAAUGUUUGGUCAUGAAGGUAGUGUUCUUUGAAGUCAUGAUGUGCAUGCUUUACUUUGGAUUACCAAGUUAUAAAUGGAAGGAAAGAUUGGAUUAUAUAUCCUUGUUGCAAACAGGAUGUAAUUAAAAUGUAUAUCUAGGACCAUCGGCGCAUUGUUAGUAUAUUUCACUACCACCCACCUCUUUAAGUACGAACAUCUCAUGUGCUAGCUAAUUUUGUUCAUCUUCAAGGGAUCAUGGUGUACACUUGGGUGCUUUCUGUGGAUUUUUUUUCAUUGCAUACUUUGUCACCAGAGAAAUGAGGAAACAAAUUAUGUCAAAAACUCUAGUGGGCAUGUGAAUUAGAUCAACUGGUAGCAGCAACAAGGAUGAAUUCCUAUAAGUAAAGGUUUUGUGGUGUUUUUACUUGUCGACAUUCGCUGGCUGAUGUGUUUUGGUUUUUGGUAACAGAGGGUGUGAAUAUUUGCACGAACAGGACGACCGGUCCUUGCAUGGCUAGUACUGAGGUUGGAUGGGCCAACCGAGCUUUCAGUCUCGCCUUGCUUGGGCGGGCUCCGGAAUCAAGCAAGCCAACCAGUGUUUUGGGAUCAUUUCAAUGUCCGGCCCAGUUUGGCUCGGAUCAGCGAGCCCACAAGCUUAUUUGCUUGUAGCCAAGUAGCAUGUUUCGCACAACAACUGUAACGUUCGAUCUUUGUCUAAAAUACCCUGCAAUGUUCGAUCUAAUCUGAAAGACGGAAUCAAUCCAACAUCAAACGAAAUGCAGCCAAACCUUGGCCUUCGCUCUCCACGUCCUCUCUUAUGUCCCAUUCCUAUAGCCUCUCAAAUCUCGACCUAGGUCCAUGUUGACACCCCCACACAGACACAACCCUUCUCUCCUAACUCCACCAUCCUGCUGAAGCAGCAAUGCCUCUCCAUCAUCCUGGGCCCACAUAACAGUGACCUAUGCCCCCGGGCUUGCUGAGCCUGCCAAGCAACACCGAGAUGGGGCAAAGCUCAGGCCGAACAUUUUUAUAUAUUAUAUGUUUUUUCUAACUUCGUGUGCAAAAGUUAUAGGCGUUUUAUAUUUUCCCUACACUUUUUGUAAAACAUGUCCAAAUUUAAGUUUUUAAAUUUUUCUAACUACUACAUGUAGUAACAUAACUACAUCUGGAAGGAUUUUAAUUUUUGAAGUUUUUAUCAUUUUCUUUUGCUUUUUACAAAACUAAAAAGGCGAUCCACAAAGGGGGGGGUAGAGUUUGAAAAUGGUUCCUUUAGUACCGGUUCGUGCCAUGAACCGGUACUAAUGCCUCAAACCCCAUUAGUACCGGUUGGUGGCUCGAACCGGGACUAAAGGUCUAACCUUUAGUACCGGUUGGUACCACGAACCGGUACUAAUGGGCAUCGCACCCUUUAGUCCCGGUUCGUGGCACCAACCGGGAUUAAAGGUCCCAUUUGAACCGGGACUAAUGCACGUACGGUGCCCUAGCCGCUCGAACCGGGACUAAUGCUCACAUUAGUACCUGUUCGUAAUGCAACCGGGAUUAAUGCUCUUUUCUAGCCGAACCAAAGCCCUGUUUUCUACUAGUGCAACCUAAACCCACCUCUUCAUCUUAGUCUUCCCUAUUAACGAUCCUUUGUUUUCGUUCUGCGUUUUUAUGCAUGUUUGUGUUUUUGUUUGUUUGUGCAAGGGUUUAAGGAUUCAUGCGCAAGCCCAUGACUGCCGAGGAAUGCGAGGAUCACAUUAACAUCUACAUCAAGUUCUUGCAGGUUAGCAAUGGAAGGUGACCAAUGCACGUGCAUAUCUACCUCAUUCAAGUUUUGGAUUUUUGCCCGCCUCUAUGGUGAAGAGAAUUGGCGAUCGAUGGAUUGGUAUUGGUUGAUAUAGUUUGCUAUAAUAGUUUCAUGUUUGUCGGGUAUGGUUUAUAUGCUCUUUUCAACAGAAGGAAUGUUUGGUCAUGAAGGUAGUGUUCUUUGAAGUCAUGAUGUGCAUGCUUUACUUUGGAUUACCAAGUUAUAAAUGGAAGGAAAGAUUGGAUUAUAUAUCCUUGUUGCAAACAGGAUGUAAUUAAAAUGUAUAUCUAGGACCAUCGGCGCAUUGUUAGUAUAUUUCACUACCACCCACCUCUUUAAGUACGAACAUCUCAUGUGCUAGCUAAUUUUGUUCAUCUUCAAGGGAUCAUGGUGUACACUUGGGUGCUUUCUGUGGAUUUUUUUUCAUUGCAUACUUUGUCACCAGAGAAAUGAAGAAACAAAUUAUGUCAAAAACUCUAGUGGGCAUGUGAAUUAGAUCAACUGGUAGCAGCAACAAGGAUGAAUUCCUAUAAGUAAAGGUUUUGUGGUGUUUUUACUUGUCGACAUUCGCUGGCUGAUGUGUUUUGGUUUUUGGUAACAGAGGGUGUGAAUAUUUGCAUGAACAGGACGACCGGUCCUUGCAUGGCUAGUACUAAGGUUGGAUGGGCCAACCGAGCUUUCAGUCUCGCCUUGCUUGGGCGGGCUCCGGAAUCAAGCAAGCCAACCAGUGUUUUGGGAUCAUUUCAAUGUCCGGCCCAGUUUGGCUCGGAUCAGCGAGCCCACAAGCUUAUUUGCUUGUAGCCAAGUAGCAUGUUUCGCACAACAACUGUAACGUUCGAUCUUUGUCUAAAAUACCCUGCAAUGUUCGAUCUAAUCUGAAAGACGGAAUCAAUCCAACAUCAAACGAAAUGCAGCCAAACCUCGGCCUUCACUCUCCACAUCCUCUCUUAUGUCCCAUUCCUAUAGCCUCUCAAAUCUCGACCUAGUUCCAUGUUGACACCCCCACACAGACACAACCCUUCUCUCCUAACUCCGCCAUCCUGCUGAAGCCGCAAUGCCUCUCCGUCAUCCUGGGCCCACAUAACAGUGACCUAUGCCCCCGGGCUUGCUGAGCCUGCCAAACAACACCGAGAUGGGGCAAAGCUCAGGCCGAACAUUUUGAUAUAUUAUAUGUUUUCCCUACACUUUUUGCAAAACAUGUCCAAAUUUAAGUUUUUAAAUUUUCCUAACUAGUACAUGUAGUAACAAAACUACAUCUGGAAGGAUUUUAAUUUUUGAAGUUUUUAUCAUUUUCUUUUGCUUUUUACAAAACUGAAAAGGCAAUCCUCGGGGUGGGGGUGUAGAGUUUGAAAGGUUCAUGCCACGAACCGGUACUAAUGCCUCAAACCCCAUUAGUACCGGUUGGUGGCUCGAACCGGGACUAAAGGUCUAACAUUUAGUACCGGUUGGUGCCACGAACCGGGACUAAUGGGCAUCACACCCUUUAGUCUCGGUUCGUGGCACCAACUGGGACUAAAGGUCACAUUUGAACCAGGACUAAUGCCUGUACGGUGCCCUAGCCGCUCGAACUGGGACUAAUGCCUGUACGGUGCCCUAGCCGCUCGAACCGGGACUAAUGCUCACAUUAGUACCGGUUCAUAAUGCAACCGGGAUUAAUGCUCUUUUCUGGCCGAACCAAACCCCUGUUUUCUACUAGUGCAACCUAAACCCACCUCUUCAUCUUAGUCUUCCUUAUUCUCGAUCCUUUGUUUUCGUUGUGCGCUUUUAUGCAUGUUUGUUUUUUUGUGUGUUUGUGCAUGGGUUUAAGGAUUCAUGCGCAAGCCCAUGACUGCCGAGGAAUGCGAGGAGCACAUUAACAUCUACAUCAAGUUCUCACAGGUUAGCAACGCGACGUGACCAAUGCACGUGCAUAUCUACCUCAUUCAUGUUUUGGAUUUUUGCCCACCUCUAUGGUGAAGAGAAUUGGUGAUUGAUGGAUUGGUAUUGGUGGAUAUAGUUUGCUAUAAUAGUUUCAUGUUUGUCGGGUGUGGUUUGUACUCUCAUUUCAACAGGAGGAAUGUUUGAUCAUGAAGGUAGUGUUUUUUGAAGUCAUCAUGUGCAUGCUUUACUUUGGAUUACCAAGAUGUAAAUGGAAGGAAAGAUUGGAUUAUAUAUCCCUGUUGUAGACAGGAUGUAACUAAAAUGUAUAUCUAGGACCAUCAGUGCAUUGUUCGUAUAUUUCACUACCAUCCACCUCUUUAAGUACGAACAUCUCAUGUGCUAGUUAAUUUUGUAAAUCUCCAAGGGAUCGUGGUGUACACGGGGGUGCUUUCUGUGGAUUUUUUCGUUGCAUACUUUGUCACUAGAGAAAUGGAGAAACAAAUUUUGUCAAAAACUCUAGUGAGCAUGUGAACUGGAUCAACUGGUAGCAGCAACAAGGAAGAAUUCCUAUCAGUAAAGGUUUUGCGGUGUUUUUACUUGUCGACAUUCGCUGGCUGAUGUGUUUUGGUUUUUGGUAACAGAGGGUGUGAAUAUUUGCAUGAACAGGACGACCGGUCCUUGCAUGGCUAGUACUCAGGUUGGAUGGGCCAACCAAGCUUUCGAUCUCGGCUUGCUUGGUCGGGCUCCGGAAUCAAGCAAGCCAAGCCAGUGUUUUGGGAUCAUUUCAAUGUCCGGCCCAGUUUGGCUCGGAUCAGCGAGCCCACAAGCUUAUUUGCUUGUAGCCAAGUAGCAUGUUUCGCACAACAACUGUAACGUUCGAUCUUUGUCUAAAAUACCCUGCAAUGUUCGAUCUAAUAUGAAAGACGGAAUCAAUCCAACAUCAAACGAAAUGCAGCCAAACCUUUGCCUUCGCUCUCCACGCCCUCUCUUAUGUCCCAUUCCUAUAGCCUCUCAAAUCUCGACCUAGUUCCAUGUUGACACCCCCACACAGACACAACCCUUCUCUCCUAACUCCACCAUCCUGCUGAAGCAGCAAUGCCUCUCCGUCAUCCUGGGCCCACAUAACGGUGACCUAUGCCCCCGGGCUUGCUGAGCCUGCCAAGCAACAGCGAGAUGGGGCAAAGCUCAGGCCGAACAUUUUUAUAUAUUAUAUGUUUUUUCUAACUUCGUGUGCAAAAGUUAUAGGCGUUUUAUAUUUUCCCUACACUUUUUGUAAAACAUGUCCAAAUUUAAGUUUUUAAAUUUUUCUAACUAGUACAUGUAGUAACAUAACUACAUCUGGAAGGAUUUAAAUUUUUGAAGUUUUUAUCAUUUUCUUUUGCUUUUUACAAAACUAAAAAGGCGAUCCACAAAGGGGGGGUAGAGUUUGAAAAUGUGUCCUUUAGUACCGGUUCGUGCCAUGAACCGGUACUAAUGCCUCAAACCUCAUUAGUACCGGUUGGUGGCUCGAACCGGGACUAAAGGUCUAACCUUUAGUACCGGUUGGUGGCUCGAACCGGGACUAAAGGUCUAACCUUUAGUACCGGUUGGUACCACGAACCGGUACUAAUGGGCAUCGCACCCUUUAGUCCCGGUUCAUGGCACCAACCGGGAUUAAAGUUCCUAUUUGAACCGGGACUAAUGCAUGUACGGUGCCCUAGCCGCUCGAACCGGGACUAAUGCUCACAUUAGUACCUGUUCGUAAUGCAACCGGGAUUAAUGCUCUUUUCUAGCCGAACCAAAGCCCUGUUUUCUACUAGUGCAACCUAAACCCACCUCUUCAUCUUAGUCUUCCUUAUUAACGAUCCUUUGUUUUCGUUGUGCGUUUUUAUGCAUGUUUGUGUUUUUGUUUGUUUGUGCAAGGGUUUAAGGAUUCAUGCGCAAGCCCAUGACUGCCGAGGAAUGCGAGGAGCACAUUAACAUCUACAUCAAGUUCUUGCAGGUUAGCAACGGAAGGUGACCAAUGCACGUGCAUAUCUACCUCAUUCAAGUUUUGGAUUUUGGCCCGCCUCUGUGGUGAAGAGAAUUGGCGAUCGAUGGAUUGGUAUUGGUGGAUAUAGUUUGCUAUAAUAGUUUCAUGUUUGUCGGGUAUGGUUUGUAUGCUCUUUUCAACAGAAGGAAUGUUUGGUCAUGAAGGUAGUGUUCUUUGAAGUCAUGAUGUGCAUGCUUUACUUUGGAUUACCAAGUUAUAAAUGGAAGGAAAGAUUGGAUUAUAUAUCCUUGUUGCAAACAGGAUGUAACUAAAAUGCAUAUCUAGGACCAUCGGCGCAUUGUUAGUAUAUUUCACUACCAUCCACCUCUUUAAGUACGAACAUCUCAUGUGCUAGCUAAUUUUGUUCAUCUUCAAGGGAUCAUGGUGUACACUUGGGUGCUUUCUGUGGAUUUUUUUUCGUUGCAUACUUUGUCACCAGAGAAAUGAAGAAACAAAUUAUGUCAAAAACUCUAGUGGGCAUGUGAAUUGGAUCAACUGGUAGCAGCAACAAGGAUGAAUUCCUAUAAGUAAAGGUUUUGUGGUGUUUUUACUUGUCGACAUUCGCUGGCUGAUGUGUUUUGGUUUUUGGUAAGAAAGGGUGUGAAUAUUUGCAUGAACAGGACGACCGGUCCUUGCAUGGCUAGUACUGAGGUUGGAUGGGCCAACCGAGCUUUCGGUCUCGCCUUGCUUGGGCGGGCUCCGGAAUCAAGCAAGCCAAGCCAGUGUUUUGGGAUCAUUUCAAUGUCCGUCCCAGUUUGGCUCGGAUCAGCGAGCCCACAAGCUUAUUUGCUUGUAGCCAAGUAGCAUGUUUCGCACAACAAUUGUAACGUUCGAUCUUUUUCUAAAAUAGCCUGCAAUGUUCGAUCUAAUCUGAAAGACGGAAUCAAUCCGACAUCAAACAAAAUGUAGCCUAACCUUGGCCUUCGCUCUCCACGUCCUCUCUUAUGUCCCAUUCCUAUAGCCUCUCAAAUCUCGACCUAGUUCCAUGUUGACACCCCCACACAGACACAACCCUUCUCCCCUAACUCCGCCAUCCUGCUGAAGUAGCAAUGCCUCUCCAUCAUCCUGGGCCCACAUAACAGAGACCAAUGCCCCCGGGCUUGCUGAGCCUACCAAGCAACACCGAGAUGGGGCAAAGCUCAGGCCAAACAUUUUGAUAUAUUAUACGUUUUUUCUGACAUCGUAUGCAGAAGUUAUAGCUGUUUUACAUUUUCCCUACACUUUUUGCAAAACAUGUCCAAAUUUAAGUUUUUAAAUUUUCCUAACUAGUACAUGUAGUAACAUAACUACAUCUAGAGGGAUUUUAAUUUUUCAAGUUUUUAUCAUUUUGUUUUGCUUUUUACAAAACUGAAAAGGNNNNNNNNNNNNNNNNNNNNNNNNNNNNNNNNNNNNNNNNNNNNNNNNNNNNNNNNNNNNNNNNNNNNNNNNNNNNNNNNNNNNNNNNNNNNNNNNNNNNNNNNNNNNNNNNNNNNNNNNNNNNNNNNNNNNNNNNNNNNNNNNNNNNNNNNNNNNNNNNNNNNNNNNNNNNNNNNNNNNNNNNNNNNNNNNNNNNNNNNNNNNNNNNNGGUAGAGUUUGAAAAUGGGACCUUUAGUACCGGUCUGUGCCAAGAACCUCAUUAGUAUCGGUUGGUGGCUCGAACCGGGACUAAAGGUUUAACCUUUAGUAUCGGUUGGUGCCACGAACCGGUACUAAUGGGCAUCACACCCUUUAGUCCCGGUUCGUGGCACCAACCGGGACUAAAGGUCCCAUUUGAACCGGGACUAAUGCUUGUACGGUGCCCUAGCCACUCGAACCAGGACUAAUGCUCACAUUAGUACCAGUUCAUAAUGCAACCGGGAUUAAUGCUCUUUCUGGCCGAACCAAAGCCCUGUUUUCUACUAGUGCAACCUAAACCCACCUCUUCAUCUUAGUCUUCCUUAGUAACGAUCCUUUGUUUUCGUUGUGCGUUUUUAUGCAUGUUUGUGUUUUUGUGUGUUUGUGCAUGGGUUUAAGGAUUCAUGCGCAAGCCCAUGACAGCCGAGGGAUGCGAGGAGCACAUUAACAUCUACAUCAAGUUCUCGCAGGUUAGCAACACGAGGUGACCAAUGCACGUGCAUAUCUACGUCAUUCAAUUUUUGGAUUUUUGCCCGCCUCUAUGGUGAAGAGAAUUGGUGAUCGAUGGAUAGAUAUUGGUGGAUAUGGUUUGCUAUAAUAGUUUCAUGUUUGUCGGGUGUGGUUUGUAUGCUCUUUUCAACAGGAGGAAUGUUUGGUCAUGAAGGUAGUGUUCUUUGAAGUCAUCAUGUGCACGCCUUACUUUGGAUUACCAAUUUGUAAAUGGAAGGAAAGAAUGGAUUAUAUAUCCUUGUUGCAGACAGGAUGUAACUAAAAUGUAUAUCUAGGACCAUCGGUGCAUUGUUAGUAUAUUUCACUACCAUCCACCUCUUUAAAUACGAACAUCUCAUGUGCUACAUAAUUUAGUUCAUCUCCGAGGGAUCGUGGUGUACACUGGGGUGCUUUUUGUGGAUUUUUUUUCGUUGCAUACUUUGUCACCGGAGAAAUGGAGAAACAAAUUUUGUCAAAAACUCCAGUAGGCAUGUGAAUUGGAUCAACUGGUAGCAGCAACAAGGAUGAAUUCCUAUCAGUAAAGGUUUUGCGGUGUUUUUACUUGUUGACAUUCGCUUGCUGAUGUGUUUUGGUUUUUGGUAAGAGAGGGUGUGAAUAUUUGCAUGAAUAGGACGACCGGUCCUUGCAUGGCUAGUACUCAGGUUGGAUGGGCCAACCGAGCUUUCGGUCUCGGCUUGCUUGGGCGGGCUCCGGAAUGAAGCAAGCCAAGCCAGUGAUUUGGGAUCAUUUCAAUGUCCGGCCCAGUUUGGCUCGGAUCAGCGAGCCCACAAGCUUAUUUGCUUGUAGCCCAGUAGCAUGUUUCGCACAACAACAACAACAUUCGAUCUUUUUCUAAAAUAGCCUGCAAUGUUCGAUUUAAUCUGAAAGACAGAAUCAAUCCGACAUCAAAGAAAAUGUAGCCAAACCUUGGCCUUCGCUCUCCACGUUCUCUCUUAUGUCCCAUUCCUAUAGCCUCUCAAAUCUUGACCUAGUUCCAUGUUGAGACCCCCACACAGACACAACCCUUCUCUCCUAACUCCACCAUCCUGCUGAAGCAGCAAUGCCUCUCCGUCAUCCUGGGCCCACAUAACAGUGACCUAUGCCCCCGGGCUUGCUGAGCCUGCCAAGCAACACCGAGAUGGGGCAAAGCUCAGGCCGAACAUUUUGAUAUAUUAUACUUUUUUUCUGACAUUGUAUGCAAAAGUUAUAGCUGUUUUACAUUUUCCCUACACUUUUUGCAAAACAUGUCCAAAUUUAAGUUUUUAAAUUUUCCUAACUAGUACAUGUAGUAACAUAACUACAUCUGGAAGGAUUUUAGUUUUUGAAGUUUCUAUCAUUUUCUUUUGCUUGUUACGAAACUGAAAAGGCGAUCCACACGGGGAGGUACAGUUUGAAAAUGGGACCUUUAGUACCGGUUCGUGCCACGAACCGGUACUAAUGCCUCAAACCCCAUUAGUACCGGUUGGUGCCACGAACCGGUACUAAUGGGCAUCGCACCCUUUAGUCCAGGUUCGUGGCACUAACCGGGACUAAAGGUCCCAUUUGAACCGGGACUAUUGCUUGUACGGUGCCCUAGACGCUCGAACCGGGACUAGUGCUCACAUUAGUACCGGUUCGUAAUGCAACCGGGAUUAAUGCUCUUUUCUUAGAGGAACCAAAGCCCUGUUUUCUACUAGUGCAACCUAAACCCACCUCUUCAUCUUAGUCUUCCUUAUUACCGAUCCUUUGUUUUUGUUGUGUGUUUUUUAUGCAUGUUUCCGUUUUUGUGUGUUUGUGCAUGGGUUUAAGAAUUCACGCGCAAGCCCAUGACUGUCGAGGAAUGGAGGAGCAAAUUAACAUUUACAUCAAGUUCUCGCAGGUUAGCAACGCGAGGUGACCAAUGCACGUACAUAUCUACCUCAUUCAUGUUUUGGAUUUUUGCCCGCCUCUAUGGUGAAAAGAAUUGGUGAUCGAUGGAAUUGGUAUUGGUGGAUAUAGUUUGCUAUAAUAGUUUCAUGUUCGUCGGGUGUGGUUUGUAUGCUCUUUUUAAUAGGAGGAAUGUUUGGUCAUGAAGGUAGUAUUCUUUGAAGUCAUCAUGUGCACGCUUUACUUUGGAUUACCAAGUUGUAAAUGGAAGGAAAGAUUGGAUUAUAUAUCCUUGUUGCAGACAUGAUGUAACUAAAAUGUAUAUCUAGGACCUUCGGCGCAUUGUUAGUAUAUUUCACUACCAUCCACCUCUUUAAGUACGAACAUCUCAUGUGCUAGCUAAUUUUGUUCAUCUCUGAGGGGUCGUGGUGUACACUGGGGUGCUUUCUGUGGAAUUUUUUUUCGUUGCAUACUUUCUCACCAGAGAAAUGGAGAAACAAAUUUUGUCAAAAACUCUAGUGGGCAUGUGAAUUGGAUCAACUGGUAGCAGCAACAAGGAUGAAUUCCUAUCAGUAAAGGUUUGGCGGUGUUUUUACUUGUCGACAUUCACUGGCUGAUGUAUUUUGGUUUUUGGUAACAAAGGGUGUGAAUAUUUGCAUGAACAGGACGACCGGUCCUUGCAUGGCUAGUACUCAGGUUGGAUGGGCCAACCGAGCUUUCGGUGUCGGCUUGCUUGGGCAGGCUCCGAAAUCAAGCAAGCCAAGCCGGUGUUUUGGGAUCAUUUCAAUGUCUGGCCCAGUUUGGCUUGGAUCAGCGAGCCCACAAGGUUAUUUGCUCGUAGCCCUGUAGCAUGUUUCACACAACAACUGCAACAUUCGAUCUUUGUCUAAAAUACCCUGCAAUUUUCCAUCUAAUCUGAAAGACGGAAUCAAUCCAACAUCAAACAAAAUGCAGCCAAACCUUGGCCUUCGCUCUCCACGUCCUCUCUUAUGUCCCAUUCCUAUAGCCUCUCAAAUCUCGACCUAGUUCCAUGUUGACACCCCCACACAGACACAACCCUUCUCUCCUAACUCCGCCAUCCUGCUGAAGCAGCAAUGCCUCUUUGUCAUCCUGGGCCCACAUAACAGUGACCUAUACCCCCGGGCUUGCUGAGCCUGCCAAGCAACACCGAGAUGGGGCAAAGCUCAGGCCGAUCUAGGUUUUGCAAGGCUCGCCAGAGUUGCGAGCUUGGCUUGGCAACGUCGAGUUGUCUGAAGGCUUGGGCUGAGCCCGACUUGGCUUGGCUCGCGUCCACCCUUAGCUAGUGUCGCAAGAUCAUAUUAUGGUCCAUGAUCAAUAUAUACAUCAUGUGGGCUUUUUCUCCCUCCAAAAUGUACACUAUUCGUAAAACUUUUGUAAGAGUGUGCGUACAUUGUUAUUAUUUGAAAUCUACUCAUACCUUGUCCCUGGAUUAUUCGGGAUUUCAUUUACUUCCAACAUUUGCAUAGGAAAUAUGCCAUGGAAGCAUCGAAUCGAAGCAUGUAGAGCCAUUGACCCAAUAGUACUACGUGGAUGUAAACCGAGUACCCGUGUUUAUACAUUGGGCUUACAGCCAGCCACACAGCAACGUGUGAUUUCCUGUAGCGAGUACUAACUAUUCAAUUCUAAUUGAUUGUGGAAGAUCUGCACCAUGUUUUUAGUACUGAAUGAUUGGUAAAUUCACAUUCCAACAGCCCAAUGUCUGCAAUACAAUAAACCAAACCAUUCGUGAAGCGUCAACAAUCACAUUGGCACAUGCAUGUACAUGUACUAAUUUAACAAGCACUGACAUCAAACCGAUGCAAAAAGAGUGCACACCAAUCAUCUAGGCAAACAUGUGGAUGGGCAUAUUCAGAUAUACCACGCCAUCUAGACAACAGAGGUAGUAUCUGAGAGAGAUGAGACGGGAAGAGGAAGGUGGAGAACAAGUUGCAGAAGUGCACUUGUAAGUAUGUGAAUAGCAGUAGUGUCCCACCUUGCUUGGUGGAGAACACAACCAUUCUAUGCAGUUGCGGGUAGUAUGAGGCCAACUCCACCGCGCGACCCCAUUCUGUCCGGCCCCGUCCGUUUGGAGUAAAAUGGACAAACCGGGCGGCCCAGCGCGUGAUCACCCGGACCCAUCUUGUCCGUUUUGUGUCUGGGCCGACCCAUUUCGAGCGCAAACUUGCGCCGGGUUUGGGUCGCAGCAGACGGCAAACCGAUGUGUGCUUGUCCGCGUCGGGGCCGCGUCGCAGGCGGCCACCUACCUCCCACCCGCCAACAUCAAUGCGCACGCGCGGGUGGCCCCACCUGUCAUCCGCCCAGCGAACGGUUGCCGUCCUUCUUAAAUGGGAAGGCGUGGACCGGUCGUCGUCCACACUUCCCACUCCGGCCCCUCUCUGCCCCCUCGAAAGCCGACACUCCCCAAACCCUAGCUGCUCCCCGUCCUCGAACACGCCGGCCGGCCGCAACCAUGGGGCUAUGAAACUACGGCACAAGGGGAAGCACGACCGCGAGGCCGGCUCCUCCUCGGGACGCCGCCGUGGCUCCGCGAAGAAGGAGGAUCCCACAUCACCACCAUGCACCUUCUGUAGAGCCCCCGCGCCGGCCCCCUUCUCCAUCGCCCCUAGGCCCGCCGGCGAGCGCGACCGGCAGUACCGCAGCGCCGAUGUGUGCCGACGCUACUGGGAGAUGAGGACGCCGGCCCGUGGAGCGAUGUCCACCUCCCCAACAAUUGGCACCUCUCCGUCAACCGGGUCCCGAUCCCGCCGGUGCUACGAGCGGUCGUGCGCGCCGCGAUGAGAUCGAGCGCCACCGCCUCCUCCUCCCCGAUGACUUCUACUUCGACGACAUGUACGCCCCCGAUUCCGGCCUUUGGGACACCUGGCUCUAGGACGAGCACAACACGUGGCGCACGUCCUACUUCACCGGCACGAUGUCGGGGCCACGGCGACCACGUCGAGAGGUGCACGGGCGUACGCGGGUGCGCGGCCAAAUUGGGCUUGACCACCCUCUCGAGGUUGUAUGAGAGGACAUUGCAGAACUUCAUCACUCGGAGGAGGUUGUGGGAGGUGCCGAAGAGGCGCAGGUAGUAUUGCAGCCUGGAGACGAUGGGUCUACAACGGAAUUGGCGUCCGCUGAGUGAGGCUAGGCGCGCAAUCUCAGAGUGCAACAGAUCGAGAGCGGUGAUCUUGACGACGACAUGCUCUAGGGUUCUCUCAACGCUGGCACAAAGGAACUGUGGGUCCUUGGCGACGAGGGUGGCGGUGUCGGUGGUGGAGAGACCCAGGCGGGCGAGGAAUGAGAGGACAGCAUCGGGAUUAGCUGGGGAUUUGAGGUGGAAGAUCUUGGGGGAGGCCUUGAGGGCCUGUGCCCGGGGUGAGGCCGCAGGUGGAGACGAGGUAGUCCUCCGCUGCGAAGCUAGGGUUCGAGGAGACGACGGGCGCGGCGGCGGAGAUGAGGUGGCUGAGGUGGGAGAAGGGAGAGGCGGAGGGGGACGAGAGGAUAUGGGAGAGGAGGCUGCGACGGAGCCGGAGCAUGGCGGCGCGGUGGAGAGUGGAUAUGGCAAGCGCCGCGGCAGCGGCGGCGGCGAUGGAAAGGGGAAAGAGCGAUGGGAGUGAAAAGAUGGAAGUGCACGAUGAGAUGGUGUCCCUGGUUCAACCCAACCCAAAGUGGCCCCACUCGUCAGUCGUCAUGUCAUGCUGCCAAACAAAAAUGGACUACUCCAAUCGAAACUCCUACUCCAAUACACUUUCACGCAAUUCCCAAAGUAAAGAACUGCUUUAACGAGCAAAAUAUACUACAGUCGUUCCUAAAUAUAAGUCUUCGGAAAGAUUUUACCAUGGACCACAUACAGUGUAAAAUGAGUGAAUCAACACUCUAAAUGCAUCUAUCUGGUUCAUAGUGGAAUCUCUACAAAGACUUAUAUUUAGGAACAGAGGGAGUAGUAUAUAAAACCACAGAAAAUUAGCAAAAUAGUUAAUGAGCGAAAGUCUGCUUCCGCAUUUUUUCAGGUGACACACUGGUGGUCAUCUGAUGCAGCUGCUAUGACCGGCCAGUUUGAUGUGUUGUCUUCGCACCAAAAGCAUCAUCUAUCGCCAUGGUUGAUACGGCGGUAUGGUUGCACCUUGGCUGGCCAAUGUCGCAGUGAGUGUCAACCCUCCCCAAUAAUACUAACCUAGCCUCUCCUUCGAAUCAUAGCUGCUAGUUCUAUCUCGGCUCUUUGUUCACUACCUAUAUAUGGCCCGCUCAAAGAGUGAGCCAGCAGCCACAACCUAAACCCACCUCUUCAUCUUAGUCUUCCUAUUAAUGAUCCUUUGUUUUCCUUGUGCGUUUUUAUGCAUGUUUGUGUUUUUGUGUGUUUGUGCAUGGGUUCAAGGAUUCAUGCGCAAACCCAUGACUGCUAAGGAAUGUGAGGAGCACAUCAACAUCUACAUCAAGUUCUGGUAGGUUAGCAACAUGAGGUGACCAAUGCACGUGCAUAUCUAUCUCAUUCAAGUUUUGGAUUUUUACCCCCCUCUAUGGUGAAGAGAAUUGGUGAGCGAUGGAUUGGUAUUGGUGGAUAUCGUUUGCUACAAUAGUUUCAUGUUUGUCGAGUGUGGUUUGUAUGCCCUUUUCAACAGACAGAACGUUUGGUCAUAAAGAUAGUGUUCUUUGAAGUCACCAUGUGCGCGCUUUACUUUGCAUUGCCAAGUUGUAAAUGGAAGGAAUGAUUGGAUUAUAUAUCCUUGUCGCAGACAGAAUGUAACUAAAAUGUAUAUCUAUGACCAUUGGCGCAUUGUUAGUAUAUUUCACUACCAUCCACCUCUUUAAAUACGAACAUCUCAUGUGCUAGAUAAUUCUGUUCAUCUCUGGGGGAUGGUGGUGUAUAGUGGGGGUGCUUUCUGUGGAUUUUUUUGUUGCAUAUUUUGUCACCAGAGAAAUGGAGAAACAACAUGUUUUGUCAAAAAAAUUAGUGGGCAUGUGAACUGGAUCAACUGGUAGCAGCAACGACGAUGAAUUCCUAUCAGUAAAGGGUGACCAUUUGGCGGUGUCUUUAAUUGUGGACACACUACAAAAAAAGACACAUCCGUGACAUUUUGGGCCGAACGAAUUUUUUUUCUGUCAUACAUAUGACACUUCUAUGACGAUAAUUGUGACAAAACCCGGUAUCAUCAUAGAUGUGGUGGGCUGCUACUUCUAUGACAAAAAAUCAUGACAGAAAAUGGGCUUUUCGUCCUGGGCGGGCCGGAGACGUAGCUGCAUGACAUUCUUUGGGCCGUCCAUGACGGAAAAAACCAUGGUACAAGCGAGGGCGAGGAAAAUUUCGAGGAGUUGUAGGUUAUGGUGGGAGGUUGGAGUCCGAGCGAUGCGCGUUCUCUCGUACACGUAUGCGCGCGUGUGUGAGGCGUUGGCUCUAACUGAACCCGAACGAGGCGUUGGACUCUAACUGAACCCGGGCAAUUGCACUGCAGGCUACGCGUUACUGAACCCGAGCGGUCGAUCGAUGGCUGUUAACUGAACCCGAUCGAGCGAUUCCUUCACUACUGCUGCUAACUGAAGCCGAUUGAUUGGAUGAACAGUGAGCGUCGCGGGGGGUUGGGAUGAACAGUGAGCGGUGGCGUUGCCUCUUGACGAAUAGGACCCCGUGGUGUGGAGGGCUGGAUGAAUAGUGGAUGGUGGAGGGGUGCCCGUGGAGGGGUGGUUGAACAGGACCCCGUCGUGUGGAGGGCUGGAUGAACAGUAGACGAUGGAGGGGUGCCCGUGGAGGGGUGGUUGAAUAGUAGCCGGUGGAGUAGCGCGUGGUGGAGGCUGGAUGAACAGGAGCCCAUGGAGGCUGGAGGAGGUCGGCGGUAGCCCGUGGAGGCUGGAGGAGGUCGACGGUGGAGAUGAACAAUAUCCCGUGGAGUCCCGUUUUGCGGUACGCCACACCCCUCCGGAUGAACAGGACCCCCGUUUCGACCAUAGCGCUCCAACACAAGUCCGUUUUGUCUGUUUUGCGGUACGCCACACCCCUCCCGAUCAACAGGACCCCCGUUUCGACCGUAGGAGGUAUGUUUCCUCCGUUUUGCGGUACGCCACACCCCUCUCGAUCAACAGGACCCCCGUUUCAACCGUAGGAGGUCUGUUUCCUCCGUUUUGCGGUACGCCACACCCCUCCCGAUCAACAGGACCCCCAUUUCGAACGUGGCCGGUCGAACACAAGCCCAUUUCUUUCAUUCUGCGGUACGCCAGGCCUCGUUUCCAUCACUUGUUCCGUCUAAGCCCUUGCGAUGAACAUGACCAUGCAUUCCAUACCGACCCAGCCGGUUGGCUCCCACGCGUUCUAUUGCCUCCCGAUGAACACGACGCAUUGUGUUGCCUCCCCAUGAACACGACGCAUUCCGUUGCCUCCCGAUGAACAUGACGCAUUCCGUUGCCUCCCCAUGAACAUGACGCAUUCUGUUGCCUCCCCAUGAACACGACAAUGACGCUGUUUCUCCGUUCCGACCCAGCCAUGUACACGAGCCCUGGCCGUACGUAUGCGCGAGUAGGCAUUCGAGACCCCGCCCAUAUGUACACAUACGUGGCCAUAUUUUCUUUCUUGUACCCUGGCGGCUAUACGUACGUGCACAUGCUACGUGCUCUCCUCUACUACGACACGUACGCGCCUCUACUACGACACGUGCGCGACCAGAAUGACAACGCUAUGUACGCUUCGACCAGGUGGGUCCCAACUGUCAGGCACUUCCUUGCAUGCUAAGAUGUAGCUGGUGGGUCCCAGCAGUCAGGGGGCGAAUCAUUUUUUUCGGACGCACUUCCUUGUGUGUGAAGAUGUAGUUGGUGGGUCCAAGCAGUCAGGGGGAAAUGUUUUUUUCGCGAAAUACGGUGGCCCGUCCGGUGGGUCCCCGCUGUCAGGUGGAGGAAGAAUUAUUUUGCGCGUAAUAAGGAGGUUGUCGGUGUCAAAACCAGCGGAUCUUGGGUAGGGGGUCCCGAACUGUGCGUCUAGGUGGAUGGUAACAGGAGACAAGGGACACGAUGUUUUUACCCAUGUUCGGGCCCUCUCGAUGGAGGUAAAACCCUACUCCUGCUUGAUUAAUAUUGAUGAUAUGGGUAGUACAAGAGUAGAUCUACCACGAGAUCGAAGAGGCUAAACCCUAGAAGCUAGCCUAUGGUAUGAUUGUUGUUUGUCCUACGGACUAAAACCCUCUGGUUUAUAUAGACACCGGAGAGGGCUAGGGUUACACAGAGUCGGUUACAAUGGGAGGAGAUCUACAUAUCCGUAUCGCCAAGCUUGCCUUCCGCGCCAAGGAAUGUCCCAUCUGAACACGGGACGAAGUCUUCAAUCUUGUAUCCUCAUAGUCCAGGAGUCCGGCCAAAGGUCAUAGUCCGGUCAUCCGGACACCCCCUAAUCCGGGACUCCCUCAGUAGGCCCUGAACCAGGCUUCAAUGACGACGAGUCCGGCGCGCUAAUUGUCUUCGGCAUUGCAAGGCGGGUUCCUCCUCCGAAUACUUCAUAGAAGAUGUUGAACACAAGGAUAGUGUCCGGCUCUGCAAAAUAAGUUCCACAUACCACCGUAGAGAGAAUAACAUUUGAACAAAUCUAAUCUGCUGAGGUAUUCCGCAGCGUGACAUCAUGCCACGACCAAGCCUUUAUUCAAAUCGUUUCACUGUCCCACCUCAGUGCUUUUAGCGAGGCGGUUUCCUUGGCACGUCUUGUCAAAGCAGAGAUCGUGUCCCCUUAUUCCGGGAUUCUCAUCAAUACGGGCGUGGAUAACUCAACCGUGCCUGUUGGUAUGUCUUCUCAAGCGAAGGUAAGUCCCAAACGGUCACGGGGAGGGCUCUUGGUAUUCAACCUCUUUAUAAAGAGACCAAGGCUCGACUCCUUUUCUUUCAAUCUCAAUCAAAUCCGCCUCCUACCUCGAGUCCCAACACCCAAAGCUUCAGAUUCAGGCGCUUUGGACUUCCGACGAUGUCCGGCUCUGACCUUCAGGGCCGGUGGAUGCCUUCCUCCAUUACGGAAGAAGACGUGUUAAAGUUAAGAGAUGCCAGGUAUCUUACCGGCGAAAUCUUGCAUAGGCUGCCCUCCCAAGGGCAGGUCAUUCCUACUCCCAAGCCCGGUGAGAGCGUGGUGUUCGUGUCUCACUUCCUUCGGGGGCUAGGCUUCCCGAUCGACCCCUUCGUGAGGGGGCUCAUGUUUUAUUACGGGCUGGAAUUUCACGAAUUAGCUCCGGAGUCCAUGCUCCAUAUCUCAUCGUUCAUUGUCGCGUGCGAGGCCUUCCUCCAUAUUACUCCUCACUUCGGAUUGUGGCUCAAAACCCUCAAAGUAGAGCCAAAGCUGAUCGAGGGGCAGCACGCGGAGUGCAGAGGUGCUGUUAUAAGCAAGAUUGCCAACGCUCCAUGGCCCGAGGGCUCUUUUCAAGAGGAGUUCGGCUUAUGGCAACGAGAGUGGUUUUAUAUUACUGCUCCUAGUGGCACCAAAUGGGUGGCGCCACCUGCUUUUCGCUCGGGUCCCCCACCACAGCUAGCAUCAUGGGUCAAUAAAGGGCAAAACUGGGAGCCGUCCAAGGACGUGCCCUUGUUGCAGGGCCGCGUUCGAGAUCUCCUACAAAGAGAUAUCAAUCUGGCCAUAGUGACGCAGGUUAUGUUGAUUCGCCGCAUCCUGCCCUGCAAACGCCGCCCCAUCCGCCUGUGGGAGUUUAAUCCUGAAGGACCGCGAGCCCUCCAACAUUUUGCGGGCGCGACGUCCAUGGAGAUGUACAAUUUGUUAUUUGGAUCACAAGCAAUGUGUCUGGAUUCGUCCGAGGACGCCGGUCUGAGCUGCAAUCGUCCGGACACUCAAGUAAGUAGCCCUAUACCCAGACUCACUAUACGCAUAUUUGUCAUAAAAUUGCCCUUAAAAGAGCCGUCCCUUAAGCAGGAGUGGAUAGCGAAAGCAAAACUAAUUAGGUGUCCGGCUCCCCUCCCCGAGACUACGCUGGAUCCCAUGUUAACUAGGAUGCUGGAGGCUGCGCCUAUGGAAGAAGGCAAAGAGGGGAACAAGGAAGCUACCGCCUCCCCGAAGGAGGCUGUCAGGGAAGGAGGAAUCGAGAAUUCCUCCAACUAGGGAAGGAAGAGGACUACCUCUGAAGACCCGGAGGCAAUGGCCUCAAAGCGGGGAAAGAAACCGUCAUCAGAGGGUCCGGCGCCGGGAGGUGCCUCGGCCGCAUUGUGUCCCCAAGGGGAUCAACUCUCCACUGAGCCGUAAGUAAAGAGGGGGGUUUUAAAAUGAGAGUAUCCCCGUUCUUCUUCUGAGGAAGAUAACCGAAAUUUUACCUUGUAGUUCGGGUCUCCGCCCUUCCCAGCAGAGCUCAUCUUCAGGGGAUCUUCGUCCGGAGAUGAUGGAGAGCGGAACGCCUCACACUGUCGUAUCGCCUUGUGAGGCGGGCGACCAUGAGGUGUCGUCGUGGAGGGUUUCUCCGAAUCCGGCCGGGCCGGAAGGUAGUCGUAUGGCCCCCCAAGGCCCUCCGUGUCCGACCUUCAAAGAAGGCCAGCGGACGAGUCCGGCACCGCCCGGUGCAUGGUCGGAGGAGCUGAAGGAUCUGCUCGGGCGAGCAUAUAUCUCAGAAGAGCACCGUGCGUUGAUGGAUACGGUGAUUUGAAGGAUUUCAUCCGCGGAAAGCGGAUUGUACGAGGCCGUCAGGAGUUUACUGAUGGGUUUUGAGGUACGUGAAAUGAUGUACCUUUUGCAGAUCCGCAUAUAUAAAAUGCGCCCUGUGUAGAUAGUAACCCCUGAGACUCGAUGCGCUGUCAAAAAGGGACGGUGCACCGAGGAUCAUAAUCCCAGGUAUAAUAUUGCGCCUUUCUUAUAUAGGUGGCGAAGUGUCCGGUGGCUGGCCAGAUUGAUGAAUUUGCCGAGCUAAAGCGGCAACUUGACGUGGCAGAUGCCGACAUCGCGCUUGUCAACAAGUGGCUUGACGAGGCACAAGGUAUAUAAUUUCUUCGAAGACACCUGGUAAGAGGAGCUUGAUGCCCGUACCUUACAACAUAUGUGCUUGAUGCAGAUGGUGCCGCUGCCAUGGAGAACCUUCGGGCGGAACUUGCCCGAGCCAAGGAGCAAGCCAGGAAAAGCGAUGUGGCUGCCUUAAAGGCGGCUGAACAGCUUAAAGUCGAACAGGCUGCUCACUGCCAAAGCAAGAAAGAAAUGGCCAAGAUGGCUGAAAAGUUGAAGAAUGCUGCCGACCGCUGCGAGCUUCUUGAAAAAGAAGAUUGAGUGGCACAGAAGGACCUAGAAAAGGUCACUGCCGAGGUCAAGGACAUUCGCUCUGCGAUGAGAGCUAUGAAGGAGGAGCUACGUCAGGCCGGAGAUAUCACGGCUGGGAAGCCCUAUAUGCUCCGUAUGAAGUUCGGAGAUCCUAGAUAUGCUCCGUUGGACCGGAAGUGGAGUGCGGCGAACACUUACCUGGACGUGGCAGUGUGUGCCGCGGACGCGGCCGAACACUUCCGCGAUCAAAAUGACCGUGAAGUGGAGAAGCUUUUUUAGUCGUAGUUCCACAAUCCAGAGCGCCCACUUUCAGUAUCCAAUCGGUUGACCGCAUGGGCGGAGCUGAAUAAGUUAUCCGGACUCGCCAUGAAUCAUGUCGUGAGUCACCUGUGGCCGAAAAGGCCCGAGCCGAACAGUUAUUUUAGCUUGCUGCAGCAGUUCCUCGGUGCGGUGCCACAUAUUAAUGCAAUGAAGAAGUCGGCGUGCAUAGAGGGUGCACAGAUGGUUCUUGCCCGCGUCAAGACAUAUUGGGCGGAUAUGAAGGCCAGUGUUGUUGCAUCCCAAGAUUCGGACGAAAGCUGAGUACCUGCCGAGCACUAUUUUCAGGAGGUUCUGCAGGGCGCUUGUUUAAUAGAGAUGCAGUGCUCGAAGGAUGUUAUGUAUGAAUAACGUGUGUCAUUGUAAAACAAUGUUUUGAUGGGAUAUAAAAGCUUUUUAUACUUGCGCUUUCAAGAAUUAGAAUGCCUCCUGUGCGGCCAUUAAUGUAUAUGCGUAUAUAACCUGAAAGAUGGCAGUCUUCGGCUUCAGCCCCCACGCAUAUAAUGCGGGGGUGUUCGCAAAAGGUGCAUUUUCACACUUGAUCCAACGUCUUUGUCCUAUAAAGGAGGUGAUAGCGCAGCAAACUAGGCAACCGGACUAUAAUGCUUUAUCACUUUCACUUAGCCAGAGGAGUUUGACAGUGGAGCUACUAUGUAGCCCCUAGGGGCACCGCGCGCACCUGAAUUCGGGGCGCGUAUGUGCCUGACCGGGAAACGGCCCUUCAUUAAUGCGGAGGAAUUCUAAAGAUUCCGGCGGGUCAUCAAGUGGUUGACCAGUCUUGCGCUAUAUCAUGAAAGUCAGUUUUCGGCUUUCUCUACUGAGGUGCUCGCUUGGCCGAACCGGGGCACAAUCGCAGUAGUUCUCCUCGUUCUGCCUUAGCCGAUAGAGCGGAACGUAAGGCAGCAAAACACAGGAGCCGGGCAAACCCAACAUUUGACCAAAGACAUGAUUCGGAGCUGAUGCAUAUAAGGCCAAACUCGCGACGCCGAACACUCCCUAAGGUGUUCGGUCUUAAUGAAAACGGGCUGAACAACGCCCUUGAUAAGAAGCCCCUGGUGUCCAGGUAUGCGCAAAAGUCUGACGUGGCCAAAUGCCAAGACGCCAGCCUCCUCCUCGGUUAUGGAAAGAAACCGAGGGAUGUUAUCAACAAGAGAAGGUGAAAAAGGUUUACGUAGGGUCUUAAUCUGAAAAGAAUCCUUGGGAGGGGUCCCUACUGCACGUCUGCGCCUGUAUCUCCGUUGUGCCGUAUCCUGGGCGGGUGUAGCAUGGUGCUCGUCUGUAAAAGAGAGGAACUUAGUUGAAAAACAAUCGUGCGAAACUUUAUGUUAUAUAUUAAAUAAACAAAGUAUAGUUCGGGAAAUGGGUAGGAUUGAGCUUGAUUGUCUCUUAUUGUAUACGCUCGGAGCCCCUUGUACAGAGGUGUGCUGCUAAUAAGCCUUUGCAUGUUUAUGCUGGACUCAUCUAGCGAUGUCCGGGGGUCUGAACGACCUGUUUAGUUGCUUUAACUAGUAAAGCUGGUUUAGUGUGUGGCUGUCAAGGCAGCCGCACAGUAUUCCGCGCUCGAGGAACACUCGAUAUUUCCCUUUAAUGAUAUGAUGCCUCGUGGACCGGGCAUUUUAAGCGUAAGGGAUGCAUAAUGCGGUAUUGCGUUAAAGCGGGCGAAAGCGUCGUGUCCCAGUAGUGCUUGAUAGCUACUUGUGAAUGGGGCGAUGUGAAAGGUUAGCUUUUCGUGGCGGAAGUUGUCAGGGAAGCCGAACAUAACUUCUAGUAGGAGAGAACUCGUACAAUGGGUAUUUGGGCCUGGCGUUACCCCUUGAAAGGAAGUGUUGCCAUGGCGAAUUUUCGUUGGGUUUAUCCCCAUUGUGCGGACUGUGUCCUGGUAUAGCAGGUUUAGAUCACUAACACUGUCCAUUAGGACUUUUGUAAAGUGGAGUCCGUCAAUUAUCGGAUCGAAGACCAAGGUAGUCCUGCCCGCGUUCCGGAUACUUCUAGAGUAAUCCUGAUGGUCGAACGUGAUUGGUUGUAACGACCAGUGGCCGGACUCCUCUGGAACAGGCCAUAUGGCGCGUAUCUCUGUAGGCGCCACUCCGUAUUUCCCUUUUGUCAUGUGAAGUGAGUUUACUAUUUUGACUUCUUGUGGGAAUUUCUUUUGUUCUUCGGUGCUCUGCUUGUGGGGUUCGUCAUCGUCCUCGCUUGGUAUGUCGAGCCGCUUGUGUUCGGUGUUAAGUUUGUCGGAUUGCUUGAAGACCCAAUAAUUUCUGUGGGUAUGGCUUGCAGGCUUCCCGGGAGUACUAUGGAUUUGACAUGUCUUGUCCAAGAUGUUGUUUAGGUUAGAUAGCUCAUCCCUGCUAUCCUUGAGGGGCAGCUUUUUCUGAUUCUGCCGAGAGCUUUUGAAUCCGGCGUUGACUGUCAUGCUCUUUAGGCUGUUUCCCUUGGUUCGGUGCCGGUCCUUGCUACACUGUUGUUUCCCAUUUCCAUCCCUGACUUCGGAUGUGCUUGGGUCGCUGGUGCUGCUUCUUGCCAACCAGUUGUCUUCUCCUGCGCAAAAGCGGAUCAUGAGGCUUGUUAAUGCGGCCAUUGUUCUUGGCUUUUCUUGGCCGAGGUGUCUGGCGAGCCAUUCAUCUCGAACACUGUGUUUGAAAGCUGCUAAGGCUUCGGCGUCCGGACAGUCGACUAUCUGGUUCUUUUUAGUAAGAAAUUUGUUCUAGAGUUUCCGGGCUGACUCUCUGGGUUGUUGAGUUACAUGACUUAGAUCGUCUGCAUCUGGAGGUCGGACAUAGGUCCCUUGAAAAAUUGCCCGAAAAGCAUCCUCGAGCUCUUCCCAACUUCCGAUGGUGUUUUCGGGAAGGCUUUUAAGCCAAUGCCGGGCUGGCCCUUUGAGCUUUAGGGGUAAGUAUUUUAUGGCAUCGAGGUCAUCUCCUCUAGCCAUGUGUAUGUGGAGGAUAUAGUCCUCAAUCCAGUCUCCAGGGUCUAUUGUUCCGUCGUAUGCCUCUAUGUUUAUGGGCUUGAAUCCCGCUGGAAAUUCGUGGUCCAGCACCUCAUCGGUGAAACAUAAGGGGUGUGCGGCACCCCUAUACUUGGGUAUGCCAUGAUGUUCGGAUACUUGUUGCAUUGUGUCGCUUACUAGAGCUUGCUUUCUUGGCCCAUAGAUAGAUCUGGUCGGGCCGUCUUUUUGAUGUGAAUCCUUGUGAGGAUUGUGUGCCAGCUUGAGUGCGGCGCCCCUUGCCACUCUAUGUUGGCCAUGGGGUUUUUUAUCCGACCAGGUGUCUUUUUUAUUUUUUGAUUGCGGGGGCUCUAAGGCCUCCUCAUCAAAUUCCGGCAGUAAUUUCCGCUUCGGAUAGCUCUUUGUGUGACGAAUGUCGCCGUACUUGUUUGCGGUGUUGAAUACUUUGCCCCAUCUAAUUCUGAGUGCAUCUUCCGCUGUUUUGAGCUUCGGCUUCUGCUUUUUCAGGCUACGCGCAGUGGCGACGAGCCUUUUGUGGAGAUUCUUCUGCUCCAGCAUUUUGUCCGGCGCAAGGUCGUCCGGACUAUUAUCUACACCGGGGACGGGUUGUUCGGUUUGUUUACCCAAAUUUCCCUGUUCAGAUGAUUGCUCGAUGGCAUGUUCGUCGUCCGCCGGUUCGCCCUGCUCAUUGGCUGGGUUUCUGUUGAGGUGGGGUUUGGCGCGGUUCUUACGCUGCCGCUUUGAUUGCUUGUUGAGGGAGCGAUCCCUCGUUGCGUCCCUUUGUUCCUCGUCGUCGCUUCUUUUAGGUGUGUCCACCAUGUAUACCUCGUGAGAUGAGGUGGUUGUCCAGUGCCCUAUAGGCGCUGAUUCCUGUUCGUCUCCUGCAUCGUCGUCCAUACUGUUGGUGUCUUCGGAGUCGAAAUCAAGCAUGUCAGUGAAAUCAUUGACAGUGGCUACAAAGUGGGUGGUGGGUUGGCUUUCAACUUCUUCGUCGUCCGCAUCCCAACCUUGCUCACCAUAGUCCGGCCAGGGCUCUCCUGAUAAAGAGAGAGAGACUUUAGUGAGUUUAGAAUGUCGCCAAAAGGCGAAUGCUGAAAGAUGUUCGCGGCGGCAAACUCCAUGAUCGGCGCCCAAUCGGGUUCAAUCGGCAGGGGCGCAGAAGUUUCGAAGUCCGGAAAGGAGUCCGGCAUCUUGGAGUAAUGAGCUUUGCAAAGGACAAGGCUGGUGUUCGGCUCAAUCGCCGUGGAGAUUGCAGCCCCCGAGGCGGUGUCCAGCCACCCGUCCUCGAUUGGCGCAAUCGGCUCUGAACUAAGGGUCGGAGCGGACACUGGGGCGGCCUCCAGGGCAAUGUUCGGCAGCAGAGCUAGAUCGUGCCCAUCGUGACAGUGCGGCGUGCUUGGCCGCGGCUCGAAUCCAUCGAAGAUCAAGUCUCCGCAGAUGUCUGCCAUGUAGUUCAAACUUCCAAAUCUGACCUGAUGGCCAGGGGCGUAGCUUUCGAUCUGCUCCAGAUGGCCAAGCGAAUUGGCCCGCAGUGCAAAGCCACCGAAUACGAAGAUCUGUCCGGGGAGAAAAGUCUCACCCUGGACCGCGUCGUUGUUGAUGAUCGGGGGAGCCAUCGGGCCUAAAGAUGACGACACAGAGGAACUCUCAAUGAAAGCACCAAUGUCGGUGUCAAAACCGGCGGAUCUCGGGUAGGGGGUCCCGAACUGUGCGUCUAGGUGGAUGGUAACAGGAAACAAGGGACACGAUGUUUUUACCCAGGUUUGGGCCCUCUCCAUGGAGGUAAAACCCUACUCCUACUUGAUUAAUAUUGAUGAUAUGGGUAGUACAAGAGUAGAUCUACCACGAGAUCGAAGAGGCUAAACCCUAGAAGCUAGCCUAUGGUAUGAUUGUUGUUCGUCCUACGGACUAAAACCCUCCGGUUUAUAUAGACACCGGAGAGGGCUAGGGUUACACAGAGUCGGUUACAAUGGGAGGAGAUCUACAUAUCCGUAUCGCCAAGCUUGCCUUCCACGCCAAGGAAUGUCCCAUUCGGACACGGGAUGAAGUCUUCAAUCUUGUAUCUUCAUAGUCCAGGAGUCCGGCCAAAGGUCCUAGUCCAAUCAUCCGGACACCCCCUAAUCCGGGACUCCCUCAGAGGCACUUCCUUGCUGCGGCCAUGGACCCAGCUGUCAGCCUCUCCACGUACAGUCCACGUCCGAUGGAAGUCGUUCCUUGACCAUGUUGACCACGCCAUGCUGAGAGCACCAGGGCAGUGGACGACGGCGAGGCCUAGGAAGGGGACGACGCGGAGCCGGGGAAGACGCGGCAGUGGAUGCCAACGCGUAGAGGAGUACGAGGGUUCACUGGUUCGCUGUGGUGUGAGGCUGUCGUCGCCGCAGAAUAACAGGGGGUGUGGUUGAGUAGAGGGAUGGCUUGGCCAGCGGUGGGAGUAGUAGGUGGCGGUGAGGCCUCCGCCGCAUCGCAGCCGGCCACGGGAGGUAGGAGCACGAGGCACGACCGGCGCUGGUUUGGGUGGCUGGAGCAAGAAGACCAGAGGUUGAAGAAGCACUACGGCUGUUGGAUGGACAUCGUACGGUCACUGGAGCUAGAAUCAUGCAUAUUGACUAGGUUGACAAAGCCCUCCAUCCCCGUCAACCUAGUAGGCCCACAAGUCAGCCUGCCACUAUACUGGGUCCCAGCUAACAGGGGGAGUAUUCAUUUUUUUGUGCGAAAUAAGGAGGCACUUCCUUGCGUGCGAAGAUAUAGCUGGUGGGUCCGAGUUGUCAGCGGCGGUAAUGUUUUUUCGUGAAAUACAGAGGCCCUUUUAGUGGGUCCCUGAUGUCAGGUGGAGGAAUCAUUAUUUUUCGCAUAAUAAGGAGGCAUUUCCUUGCGUGCGGCCGUGGACCCAGCUGUCGGCCUCUCCACGUACAGUCCACUUCAGAUGCAUGUCGGUGUUGACCACGUUGACCAGGCCGCGCCGAGAGCACCAAGGCGGUCGACGACAGCGAGGCCUAGGAAGGGAACGACACGGAGGCAGGGAAGACUCGGCAGUUGUUUCCCAUGCGGAGGGGAGUACGACUGUACGAGGGUUUACUGGUUCGUCUGCCGUCGCCGGAGAAUAACAGCAGGUGUGGGUGAGUAGAGGAAUGGCUAGGCCAGCGAUGGGAGUACGGUGGGUCGGUGAGGACUGUGCGGCAGCAGAGCCGGCCGCGGGGAGGAGGGAGCAGGCAUUCCUACUGGCGCUUGUUUCAGCGGCUAGAGCAGGAAGAUCAGAGAUUGAAGAAGCACGACGGCCGUUGUAUGGCCAUCAAAUAGUCACUGCUUGUGCGUCAACCUUUUUUUACGAAAGCCUCAAAUCUGUGGAAAACAGCAUACAGCCCAUCUGCCAUUAUUUCUAAUAAUUUACAGCCCAUUUGCUAAUUCUUAAGGUUUUUCUGGAGCCCAUAUUCUUUUUGUUAGCAUUACAGCCCAUAUUGUGGCCACGGUUAAAAAGUUAUACGAAAUUUUGCAUAUUUCAGUGUGGUCCGAACUGUUUUUAAUCCUGAAAUUUCGACUUACAUUCAAACUGAUUUUAAAAAUAAAUGUAUAUCAAUAUAAAAUCCAACAAAUUCUCCAUGCAUAAAAAUUAAUGUAAUUUAAAAUCUCGAAAUGAAAAAAAAAUAUUUGAAACUAAUUGCCGGUUUGAUGUGUUUUAAAAAUGUACAACCCAUUUCUCAUUACUAUUGGGCCAUUUUCUCGGCCAGCCGAAUGAAAGCUCUCCUUCUCUUGAAAGAUUUGCAGCCCAGCAGGCCUGACAAAGCGACUUACUUGGAAAAUCACAAAAAAACUGGGCUGUGGCCGUGGACCCAGUUGUCAGGCUCUCCACGUACAGUACUCUUCCGAUGGAAUGUCGUUGACCACAUUGACCAUGCCGCGCCGAGAGCACCAAGGCCUAGGAAGGGGAUGACGCGGAGCCGGGGAAGACGCGGCAGUGGAUGCCCACGCGGAGAGGAGUACGAGGGUUCACUGGUUCGGCUGCGGUGUGAGGCUGCCGCCUGGCUAGCGGUGGGAGUAGUAGGGGGCGAUGAGGCCUCAACGGCGGCACAGCCGGCCACUGGAGGCAGGAGCAGGCGGUCUCCCCGGCGCUGGUUUGGACGGCUGGUGCAAGAAGAGCAGCGAUUGAAGAAGCAGCAGGACCGUUCGAUUCAAAUCCAACGGUUACUGCUGCUAGAAUCGUUUGUUGACUAAGUUGACAAGCCCUGCGUACGCGUCAACUUAGUAGGCCCACAGGUCAACCUCCCAACUGGUGCGCCCUAGAUGUCAGUGGGAGGAAUCAUUUUUUUCGUGUAGUAAGGAGGCAGUUGAUUGCGUGCCGCCAGGCUAGCGGAGGGAGUAGGGUGGGCCGAGGAAGCCUGUGCAGCAUCACAACGGGCCACAAGAGGAGGGAGCAGGCAGUCCCGCCGGCGCUAGUUUAGGCGGCUGGAGCAGGAAGGUCAGAUAUUGAAGAAGCAUGUCGGCGUUGGAUGGACAUCCAACAGUCACUGCUGCUAGAAUCUUGUGUUCACUGACAAAGCCUUGCGUAAACAAGUCAGCCUCGAAAUCUGUGGCGUGUAUAGCCCAUUUUCUAUUAUUUUUAUAAUUUUUACUCAUUUUCUAAUUCAUAUGGAAUUUAUUGCAGCCCGUUUUCCAUUUUUUGAAUUGCUGGCCAUUUUCUGGUCAGUACCAGGGUCAAAAAAUUAACUAAAUAUGUGGGAAAUUUUGAAAAUUCGCAAAGUUUUGCUGGGGAACGAAAUAUUCUUAAUCCAAAAAUUAAUAGCCAUACUAAAAUAAAUUUAAAAAUAAAUUAGUACUAUGUCAUGUUAAAUCCAAUGAAAUACGUAUAAGAUAUCAGUGAAGAACAAAAACAAAAAAAGAAACUAAUAUCCCAUUUGCUAUAAUAUUUUUGGAAUUUUCAACCCCUUUUGAUAUUACUUUUAACAGACAUUGACCAUACUCUUUGGCCAGGACGGAAUGCAUCCCUCCUCGUCUUGAAAGAUUUGCAGCCCAGUAAUUCGGAGAAAACAAAUAGGCCUAGCUUGGGUAUUCUUCAAAAAGAAAUACUGGGCUACCUAUUUUCCCAAAGAACUGGUGCAUGAGCAUUUAGCUUUAUUUAUUUAUUUACUUAUUUAUGUUUAGGGGACCAUGAGCAUGUACCUGGGCCGGAUUCAUGUGAGAGCCUCCCUUCCAGUUAAUUAUGGGCUUCUCUAUUGGGCCUUCAUCAGUGGGCUGCAUGUUAUCAACAAGUGGAAAAUGUGUUCCGUACGAAAAAUAGUAUGAGCUACGUACGGUAUGGGGCACUAAAGGAUCGAACCAUGCAACGACUUCUAAAACAUUGUGUUUGUCGUUCUAACAACACAUUUAUUCAACCAACAUACGAAAUAUACUACUGAUUGUACAUUGAAAAUAGCAGCAGCAGCAACCAGGGCUGGGGGUGCAACAGAAGCAGUAAGCAAGCCAGAAGAGUGAAGACGCGGCUCUCUCUUCCAAACCAACAUCAGCCAUCAUUACAAAAGGGCUACCAAAAAAGAACAAGUGUAUGCAUCAAACUAAAUAAAGAUCCUACUACACAAGUGUACGCAUCUAACUAACUGGCUCAGUUAGACGUUACUAUUUAUUAAGCUGUGGAGAUUGGCUGAUGGCUUGAACCAGAUGGGUGCCUGACGGGGGAAACUCCAGCCAGCAGGUCGAAGUCUGAUACUUGCGACCCUCUCUCCUACUUUGGGCUGCAGAGUGUGGCGGCACAUAUCAGGGUAUGGUGCAUGCAGAGACGCAUGGUAUGAUGUGUACAUACAGUUUUGCCUGAUGAACGAAACCGCACUGCCAUCAUGAUCCUUGCUGUCGGUUAUCUCCUGGUUAAUCGGAUAAUUCAGACCGACAAACAGAGAGCGUGUACCAAGGCUACUUACCAGCCUCCAGUCAAAAAUUCCUGAAGGCCCAGAGAAGCUGGGAUCCUGCUCAAAGACCUUGCAGUGACUAUGAUUGUAUUCCGCGAAACAACACGUCCGGUACGUGCGAACGAUCAUCAAUCUUUCGUCAUUGUCUGAUUGAGCCAGGAACCACCUGCAACUGUCGUGCCGCUUUUCUUUGAAAGGUUCUGGGAUUAGGAAGGGUAGGGACACCAGGCGGCCUACAACAUCAUAUCAAGUUGGAGUCAAAUAAAAAAGGGCUCUUGAUUUAGUCAAUCUUAAGAACAGCAUGUUAUGAGCAUGAAUAUUUUUUCAGUAAAUGUUGACAGUAAUAUAAGCAAGCCAUCAUGAUAUCAUAGGAAAGUAAUAUACUGCUGUAACAGCCGUUUGUAGCGAUGACUGGAGUAGGCCAGCAAUACGUCCAGCCAUAGAAGGAGUCGACAGCGUAAAUGAAGCCCUUGUGUUCAAUGGCAUCAGAGAACCAUGGAGGAUGUAUGAUCCUGCGAUGGACGUGCAGAUUUAUCCACUUACCGCAGUGACCUUCAGAUAGGCGAGACCGCGGUUGAAGAACGCAAUUAGCCUGAAGUCUUUAUAAUUCGCAGAUCUUGUGGGCACUUGGAAGAUUACAACCUUGAGCAAAUCAAACUUGGUAUCAUGUUGGCUACUGUAAGAUUCCGAGUAUUCUGGGCCGCGGUGCCAAAGUAGUGCAGUGUUAAUCGAAGGAAGGGGGAUCAAUCGCCGGGUGUAGAUCUCCAUGAGCAUCCAGCUGCCGCGACCGUCGACGAGCACCAUCCAAGACGUGCUCAUGUCGACCCAGUACAUAUCGUUAAUGUAGUUGAGGCUGACGGGGAUCGGAUCGCAGUUAAGGGGGUUGAUGCUCGCCACCCUAUGAUCGUUAUGCUGCAUGAGACGCCAUUUCUAAAGAUCAGGUAGCAUCAACAAGCAAGGAGCUGGCUUAAAAAGCUCCGGUCUGAGGGCUUUGAGUAAACGGUACAGCCCCGACGAGCACGCGUCGAGUGGCAUGGUACUGAGAUUGUCCACACGCAAAACAAUGAGCUUGAUUACCUCUGUGGGGAGCGAAUUCCAGCCACUCUUUCGGCGGACGCUGCUCGGUUCCACCAUUGUUAGUGCUUGGGUUUUGGACAAGGGGGGGAGGCGCCUUAGCGGGGAUGGAAGAUAGGACGAGAUUAUGUGCGGACAAAGAUGGAGAAGCGAAUAUGUGCUGCGGGAAAUGGAUAGGUGAUGAUGACUACAGCAUGCCACUUGACCUACAAGACACAUACCAGCAGCGUAGGGUCAUGUCGAUGCCAGACAACUUGCUUGAGUGAUCACAGUACUGGUACUCACUACAGUACCUACUACAGUACUAUGCCCUAACUUGCUUGAGUAGAGUAGUAGAGUAGGACUCUUCUCUACUACUAGCACCGGAGGAGUAGUAUAUUCUAAUCUAAAAUAGUUACAAACUUCAAUGCUCGAGCGUGGAACGACUAUGAACCGUGCUCAAAGACCGUGCCUACGUGGUGUUUGGACUUAUAUGAAAAAAAUAGCAAGACGCCCGUGCAUUGCACAACACACCAUCAUCACCAACUCAGUUUUUUCUCUACUCCUACUCCUAUAAAAGACUCAGUUGGAGAUGAUGGAGGCGAGGAGGCGUGUUCAGCUGGGCGUGCAGCGGACGGCGCAGCACUAUUCGAUUUGUUAUAAAAAACAAAGAAGAGUAGUAGAGAUAGAGACAUAGGGAGGAGCACGAGGUUGUGGGAGAUAAGGAUGAACGAGGAAAGGCCUUAUCUGUAAAUGUGAGAGAGGUGCGGGUAUCUUUUGUAAAAUUUUCAUAGUUGGCUUUCUAUCCGUCAGAUAUAGAUGGGAGGGUCUAUAUUACAAGAUGGCAGGCAUACCAUCAUCACCAACUCGGUUUUCUAUAAGAGUAGAUAUAGAUAGAUAGAGACUAGGGAGUACUAGUAAGGACACCAUCUACUGCUUCGUGUACUACUGCUGCGCUCCAUUCGGCGGCCGCAACAUCCCCUACAGCCACUCCCUCUUGCGCUACAUUCGGCGGGCGCUGUUGAAAUUUGGGGAGCGCACUCUCGCGACUGCUGGCAGCCAUGACUUCACCGGCCACGACUUCUUCCCCGACCUCGGCAACCUCUUCCUCAACAACAUGGGCGACAACCUCAAUGCCAAUGGUGCUGCUCCCGUUGCACCGUAUGUGUUUCUGUCCUUCCUGUUUGAAAUCGGGGUAGAAUUCAUGUUUCUACUCUGUAUCCUACUACUAUGCUAGUCCACAUGAUUAGUUUCAUCUCCGUUAUAGCUGUCAUGAUUUAUUUUGUGCUUAUUCGGAUUAAAUCUCAUAGUAACUUGCUCAUAUAUUCAACUGGCGCAACAUCCCCUACAGCCACUCCCGUUUCAUGGACGGCCUGGUCGAUGCCUCCAAGGAGCCCUUUCAUCCACUACUAUGAGUGCCUGAUGCCGUUUUGUGGCUCGCCGGUGGACAUGGUGCAUCACCUCACGGAUGCGUGCAGUGGUCACUGCUGGCCCUUGGCGGAGAACAUCAAAUAUGAGACGUGUUACCUGUUCACCAUGCCGGAGUCGCUGGAGGAUCACCGCCGCCUGCUAGUCUCGGCGGAGGACAGCAGCGUCUUCCUCUUGAUCGUGGGCACCGGCGAGGCCCACAAAGGCCGCCGCCAUGUCUCUGUAAUGUGCGUCAGGGGCGACGCCGCUGACGCUGACACUGACACGAGGCCGAUGUACGGGUGCGUGGUCAGUGUUACUACCCCACCGGGUCACGUGGGCGGCGACACCGGACUCAUCGAACGGACUUGGACUCUGGGGAGCUGGAACUAUCCCGCCAAUGUGGACUUGGAAAACCCAUAGCGUCCUUUACCCGCCGACGAGGUGCACGGGGACUCCAAGGAGGUUCACCUGGACAUACGCAUUAUCAAGUUAAAUGUUGAUCAUUAGUCUUUGCUCAAUGUAAUCCGCUGUCUAAGCAUGUGGAGACUUCCAUGCAGGAUCUUGCUCUAUUGGAGUAUCGCGCAUGAAUAAAAGUGUAUCCGUUUAUGGUUUAGUCUAGAAUCUUCCAUGUAUGAAUUUUUACUACCACUAGUAGAAAACGGAGCUUUAGCGUCGGUUCGUAAGGGCCUUUAGUGCCGGUUCCAUAACUGGCACUAAAGGGUGGGCACUAAAGCCCCCCCCCCUUUAGUACCGGUUCGGCACGAACCAACGCUAAAGUGCCACCACGUGGCGUGAGCUCGCGCGCUGGUAUGGGGGACCUUUAGUACCGGUUGGUGUUACCAACCGGUACUAAAGGUUUUUUUUAAAAAAAUUGAAAUUUUUUUUGAAAUUUUUUUUCAAUUUUUAAUUUUUCUGAAUUAUUUGAUGAUUUAGUCUCUAAUCACCUCUCUUAACUGCUCAAGUGUGGAUCACUCAUUCCAAAUCAUCUAGCUUCCCGACCGGUCACCCAUCCCUCUCACUACUCUAGCCCGAGCACGCUUAACUUUCGGGUUCUAUUCUCCUUCGCUUCCGAGUCUGCACUUGUUGUUUUCCUGAUAAUAGUAAGAUGUCAAUCCUAUUAACCCUCAGGAGUUUAGCUUGAGCAUGAAGUCACACAUUUCACCGUUUGAGUUUGAAACUAUUAUUCUAAAAAAACAGUAAUUAUUUAGUAACGCUAAUAUUUCUUGAAUAAGUUUGACCAUAGUUUGACCACAGUUUGACCAUACUUUGACCAGAUUUGACCAAAAUUCAAAACAUUGAAAUAAUUAUUUAGUAACACUAAUAUUCUUGAAUAAUUAUGUAGUAACAUUAAUACUUCUUGAAUAAGUAGUUUGACCAGAUUUAACCAAAAAAAUUAAAAAAGCUGAAAUUUAACCAUAUCUUUUUUCCUUUUGGAAUUUGAGGAUUCUAAAAAAUUCCAAACAGGCCAUAGGCGGUCUCCAUCGGAUGCGGAUUUUCGUGCUGAAUUUUUUAAUAUAUUAUACGUUUUUUUUUCGACAUCAUAUGCAAAAGUUAUAGCCGUUUUACAUUUUCCCUACACUUUUUGCAAAACAUGUCCAAAUUGUAGUUUUCAAAUUUUCCUAACUAGUAAAUGUAGUAAUAUAACUACCUCUCGAAGGAUUUUAUUUUUUGAAGUUUUUAUCAUUUUCUUUUGAUUUUUUCAGAACUGAAAUGGCGACACACGGGGGGUAGAGUUUGAAAAUUGCCCUAUAGUGCCGGUUUGUGUCACAAACCGGUACUAUAGGUCAGACCCCUUUAGUACCGGUUCGUUCCACAAACCGGUACUAAAGGUUAGACCUUUAGUACCUUUAGUACCGGUUCGUGCCACGAACCGGUACUAAAGGUGAUCGUGGGGCCCCGGCCUGACGCCAGCCUGCCACCACCCCUUUAGUACCGGUUCGUGCCACGAACCGGUACUAAAGGUUCAACACGAACCGGCAUUAAUGCAAAUCCGUUUGAACCGGCACUAAUGGUACCAUUAGUACCAGGCCAAAAUCAAACCGACACUAAUGUGCUUCACAUUUGACCCUUUUUCUACUAGUGUACAGUACUAGUGAAAGACUUACGAUGAACCAUUUUUUACAUCUCCUCUGUCCCCUUGCAAGUCAUCCUGAUUUAAUCCCUCCGUCUAGGGGUAUAAGGGCAUGGUUAAUAUUACUUAAUAGUAUAGCCAACUGUUGACUAUAAGGAAGUGCCAUGUCAUCUGUAGCCAACAUGUAUAACAAUCAAUACUCAAAAACUAAUUCUUGAAGAUCAUUUCUUGCAAAGCACAAUAAGUGUUAUUUCUUCACAAGUUUUGGAUGCAGGUUGAAUAGUUGAACGCUUUUGUUUGCAAAAGAUACCUUUUUAUCUAUUUCACCCGGAUGUUUGUGAGCUCUAGAUAUGAAAUAAUAUUCGAAGAAACCUAUCGAUACCCAUUACACAUGAGAUGACCCCCACAUCCUUUGUCAAAAUAAACAACUCCCCGGUCAAUGCAUUUCACUCUUCGGUGCAACGCACGGGCACCUUACUACUAUAGAUUAGUACGACCAAGAAUUGAACUAACAUUAUAUAUAGUACGAUAAAUGCUGAUGCAUGUCACCUAAAAUUAUAUCAUUCAAAACUAUGUUCAAAUAUGAAUCCAAGGAUCUAGUUUUUGUUGACAUGCACUAACAUUUUGUCAGUUAAAUCUUCAGUCAAAUUCAAUGGGGGACUAAUAAACCACGACCGAAUUAGUACAAGUGUAGAGGGCGGCGCUGCACGGGAGUCUCACCUCUCACCCCGCUCGUGGUGCGGGAGUAAAUCCGUCAUAUCACAAAACCCAACCACUCCCAAUAAUAAGUGGCCUGGUAAAAUAAACGGACAAGCAACCAUCACAUCCCUCCGUCUUUUUUGCAUUUCAUCUCUCUGCAUUUACUUUCUCCGGUUCAUCUCUCACACUCGUUCCCUAGCUACUACUCCUAGGGCCAGUUCUUUUGGCGGCUUCCCCAGCUUUUCCCACAACACUAGUCACAGUGGAGAGUAACAAUAAGGCGCCUCACUCAUUUAUUUGGGCUUCUAAACUACUACUCCGUCCUGGUUUAUUCCUCACCAUUGUAAUUUGUGCUAAAUUUGACCAAAGAUUUAACUGAUAAAAUGUUACUCCCUCCGUCUAGGUGUGUAAGUCAUCUUACGAAAACCAAAUAAUCCCAGAACACUUAGGCGUGGUGCAUUAACUUCUACCUCGUUUCUUGUUUCUUGACAUAUCAACCAAUAAGAGAUAAAGAGUGUGCAUGCUUUUAGUGACUUGAGAUAUCAAACACGACAUGCAGUGGUUAGUUCAUUGCAUGCAAUACUAUUAAUUAGCAAAUAAAAAUUAAUGUUUCUCAUUUUCUCCUCCUCCUUGGUCACGGUGCACAGCCUAAGAUGACUUACUCACCUAGACGGAUGGAGUAGUGCAUGUGACAUGCACUAACAUUUCAUUAGUUAAAUUUGUGAUCAAAAUUUGACACAGAUUACAAUGGGGACCAAUAAACCAGGACGGAGGUAGUAGUUACGGGAUUACUAAUCUAGAAGCCUAAAAGAACUGGCCCCUGGUACUCCUACUAGUAGUAGUACUCAAGUUGGAAUUCCAAUUGCACGGCACAACUUGUUAGGCAAAAAAUUCGAUAGAGGGUGUAGGAAGCGGUUUGGGAAUUUGCAUGCCUUUCCAACCAGUGAGAUACUCCGUACAAAGUACGACAGAGAAAUAACCACAGAGAAGGAAGCUAAAAGUAAAUAAUCAAACGAGCAUUUAUGCAUUUGUUUUAUAUUGAAUCGUUUCACAAGCUUGACUAGUGUUGUUUUUCUACUUUUACAAAAACCGCAUCGUAAUGUUAAAACGUGCAUUUGCAUGUACAUAAGUAAUAGUAGUACUCCCUCCAUCUAGGUGUACAAGUCUGCCCUCCUUCUUGGUCACGGUGCACAACCAAAGAGAUGACUUAUUGACCUGGACGGAGGGAGUAGCACAGUCUGCAAGCAUAUAUCGAGAGAGACGUGUAGUCCAAUAGUAUAUAGUAAAGUUUGUGCUAUAUGCAUGUACUUGCAAAAUGCGUACGAAUACACAAGGUUUCCAAACUUUCCCUUUUACAUACUUAAUUAAGGACACUAAAAAUUCCUGAACAUUCAGGAUUUAUAAUUUGCGUCCCAAAACUAAUGAGAUCGCCUUACGAAACAAAAAUUAUACUCCUCCUAAAAGCCACUACGGUCGCAGGAGCGCUUGCGGCGCGCCAUGAGUGCCCUAGUGCGUGGCCGUUUCCCAGCGCGCCGACACAACACCUCUUCCUCAGCCUCGCAACUCGAGAGGUGCUGAUUGGUGGCUUGCCAGCGGGCGAGCGCGAUCUCACCGGUGUGGUGAUCCGGCGCCAACAGGUACUCCUCCUCGCUGGAAGCGUGCACCCGGUCCACGUACUGCCAAGCGUAGAUGAGGCGCUUGGACCUGACUGCACUCAGGGCGUCGGCACGGGCGUCCUCCGCCACCCUCACGGCCCUCGCACGAGCCUUCUGCCAAAGAGCCAAUUGCCGGACUCUCUCGGACGCGACAUAGGCCUCCCAGGCAGCUUGUUCCGCGGUGCGCUUCUCUUACUCGGCCUUCUUCUCCGCCUCUAUUUUGGAGCGCUCUGCUGGAGGCAAAGCCUCCCACAAGGCGACAUCCAUUUCUUUCCAAAGCUCCUCAAGGCUGGGGGGGCUCGAUGGGCGGUGCGGCGUUCUCCUCAUAGCGGGGAGCCGACGCGUCCUCCGACGCGAGUGCUGGUGAGAUUGGGAAUGCCUACGGGUCCACCUCGACGCGUCGCGGCAAGGAGAGGAAUGCCGACGCGUCCUCCUCGACUAGUGGCGGCGAGGAACGGAACGCCGACGCGUCGCGUCAUGGCGAGGAGCGGAACACCGACGCGCCCUCCUCGACUAGUGGUGGCGAGGAACGGAACGGCGACGCGUCGCGUUGCGGCGAGGAGUGGAACACCGACGCGUCCUCCUCGACUAGUGGCUGUGAGGAAUCGAACGGCGGCACGUGACCGUCCGCGCGGUGCAGUGAGGGGCUCCUAGGGCUUGGGAGGGGCGAUGCCAUGGUGGUCGACGUGAGAGGGAGGGGGAGGAGAUAGCGGUGAACGUGAAUGUGAGGGGGAGGAUAUAGCGAUGUCGUGGGAGGCACAGUAUUUAUAGCGAGCAAUGACACACCUACGUAAGAUAUGGACUGAGCUGCACUGACUUAACUACAGGUCCAGUUGCGUCACUAACAUGCGGGCCAGUCCCCUGUUGGGUCCAUAUGUCAGUGACCCAAUGCACCUGAAGUUAAGUAAAAGCUACAUGGGCAUAUUUGCUGGAGUAAAUUACGGGGGAGCGAAGGGGUGGAAAUAUUGCUGGUCACAACGAAUUGGACGAGCGUGGGGGGAGGAGAGUCAUGCAUGCAGAUUUUUUCACACGGGGUGGAGUGGUGGGACCGCCGGAGGGAGAAGGAGAGUUUGGCAGGCAUAUUGUUUCCACACAUGGAGAGGAAAAGAUUUGGAGACCAAAGGGCUUCCUGUAGGUAUGGGGAACAGUGCAUAAUAAGUCAUCUUGCAUGUCGGGCUAGGUAUAGUCUCAAGUCAUUAAAAACAUACAUGCCCCACACAUGUUCAUAUUUCAAGGUGCACUAAAUUAUUGCAUGCGAUGAUUAAGGCUGGCCAUAAUGGUGGUAUCUUAGCUGGUAUCAUGCACACGGGAAUAGCAAACAUGCUGAUCUGGCAAAGAAUUAAAGAAGAGAGGGGGGUUAGAGUAACUAGUGUUCAUGCAUGCAUUGGUAAACAAAUUUUUUUGUGAAGAACGACAGCAUUAGUUGAGUACUUUUGCAGACUUCAAAAACUAUUCCACCACCUCUACUAUCUUGCUAAGAGUAGGUGAAAUUUUUGAAUCGAGCCCUUUAAACUAGAAUGGAGGUAGGGGUACUCUAAUAGCUAACCUUGUUGUGAUGACAAGAUAGGACAUGGCACGCACCUGGACGGAGGAACAAGUCUGCAUUGUGCAUUUAAGUUUUGUCUGAAGACUAGUUCCUCUGGUUAGUUCCUUGCGUGCAAUACUAUUAAUUAGCAAAUAAACAUUAAUGUCUCUCGUUUUUCCCUCCUCCUUAGUCAUGGUGCACAGCCUAAGAUGACUUACUCACCUAGACGGAGGGAGUAUCAACAUUCACAAUGUCAAAUCAAUAUUUUUACACUCAUUAUAAAACGUAGUUCUUAUACUCAUUAUAAUCAAUAUUGUAGAUAUUGAUAUUUUUAGUAUAAAUUUGGUCAUGGGAUUUCAUUGAUGCAUGUCAAAGCGUGGAGGAAGCCGGUCUCUACAUAGGUAUUUCUCUUCAUAAUCAUGUAAUUUUAGAGACUGAUUGCUCUUUUGUGGUAGCGUCUCUUGCAUCGGGGGACUGUGACAGGUCUGCUAUGCGUGACCUGAAGAUGAAAGCGUUGAGCAUCUCGAAGUUGAUCAACAAUCUUAAAUUGUCAAAGAUUAGCCGUUCGGCCAAUAAGGUGGCACACCUAAUCGCUAAGUAUAGCUUUGACAAUAGAUUAGAUGGUAUUCUUGUAAAUAACGUACCGCCCUGUGUGGUGAAUAUUGUAUCGAAUGAGUGUACUGAUGUGGCAAAGAAUUAAAGAAGAGAGAGGGGUUAGAGUAACUAGUGUUCAUGCAUGCAUUGGUAAACACAUUUUUUUGUGAGGAAUGACAGCAUUAGUUGAGUACUUUUGCAGACUUCAAAAACUAUUCCACCGCCUCUACUAUCUUGCUAAGAGUAGGUGAAAUUUUUGAAUCGAGCCCUUUAAACUAGAAGGGAGGUAGUGGUACUCUAAUAGCUAACCUUGUUGUGAUGACAAGAUAGGACAUGGCACGCACCUGGACGGAGGAACUAGGCUUCAUGGCACAGGGAUGGCGGUGACACGGCGGUGAUGGGCGAGAAAUUGUUGGUCGGAGCAGGCGGGCGCCGGCAUGCGCAACGGCAGCGGCGGCAUAUUGAUGAGUGCGCGUGGUAGCUUACUUUAGUUUUAUAUAAGGUUGGUCAAACUUAAAAGAAAACCGUACUAGUACACGUAAACAUUAGACUUAGGCAGCGCUUUUAUUAGUUUCUUUUUGAAGUUAGUACCACAACCACGAUACGGAAUCCUGUGCAAGCGCGUGAACCGCGGCCGCACGGUCGAUCGAACGGUGCGUCACCGUGUCGCGCUCGAAGGACAUCCACGGAACCUUUUUGUGUGUGUGAAAACAAUCUUCGAAUAUUACUCAACUUUUUUUCCUGGGAAAGUUCUUGACGCUGCAAUAUUUCCAUAUAUUUGAAUUUCGCUCUAGUUCGUGUUUAUUUGGAUUUGGACGUUUUAGGUGCGCCCUAGUUUUUUUUAAUACUUAUUUUGUGUGUGUGACUGAGAGAGAACGUGUGUAUGUGUCCAUAUGUGUGUUGUGGUGGAAGGGCAAUGUGGAGACGAUGUGCGUGUGAUACAGACAUAGAGAGGUGUGAAUGUGCAAAUGAUCAUGCAUGAGUGAGACAUAGACAGAUGCCGAUAUGUUGUGUAUACAUGAGAGAACGGUCUUCUAGUUUACUUGUGCGUGUGUAUGUGUGUGUGUGAGAGAGAGAGAGAGAGAGACAGAGAGAGAGAGAGGAGCAUCCAUAACACAACAACCAUCUCUCUCGAUUCGUCCGUCCCUCGCACGAUCGCAUGCAACACAUGCAUCAAUGCGCACAUUUUGACACCACACAAUUCAUCCCCAUCCAAGGUUAUACAGCGACCACUCUCGCUUGUGCUUCUUUGCACUGCAACAUGCACAACACCUCAAUCUUCAAAGAGGGCCAUGUCAUCUGUAGCCAACAUGUAUAACAAUCGAUACUCAAAAACUAAUUCUUGAAGAUCAUUUCUUGCAAAGCACAAUAAGUGUUAUUUCUUCACAAGUUUUGGAUGCAGGUUGAACAGUUGAACGCUUUUGUUUGCAAAAGAUACUUUUUUAUCUAUUUCACCCGGAUGUUUGUGAGCUCUAGAUAUGAAAUAAUAUUCGAAGAAACCUAUCGAUACCCGUUACACAUGAGAUGACCCCCACAUCCUUUGUUAAAAUAAACAACUCCCCGGUCAAUGCAUUUCGCUCUUCGGUGCAACGCACGGGCACCUUACUAUUAUAGAUUAGUAUGACCAAAAAUUGAACUAACAUUAUAUAUAGUACGAUAAAUGCUGAUGCAUGUGGCCUAAAAUUAUAUCAUUCAAAGCUAUGUUCAAAUAUGAAUUCAAGGAUAUAGUUUUUGUUGACAUGCACUAACAUUUUGUCAGUUAAAUAUUCAGUCAAAUUCAAUGGGGGACUAAUAAACCACGACCGAAUUAGUACAAGUGUAGAGGGUGGCGCUGCACGGGAGUCUCACCUCUCACCCCGCUCGUGGUGCGGCAGUAAAGCCGUCAUAUCACAAAUCCCAACCACUCCCAAUAAUAAGUGGCCUGGUAAAAUAAACGGGCAAGCAACCAUCACAUCCCUCCGUCUUUUUUGCAUUUCAUCUCUCUGCAUUUACUUUCUCCGGUUCAUCUCUCACACUCGUUCCCUAUCUACUACUCCUAUGGCCAGUUCUUUUGGCGGCUUCCCCAGCUUUUCCCACAAGACUAGUCACAAUGGAGAGUAACAAUAAGGCGCCUCACUCAUUUAUUUGGGCUUCUAAACUACUACUGUGUCCUGGUUUAUUCCUCAGCAUUGUAAUUUGUGCUAAAUUUUGACCAAAGAUUUAACUGAUAAAAUGUUACUCCCUCCGUCUAGGUGUGUAAGUCAUCUUACGAAAACCAAAUAAUCCCAAAACACUUAGGUGCGGUGCAUUAACUUCUACCUCGUUUCUUGUUUCUUGACAUAUCAAUCAAUAAGAGAUAAAGAGUGUGCAUGCUUUUAAUGACUUGAGAUAUCAAACACGACAUGCAGUGGUUAGUUCAUUGCAUGCAAUACUAUUAAUUAGCAAAUAAAAAUUAAUGUUUCUCAUUUUCGCCUCCUCCUUGGUCACGGUGCACAGCCUAAGAUGACUUACUCACCUAGACGGAUGGAGUAGUGCAUGUGACAUGCACUAACAUUUCAUUAGUUAAAUUUGUGAUCAAAAUUUGACACAGAUUACAACGGGGACCAAUAAACCAGGACGGAGGUAGUAGUUAUGGGAUUACUAAUCUAGAAGCCUAAAAGAACUGGCCCCUGGUACUCCUACUAGUAGUAGUACUCAAGUUGGAAUUCCAAUUGCAUGGCACAACUUGUUAGGCAAAAAAUUCGAUAGAGGGUGUAGGAAGCGGUUUGGGAAUUUGCAUGCCAUUCCAACCAGUGAGAUACUCCGUACAAAGUACGACAGAGAAAUAACCACAGAGAAGGAAGCUAAAAGUAAACAAUCAAAUGAGCAUUUUUGCAUUUGUUUUAUAUUGAAUCCUUUCACAAGCUUGACUAGUGUUGUUUUUCUACUUUUACAAAAACCGCACCGUAAUGUUAAAACGUGCAUUUGCAUGUACAUAAGUAAUAGUAGUACUCCCUCCAUCUAGGUGUACAAGUCUUCCAUCCUUCUUGGUCACAGUGCACAACCAAAGAUGACUUAUUGACCUGGACGGAGGGAGUAGCACAGUCUGCAAGCAUAUAUCGAGAGAGACGUGUAGUCCAAUAGUAUAUAGUAAAGUUUGUGCUAUAUGCAUGUACUUGCAAAAUGCAUACGAAUACACAAGGUUUCCAAACUGUCCCUUUUACAUACUUAAUUAAGGACGCUAAAAAUUCCUGAACGUUCGGGAUUUAUCAUUUGCGUCCCAAAACUAAUGAGAUCGCCUUACGAAACAAAAAUUAUACUCCUCCUAAAAGCCACUACGCUCGCAGGAGCGCUUGCGGCGCGCCACGAGUGCCCUGGUGCGCGGCCGUUUCCCAGCGCGCCGACACAACGCCUCUUCCUCAGCCUCGCAACUCGCGAGGUGCUGAUUGGUGGCUUGCCGGCGGGCGAGCGCGAUCUCACCGGUGUGGUGAUCCGGCGCCAACAGGUACUCCUCCUCGCUGGAAGCGUGCACCCGGUCCACGUACCGCCAAGCGUAGAUGAGGCGCUUGGGCCCGACUGCACUCAGGGCGUCGGCACGGGCGUCCUCUACCACCCUCACGACCCUCGCACGAGCCUUCUACCAAAGAGCCGAUUGCGGGACUCUCUCGGACGCGACAUAGGCCUCCCAGGCAGCUUGUUCCGCGGUGCGCUUCUCUUCGUCGGCCUUCUUCUCCGCCUCUAUUUUGGAGCGCUCUGCUGGAGGCAAAGCCUCCCACAAGGCGACAUCCAUUUCUUUCCAAAGCUCCUCAAGGCUGGGGGGCUCGACGGGCGGUGCGGCGUUCUCCUCGUAGCGGGGAGCCGAAGCGUCCUCCGACGCGAGUGCUGGUGAGAUUGGGAAUGCCUAUGGUUCCACCUCGACGCGUCGCGGCGAGGAGUGGAACACCGACGCGUCCUCCUCGACUAGUGGCGGCACGGAACGGAACGCCGACGCGUCGCGUCACAGCGAGGAGCGGAACACCGACGCGUCCUCCUCGACUAGUGGCGGCGAGGAACGGAACGCGACGCAUCGCGUAGCGGCGAGGAGUGGAACACUGACGCGUCCUCCUCGACUAGUGGCGGCGAGGAACGGAACGGCGGCGCAUGACCGUCCGCGCGGUGCAGCGAGGGGCUCCUAGGGCUUGGGAGGGGCGAUGCCAUGGUGGUCGACGUGAGAGGGAGGGGGAGGAGAUAGCGGUGAACGUGAACGUGAGGGGGAGGAGAUAGCGAUGUCGUGGGAGGCGCAGUAUUUAUAGCAAGCAAUGGCACACCUACGUAAGAUAUGGACUGAGCUGCACUGACUUAACUACAGGUCCAGUUGCGUCACUGACAUGUGGUCCAGUCCCAUGUUGGGUCCAUAUGUCAGUGACCCAAUGCACCUGAAGUUAAGUAAAAGUUACGUGGGCAUAUUUGCUGGAGUAAAUUACGGGGGAGUGAAGGGGUGGAAAUAUUGCUGGUCACAACGGAUUGGACGAGCGUGGGGGGAGGAGAGUCAUGCAUGCAGAUUUUUUCACACGGGGUGGAGUGGUGGGACCGCCGGAGGGAGAAGGAGAGUUUGGCAGGCAUAUUGUUUCCACACAUGGAGAGGAAAAGAUUUGGAGACGAACGGGCUUCCUGCAGGUAUGUGGAACAGUGCAUAAUAAGUCAUCUUGCAUGUCGGGCUAGGUAUAGUCUCAAGUCAUUAAAAACAUACACGCCUCACACAUGUUCAUAUUUCAAGGUGCACUAAAUUAUUGCAUGCGAUGAUUAAGGCUGACCAUAAUGGUGGUAUCUUAGCUAGUAUCAUGCACACGGGAAUAGCAAACAUGCUAAUGUGGCAAAGAAUUAAAGAAGAGAGGGGGGUUAGAGUAACUAGUGUUCAUGCAUGCAUUGGUAAACACAUUUUUUUGUGAAGAACGACAGCAUUAGUUGAGUACUUUUGCAGACUUCAAAAACUAUUCCACCGCCUCUACUAUCUUGCUAAGAGUAGGUGAAAUUUUUGAAUCGAGCCUUUUAAACUAGAAGGGAGGUAGUGGUACUCUAAUAGCUAACCUUGUUGUGAUGACAAGAUAGGACAUGGCACGCACCUGGACGGAGGAACUAGUCUGCAUUGUGCAUUUAAGUUUUGUCUAAAGUCAAUGUACCUCUACUUUCACCAGACUUAUAGAAAAAUGUACUCCCUCUGUCUAGGUGUGUAAGUCAUCUUACGUAAACCAAAAUAAUCCCAAAACACGUAGGCGUGGUGCAUUAACUUCUUCCUCAUUUCUUGUUUCUUGGCAUAUCAACCAAUAAGAGAUGAGGGUGUGCAUGCUUUUAAUGACCUGAGACUAUCAAACAUGACAUGCAGUGGUUAGUUCCUUGCGUGCAAUACUAUUAAUUAGCAAAUAAACAUUAAUGUCUCUCGUUUUUCCCUCCUCCUUAGUCAUGUUGCACAGCCUAAGAUGACUUACUCACCUAGACGGAGGGAGUAUCAACAUUCACAAUGUCAAAUCAAUAUUUUUACACUCAUUAUAAAACGUAGUUCUUAUACUCAUUAUAAUCAAUAUUGUAGAUAUUGAUAUUUUUAGUAUAAAUUUGGUCAUGGGAUUUCAUUGAUGCAUGUCAAAGCAUGGAGGAAGCCGGUCUCUACAUAGGUAUUUCUCUUCAUAAUCAUGUAAUUUUAGAGACUGAUUGCUCUUUUGUGGUAGCGUCUCUUGCAUCGGGGGACUGUGACAGGUCUGCUAUGCGUGACCUGAAGAUGAAAGCGUUGAGCAUCUCGAAGUUGAUCAACAAUCUUAAAUUGUCAAAGAUUAGCCGUUCGGCCAAUAAGGUGGCACACCUAAUCGCUAAGUAUAGCUUUGACAAUAGAUUAGAUGGUAUUCUUGUAAAUAACGUACCGCCCUGUGUGGUGAAUAUUGUAUCGAAUGAGUGUACUGAUGUGGCAAAGAAUUAAAGAAGAGAGAGGGGUUAGAGUAACUAGUGUUCAUGCAUGCAUUGGUAAACACAUUUUUUUGUGAGGAAUGACAGCAUUAGUUGAGUACUUUUGCAGACUUCAAAAACUAUUCAACCGCCUCUACUAUCUUGCUAAGAGUAGGUGAAAUUUUUGAAUCGAGCCCUUUAAACUAGAAGGGAGGUAGUGGUACUCUAAUAGCUAACCUUGUUGUGAUGACAAUAGGACAUGGCACGCACCUGGACGGAGGAACUAGUCUGCAUUGUGCAUUUAAGUUUUGUCUGAAGUCAAUGUACCUCUACUUUCACCAGACUUAUAGAAAAAUGUACUCCCUCUGUCUAGGUGUGUAAGUCAUCUUACAAAAACCAAAUAAUCCCAAAACACGUAGGCGCGGUGCAUUAACUUCUACCUCGUUUCUUGUUUCUUGACAUAUCAACCAAUAAGAGAUGAGGGUGUGCAUGCUUUUAAUGACCUGAGACUAUCAAACAUGACAUGCAGUGGUUAGUUCAUUGCAUGCAAUACUAUUAAUUAGCAAAUAAACAUUAAUGUCUCUCGUUUUCCCAUCCUCCUUGGUCAUGGUGCACAGCCUAAGAUGACUAACUCACCUAGACGGAGGGAGUAUCAACAUUCACAAUGUCAAAUCAAUAUUUUUACACUCAUUAUAAAAUGUAGUUCUUAUACUCAUUGUAAUCAAUAUUGUAGAUAUUGAUAUUUUAGUAUAAAUUUGGUCAUGGGAUUUCAUUGAUGUAUGUCAAAGCGUGGAGGAAGCGGAGCUUAGGGCUUGCAUUGCCGGUCUCUACAUAGGUAUUUCUCUUCAUAAUCAUGUAACUUUAGAGACUGAUUGCUCUUUUGUGGUAGCAUCUCUUGCAUCGGGGGACUAUGACAGGUCUGCUAUGCGUGACCUGAAGAUGAAAGCGUUGAGCAUCUCGAAGUUGAUCAACAAUCUUCAAUUGUCAAAGAUUAGCCAUUCGGCCAAUAAGGUGGCACACUUAAUUGCUAAGUAUAGCUUUGACAAUAGAUUAGAUGGUAUUCUUGUAAAUAACAUACCGCCCUGUGUGGUGAAUAUUGUAUCGAAUGAGUGUACUGGUGUGGCUAGUUAAUUAAUAUAAGGUGGUGUUCAAAAAAAAGUAUAAAUUUGGUUAAACACUUUGCAAACGGUUGACGGGAGUAAAAAGGACCAGAGGGAGUAUCAUGCAUGCGGAGUAGGCAAAAAAAUUGCUCAUUAAUAGCCGGUCGAAGUCUCAAAGGGCGCGAGGGAGGCGAAGGUCGUGGGAGGCGCGACGGUUGACGGAAUUAAGUGAAGUUACAUCCACGCGCCGGCAUGGCGUGCGAACAGGUAGAAGCUAUAACGUCAGGCCUACGAUAUGGGUCUAGUAGAUAUGACAUCUAGUGGGUCCCGCAUAGCUCUCGAGAACUCUUUGGGGGCUUGCAGCCAUUUAUCCACCGGGCAAGCCAGCAACCCCACGCCAUUCGCAUGCCCUACUCGUCCCCGUCUUAUACCUCAUAGCAUUUCACUCCCAGUCAUCCCGUCCUUUCACAUUAGUUCGCUCCCAGUUUUUGCAGGGUACAACAGUUCAACUUCUCCUAACCCUCCUCCAAAAUCCAUGGCCUUCCAAAUCUCCAUGGUCGCCGCUGAGUACCAGGUUAGAGCCAUCACUGGCGAUCGGUUCAUUGUCAUCUACACACGUGGAUCCACGACGGUGAAAGCAUGGCUUGCUCGCUUCCUACGCAUGUUCAACAGUUCAACGGAUGAGUGGGUCGCUGGGCUAGAUGUUGAGUACACCACAGUCCUGGGACGAGAGAAGGAUCUAAAGGACGAAGAGAGGAAGAAGCCCGCCAUGAUCCAGGUUUGCGUACAUAAUGUUUGCUUGGUCUACCACAUAUGCCAUGCCGGCGUUGAGUGCCAGGAUUUUAAGAACUUCCUCAUGGAAAAAAGAGUAAAAUUCGUUACUGUAGGCUUUAAGAACGACAGGGAUGUCCUGCGUCGGAUAGGUCUCGUUGUAGGCCAGCCCUUCGAUCUCCAGAAGGCAAGCCUGGUGUCCUCCUCUCAACCUUCAAUGCUGACCCUGGCAGCAGCCAUGAUUGAUCCUUCGUACACUAAACUGAAGAAACCUCAUCACGAGUUUCAUCAUGCAUGGGAGUCGAAGACAUUAGAUGAAGAUCACAUCCUGUACGCAGCAAUGGAAGCCUACCUUUGUUUCAAUAUCUACAAGGGUUGGAUGAAGAAGCAGAGCCCAAUGUCCCAUUCAAGCAAAGAAGCGUCGGCAAAGAGGAAGAGGGACGAGGACGAAGUCGAGGACGUGGACUCGGACUCCGAGUAGGUGGCAGUGUCGUCGCUCAUGCUGGUUCUACUGCAGUGUCAAGCGGACUAGUUGCUUAGUUUAUUUUCAAGGGUGUGUUGUGCUAAGGCCCCAGCAGAACUAUGUUUAUGUUCUUUCUUGUUAUUUGAACUCUUUAGUACGUACAGUAGUACUAGUACUAUGUCUUACUACUGUUCUUCUUGUAGUUGGUACUACUGCUCGUAUCUUCGUGUUCCUACUAUACUUAAUACGUUCGUACUAGUAGUAUAAUUUGGGUCAGUCGAUUUGUGAAAGAAGUUCGACGGAGCGAAGGAAGAAGACGGCAGAAGAGGUGGAAGAAGCCCUUCUAGCCAUCCAUGUUGCAUCAAACGGCUCACAUGAGUCAACUGACCCAAAUUGCUUCUUCAGAUUGCAAGAUCCACGUGGCAUUCAAGGUCUCGAAGGUAGAUUCCACGUUCGCACCCGGUUUGCGGGCUCGACGCGCGCGCGACCGACUUCCGCCGCGACAGCCACCAUGCGCGCCUCCUCUGCGUGGGCGGAGAUGACAAUGACACGCUAGUUCCUCCUCGCCGGCGUGCUGGAGCACGCGCUCGUCCUCCUCUUCGUAUGCUGCGUGCAUAGACGCGGCUCCACUAGUUGCUCGCAUGCUUGGCAGCACGGCGGCAUGGCGAGGAGGGACUGCAGACGACGUGAGCGGGCGAGCCUUCGGCUUCAUGGCACAGGGAUGGCGGUGACACGGCGGUGAUGGGCGAGAAAUUGUUGGUCGGAGCAGGCGGGCGCCGGCAUGCACAACGGCAGCGGUGGCAUAUUGAUGAGUGCACGUGUGGGAGCUUACUUUAGUUUUAUAUAAGGUUGGUCAAACUUAAAAGAAAAUUGUACUAGUACACGUAAACAUUAGACUUAGGCAGCGAUUUUAUUAGUUUUUUUUAAGUUAGUACCACAACCACGAUACGGAAUCCUGUGCAAGCGCGUGAACCGCGGCCGCGCGGUCGAUCGAACGGUGCAUCACCGUGUCGUGCUCAAAGGACAUCCACCAAACCUUUUUGUGUAUGUGAAAACAAUCUUCGAAUAUUACUCAAGUUUUUUUCCUGGGAAAGUUCUUGACGCUGCAAUAUUUCCAUAUAUUUGAAUUUAGCUCCAGUUCGUGUUUAUUUGGAUUGGACGUUUUAGGUGCGCCCUAGUUUUUUUUAAUACUUAUUUUGUGUGUGUGACUGAGAGAGAACGUGUGUAUGUGUCCAUAUGUGUGUUGUGGCGGAAGGGCAAUGUGGAGACGAUGUGCGUGUGAUACAGACAUAGAGAGGUGUGAAUGUGCAAAUGAUCAUGCAUGAGUGAGACAUAGACAGAUGGCGAUACGUUGUGUAUACAUGAGAGAACGGUCUUCUAGUUUACUUGUAUGUGUGUGUAUGUGUGUGUGUGUGUGAGAGAGAGAGAGACAGAGAGAGAGAGGAGCAUCCGUAACACAACAACCAUCUCUCUCGAUUCGUCCGUCCCUCACACGAUCGCAUACAGCACAUGCAUCAAUGCGCACAUUUUGACACCACACAAUUCAUCCCCAUCCAAGGUUAUACAGCAACCACUCUCGCUUGUGCUUCUUUGCACCCCAACAUGCACAACACCUCAAUCUUCAAAGAGGGCAUCGAGCAGAUCAAAGACGGCGACCACACCGCGCUAGAGAAUGCGGGGUCAUUUGGAAGUAGGGUGAUGUGACGAUGGCUGACUGACUCCUCCCCCCACCCUCUCUCUCUCUCUUGCACAAAAUUACCAAUCCCUCUCUCCCCCGCACAAAAUUGUCAAUCCCUCAACCCAAGAGAUCCUUCCCCUCUCGUCCAUGUUUUUCCAGCUCUCUCAUCAAACAUGUUGUCUCUUCUCCUUCCACGUAUACAGAAUCCGGAUGCACGCGCAUCUCAUGUAUAUUACAUGUCUCCAUCUUUCUCAUAGACCUAACUGCUUCCUCUCUCUUUCUCUCUCUAUCUCUCUUUGUGUCUCGUUAGGUUUGUCUCCUACUCUCUCAUCCACAUACAUACAAUCUUUCCCGCCCUAUCUGCUCCAUCUUCAAAAGCUCUCUCUGCACAUUUCAUUCACACAUUGGGAUAUGUCAAAAUGUUGCUUCUAUAAUGGCUGAUGUAGAGUUAUGGUUGUUUUUGUUGCAUCCUACAAAGUAAUAACUAUGAAAUGCAUUUAGAUUCUCAUUUGACUGCGAUUAUGUGAGUUUGAGCAUGUUGUGAAGUACUAUAGACCUUGUAUACAUCUUGGGAUUCGACAAUGAUUGUAACUAUUGAAUUGUAUAGACCAUUACAUUCGAAGUCAAUAGCCUAAUAUAUUUAUUUCACAAUUUCAACAAAUGAUUAGUUCACUACAAACUAACAAAACAAAUGUGUACUCCCUCCAUUUUUAUUUAAGUCCGUGUAUUAGCAUUGGUCAAAGUCAAGUUUUGUAAACUCUUAGAAAGCUUAUAACAAAAAAUAUUAACAUAUACAAUAACAAAUAAAUACCAUUAGAUUCAUUAUUGAAUGUACUUUCACAUCAUACAUAUUUGUUAUGGUGAAUGUUUAUAUUUUUCUAUAAACUUGGUCAAACUUUAGGAAGUUUGACUUCGGUCAAACCUAUUAUGCAGAGUUUACUACUACUACUCGCUAGUUGCUUAGCCGAAUCACUCAACACGCCACACGGGGAGUCCAGUGUCACAAAAUUUUGAGGUCGGCGGGAAAAUCUCCCGCGACCCUGAUUCAAGCAGUGGGAAGUUACCAUCAUAGCCUUCGGAACAGGCCUACGGAUGACGCUUGGUAGGGGGCUGUUUUUGUAACUUCAGGUUCACCCUACCCAGCCAACCCCAAUCCGGCACCAGAGUAGUACACUUGAAUACUCCCCAUUUUCUAUCCCCACCACAAAAUAGACUUCUCCCCGGCACCGUAGCCUUCGUGCUCCUCCCCUUUACAUCGGUGCACUCGUCCACCGCAGUGCAUCUGCCUCAUCGACGACCUCGUACGCCGCACUGGAGCUAGUCCACCGUCGUCGUCGUACACGGAGCCUCUUCCCCGACAUCGUCUUCCACGGUCUCGGAUCUGCUUCCCGGAAGCCAACGCCAAGUGCAGAAGUACCACUGUCGUGGACAAUGAACUGGCUCCCGUUGCCGACCAUGACUCACAGAGGCCGCCGCGACCAUCAUUCUCCUCCUCCAUUGGUAAUGUGUGUAUUGAAUCACUUAGCAGUACAUGUGCAGUUCCAAUUUUGUUCAUACCUACCCUUCAAAUUUCCUGGGUGCUAUCGUUCCCGUAAAAGUAAUUGGUUAUAGCCUCCAUUGUCCAACAGAAUAUCAGCUUGUAAUUGUGCAUCGCUCCUGUAUCACGCUGUGCUUGGGUAGGUUUUUCAUCUGCAUCCAAUAGUGUGGCAAAUGAUGGAAAGGUUUUUAGAACUAGCAAGAUACCUAUGCGUUGCACGCAUCAAAAUGCAUUUGUAUGAGUAGUUUAUCUUAUGGGAGAAAAGGAUGAAUGAGAGAAGGCCUUAUUUUCAAAUCUGGAGAGGGGUAUGGGUAUCUUUUUGCAAAAUUCCCAUUUGUUUCCUUCCUAUCUGUCAAAUAUAAAUCGGACGGCCUAUAUUGCAAGAAAAAAAAGUAUAGAGAAAAAAAAGUAGACAGUAAAGGAAGUAGAGAUAAAUAUUAAAUAUUAAAUAUUAAAUAAAUAUAACAGUAGAGAAGAGAGUAGAGAUAGCAGAGACAUCGGGAAAGGAUCGCGUGCGUGCGAGAAAAAGCGGUCGGGCGUGCGCUAGUUUUGGCGCGCGGCGUCCGGCGCGCUUUAUAUAAUCCAACGCCCUCCCACCGCUAUGUGCCUUGCCACCGCUCUCUUCCCGCUCUGUGCCUCUCCACCGCUCUCUCCUCGCUCUUUUUCGCCUCGCCGCCGCCACGCCACCAUGCCGCCGCGUCGCCGGGAAACUUGGGGAUACCGCGGCGUCCACGCGCGCCCCUCCGGCGGCUUCUCCACCGAGAUCCGGUCCCGCGGGAUGCGCCUUAGCCUCGGCAAUUUCGACACUGCCAACGAGGCCGCCCGCGCAUACGACGCGGCGGCGUGGCGCCUCCGGUGGCCUUGUAGAACAUUGAACUUCCCCAACGUGCCAGCACGGGAGCAUGCGCAGGAGCUCGUGCCUCUGCCGCGGCUUAGCACCGACGAGGAUCAUCGCGAUAACUGGAGGCGGGAGCAUCGCCUCGGCAUUUCCGAGAUGGACGAGGAAGCCAAGGCGCUGUGGCGGCAAUAUUUCCCGCAUGACAUCAUCAACGAGCGCGAGUUCUACACGCAAAGGAGGGCGAAGAGGGAUAAGAGGAGGGCCGAGCGAGCCGCCUAUCACGAGGACAAGUGUAGGCAAAAAGCAGAUGCUUAAUUCAACAUGAGGCUAAGAGCAGCAUCGCCCUGGGAAUCCGACGAUGAUCGGUAUCUUCACGCCUACAGUCAGACGUCGGAGGAGGACAUCACCGACGAGGAGUCGGACGACGAGGAGUAGUUGAAUUAUCUUUUUAUCUAUCUAUGCUGAGAACUAUCCUCUACUCUCUAGUAUCUACUUCUCGAUCUCAGCACUGUAAAUGCUUUUUUAAAGCGCCACGCGUUGCGAUUCUUUUGGAGAUGCUCUAACAUGGCAGACGAGUGCUUUAAUGUUGCCCACAAGAUGCGUGAGUAUUAAUAGUAGUAUAUUUUUCUUGCCAUGUUGAGAUUUUACAACCACAAGUGCGAACAUGCAGAGGAGCAAUGAAGACCAAACACGGGAUAUUCGGGACAUCUUCAAGGAGCGUGGCAAGUUAAAGAGGAGCUGCACCGAACCUGUAAAACGAGCUUUGGUAAGUAACACCCUUUCAAUUACUUUCGUUUAGCAUCAUGUUCUUCGAUGUGUAUAUGUUGUAGUUUCUGUUUCUCUUAAGCGUGGUGUUCUUCGAUGUGUAAUAAGAAGAGUCUUAAUCGUCCUAAUGCUUUUGUUUUUAGCUUGAUGUAGGAAGUGGGUGUUCUCACCUUGUAGUAUGUUUUUAUAUUUCUUUUCCUUUUGAAUUCACUUCUCCGAGUUCUGUUUAUCUGGCUUCUACUAAAUGGAUUUAGGUUGCUCUGAGUAUUGAUCUAAAAAAGAAGUAACUUCAUGUCAGGAUGCAGUUCCUGCGAGGAGGGAAGUAUGGUCAACCUCGAGAUCAUGUUUCCAAAAUGAGGCUGGAUUACACACAAGGUGCCAGUUCCCUAAUGAUGCUGGAUUAGACACAAGGUGCAAAUUUCUAGAUGGUGCUGGAUUACACACAAGCCAGGUGGAGUCGUCAGCUGUUCGUGUCCUCGUGGCAUUAGUAAAGGCUGAAAGAAAGCAUGCAGCAGCCCUUGAGAAUGUAGCUGAGUUCCUGAAGAAGCGAAAAGAGCAAUCAGAUGCUCUCUUCACCCAAGCCAAAGAAGAGAUGGAAGAAGCCAGAAAUAAGCUAGCAGAGGCAGAGCGGGCUAGGCGUCUCCUGCUAUCUAAAACUGUUGUCAAUACAAAAUUUCCUUCAUAAUAGCUAGGUUCAAAUGUUUAUCCAGUCAGCAUGCCUAUUGUGAUGUCUGUGCAUUUACUGAGGUGGCACAAAACGUUUUUUUGGGUCAUGUAAUAACAGCAAUUACUUUCCAAACAAUAACAGACGAAGCAUUGGACAUGGUAUAGUUCACGCGCAAGCCCGACAUUCCAAGUUCAACUUCCACAUCAAACUCAUGUUCACAGAUAUCUGCACAUUCAUACAUAAUGUCCACAACCAUGAUUCACUUCAAAGCCAAAAAAAUGUGAGGAGAGUUAUAAAUAAAGAAAAACCUCUACUAGUUCCUGCUACCAGUGCAAGCACAACAAGUCAAGACCAUGCGUAAAUUAAUUAUAUUUUAGUCAUUUUUUGUGUUCUAAAAUGCCUGUCGGGUCGCGGAAGGACGUGUUGCCGGCACACGCGCGGAUUCAAUGAAGGCAGGCAGGGCAGCCUUAAGCUGGUUGCACGUGGCGAGGAGGCGCGCUCAGCCGGGCCUACGGCGAGUGUGGCCCUCUUGGCCGGCGCGCCGGUUCAAUGCCUGCGCUAUGAGAGGUCACAUCCGUGUCGGAGCAAUCACUCCCUCCAGUCCUUUUUUGUUUCGGUAUAACAAAACCUCGUCUUCCAUUCACAUUUUACAAGUAAAAUUCGUGGACAAACUUUGACCCAAAGUACGAUGGGGACUAGUAAACCAGAAUGGAGGUAGUAGUUUUUUUUAAUCGAGUAAGGGUUUCCCCUUCCAAUUUUCAUUAUUGAAAACCAGCAUCUAAAUCUAAACCAUAGUAUUUGCCUAGAACUACCAGGUUUAACAUCUCACAACAUAAACCCAUACAACCAUACGCCAAGGAGCUACGUAGUACUACGAAUUCCAUUUUUGCUCCAUACCAAUCGUUCUAAAAACUACUUACUACUUAUAACGUGCCAUUGAAAAUCGGAACUCUUAACCCCGCUAAAAAACGAUAUUUUAAACGUGGCUACUCGAUCUGUGGCAACUGGCGAGCCACCACGCUCCAAGUCGUUCACCCGUGGUCCCGACCAUCAACUCCUACGAAUCAAAUUAUCACGCGAGCUGACUAUUCCUACAAAGGUGCUCCACCACGUACCCGGUACCCGCGAAUGCAGCAAUCAUGCACCUAGGGUUUUAGGCUUUAUUUGUUAAUGUCGCCUUUACGUAACACUCAUGUGUGCGAGACAACGAGAGGCCGACUGCGUGUGUGCGCCUCUUCUCUUCGUAUAUGUACUCCACUGUUUGUAUGGUGUCCAAAAAAUUAUAAUAACUACUAGCAAUGUGCCAAGGUGUUGCCACACGAUCAAAGUAGAUUAAUACAUAUUCACCGAUUUGAUAGAAAAAAGUCUAGUUUUGAAAUACGUAUAUAUCACUAAAAAUAUGUUAUGUUUCACUCAAAAUAUAUUCCUUUGGCGGUUUUGAUGUGAUAAGGGAGGAAUGUUGUUGGUUUCAAGAUUCGAGAAGUGUUAUAUGUCUAAUUUCUACUCUUACUAGCAAGAUGCCCAUGCGUUGCAUGGAACAUCAAGAUCUUGUGGGAGAAAAGGAUGAACGAGGGAAGGCCUUAUCUAUAAAUAUGGUGAAGAGUGCGGGUAAAUUGCCAUAUUUUCCUUCUUAUCUGUCAGAUAUAAAUCAGACGACCUACAUUGCAGGAUGGCAGGCCCACCAUCAUCACCAACUCUAUUUUUUAUCCCUACUCUUAUAAAAAAGCAUUGUCGGUGAUGAUCGUGUGCCUGCCAUCCUGCAAUAUAGGCUGUCCGGUCUAUAUCUGGUGGAUAGGAAGGAAACUAUGGCAAUUUUGCAAAAAGAUACCCACACCCCUCUCCACAUUUGCAAAUAAGGCCUUCCCUCGUUCAUCCUUUUCCCCCACAAGAUAAACUACUCAUACAAAUGCAUCUUGAUGUUUUGUGCAACGCAUGGGCAUCUUGCUAGUUGUUGCAAAAAGCCAAUGUGUGUGUGAGAGAGAGGGAGAGUGGAGGAGGACGGAGUGCAUGUGUGACAAAGACACAAGGAGUGUGUGUGCGAUAGGUAUCAGCUUAAAAUGAGGCGAUAUUGUGUGUGUGCAUGAUCGAGAGGGUGUGUCUCGAGAAUGGAAGAAAAAGCUACAUAGAUACAAGGAGCGGGAGAGAGACAUGUAUGCGAUGGUGGAAGCACGAGUGUGCGGGUGUAUAAACCUAUCUAGAGGCUAGCUAGUCGAUAAAUGUUUGUGAGAGAAAUACGAGUCGGGGUGCGAAAGCGAGAGUUUUGUGUGUGAGAGAGAGAGACGGUAGUCGGGGUUGUCUGAUCGGUAAACAAAUGAAUAAUGUCAGUCUGGGAUGGAGACGAAAAGGAGACCGCAACAAAUGUUGUGUCUACAGGAGAGAGAGAGAAAGAGAGAGAGAGAGUAAUUUUAGUGGUAUGAGUCAUAUGUAGAGACAUAUAGGGUGUGUGAGAGAAUCCGGUGAGAGAAUCCCAUAGAGAGAAAGACAAAGUGAAAGACGAGUGGAGACUCUGUGUGUGGCAGUGAAAAAGAAAGCUUAGGUACCAAGUGAUACCAGAGAACUUAGAGACGUGAGAGAUAAUGAAAACCGUGUAAUGUAUAAUGAUAGGGAGAGUGUGACACUUCUCAAGGGAGACGUCGAGAGACCAUGUUUGCGAGGAUAGGAGAAACAUGAAGUGAGCGUGCGGGUGAGCUGGAGAAAAGAGAGUGAUAGCUACCUAAAGGAGCAUGCAUGCGAGAGAGAUGGGCGUGAAAGGAGUAAACAAAAAAAGGAUUCAAAUAUUUGAAUUCUAGAUGAUGAUACAUGUAAUCCAUACUCGGACCAAAAUUGAUCUAUCAAACAUGCAUACUCAUAUGAAUUCACGCACAUCUAUGUUAUUUAAUAUGUAGAUUACUGAUCCAUACAUUUUAGUAGAACAUAAUUUGGUUAAAUUUUUUCGAAUUCAACCUUAAGAUUUGUAACUCAUAUUAUACAUAUAAAGGAGCAGAAUUCUUUGUUGUGCCUUUGAAAGUAUAUAUAAAAAAAUGAUGAAUAUAGAAUGUAAUACCAAUUGAAAAUGGAUCCCGCCAGAAAAAAUAGAAUACAAAGGGGAUUCGAAUUGAGUAGGCACGGUAAACGUGCACUCUGCAAAAUUUGAACGAAGCGGGGAAAGUCGCAGUAACCGCCCGAAACCAAAAUCUGCGAGAUGGAAAUUACUAUUGCCUAUCCCUGCCACGCAAAGCCUAUCUGCUGGAUUUCUAUAGGUUUCGAUAGGGGUAGGUUUGUAAUUUCACCUAAACAUGACAUAACCGCCUCUCACCCGGAUUCAUACACGGUGGGCGCCAAAACACAGUGUGUCCUCGGCCGAAAUCGACUCCCUCCCUGAUUCAUAUUCAUACACGGUGGGCGCCAAAAACAAACUCUCGUCGGCAAAUAUUUGGUGUAUGCGAGAUUACCAUCCUAUCACCAACCGACUAAUGUUGUUGUGAUGUAGUAGAAAUUUGAAACAUGGGCUAAGUUUGUAAAUUUCCUCGCAUUUGAGACAAUCGCACCCUGAAUACAUGGUUCCCUCCUUCCUCUCUACCUCCCUUUUCCCCAUUCGUACUCCGUGGGCGCCAAAACACCCUCUCCACCCCACCCUCCUCAAUCCGCCGCCGUCCGCCACCCCAUCCACCGCCGUCCUCCUCCACCAUGUCGGAGCUGAUACCCCGACGCCGUCGUCCAUUACAAGAGAUCGACCUCUCUCAUCCACGCCUUCGGACCGGGAUCCUUGCAUCCCGUCCUCUCGCUUCAUCCCCGUCGUCGUCCACCUUGUCGGCGUCGCUCAUACGACCGUCUCGUCCAUCGCGCCUUGCCGCCACCGUCUACCCUCCUAGAUGGGAAGAAUCAGAGACGGUGGGGGCCGGUGGGGGCCGGUGGUCCGGCCGGCGGCCCGUGCGGUGUUCUGUAUGGGAAGAAUCAGAGACGAGGAAGAAGAAGGGUUAGGAGACAUAGGAUCUUCGUCCAACCGCCUGAAAUGGUCGAGAGACAGCUGGGAGUUGCAUUCUUAAUGCGCUCUGGUUCAUCAUGUGUGGGAACUGCGCAACCAACAUUUUAUUAUCCAAAAUCUGCUUGCUCUUCUUUACCAUGUUCCUCUUCCGUUCUUCUUUAAUAUGUACUCUCUCCGUUCCUAAAUACAAGUCUUUGUAUAGAUUCCACCAUGGACUACAUAUGGAGAAAAAUGAGUGAAUCUACACUCUAAAAUGUAUCUAGAUACAUCUGUAUGUGAUCCAUAGUGGAAAUAUCUACCAAGACUUAUAUUUUGGAACGGAGGGAGUGUGAUAGUAGUACAGUAUGUUCCUUGUACUGAAGAUGAGCAGGGACAUUUACAGUGUAGAGGUCUAUACGGUCGGUUGUGAUGGACACUUUGAGCCUCUUUGAUUCGUAGGAUCUUGUAAACAUAGGAAUAGGAUUUGUAGUGGCCUGCCCACUUGAAUCCUAUAAGAAUAGCAAGGAAAUGCGGGGAGUUGUGUCGCCUUUAAGAGUUACACUGAUAUUAACAGUACCACACCUUCACAUGAAGAGAGCUGGUAUCCGAAGCCUUUCUAGCCGUACCGGCAAUACUAGCACAUAUAUUCCAGCAAGUUCCACUUUGCUGAUUUUACUCUGAUGCUUAAGGUUUUACCAUUAUAUCUACACUAUGAUUUGUGUAGCUGCUUUGGGUCGCACUAGCAAUAGUCCACUCUUGAAGCUAAACACUGCAAUGACUUACAAAAUUGGCACCAAGGCAUUGAGUGCCAUUCUGGAUGCAAUGAAACUCGUACGCUCCCCACCUGUUGAUUCUUGUUCAGAAUAUGAUCCUAAUGACUAUUCUAACCUCGAGGAGUCAAAGGCAGAUGGCAUGUCCUGUUCACCCAUCAAGGGUGUCUGUUCUAAUUUGGCAAUGUUUUAUUGAUUGCGGGUAUCUUGCAUAUGUUGUCUUGCAUUUCUUCUACUUUGUUGCACCGCCAUCUGCUUAGUUUACUCAUCAUAUAUGUCGAGAUGCCAUGCCCAUCCGUUAUCAAUACAUAUUCCAUCUAUCAUCAUACCAUGUUUUUCCACUCAAAUGAUGUUCUUGUGCAUCAGACAUCAAAAAGGAAGAGGGUGAUUGUCGAACCUGAAGGAGCACCAGCAAAGUCCUUGAAAAACGUGGUGGUGCCGGAGAAAUCAGACAACACCCCACUUAUAUUAGUUGUACAACUAGUGACACAAAACGUAGGACCGACUCCAGCAGACUGUACCCAUACUUCACUGGCCACAGCACUAGCCCCACCACACAGGACCUGCACUCCAGCAAAAGCUAUACCGAUUUCAUUUGCCAUAGCACCAGCUGUACCACAGAAAAAUCCCACUCCAGCAAAAAGUACCGCAAGUCCACCGGUUGAAGACCUAUCCCAACUGCAGAGACGGCCAAUUCCUGCAGAUUGGAACCCCAUUCCAUUUAUUCCCAGUUUAAAAGAUAAUGCUUUCAAUGUUGUUAGGGAUUACGUGCAUAUAUUCCCAUCAUGGGAAGAUUAUUGUGAAGAAAAACACCAUUUUCACAUCUUCCUGCCCAACUUACGUGUAAGUGCUAUUAUUCAUGGUUAUUAUUUUCUUCUUUUCUGUUGAUUGAACACAUCAAUGAUUUACAUUACAUUGUUGUAACUAGGUGAGGGUCAAUCUGGAUAGUCAUGACGAGCAAAGUUUGCUUGUUCUUUUCAAGGAAGCAUUGCAGCAGUAUCGGUGUUACCUGAGGAAAUCACACUUUGAUGGCAAGUCUAUAAACGAAUUUCCGGUGAAGUCUCCUAUGCUAAAUUUAGAAGACAUUGAAUGGAAAAACCUUGUUAUGCACUGGUCUCAUUCCCAGGAUGAGGUACUGUCUAUGAAAUCACAUGACAAUUUGAACUUCUACUUUUCUGCAUGUGCCUUGCGGACCUUUUUUGCAGGAAAUCUGCUCGAAGAAGAAUUCCGGUUUGAAAAGAACAACAGGAUAUCGCAAAUAUGUUGACCGCUGAUUUGCUCUUGUUAGUACCUAUUGUCAUGUAUCACUAUACUUGCAUACAUACCUGGUUCAUUAUGUGACAGCAGUAUGCAUGAUAGCUUGCUUAUCAAUUGUUCGCUCCAAAUUAUCUGGUCUGUGUGAAUGGUUACAUUAGUGUAGAAUGUAUCCAAUGCCAAUGUUUUUUUAGCUCUGCAUUGUUCUUGUAAGUACAUGAUGUCCUUUAUCAGUGUACUUAUAAUGACAGGUAGUUGUUCAUGUACCAUCACUCUGCAGCUUAUUUUCCUUUGCCCUCCAUUUUCUACACAUCAGAUCUAUAUUUACUCUUACCAUAAGGUUGGUACUGAAGAAGUUUAGCUGUGCAUUUCUCUUGGCUGUACCUUUUGCCUAUAUCGCUGCACUUACAUUUAUAGCUACUUGGUUAUGUAGCAUCACUCUUUAUCUUAUCUUAAAUAUUCUCCAUUUUUUCGUAUAUUAUCACAUCUAUAUUUACUCUUAACAAAANNNNNNNNNNNNNNNNNNNNNNNNNNNNNNNNNNNNNNNNNNNNNNNNNNNNNNNNNNNNNNNNNNNNNNNNNNNNNNNNNNNNNNNNNNNNNNNNNNNNNNNNNNNNNNNNNNNNNNNNNNNNNNNNNNNNNNNNNNNNNNNNNNNNNNNNNNNNNNNNNNNNNNNNNNNNNNNNNNNNNNNNNNNNNNNNNNNNNNNNNNNNNNNNNNNNNNNNNNNNNNNNNNNNNNNNNNNNNNNNNNNNNNNNNNNNNNNNNNNNNNNNNNNNNNNNNNNNNNNNNNNNNNNNNNNNNNNNNNNNNNNNNNNNNNNNNNNNGCCUUUAUAGAGCCUAUCUUCACCAAUAAUGUAAGUUUGUCCAUCUCAAGCCUUCAAACUUUGUUGUAUAUAUUUGGUUAGGCAUGACUGCAACAGCUGCUAAUUUUUGGUGUUUGCAUCAAAUUGCAUGUUUAAAGUUUAUUAUGUAGUUCAUAAACAAAAGUUUGUCCUUUCUCAAUUUAAGUUUUCAGUUGUACAACCAAGUUCCUUCUUCAUACCAUGUAAAUUAAACUAUACAGAGCAAGUGAUCUUCUUUUGCACUGCAUGUAUGCUUCUGUUCUUCAUCCGUAAUCCAGUGAUGUGGUGAACCUACCCACUACAGCACAAUGUCAUAUUCUGCAAUGUCUUAACUAUGAACAAUGUCAUAUCAUUCUACUAUUAUUUAAACCGUCUCUCUAUUGCCAAUCUAAAAUGGGAUAAAUUGACAGUGUUGGGGAACGUUGCAGAAAAUUAAAAUUUUCCUACGGUUUCACCAAGAUCCAUCUAUGAGUUCAUCUAAGCAACGAGUCAAGGGAGAGAGUUUGCAUCUACAUACCACUUGUAGAUCGCGUGCGGAAGCUUGCAAGGUGAUGAUGUAGUCGUACUCGACGUGAUUCGAAUCACCGAUGACCAAGUGCUGAACGGACAGCACCUCCGCGUUCAACACACGUACGGGACCGGAGACGUCUCCUCCUUCUUGAUCCAGCAAGGGGAAGGAGAGGUUGAGGAAGACAGCUCCACCGGCAGCAUGACGGCGUGGUGAUGGUGGAGAGGCAGUACUCCGACAGGGCUUCGCCAAGCACACAACGGAGGAGGAGAGGUGUUGGGGAGGGGAGGGCUGCGCCUUGGAGGGUGGUGCGGCUGCCCUCCCCUCACCCCUCUAUUUAUAGGGGGAAGGGAGAAGGGGGCCGGCCCCCUAGAACCCAUCUAGGGGGGGUGCGGCGGCCAAGGGGAGAGGGGAGAGGGUGGCUUGCCCCCCAAGCCAAGGGGGCCGCCCCCUCUAGGGUUCCCCCUCAACCCUAGGCGCAUGGGCCCAAGGGAGGGGGGUGCGGCCAGCCCACCAGGGGCUGGCUCCCUGCCCCACGCAGCCCAUGUGGCCCCCCGGGAAGGGUGGCCCUUCCCGGUGGACCCCCGGAACCCUUCCGGUGGCCCCGGUACAAUACCGGUAUGACCCCGAAACUUCCCGGUGUCCGUUUGACAACUUCCCAUAUAUAAAUCUUUACCUCCGGACCCUUCCGGAUCUCCUCGUGACGUCCAGGAUCCCAUCCGGGACUCCGAACAACAUUCGGUAGUCACAUACUAGUCUUCCUAAUAACCCUAGCGUCACCGAACCUUAAGUGUGUAGACCCUACGGGUUCGGGAGACAUGCAGACAUGACCGAGACGCUCUCAGUCAAUAACCAACAGCGGGAUCUGGAUACCCAUGAUGGCUCCCACAUGCUCAUCGAUGUUGUCAUCGGAUGAACCACGAUGUCGAGGAUUCGAUCAAACCCUGUAUGCAAUUCCCUUUGUCAAUCGGUACGUUACUUGCCCGAGACUCGAUCGUCGGUAUCCCAAUACCUUGUUCAGUCUCGUUACCGGCAAGUCACUUUACUCGUACCGUAAUGCAUGAUCCCGUGUCCAACACCUUGGUCACAUUGAGCUCAUUAUGAUGAUGCAUUACCGAGUGGGCCCAGAGAUACCUCUCCGUCAUACAGAGUGACAAAUCCCAGUCUCGAUCCGUGUCAACCCAACAGAUACUUUCGGAGAUACCUGUAAUGCACCUUUAUAGUCACCCAGUUACGUUGUGACGUUUCAUACACCCAAGGCACUCUUACGGUAUCUGGGAGUUACACGAUCUCAUGGUCGAAGGAAGAGAUACUUGACACUGGCAAAGCUCUAGCAAAACGAACUACACGAUCUUUUAUGCUAUGCUUAGGAUUGGGUCUUGUCCAUCACAUCAUUCUCCUAAUGAUGUGAUCCCGUUAUCAACGACAUCCAAUGUCCAUAGUCAGGAAACCAUGACUAUCUGUUGAUCACAACGAGCUAGUCAACUAGAGGCUCACCAGGGACAUAUUGUGGUCUAAGUAUUCACACGUGUAUUACGAUUUCCGGAUAAUACAGUUAUAGCAUGAAUAAAAGACAUUUAUCAUGAACAUUGAAAUAUAAUAAUACUUUUAUUAUUGCCUCUAGGGCAUAUUUCCAACAGUCUCCCACUUGCACUAGAGUCACCAAUCUAGUUACAUUGUGAUGAAUCGAACACCCAUAGAGUUCUGGUGUUGAUCAUGUUUUGCACGCGAGAGAGGUUUAGUCAGCGGAUCUGCGACAUUCAGAUCCGUGUGCACUUUGCAAAUCUCUAUGUCUCCAUCUUGAACAUUUUCACGGAUGGAGUUGAAACGACGCUUGAUGUGCCUGGUCUUCUUGUGAAACCUGGGCUCCUUGGCGAGGGCAAUAGCUCCAGUGUUGUCACAGAAGAGUUUGAUCGGCCCCGACGCAUUGGGUAUGACUCCUAGGUCGGUGAUGAACUCCUUCACCCAAAUCGCUUCAUGCGCUGCCUCCGAGGCUGCCAUGUACUCCGCUUCACAUGUAGAUCCCGCCAUGACGCUCUGCUUGCAGCUGCACCAGCUUACUGCUCCACCAUUCAACAUAUACACGUAUCCGGUUUGUGACUUAGAGUCAUCCAGAUCUGAGUCGAAGCUAGCAUCGAUGUAACCCUUUACGACGAGCUCUUCGUCUCUUCCAUAAACGAGAAACAUGUCCUUCGUCCUUUUCAGGUACUUCAGGAUAUUCUUGACCGCUGUCCAGUGUUCCUUGCCGGGAUUACUUUGGUAUCUUGCUACCAAACUUACGGCAAGGUUUACAUCGGGUCCGGUACACAGCAUGGCAUACAUAAUAGAUCCUAUGGCUGAAGCAUAGGGGAUGACACUCAUCUCUUCUUUAUCUUUUGCCGUGGUCGGUGACUGAGCCGAGCUCAAUCUCACACCUUGUAACAUAGGCAAGAACCCCUUCUUGGACAGAUCCAUUUUGAACCUCUUCAAAAUCUUAUCAAGGUAUGUGCUUUGUGAAAGACCUAUGAGGCGUCUCGAUCUAUCUCUAUAGAUCUUGAUGCCUAAUAUAUAAGCAGCUUCUCCAAGGUCCUUCAUUGAAAAACACUUAUUCAAGUAGGCCUUAAUGCUGUCCAGAAAUUCUAUAUUAUUUCCCAUCAAGAGUAUGUCAUCUACAUAUAAUAUGAGAAAUGCUACAGAGCUCCCACUCACUUUCUUGUAAACGCAGGCUUCUCCAUAAGUCUGCAUAAACCCAAACGCUUUGAUCAUCUCAUCAAAGCGAAUGUUCCAACUCCGAGAUGCUUGCACCAGUCCAUAAAUGGAUCGCUGGAGCUUGCAUACUUUGUUAGCGUUCCGAGGAUCGACAAAACCUUCCGGCUGCAUCAUAUACAGCUCUUCCUUAAGAUGUCCGUUAAGGAAUGCCGUUUUGACGUCCAUUUGCCAUAUCUCAUAAUCAUAGUAUGCGGCAAUUGCUAACAUGAUUCGGACGGACUUCAGCUUCGCUACGGGAGAGAAAGUCUCGUCGUAGUCAAUCCCUUGAACUUGUCGAUAACCCUUAGCGACAAGUCGAGCCUUAUAGAUUGUAACAUUACCAUCCGCGUCCGUCUUCUUCUUAAAGAUCCAUUUGUUUUCUAUCGCUCGCCGAUCAUCGGGCAAGUCUGUCAAAGUCCAUACUUUGUUUUCAUACAUGGAUUCUAUCUCGGAUUUCAUGGCUUCAAGCCAUUUGUUGGAGUCCGGGCCCGCCAUCGCUUCUUCAUAGUUCGAAGGUUCAUUGUUGUCUAACAACAUGAUUUCCAGGACAGGGUUGCUGUACCACUCUGGUGCGGAACGUGUCCUAGUGGACCUACGAAGUUCAGCAGUAACUUGAUCCGAAGUACCUUGAUCAUCAUCAUUGUUUUCCUCUUCAGUUGGUGUGGGCAUCACAGGAACGGUUUCCUGCGCUGUGCCACUUUCCCGCUCAACAGGUAGUACUUCAUCGAGUUCUACUUUCCUCCCACUUAAUUCUUUCGAGAGAAACUCUUUUUCCAGAAAGCAUCCGUUCUUGGCAACAAAGAUCUUGCCUUCGGAUCUUAAGUAGAAGGUAUACCCGACAGUUUCCUUAGGGUAUCCUAUGAAUACGCAUUUUUCCGACUUGGGUUCGAGCUUUUCAGGUUGAAGUUUCUUGACAUAAGCAUCGCAUCCCCAAACUUUUAGAAACGACAGCUUAGGUUUCUUUCCAAACCAUAAUUCAUACGGUGUCGUCUCAACGGAUUUCGACGGUUCCCUAUUUAAAGUGAAUGUAGCUGUCUCUAGAGCGUAUCCCCAAAAUGAUAGCGGUAAAUCGGUAAGAGACAUCAUAGACCGCACCAUAUCCAAUAGGGUGCGAUUACGACGUUCGGACACACCGUUUCACUGAGGUGUUCCAGGCGGCGUGAGCUGUGAAACGAUUCCACAUUUCCUUAAGUGUGUACCAAAUUCGUGACUUAAGUAUUCUCCUCCACGAUCUGAUCGUAAGAAUUUUAUCUUUCGGUCACGUUGAUUCUCUACCUCAUUCUGAAAUUCCUUGAACUUUUCAAAGGUCUCAGACUUGUGUUUCAUUAAGUAGACAUACCCAUAUCUACUCAAGUCAUCUGUGAGAGUGAGAACAUAACGAUAUCCUCCGCGAGCCUCAACGCUCAUUGGACCGCACACAUCGGUAUGUAUGAUUUCCAAUAAGUUGGUUGCUCGCUCCAUUGUUCCGGAGAACGGAGUCUUGGUCAUUUUGCCCAAAAGGCAUGGUUCGCACGUGUCAAACGAUUCAUAAUCAAGAGACUCUAAAAGUCCAUCGGCAUGGAGCUUCUUCAUGCGCUUGACACCAAUGUGACCAAGGCGGCAGUGCCACAAGUAUGUGGGACUAUCGUUAUCAACUUUAAAUCUUUUGGCAUCUACACUAUGAACAUGUGUAAUAUUACGCUCGAGAUUCAUUAAGAAUAAACCAUUGACCAUCGGAGCAUGACCAUAAAACAUAUCUCUCAUAUAAAUCGAACAACCAUUAUUCUCAGACUUAAAUGAGUAGCCAUCUCGUAUUAAACGAGAUCCAGAUACAAUGUUCAUGCUCAAACUUGGCACUAAAUAACAAUUAUUAAGGUUCAAAACUAAUCCCGUAGGUAAAUGUAGAGGCAGCGUGCCGACGGCGAUCACAUCGACUCUGGAACCAUUCCCGACGCGCAUCAUCACCUCGUCCUUCGUCAGUCUCCGUUUAUUCCGCAGCUCCUUUGGUGUUGCCAGCCUUCUUAUCCGCUAAGUAUUUGGGGCAGUUCCGCUUCCAGUGACCCUUCCCCUUGCAAUAAAAGCACUCACUCUCAGGCUUGGGUCCAUUCUUUGACUUCUUCCCGGUAACUGGCUUACCAGGCGCGGCAACAUCUUUGCCGUCCUUCUUGAAGUUCUUCUUACCCUUGCCCUUCUUGAACUUAGUGGUCUUAUUGACCAUCAACACUUGAUGUUCUUUCUUGAUUUCAGCCUCUGCUGACUUCAGCAUCGAGAACACUUCAGGAAUGGUCUUUUCCAUCCCCUGCAUGUUGUAGUUCAUCACAAAGCUCUUGUAGCUUGGUGGGAGCGACUGGAGGAUUCUGUCAAUGAAUGCCUCAUCUGGGAGGUUAAUGUUCAGCUGGGUCAUACGGUUGUGCAACCCAGACAUCUUCAGGAUGUGCUCACUGACAGAACUGUUUUCCUCCAUCUUACAACUGUAGAACUUGUCGGAGACAUCAUAUCUCUCGACCCGGGCAUGAGCUUGAAAAACUAGUUUCAGCUCUUCGAACAUCUCAUAUGCUCUGUGGUGCUCAAAACGCUUUUGGAGCCCCGGUUCUAAGCUGUAAAGCAUGCCGCACUGAACGAGGGAGUAAUCAUCAGCACGAGACUGCCAAGCAUUCAUAAUGUCUUGGUUCUCUGGGACGGGAGCGUCACCUAGCGGUCCUUCUAGGACAUAUUGUUUCCUGGCAGCUAUGAGGAUGAUCCUCAGGUUCCGGACCCAGUCCUUAUAGUUGCUGCCAUCAUCUUUCAGCUUGGUUUUCUCUAGGAACGCGUUCAUGUUGACAUUAGCGUUGGCCAUUGAUCUACAAGACAUAUUUGCAAAGGUUUUAGACUAAGUUCAUGAUAAUAAAGUUCUAAUCAAAUUAUGAACUCCCACUUAGAUUAGACAUCCCUCUAGUCAUCUAAGUGUUACACGAUCCGAGUCGACUAGCCCGUGUCCGAUCAUCACGUGAGACGGACUAGUCAUCGUCGGUGAACAUUCUCAUGUUGAUCGUAUCUUCCAUACGACUCGUGUUCGACCUUUCGGUCUCCGUGUUCCGAGGCCAUGUCUGCACAUGCUAGGCUCGUCAAGUUAACCCUAAGUGUUUUCGCUGUGUAAAACUGUCUUACACCCGUUGUAUGUGAACGUAAGAAUCCAUCAAACCCGAUCAUCACGUGGUGCUUAGAAGCGACGAACUGUAGCAACGGUGCACAGUUAGGGGAGAACACUUCUUGAAAUUUUUUGUAAGGGAUCAUCUUAUUUACUACCGUCGUCCUAAGUAAACAAGAUGCAUAAACAUAAUAAACAUCACAUGCAAUUAUAUAGUUGUGACAUGAUAUGGCCAAUAUCAUAUAGCUCCAUUGAUCAUCAUCUUCGGGGCUCCAUGAUCAUCUUGUCACCGGCUUGACACCAUGAUCUCCAUCAUCAUGAUCUCCAUCAUCGUGUCUUCAUGAAGUUGUCACGCCAACGACUACUUCUACUUCUAUGACUAACGUUUAGCAAUAAAGUAAAGUAGUUUACAUGGCGUUAUUCAAUGACACGCUGGUCAUACAAAAAAUAAAGACAACUCCUAUGGCUCCUGCCGGUUGUCAUACUCAUCGACAUGCAAGUCGUGAAUCCUAUUACAAAGAACAUGAUCUCAUACAUCACAAUUCAUCAUUCAUCACAACUUCUGGCCAUAUCACAUCACAUGAUCAAUCGCUGCAAAAACAAGUUAGACGUCCUCUAAUUGUUGUUGCAUCUUUUACGUGGCUGCAAUUGGGUUCUAGCAAGAACGUUUUCUUACCUACGAAUCACCACAACGUGAUUUUGUCAACUUCUAUUUACCCUUCAUAAGGGCCCUGUUCAUCGAUUCCGCUCCAACUAAAGUGGGAGAGACAGACACCCGCCAGCCACCUUAUGCAACUAGUGCAUUUCAGUCGGUGGAACCGGUCUCACGUAAGCGUACGUGUAAGGUUGGUCCGGGCCGCUUCAUCCCACAAUACCGUUGAGCAAGAAAAGACUAGUAGAGGCAAGUAAGAUGACAAAAUCCACGCCCACAACAAAAUUGUGUUCUACUCGUGCAAAGAGAACUACGCAUAGACCUAGCUCAUGAUGCCACUGUUGGGGAACGUUGCAGAAAAUUAAAAAAUUUCCUAUGGUUUCACCAAGAUCCAUCUAUGAGUUCAUCUAAGCAACGAGUCAAGGGAGAGAGUUUGCAUCUACAUACCACUUGUAGAUCGCGUGCGGAAGCUUGCAAGGUGAUGAUGUAGUCGUACUCGACGUGAUUCGAAUCACCGAUGACCAAGUGCUGAACGGACAGCACCUCCGCGUUCAACACACGUACGGGACGGGAGACGUCUCCUCCUUCUUGAUCCAGCAAGGGGAAGGAGAGGUUGAGGAAGACAGCUCCACCGGCAGCACGAUGGCGUGGUGAUGGUGGAGAGGCAGUACUCCGACAGGGCUUCGCCAAGCACACAACGGAGGAGGAGAGGUGUUGGGGAGGGGAGGGCUGCGCCUUGGAGGGUGGUGCGGCUGCCCUCCCCUCACCCCUCUAUUUAUAGGGGGAAGGGAGAAGGGGUCCGGCCCCCUAGAACCCAUCUAGGGGGGGUGCGGCGGCAAAGGGGAGAGGGGAGAGGGUGGCUUGCCCCCCAAGCCAAGGGGGCCGCCCCCUCUAGGGUUCCCCCUCAACCCUAGGCGCAUGGGCCCAAGGGAGGGGGGUGCGGCCAGCCCACCAGGGGCUGGCUCCCUGCCCCACGCAGCCCAUGUGGCCCCCCGGGAGGGGUGGCCCUUCCCGGUGGACCCCCGGAACCCUUCCGGUGGCCCCGGUACAAUACCGGUAUGACCCCGAAACUUCCCGGUGUCCGUUUGACAACUUCCCAUAUAUAAAUCUUUACCUCCGGACCCUUCCGGAUCUCCUCGUGACGUCCAGGAUCCCAUCCGGGACUCCGAACAACAUUCGGUAGUCACAUACUAGUCUUCCUAAUAACCCUAGCGUCACCGAACCUUAAGUGUGUAGACCCUACGGGUUCGGGAGACAUGCAGACAUGACCGAGACGCUCUCGGUCAAUAACCAACAGCGGGAUCUGGAUACCCAUGAUGGCUCCCACAUGCUCCUCGAUGUUGUCAUCGGAUGAACCACGAUGUCGAGGAUUCGAUCAAACCCUGUAUGCAAUUCCCUUUGUCAAUCGGUACGUUACUUGCCCGAGACUCGAUCGUCGGUAUCCCAAUACCUUGUUCAGUCUCGUUACCGGCAAGUCACUUUACUCGUACCGUAAUGCAUGAUCCCGUGUCCAACACCUUGGUCACAUUGAGCUCAUUAUGAUGAUGCAUUACCGAGUGGGCCCAGAGAUACCUCUCCGUCAUACGGAGUGACAAAUCCCAGUCUCGAUCCGUGUCAACCCAACAGAUACUUUCGGAGAUACCUGUAAUGCACCUUUAUAGUCACCCAGUUACGUUGUGACGUUUGAUACACCCAAGGCACUCUUACGGUAUCCGGGAGUUACACGAUCUCAUGGUCGAAGGAAGAGAUACUUGACACUGGCAAAGCUCUAGCAAAACGAACUACACGAUCUUUUAUGCUAUGCUUAGGAUUGGGUCUUGUCCAUCACAUCAUUCUCCUAAUGAUGUGAUCCCGUUAUCAACGACAUCCAAUGUCCAUAGUCAGGAAACCAUGACUAUCUGUUGAUCACAACGAGCUAGUCAACUAGAGGCUCACCAGGGACAUAUUGUGGUCUAAGUAUUCACACGUGUAUUACGAUUUCCCGAUAAUACAGUUAUAGCAUGAAUAAAAGACAUUUAUCAUGAACAUUGAAAUAUAAUAAUACUUUUAUUAUUGCCUCUAGGGCAUAUUUCCAACAGACAGCACACUAACCAUUGAUACUUAUGAGUUCUUGAUCUGUAAUCCAGUGGUGUCGUGAAGCUGCCAACUCCUUCACAAUGUCAUUUCCUGCCAUGUCUUGACCUGAACAAUACCAUAUUGUGUUAAUGCAAUUUUAAACUGUGUCACUUUAUUCGUCAGUAAGAAAUGUGAUGAAUUGUCAGCACUGAUACUUUUAUGUGCAAAACCUGUCAUAUGUCUGCUUGUUUAUCUUUCAGAGUGAGGAAGAUAUAAGUGUUGAACAAGCGCAGUCUCAUCAUCUUGAUCAGCUGCUUGCGCUGCAGCUCCCCAACAGGGCUAAUCUUUCUUGAACUCUAUUGAAGUGAUGUCGGUUUUGUAUUAUUUUGUCAGCAUGUUUAUUUGCACUGGUGGCGAUCUUUGAUGCCCAGUGUAUGUAAUCGGCUGUCUGCUUGUGCUUUAUUAUCAUAAUGGCGAACUUUGAUGCCCAGUGGAUGUAAUAUGCUGUAAUUUCUUUAUUGUAUAGUCUAGGUUUUUUAUUAUCCACGAUGAUGCAAUUAUUUUACUGUAUAUAUCCUGUCUUCGCAGUAAACCGGCCAAAUCGUAAAAUUACGGUACAUAAUCGGGCCGUCAAGCAAUCGCGAUGUAGGUUGGGCCUGAAACGUGUCGAACAGCUAACGGGCCGACAGCAGUCCGAAAUGAACCCCGGCCCAUGAUUGUGCGAAUCAAAUCACGGGCUUUUAACAGGCCAAAAUUGUCUCGGUCCUUGUUUGGCCCAAUCAGAUAUCGGCUGCGAGCAGGCCGGAUGCAAAUCGGGUCGUAGUUAGGCCCAACUAUAUGACGGGCUUUUAACAGGCCAAAAUUAAUAUAGGGCCGAAAUAUUAAAUGGGCCCUUAACAGGCCAAAACUAAUAUCAGGCCAAAUUACUAAGUGGGCCUUUAGAAAGUGGGCCCAAAAGCAUAGUGUCCAGUUGACGGGCCGAAUCUGAUAUGGGCCAUAAUUGAGCCCAAAGCCUCUUAAAGGGCCGGACCUGAUCUGGGCCGUAAUUUGGCCCAGAACGUGGUAGGCUUUUAAUGGGUCGGAUCUCAUAUGGGCCACUAUUAGGCCUGGAACAUGGCAGGCCAUUAAUGGACCGGAUCAAAUAUGGGCCGGCAUUUGGCACAAAACAUGGCAGCCAGUUAAUGGGCCGGCCUGCUAGGGUCCUCAAAAUCUUGUGGGCCAACAGCUGGGCCGGCCCAUUAAUGUCGGCAAAAUCUUGUGGGCCUUUGGCUGGGCCGGCCCAUUAUGAUCCACAAGAAUCUUGUGGGCCUUUACCUGGGCCGGCUCAUUAUGGCACACAAAAAUCUUGUGGGCCUUUACAUGGGCCGACCCAUUAUGGCCCGCAAAAUCUUGUGGGCCUUUAGCUGGGCCAGCCCAUUAUGGUCCUCAAAAUCUCGUGGGCCUUUAGCUGGGCUGGCCCAUUAUGGUCUGCAAAAUCUUGUGGGCCUUUAGUUGGGCUGGCCCAUUUAAACUUGAUGGGUCGGUCCACGUGUCAACAUAUCAUACGCGUGUCUCGCCCAUUAGAUGAGUGUCGGUGUACUAGAGUAGGGGUACCCUAGUACCCCGAACUUGUGCACGGGCGGUCGCAGCAUCCCGCGGCAAGGCUUGCCGGGUGACCGCCAAGACCCUCUGUGGUUCCCUUGAAGACCAUUCAAGAACAAAGUACUCAAACCAAGGCCCCGGCAAGAGGAGCUUGCCGGGAAGGCCAACCCAGGCCCCGGCAAGAGGAUCUUGCCGGGAAGAGACAAGACCCCGGCAAGAGGAGCUUGCCGGGAAGGCCACUCAAGGCAUACCAAGAAAGCUUGCCGCGACGCGCCGCGUGUCCCGGCAAGGCCCGGUGAGCGACAAGCUCCCAAACACGACAAGACGACGACCCCGACAAGGUACUCGCCGGGGGCCCGCUGCCACUCUGUACCCACGCUCCAGCGCACCCACCCGCGUGUCGCCAUGAGGCUUCCUCAGGGACGCGUGGCGGGAGCCUGUGCAGCCAGGGGUACGCGGUGGCAAGCGGAGAUGAAGAGAAGGCCAUCGUGGCAAACGGUGGCGCUCCUAACGGUCACUUUUUGCACUGUUUAGGCAACUCAGACGGGAAUUCAAUGACCGUGUCCCCUGCCGUCAGAGUUAGGUAGGGUGCACUGUGUCCACAGUAGCGGUAGCUGCACCUACCGCAUCCUUUUCCAUUUUUACCCUUCUAGUCUACGUUGCCACCUAUCGGUGACCCCUUGAAAGUAUAAAAGGAGGCCCAAACGCAACGUAGAAGGGGUUCGGCUCAUUCGAAACAUCAGGAACACUCUCACGCUCGGUCUGGCAGCGUUCAUCGCUCCUGAGCAAAAAUUCAAUACACACAAACAAGCAGCAGUAGGGUUUUACGCAUCCGUUCGGCCCGAAGCUGGGUAAAACUGCUCGCGUGUAUCGCCUCGAUCCGCUCUUUGCGCGGCCUCCGCCCCCCUCCGAACCGAAAGGGGCCCGGUCCCAAUAGGUGUUGGUGGAUCAGUCUUCCCCGACAUCUUUGGCGCGCCAGGUAGGGGGCGUCGAGAUGGUGCGAACCCGAUUUGGCGUGCACGCGAGCUAAAUCUUCAUCGUCUUCAUCGACAUGCCACCGAAGAAGAAGGAUUCGGAGGCAGCUGUCCCGUCUACGUCGCUUUCACCGCCUCCGGAGCAAACGGGUGGUGUAGUGGACGCCGGCGGAAGAAUGGGCGUCGACGAGGGAGCCCUCAAUGCGGCCAAGUCCAAGGACAAGGCGGCACAGACCUCGGCGUCCAUGCGCGCACCGCGCCCCUCUCAGGAGGCGCGGGACCAGCAGCGUCAUGGCGUUCGCAGCACCAUACGUCCGCUGGGCCAAGAUCAAGCUGGUGGUUCUCGUGGCGCUCAAGACCAACAUGCACGUCAACAUGCUGGCUCGAGCGAAGUACGGUCGCCUGGACGAGGCACUGCUCCUUCUAACGUGGUUAGGAGUCCGAGCACGCCCCACUCCUCGCACCGUUCACCUCCGCCGCCCACCACUCCAGCAGAAGCCUUGGCGCGAGCUCAACUACUCCUAGACUAUCCUCCGACGGCGGACAAGACCGACGAAUGGAGGGCCACUAUCCAGAGCCUCAUCGGCUUCGCCAACGGCGACACUGCGCGGCAACCAAGCACCUCGCUGCCGCGGCAGGAUAGCCGGACGCGAGCCGAUGGCAACAAGACCGGGGGAGGUGCAACUUCCAUGCACUCUCCACUACGAAGGCCAAAAUCGCCGACUCGCCGGGUCCACCCCGACAGCGACUCCACCGCGUCGUCGGACCCACGAGCUCGUCGCGACCAGCGCCAAGUUCUCCAUGAACGACAACAAGAAGACGCUCGAACCCGCAUCGAGCGCCAAAGAGAAGCGCGACGUCAAUCCGACAAGCGCGCUGGGCCCUCUGUUGACAUGCAUGCGCCAGGGGAACCAGGCGAUCUGCCGUACGUGGUAGGUUGUCCUGUGUUCACCCGUCAGCUGUGGCAAGUCCAGUGGCCCAGCACAAAGAAUUUCAAACCAGACGUACCAGAGAAGUACGACGGCAAGACGCAUCCGUCGGAGUUUCUCAGCAUCUACACCAUCGCGGUGCAGGCUGCCGGGGGACGGGACGACAAGAUCCUUGCCAACUACUUCCCGCUGGUACUCAAGCCCAACGUCAGGUCCUGGCUCAUGCACUUGCCGGACUAUUCCAUCUCCUCUUGGGCAGAUUUAUGCCAUCAGUUUGUCGGCGCCUUUACAGGCGGCCACAAGCCACAUGGCCAAGAGAGCGAUCUUCAUCUGCUCGCCCAGAAGGAAGGAGAGCCACUGCGCAAGUACAUUCAGAGAUUCAGCCGUGUACAGCACAACAUCCCAGACGUCCACCCCGCCGCGAUCAUCAGCGUGUUCCAUCAGAACGUGCGAAACCGAAGGAUGAGGGAGGAGAUGGCGAUGUGUAAGAUCAGAGACGUCAGCGAGCUUUACGCCCUGGCCGACAAGUGUGCACGCGCUGAAGAGGGGAGGAGGCUCCCCGGAGAGAGUACAGGAGCAGGAGGAUCCGACAGUGAGGAUGCCGCCCCGGCAAGGAAAGGCCGGCGGCGGAACAACAGAAGGAAAAAGGGCAAGGAAGUGCUAGCUGUCGAGCAGACCGGCAACGGAGGUGGCGCCAAGGAAGCUAAAGUUGGUGGCUCCGACAAGGAGGCCCAGCCUGUGGCGGCCGCCGACAAGCAGGACAGCUCCGACAAGCAGUAUUGUAAGAUUCACCGCACCAAGGGUCACGAUCUCCAGAACUGCAAGAAAGUCGAACAGCUUGUUGAGCAACAGAAAGCUGAGUACGAGCGGCGCAACAAGGAGAAGGCCCAGGAAGGAACUGGUGGAUCCGGCAAGAAACGUCCCGGCCGAGGAGGAACUGGUGGAUCCGGCAAGAAACGUCCCGGCCGAGGAGGACGCCGCGGCAAGGCCAAGCAGCGGCAAGGAGACAGACCUCCCCGCGGCCGCGACAAGGAUGAAGAUGACGACGACGACGAAGACAUGGAUGAUGACGAGGCCGACGAGCAGGAAUUUCAGAAAGCUACAGAGGACCUGUGCGUUGACGGUGGUGCUUCUCUGCAUACCUCGCACCGCCAACUCAAGCAGUGGAUGCGGGAGGUUAAUGCAGCGGAACCAUCCAUAGAGUCACGCAAGCCUCUGAAAUGGUCCAGCACGCCUAUCAUCUUCAACAUUGAGGAUCACCCUGAUCGCGUAACUGCGGUCGGGUGCUUACCGAUUUUGGUUUCACCAACUAUCCGCAACCUCAAGGUCACGAAGAUGCUAGUUGACGGCGGGGCCGGCUUGAAUCUGAUCUCCUCCGCGGUCCUUCAGAAACUCCAGAUCCCUGACAGCGAGCUCUAAGAGACCGGCACAUUCCAAGGAAUCAACCCGGGAAGGAGCAAGCCGAAGGGGAAGAUCACGCUGCCGGUCACAUUUGGCAGCGAGCUGAAUUUCAGAACUGAGAGGGUCACAUUUGACGUUGCCGAUUUUCCAUUGCCCUACAAUGGGAUCCUUGGCCGUACAGCGCUCGCCAAGUUUAUGGCAGCCUCUCACUAUGCAUACAACAUGCUCAAGAUGCCAGGCCCGAUAAGUGUCAUCUCUGUCCCCGGCGACAAGAAGGAUGCCCUUAUCUGCGCCGACAAGAUCUACCAGGAAGCAGCAGCCGCAGUUGAUCACAACACACUUGCCGCUGAAGCUCCCGGGGGGAAGAAGAAGACAAAGUCCGGCAAGAGCUCUGAUGCCCACUCCGGCAAGUGCACCUCUUCGGAGUGUUGCGCUACCGUCGAGGACGCACCAUCGAGCUCCACCGGCAAGUGCAAGAAGACGAUGGCAGCUCCACCCGAGACUAAGAAGGUGUCCGCCAAGGAGGACGGCACUGGUGGUACCUUCACCAUCAGUGCCACGCUUGACCCCAAAUAGGAAAGCGCGCUCAUUGCGUUCCUGCGGGCGAAUGUCGACGUGUUUGCAUGGCAACCGUCUGAUAUCCUCGGUGUUCCCAAGAAAGUAAUCGAGCACCACCUUGCCGUCUGUCCUCAUGCGCGGCCCGUCAAGCAGAAAGUCAGAAAGCAAGCAGUGGAGCGCCAAGAAUUCAUUGCAGAAGAGAUCAGGAAAUUGGAAGCAGCAGGCCUUGUCAGAGGAGUGCUCCAUCCCACGUGGUUGGCCAAUCCUGUUGUUGUGCGCAAGGCUAACGGGAAAUGGAGACUUUGUAUAGACUUCAUUGAUGUCAAUAAAGCUUGUCCCAAAGAUCCAUUUCCCUUGCCGCGCAUUGACCAGAUUGUUGACUCCACAGCUGGAUGUGAUUUGCUUUCAUUUCUUGAUGCAUAUUCAGGAUACCAUCAAAUCUUCAUGGCAGAAGAGGAUGAGGAAAAAACCGCAUUUAUCACCCCUUGCGGCACAUACUGUUUUGUACGGAUGCCCUUUGGGUUGAAGAAUGCUGGUUCAACAUUUGCAAGGGUAGUCCAUGUCGCUUUUGAGCCACAGAUACACAGAAAUGUGGAAGCCUACAUGGAUGAUACAGUGGUCAAGAGCAAGGACAAGGCUACCCUGAUCCAAGAUUUAGAAGAAACUUUUGCAAAUCUGCGCAAGAUCAACCUCAAGCUCAACCUCGAGAAGUGAGUGUUUGGAGUCCCUUCCGGCAAGCUUCUCGGAUUCUUUGUGUCUCAGCGGGGAAUUGAAGCCAACCCCGACAAGAUCAAGGCCAUCGAGCAGAUUGAAGCACCGAAGCGCGUCAAGGAUGUGCGAAGGCUUGCCGGUUGCGUGGCUACUCUCAGCAGGUUUAUCUCUAAGUCUGCUGAGCGCGCCCUGCCGUUUUUCAAAAUAUUGAAAAAGGCAGGUCCAAUGAAAUGGACUCCGGAAGCGGAGGCCGCGCUACAGGACUUGAAGAGGUACCUGUCCUCCACUCCAAUACUUGUCGCACCUAAGCCACAAGAGAAGUUGCUGCUGUACCUAGCGGCAACCAAUCAAGUGGUUAGUGCUGCGUUAGUAGCGGAGAGGGAGGCGGAUGAUGAGCCAGCGACCGCGACAAGUGAAUCCAGCGACAAGUAGGGGGCUUCUUCGACAAGCUCUGGUCCCGACAAAGAUGAAUCUGCACAGACGUGCAAGGAGGUGCAGAAGAAGAUGGUGCAGCGCCCAGUUUACUUUGUCAGCUCCCUUCUCCAGGGGGCUAGGUCGAGGUACUCUGGUGUGCAAAAAUUGCUUUUCGGCCUUCUCAUGGCCUCGAGAAAGUUGCGCCAUUACUUCCAGGCACACGAGAUCACAGUUGUCACUCGCUUUCCGCUGAAGAGGAUACUGCAGAAUCCAGAAGCAACAGGCAGGAUUGUCGAGUGGGCAUUGGAACUGUCAAGCUUUGGCCUCAAGUUUGAGAGCACUGCAACGAUCCAAAGCAGGGCAUUGGUAGAGUUCAUAGCAGAGUGGACGCCAACCCCAGACGAAGAAAUUCCAGAGACGAGCAUCCCCGUCAAAGAGGCAAGCAAAGAGUGGCUGAUGUAAUUUGAUGGUGCCUUCUCGCUGCAAGGCGCCGGCGCAGGCGUGCUGCUUAUCGCACCCACCGGAGAGCACCUCAAGUACGUAGUUCAGAUGCAUUUUCCCAAGGAGCAAGCAACGAACAAUACCGCAGAGUAUGAAGGUUUGCUUGCCGGACUCAGAAUCGCGGCAGACCUUGGGAUCAACAAGCUCAUUGUUAGGGGUGACUCGCAGUUGGUCGUCCACCAAGUAAACAAAAGCUAUCAGAGUCCGUUGAUGGAAGCAUAUGUCGAUGAAGUAAGGAAGCUAGAAGCACACUUUGACGGCCUGCAAAUGGAACACGUUCCGCGAGCUCAGAACGAUAUUGCUGACGGCCUGUCAAAGUGCGCAGCACUUAAGUUACCUGUGGAACCAGGGAUUUUUGUGCUCAAGCUGACUCAACCAUCCGUAACACCGUCAACUGGACAGAGAAAGAAGAGGAAGUUGGUUUCUGGUGACUACUUUCCGGCAGAGCUUCCCGAAGCCGCCGCCAAGAAGGUCCCCAAGAUCGACGCCAAGAGUGCUGAGGAGCAGUCUGCUCCGGCGAACCUCUUGGUUUGUUCCGUUGAAGCAGACGCUCCCGACAAGUUUUGCUCCGGCAAGCUUGCCGGGGAAUAUCACGCUCCGGCCGAACCGCAUGUUCUUGCCGUAGAAGCGGAUGUUCCCACAGCAACAGAUAUGCCUUUAGCCCUUGUUGUCGAGCCGCAAGCUCUAGCAUGGGCGCAGCAGAUCGUCCGUUUCCUUCAGACAGGAGAGCUUCCCGAAGAGCAAGAAGAAGCGGAAAGAGUAGCCCGGCAAUCGAGUAUGUACAAGUUUGUCGACAACACACUGUACAGAAUAAGACUCAACGGUGUGAAAUUGAAGUGCAUUCGCCGGGAAGAUGGACAACAGCUGUUGGCAGAGAUACAUGGAGGCAUAUGUGGUCACCACAUUGGCGCAAGAGCACUUGCCGGCAAAGCAUUCCGACAAGGUUUCUUCUGGCCGACAGCCCUCCAGGAUGCAACUGCACAAGUAACCAAGUGUGAACCGUGCCAGUUCCAUUCCAAGCAGAUACACCAACCAGCUCAAGCUCUCCAGACGAUCCCUUUAUCCUGGCCAUUUUCGGUUUGGGGGCUCGACAUCCUCGGCCCCUUGCCCGAGCUGUCGGGGGCUUUGAGUUCUUGUAUGUUGCAAUCGACAAGUUCACAAAGUGGCAGGAAGUGGAACCAGUGAGGAAGGUGACAGCACAGUCAGCAGUCAAGUUCUUCAGGUCGAUUGUUUGCCGUUUCAGGGUUCCUAACAGGAUCAUCACCGACAACAGCACGCAAUUUACGAGCCGCACCUUCAUGCAGUAUGUCCAAGAUCUUGGCGCCAAGGUCUGCUUCGCUUCUGUUGCUCACCCGAGAAGCAACGGUCAAGCGGAGAGGGCAAACGCUGAAGUCCUGCGUGGGCUCAAGACCAGAACUUUCGACAGGCUGCACAAGUGCCGAAAGAACUGGAUCGAGGAGCUGCCGGUGGUUCUUUGGUCAAUCAGAACGACACCAAAUCAAGCCACUGGCCAGACACCUUUCGCUCUAGUCUAUGGAGCAGAGGCAGUUCUCCCCAUGGAACUCGUUUACGGGUCACCUCGAGUGCUCGCUUAUGAUGAGCUUGAGCAAGAGCAGCUGCGCCAAGAUGAUGCGCUGCUCCUUGAGGAAGACCGUCUUCAGGCUGCUGUGCGAGUCGCUCGCUACCAGCAAGCUUUGCGUCGCUACCAUAGCCGCAAAGUUAAAGCCAGGAGCUUCGAGGAAGGCGACCUUGUUCUUCGGCGUGUUCAGUCCGCCAAGAAUUCCAACAAGUUGACGCCGAAGUGGGAAGGCCCUUAUCGGGUGAAACGAGUCACUAGGCCCGGCGCUGUCCGCCUUGAGACCGAAGAUGGCAUUCCGGUGAGCAACUCCUGGAACAUUGAACAUCUUCGUAAGUUUUACCCGUAGGGCGCGGUUGCCGGAAGCUUUUCCGGCAACCACCUUUUGUACAAGUCUUGCCGCUGUUGCAUGUAAUCCUUUGUACAAAGCCGGGCGCAGACCCCGUGCACCAGUAAAGUUCAUGUGCCCCGCACGUCUUAUCAGUUUUUUAUAUGCUAUAAUCCUUUUUCGCAUAUGUUAUCUGACACUUUGUGCAGCACCAGACCCCGGUAAGCGAUAACGAGCCCAAAGCUCCAUAUCAUUACUUUAUUUCUCUGUUUCUUUCUCAAAAGAAGGAAGGUUCCCUCGCCCACAAGGUUUUCCCGGGGGGGAGGAGAAGAUAAUGGUGUGGACCAGGCCGUUCAAGAAAGUUUCUCCUUGCCGGGAAGCAGACGACAGAAAAGCUAAGUUGCUAAAGUUUGAGCAAUCAGUUUUUUAAGUUUUUGAGUUAUUUUCCUUGAACGACCGUGCUUUGUAUGGAAAACCUAUGCGCGGAGGAACCAACUCGUAGCUAGCUGCGCCCUUACUUUGUUUCGAGUCCGCUCAACAACUUAAGUGAGCUGCAACUAGUUGCGACAAGGUUGCUUGUCGGUAGCGACCCCGCCAGCAGGCUGCUGAAGUUCCGCACUCGGCGCUCGCGGCAAGGGUGCCUGCACCGGCAAGUUUCCCUACAAAGCGUAGGGCAGAACCAUACAAAGCCAAGAGUCGAGUAAAGGAAGUAACACAGCAAUUUUUUGCCUAAGAUAGAGUUAUAUUACAAAAAUAACUUGUCGCGCCUCUAAUAAAGUGUUCCCAUGACAUGACUGGCAGCGACAAGAAAAGAAGAAAACGGACGGCCUAAUCUACGCGAUCGCCGUCAACCCUUUUGACCUCGUUCACCCUGUCCACAAUGGGUGCAACGAGGGCCUUAAGUGCGUCAAGAUCAGCGUUCGCCGGCAGCCUCUUGAGGAUGUUGGUGAGGUUGAGGCCCGGAUUGCGGAAGGCCACCUUCACCGGCACCUUCUCCAGAACUCCGGCGCAAAUCGAGCGUGACUCGUCGGCCAACUGCUUUGGGAUCCGUUCCCGGAGUUGCUGGAGCGCCGCCGCCACGCCUUUGAAGAACAAAGUGAGCUUGGCGCUGGGUUGGAGUUCCCCGUCGGAAGAGUACCCGAAGCCUUCCACCCCGGGGUUAUAGCAUGCAUGCUAGGGCUCGCAUAUCCUGGCCAGACUGCUUGAGGACGAAAAGGAGAAGAAGGGCGCGCCGACACCUGGGCCCCGGCAAGCCAGUAUCGCUGGGGGCUGCGAGUGCCAAGAAUCGUCCACGGCAAACCAGAGUUGCCAGGGGCUGCAAUAUCAGAUAAGUCUUUCAUCCCUCAUCAUGCAUCCUCUUAUGGACUGGGGAAUGCGAAACCGCGUUUCUUCCCGAAAACUGCCGUGCUCCCUUAACUCUAGGCCCUGGGGCUCGUUCCCGGGGCCAAGUUUGGUCGUAGUCGCGGCAGCAAAGGGAUGAAACGAGGAGACCGCACCCACCUCGUUCCCGCCUCCGUCAAAGGCGUGAGAAAGGUCGAGCGACGUGGGAAGGCGGCAGGGCCUGUUGCCGGGAGAUGAAAUGUCUGUCCGAGGGAUACCAAGGAUUUGCUCCUUGGCGUGGGUUCAACCCGCGAGACAAAUAACCCGGCAAGCAUCCCCUUUUCAUUAAAAAACAUCCCACUCAGGUACAGUCCAUAGAGGAUGAAAAACAUGAAAGAGAGGAUUACAAGUUUUAGAUACAGCUAAGGCCCGAAGGCUUACAAAUUAAAAAGAUAAGAUGCCCGUAAUCCCUUUCCUGUCCCUCUCUUCAGGAGGCAGGUCAAGGAGGCGAAAAGGGCAAAAGGAGCGCCUAGGCGAGCUACGGGUGCCAGAAGACACCAAGAGAACAUCCCGGGGGCCGUCCGAAGGCUGGACGGCGAUGGCGGCGCUGGAAGCGGGGCUCGAAGACGGGGCGGCAGGACGUCAGCACGCUGUCGAGGGCACCACGCCCUCGUACUCCGACCUGACGGCCUUGUCGCAAUCCCUCUUCCCCUUCCGCAGCCUCCCUACGCCAGCCGCCCAAGGAGACAACCCCGGGGAGUUCAAGGAGCCGGCGACACAGAUGAUGGGGUCGCCGGUGCCGCGCGAAGCAGCGCCCGACGCCUAGUCGGACCCGCCACCCCGCCGCCCGCUACCCUCAUCAUCGCUGUCGCUCUCCUCCUCAUCACUCUCGCUCGAGGAGGAGCCUUCGCUAUCGGAGGAGCUGUCCACGCAGCACUUCGCCCGAGUGCCGAAGCACCCGAAGACCUUGACGGAGAGGAGAUCGCCCUCCAUCAACUUAAAAUGGAGGGUAAACCCCUCCAUCAGGCUGUGGAUACGAGCGAACGUCUUCCACCCUCGAUCAAGAUACAUCACAUUAGGGGCUGGGAAUACAACGCGGACUCGCGUGCCGCUGAUCCCACAGCCCCUCAUGUGCAGUCUCAGUGUCUCGGGCGGGUCCAACUCCAUCGCGCUCGCAAACGGAGCUGGAAGCCGGAGGCGACGACGAGGCGCCCAGCGCAGCUUGAUGAAGAACUCGCGAGGGUCGUCCCCUAUAUGGACCGCCGUGGGGGGAGGAGCCACCGGCGGAGGUGAAGCUGGCGCGCCGCCCCGCCUGCCUCUUCCCCGAGCGCCUCGACCUCGUCCGCGACCUCGCCCCCUCCCUCUUCCCCUUAUGGCUGGCUCUGCCACCAUGGGCGCGGGAGAGGGAGAGGUGCGCUAUCUGGCGGCGACCCUCGCCGCCACCGAUGAAGGGCCUGGGUUCCCUUUCUCCAUGGCGAAUGAGAGAAAGGGGAGCAGAAGCUGAAGAAAGGAGGAGAUGAGAGAGUGCGGGUUUCUGUGCUCCCCUCCCACUCUUUAUAAAGGAGCAAGGUGGGGGCUCGGCCGCCCCGCUCAGCGAAUCAAGGCACGGGAAGAGCAGGGAGUCGGGGCCAACCCGCUGCCUCUGCUCGCGACGGCCCAGUUUCCCACUUCCACCAUCCGCGACCCCAAGCGCAUGGGAGCCGCGUGGCGGGGAUGCAGAACCAAGGCGACGGAUGAGGCGGCCUCGCUCCGCCUCGUGAUCGCGGAGAGUGGACGUCCCAAAAACCGCGCACCGGCCCCGUCCAGUAAAUGCACCACGCCCCCACGCCUACCUCCGUUUAGGGAGGAGGGCGUGAACCGUCCCCAUCAUCGUGGCCUGACGCAUGCUCGAGGGGCUUAGCCCCGCGCACGCCGCCCGUGUCACCCACGACGCCGCGUUUGACGCGUGCCGUUCUGGGCGUGCGCGGUGGGAGCGGGGAGAUAUGCGGCGUGACCUAGGCCGCGCGUGCCCGUGCACUGUUUUGGGCCUGGCCCAACAGCGGUCGGCAUCGUGUCUGGCCCAGGCCCGGGGGCUCCUGUCGGUGUACUAGAGUAGGGGUACCCUAGUACCCCGAACUUGUGCACGGGCGGUCGCAGCAUCCCGCGGCAAGGCUUGCCGGGUGACUGCCAAGACCCUUCGUGGUUCCCUUGAAGACCAUUCAAGAACAAAGUACUCAAACCAAGGCCCCGGCAAGAGGAGCUUGCCGGGAAGGCCAACCCAGGCCCCGGCAAGAGGAUCUUGCCGGGAAGAGACAAGACCCCGGCAAGAGGAGCUUGCUGGGAAGGCCACUCAAGGCAUACCAAGAAAGCUUGCCGCGACGCGCCGCGCGUCCCGGCAAGGCCCGGUGAGCGACAAGCUCCCAAACACGACAAGACGACGACCCCGACAAGAUACUCGCCGGGGGCCCGCUGCCACUCUGUACCCAUGCUCCAGCGCACCCACCCGCAUGUCGCCAUGAGGCUUCCUCAGGGACGCGUGGCGGGAGCCUGUGCAGCCAGGGGUACGCGGUCGCAAGCGGAGAUGAAGAGAAGGCCAUCGUGGCAAACGGUGGCGCUCCUAACAGUCACUUUUUGCACUGUUUAGGCAACUCAGACGGGCAUUCAAUGACCUUGUCCCCUGCCGUCAGAGUUAGGUAGGGUGCACUCUGUCCACAGUAGCGGUAGCUACACCUACCGCAUCCUUUUCCAUUUUUACCCUUCUAGUCUACGUUGCCACCUGUCGGUGACCCCUUGAAAGUAUAAAAGGAGGCCCAAACGCAACGUAGAAGGGGUUCGGCUCAUUCGAAACAUCAGGAACACUCUCACGCUCGGUCUGGCAGCGUUCAUCGCUCCUGAGCAAGAAUUCAAUACACACAAACAAGCAGCAGUAGGGUUUUACGCAUCCGUUCGGCCCGAAGCUGGGUAAAACUGCUCGCGUGUACCGCCUCGAUCCGCUCUUUGCGCGGCCUCCGCCCCCCUCCGAACCGAAAGGGGCCCGGUCCCCAUAGGUGUUGGUGGAUCAGUCUUCCCCGACAAUGAGUGACAUCUGUGCCAGCGUGGACCUGACAUGUGUCUCCUCCAGCCAAUCAUGAUUUUACACGUGGAAAAUCCCCAUUGGUCGGGGCUGUUAAUGGGUUAUCGGAUCCAAAACCCGACCCGAUAGCUUAACGGCGUUCCAUUAUGGUGGAUGCCACGUGUCGGUCACCCUUGACGAAAGCACUUCUGUGACACGCGAUUUAUCGUCAUGGAAGUGGACACUUCCGUGAUGAUAAUUUUGGUAAUGUCAUGGAACACUUCUACGACAGCACAGGUAUGACUAUCUUGAUUCUGUCAUAAAUUUGCCAUGGAUGUACAUGCAUGACAAAAAAUGUGACCUACUGUGACAAACACGUAUCAUCACGCAAGUGUAUUUUUUUUGUAGUGACAUUGGCUAGCCGAUGUGUUUUGGUUUUUGGUAAUACAGGGUGUGAAUUAUUUGCAUGCAUAGGACGACUGGUCCUUGCAUGGCUAGUACUUAGGUUGGAUGGGCCAAUCGAGCUUUCGGUCUCGGCUCGCUUGGGCGGGCUCCAGAAUCAUUGGGAUCAUUUCAGUGUCAGGCCCAGUUUGGCUCGAAUCAACAAGCCCACAAGGUUAUUUUAUCGUAGGCCAAUAGCAUGUUUCGCACAUCCCACUGAAGCAGCAAUGCCUCUCUGCCAUCCUGGGCCCACAUAACAGUGACCUAUGCCCCCGGGCUUGCUGAGUCUGCCAAGCUGCACCGAGAUGGGGCAAAGCUCAAGCCGAGCUAGGUUUUGCAAGGCUAGCCAGAGUUGCGAGCUCAGCUUGGCGGUGUCCAGCUGUUCGUAGGCUCGGGCCGAUCCCGGCUCGGCUUGGCUCGCGUCCACCCUUAGCUACUAUCACAAUAUCAUACCGUGGUCCAUGAUCAAUAUAUACAUCAUGUGGGUUUUUCUCCCACCAAAACGUACAUUGUUUGUAAAACUUCCGUAAGAGUGUGCAUACAUUGUUAUUAUCUGAAAUCUACUCAUGCCUUGUCCAUGGAUUAUUCGGGAUUUCAUUUACUUCCAACAUUUGCGUAGGAAAUAUGCCAUGGAAGCAUCGAAUCGAAGCAUGUAGAGCCUCUGAACCAAUAGUACUACGUGGAUGUAAACUGAGUACCCGUGUUUAUACAUUGCGCUUAUAGCCAGCCACACAGCGACGUGUGAUUUCCCUGUAGUGAGUACUAACUAUUCAAUUCUAAUUGAUUGUGGAAGAGCUGCACCAUGUUUUUAGUACCGAAUGAUUGGUAAAUUCACAUUCCAACAACCCAAUGGUAUGCAAGACAAUAAAUCAAACCAUUCAUGAAGCAUCAACAAUCACAUUGGCAUAGGUACAUGAGUGCACACCUAUCAUCCAGGCAAACAUGUGGAUGGGCAUAUGCAGAUAUACCACGCCAUCUAGACAACAGAGGUAGUAUCCGAGAGAGAUGAGACGGAAAGAGGAAGAGGAUAUGAAACUAAAAGCAAUAGAGAAUAGGAGACGCUGGGAAAGGGGGCAUCGGUGCUUGGUGGAGAACAAGUUUAACAAGUGUAGAUGUGAGUAUGUGAAUAGCAGUAGUGUCCCACCUUGCUAGGUGGAGAAUACAACCAUUCAAUGCAAUUGCAGGUAGUAUGAGAGAAAACAAUAUAAAGUCGAUGCAUGUACCGGACAACGGUGGAGCUAUGUGUUUCUUUGGGGGGGUCCUUGAUAUAAUUAUUGAAGAAAAAAAUAUUUUGGGAUCUUAAAUACAAAAAAGUGUAGUAAUUAGCGCCCCCAAGCAUGCAUGUUUUCUCUUUAGCCCCCCUGACACCUUCGUCUAGCUCCACCACUGGUACUAGAAUCAUCCAUGUCUUGGGCUAAGUUGCGCAAAAUACUAUAUCUGCAAGCCAUCAGCCCACAAAUUACUGAAGAUGACUAAAAGUUGCUGCUUCUAUUUUGAAGCAAAUGUUCAUGGUUCAACCAUGAAGAAUUUAUUAAGUACACAUAUGGGCACAUUGCAUCAAUCACAAUUAGAAAGGAUAACGAGACUGGAAGACGAACUGCAAGCUAUCGGUGGAUUGUUCGCUGCAUAUCAGUUUGCAUGAUACUAUUAGCACAUGCAGGUGAAUUAUUUUCAUCUAAGUGAAAUUUGUCACCAGUAUCAUCUCAUGGUUUUCCUUGCUGGAAUAUCUCUAAUUGUGAAUGUUUAUUUAGGAAUUAGGACCAAUGCCAGUGCUAUAGAAAGAUGUCUAUAUUGCCACAACCAGCUUCAUUUUCCAGCCUUCAACUUUGCCUUGCAGACCGCACCAAAUCCUAUCUGCCGCCUUAAGCGGCAACUCAGGGAGAUAUGCCAUGCCUUACCAUGGUGGAUCAUUCCCAAUGAGACCGGGGAUAUUUUUUUUGUUUUUGUUUUUUUUCUUUCUUUCCCUUUUGUAUUUCACUAUAUUAUUUUAAUUUUUAAUGUAUCUACUUUUCCCUCUUUGGUUUCUUUUUUCCUUUAUUUAUUUACUUUUCCCUUUGUAUGUCAAUACAUGAAUAUUUUAUGGAUUCCUUUUUAUGUCAAUACAUAAAUAUUUUAUGGAAUGUAAGAACAUUUAUUUUGAUGCACCUGAACAACUCUUACAUAUACAUGAACAUUGCUUUUAUAUCCACUAGUAGAAUAUAGUGUUUUGGUUCAGAACGGGCCAGCCCAUUAGUCUCGGUUCAGCCCAGAACCGGGACCCAUGGGGGCAUAGGUCCCGGUUCGUGAGGCCAGGGGGUCGGCCGGGCCAUUGUGGGGCAUUGGUCCCGGUUCAUCUGGCACCUUUUGUCUCGGUUCGAGGCUCGAACCGGGACCAAUGUGCCUCACUCCUGGCCCACCACCAUUGGUCCCGGUUGGUGGUUUGAACCGGGACCAAAGGUUGUCCUUUAGUCCCGGUUCCAGCUACGAACCAGGACCAAUAAGAUGCCUACAUAUACCCCUUGCCCGCGAGCAGAGUAGUGGAGUGAUCUGUUUUUUUGGGAGAGGUGUGUGAGAGGUGUGUUGUGCUCUAGCUCACCUCCUAUGCACAUGAGGUGUUCGAUGAAAUGCCUGAGCCACACUUAAGCUUUCUCCUCUCGAAGCUCUCUGUCCAAGCUCCAUUUUCCUCGAGAUUUGUCUAGGUUUGGUGGUCUGUCCUGUCCCGUCCCCGUCCUCACCGCCGUUGAUCACCCGCGCCGAUCUCGUCGCCUCCACCACUGUGGUGAGCCUCUUGAUCUUAUCUUCUUUAUAAAAGAAAAAAGUUCUUACUUGAUAGAUACUUGUGUAGUUUUCUUACUUAUUAUUGUCUGGUAUUAUAUAGUGCGAAGGUUUUGGUGCCCGCCUCCGUUGGCCCUCGUCCUGUCUAUGAUUCAGAUGUGGUAUAUAUAUUUUCUUUUAUAACUAUUAGUUUCAUUUAGUGUUUAUGACAAUUAUGCCGAGCAACAUGACACAAUUUUUUUAUCUAGGAGGUAUGUGAAAAGGAAAUGCCAACCGACCCUAUUGUCGAGAGGUUAAAUUUAGUUGAAGAAGAAAAGAAUUACUUGAAGGAAAAAAUGAAAAUAAUGAUGAGGAGAAGAUGAUAUUGGAGUUGCAUGUUGCGGAUGUCAUCGAUGAUCACAAGAUCAAGGUGGAUGCAAUGCGCUUGAAGAUUAGAAAGAUUAGAAAAUAUGCCAUUCAUACUGAGGCUUGGUAUCAUUAUGCCGUUGGAUCAAUUGAUCCCUUUGGUUGCGGUUAUGAUUGCAUUUGUUGUUGCAUUGAAAUGUUUUACAUAGUGUCAAUGUAUGGUUUAAUUAGAUGCUCUGGAGAGCUAUAUGUUGUUCAAUGACAACUAUGUAUGUACUUUGGGUUUAAUGUGAUGAUGAACUUCUAUUAAUUUGGUCACUUAUCUAUUCAUGAUGUACGCAGAGAAGAACCGACAAUGGAUGUACGAUAACAGACACACCUCAGAGUACAUUAAGGGCAUGAAUAAUUUUCUCGCAGUGGCUGAGGCAAACAAGAAGAAUGGUUUUAUGUGUUGUCCAUGCCCUAUAUGUGGGAAUACGAGGUCUUACUCUGACUUGAAAACCCUUCACACCCACCUUCUUUAUAAGGGUUUCAUGCCACACUAUAAUGUUUGGACCAAGCAUGGAGAAAGAGGGGUUAUGAUGGAAGACAGCGAAGAAGAAGAAGAUGAUGACAACUAUGUGCCCCUUGAAUACGAUGAUGCUGCAACAGGGGAAGCUGAAGAUGCUGCAAUGGGGGAAGCUGAAGAUCAAGAGGAACCAGACAAUGUGCCCAUUGAUGAUCUUCGCCGGGUCAUUGUUGAUGCAAAGAGACAGUGCGAAAGUGUAAAGGAGAAGCUGAAGUUCGAUCGCAUGUUAGAGGAUCAAAAAAAAGGGUUGUACCCCAAUUGCGGCAACACAAAGCUUGGUACCGUACUGGAAUUUCUGUAGUGGAAGGUAGAGAAUGGUGUGCCUGACAAAUGAUUUGAGAAGCUACUGAAAAUAUUGAAGAAGAAGCUUCCAAAGGAUAACGAAUUGCCCGACAGUACAUAUGCAGCAAAGAAGGUCGUAUGCCCUCUAGGAUUGGAGGUGCAGAAGAUACAUGCAUGCCCUAAUGACUGCAUCCUCUACCACGGUGCGUACGAGGAUUUGAACACAUGCCCGGUAUGCGGUGCAUUGCGGUAUAAGAUCAGACGAGAUGACCCUGGUGAUGUUGACGGCGAGCGCCCAAGGAAGAGGGUUCCUGCCAAGGUGGUGUGGUAUGCUCCUAUAAAAAUACCACAGUUGAAAUGCCUGUUCAGAAACAAAGAGCAUGCCAAGUUGAUGCGAUGGCACAGAUAGGACCGUGGGUUCUAAAAAAACAGAUAGGACUGUAAGAAAGACGGGAAGUUGAGAGCACCCGCUGACGGGUCGCAGUGGAGAAAAAUCAACAGAAAGUACUAGGAGGAGUUUGCAGGUGACGCAAGGAACGUAUGGUUUGGUUUAAGUGCGGAUGGCAUUAAUCCUUUUGGGGAGCAGAGUGGCAAUCACAACACCUGGCCCGUGACUCUAUGUAUCUAUAACCUCCUCCUUGGUUGUGCAUGAAGCCGAAGUUCAUUAUGAUACCAGUUCUCAUCCAAGGCCCUAAGCAACCCGGCAACGACAUUGAUGUGUACCUAAGGCCAUUAGUUGAAGAACUUUUAUAGCUGUGGAUUGGAAAUGUUGUACGUGUGUGGGACGAGCACAAACAGGAGGAAUUUGACCUGCAUGCGUUGCUGUUUGUAACCAUCAAUGAUUGGCCUGCUCUUAGUAACCUUUUAGGACAGACAAAAAAGGGAUACCACGCAUGCACGCACUGUUUAGAUUACACCGAAAGUAUAUACCUGGACAAAUGCAGGAAGAAUGUGUACCUGGGGCAUCGUCGAUUUCUUCCAACCAACCAUCAAUGCUGAAAGAAAGGCAAGCAUUUCAAAGGUAAGGCAGAUCACCGGAAGAAGCCCGCCAUGCGUACCGGUGAUCACGUACUUGCUAUGCUCAAUGAUUUAAAAGUAAUCUUCAGAAAGGGUCCCGACGAACUAUCUGUUCCAAAUGACGCUGAGGGACGUGCACCCAUGUGGAAGAAGAAAUCUAUAUUUUGGGACCUACCCUACUGGAAAGACCUAGAGGUCCGCUCUUUAAUUGAUGUGAUGCAUGUGACAAAGAACCUUUGCGUGAACCUGCUAGGCUUCUUGGGCGUUUAUGGGAAGACAAAAGAUACACCGGAGGGACAUGAGGACCUGCAACAUUUGCACGAAAAAGAUGACAUGCCUCCAAAGCAGUAUGAAGGUCCUGCCAGCUACGCUCUUACCAAAGAAGAGAAAGAAAUCUUCUUUGAAUGCAUGCUCAGUAUGAAGGUCCCGUCUGGCUACUCGUCAAAUAUAAAGGGAAAAAUAAAUAUGGCAGAGAAAAGUUCCAGAACCUAAAGUCUCAUGACUGCCACAUGAUUAUGACGCAACUGCUUCCGGUUGCAUUGAGGGGGCUUCUACCGGAAAAUCUUCGAUUAUCCAUUGUGAAGCUAUGUUCAUUCCUCAAUGCAAUCUCUCAGAAGGUGAUCGAUCCAGAAAACCUACCAAGGUUAAGGAGUGAUGUGGCACAAUGUCUUGCCAGUUUCGAGCUAGUGUUCCCACCAUCCUUCUUUAAUAUCAUGACGCAUGUCCUAGUUCAUCUAGUCGACGAGAUUAUCAUUCUGGGCCCUGUAUUUCUACAUAAUAUGUUCCCCUUUGAGAGGUUCAUGGGAGUCCUAAAGAAAUAUGUCUGUAACCGCGCUAGGCCAGAAGGAAGCAUCUCCAUGGGCCAUCAAACAGAGGAUGUCAUUGGGUUUGUGUUGACUUCAUUCCUGACCUUAAGUAGAUACGUCUCCCUCAAUCCCGGUAUGAGGGGAGACUGAGUGGAAAAGGCACGCUAGUAGGGGACUCAAUAAUAUGUAGGGACGGGCAUUCUUGAUCUCAAUCACACUACACAGUUCUAUAGAAUUCUACCUUGGUGACCCCGUAUGUCGAUGAACACAAGAACAUUUUGCGCUCCAAACACCCGAACCAGUGUGACGACUGGAUUACAUGUGAACACAUUAGGACUUUUGGCAGUUGGUUGCAAACACUUCUUAGGGGUGACAACACUGUUUCUGAUAAGCUUUACUCAUUGGCGAGGGAACCAUCUUCGACUGUAAUGACUUACAAAGGGUACGAGAUAAAUGGGAAUACAUUUUACAUGAUCACCCAAGAACAAAAGAGCACCAACCAAAACAGCGGUGUCCACUUUGAUGCAGCAGCAACCAAGAGGGAAAAUGACACAUAUUAUGGUUACAUCGUGGACAUAUGGGAACUUGACUAUGGACAUGAUUUUAAGUUCCCUUUGUUUAAGUGCAAAUGGGUCAAUCUAUCAGGAGGCGGGGUACAGGUAGGCUCACAGUAAAGAAUGACAACAGUGGAUCUGUACAAUCUGGGGUACACAAACGAACCAUUCGUCCUAGCCAAUGAUGUGGCGCAGGUUUUCUAUGUGAAGGACAUGUCUACCAAACCGAGAAAAAGAAAAUAUAUGGAAGCGGAUGAGGGAGUCCUGUAUUAGGGGGGAUCCGGACAGCCGGACUAUAUACUUUGGCAGGACUGUUGGACCGUGAAGAUACAAGACUCAAGACUUCGUCCCGUGUCCGGAUGGGGCUCUUCUUUGCGUGGAAGACAAGCUUGGCGAUCCGGAUGUUAGAUCUCCUUCUUUAUAACCGACUCUGUACAACCCUAGCCUCCUCCGGUGUCUAUAUAAACCGGAGGGUUUAGUCCGUAGGACAAGAACAAUCAGAAUCAUAGGCUAGCUUCUAGGGUUUAGCCUCUACAAUUUCGUGGUAGAUCAACUCUUGUAAUACUCAUAUCAUCAAGAUCAAUCAAACAGGAAGUAGAGUAUUACCUCCAUCGAGAGGGCCCGAACCUAGGUAAAACAUCGUGUCCCCUGCCUCCUAUUACCAUUAGCCUUAGACGCACAGUUCGGGACCCCCUACCCGAGAUCCGCCGGUUUUAACACCGACAUUGGUGCUUUCAUUGAGAGUUCCUCUGUGUCAUCGCAGCAAGGCUCGAUGGCUCCUUCAAUCAUCAACAACAACGUGGUCCAGGGUGAGACUUUUCUCCCCGGACAGAUCUUCGUGUUCGGCAGCUUCGCACUAUGGGCCAAUUCACUUGGCCAUCUGGAGCAGAUCGACAGCUACGCCCCUGGCCAUCAGGUCAGGUUUGGAAACUUGAACUACACUGCUGAUAUCCACGGAGACUUGAUCUUCGACGGAUUCAGACCUAUGCUAGGAGCGCCGAACAGUCAUGACGAGCACGGCUUAGACCUGCUGUCAGGCAAUAUUCGGGAUAUCGCACCUGCAAUAGCUCCGGACCUAAAUCCGGGGCAGAUUGCGUCGUCUGAGCACAGGUGGAUGGACCCCGCCCCAGAGGCUGCAUACUCAUCGGCGGUAGAGCCGAACACAGACUCCACCUUCAAGGAAAUCUGUGUCACCGGACUCCCGGACUUGCAUCCGGCUGUAGGUUCCAGACCGUACGCACCCGGACCCGUCGAACCCGAUUGGGCUCCGGUAAUGGAGUUCACCGUUGCGGAUAUCUUUCAGCACCCACCCUUUGGCGACGUGCUAAACUCUUUAAGGUCUCUCUCCUUGUCAGAGGACUCUUGGCCAAACUAUGUCCGGCUAGAGGGGGAUUCGGACGAUGAAGAAAAUCUCUGCCCACCCACCACCCACUUAAUAGCCACUGUCGAUAACGUAACAGACAUGCUUGACUUUGACUCCGAUGACACCGACAGUAUGGACGUCGAUGCAGGGGACGAUUUGGAACCACCGCCCACGGGGCGCUGGACUGCCACCUCAUCAUAUGAUAUAUACAUGGUGGACAUGCCUAAGGAGGACAAUGGCGACAAAAAGGACACAACGGAGGAUAAAACCCCCGGACAGAAGCCAAAACAACAGCGUAGACGCCGCUCUAAGUACAGCCACCGUAAAAAUAGCGAUAAUAGCGCUGGAAAAAUCGACACCCCAGUCAACUCCAAAGGCAACAAUGACCACAUGGACCCAGCGAUGGAGCCGGAUGAGCCAGGUCACUCCAAACACAGUCCGGAGCAGACGCCCGAUCACAGCUAUCCCGAGGGCCGAACUCAUCAACCUACCUCCGGAGAAGAGUAAAGUCCGGACGACGAUGCAUUCAUCAUCCCGAAAAAAUGUUUUGAAUGAGAUAACCUGCACAGAAGGCUUAUGGCCACUGCGAGAAGCCUAAAGAAGUAGAAGCAAAGGCUUAAGGCCGUGCAAGAAACGCUCAACCACAGAUUGAAUAAAGUGCUAGACACUAAAGAAAAAUAUGGUCACGAUCGCCACACAAAGAGCUACCCAAAGCGCAAGCUGCUGCCAGAAUUCGACGAUGAGGCCAUUCCGCCGAAGAACAAUACGGCCAGUAGGCCGGACCAACCACUUCAUGACCGCGAUAAAGCAGCUACUGACGCCGCACACGAUUUACAUGAGCUCCUGGACAAAAAGGCCGGUGCGACCAGGUCCAUCAAUGGAUCUAGAGGACAUGCUCUGGCGCAGGACUAUGAUCCCAAAAACGAUCAGACUGAUCGAAUACCAGUUCAGAAUCAACACCGGACACAACAAUAGUUGGCAGCAUGCCACAACAUGUCCACAUACAGAGGGGCUGUGCACCCUCUGUGCUUCACCGAAGAGGUACUGGAUCACGAAUUUCCACAGGGAUUCAAACCUGUGAACAUAGAGGCAUACAACGGAACGACAGACACCGGGGUCUGGAUUGAGGAUUUUAUCCUUCAUAUCCACAUGGCUCGUGGGGACGACCUCCAUGCCAUCAAAUACCUUCCCCUCAAUUUGAAGGGGCCAGCUCGGCACUGGUUGAAAAGCCUCCCCAAAAAUUCAAUCGGAAGUUGGGAAGAACUUGAGGACGCUUUCAGGGCCAAUUUUCAAGGGACCUAUGUCCGACCUCCGGACGGUGACGAUUUAAGUCACAUAAUACAACAGCCCGGAGAGUCCGCCCGUAAGCUUUGGAACAGAUUUCUCACUAAGAAGAAUCAAAUUGUCGAUUGUUCGAAAGCCGAAGCCCUAGCGGCCUUCAAGCACAGUAUCCGAGACGAGUGGCUCGCUAGACACCUCGGCCAAGAAAAGCCGAGGACAAUGGCAGCCUUAACAAGCCUUAUGACCCGCUUCUGCGCGGGUGAGGACAGCUGGUUGGACCGUAGAGGCACCAGCGGCCUGGGCACAUCCGAAAUUAGGGAUGGCAAUGGGAAGCCACGGCACAAUAAAAACAAGCGUCGAAACAAGGAAGAAAGUCCGGACAACACGGCGGUCAACGCUGGAUUCAGGGGUUCUCGACCCGGUCAACAAAAGAAGCCAUUUAAAUGUUGGAAAUAUGCCCUAGUGGCAAUAAUAAAAGGAUUAUUAUUAUAUUUCCUUGUUCAUGAUAAUUGUCUUUAUUCAUGCUAUAAUUGUAUUAUCCGGAAAUCGUAAUACACGUGUGAAUACAUAGACCAAAAUAUGUCCCUAGUAAGCCUCUAGUUGACUAGCUCGUUGAUGAAAAGAUAGUCAUGGUUUCCUGACUAUGGACAUUAGAUGUCGUUGAUAACGGGAUCACAUCAUUAGGAGAAUGAUGUGAUGGACAAGACCAAAUCCUAAGCAUAGCACAAGAUCGUGUAGUUUGUUUUGCUAGAGCUUUCCCAAUGUCAAGUAUCUUUUCCUUAGACCAUGAGAUCGUGUAACUCCCGGAUACCGUAGGAGUGCUUUGGGUGUACCAAACGUCACAACAUAACUGGGUGGCUAUAAAGGUGCACUAAAGGUAUCUCCGAAAGUGUCUGUUGGGUUGACACGGAUCGAGACUGGGAUUUGUCACUCCGUAUGACGGAGAGGUAUCUCUGGGCCCACUCAGUAAUGCAUCAUCAUAAUGAGCUCAAAGUGACCAAGUGUUUGGUCACGGGAUCAUGCAUUACGGUACGAGUAAAGUGACUUGCCGGUAACGAGACUGAACGAGGUAUUGGGAUACCGACGAUCGAGUCUCGGGCAAGUAACGUACCGUUUGACAAAGGGAAUUGUAUACGGGGUUGAUUGAAUCCUCGAUAUCGUGGUUCAUCUGAUGACAUCAUCGAGGAGUGUGUGGGAGCCAACAUGGGUAUCCAGAUCCCGCUGUUGGUUAUUGACCGGAGAGCCGUCUCGGUCAUGUCUGCGUGUCUCCCGAACCCGUAGGGUCUACACACUUAAGGUUCGGUGACGCUAGGGUUAUUAGGAAGACUUGUAUGUGAUUACCGAAUGUUGUUCGGAGUCCCGGAUGAGAUCCCGAACGUCACGAGGAGUUCCGAAAUGGUCCGGAGGUGAAGAUUUAUAUAUGGGAAGUUGUCAUACGGUCACCGGAAAGUUUCGGCGGCAUAUCGGUAUUGUACCGGGGCCACCGGAGGGGUUCCGGGGGUCCACCGGGAGGGGACACCUCUCUCGGUGGGCCUCAUGGGCCGUAAGGGGCAGGGAACCAGCCCCUGGAGGGCUGGGCGCCCCCCCCCCUUGGGCCCAUGCGCCUAGGGUUGGGGGGACCCUAAAGGUGGCGGCCCCCUUUGCUUGGGGGGCAAGCCCCCUCCCNNNNNNNNNNNNNNNNNNNNNNNNNNNNNNNNNNNNNNNNNNNNNNNNNNNNNNNNNNNNNNNNNNNNNNNNNNNNNNNNNNNNNNNNNNNNNNNNNNNNNNNNNNNNNNNNNNNNNNNNNNNNNNNNNNNNNNNNNNNNNNNNNNNNNNNNNNNNNNNNNNNNNNNNNNNNNNNNNNNNNNNNNNNNNNNNNNNNNNNNNNNNNNNNNNNNNNNNNNNNNNNNNNNNNNNNNNNNNNNNNNNNNNNNNNNNNNNNNNNNNNNNNNNNNNNNNNNNNNNNNNNNNNNNNNNNNNNNNNNNNNNNNNNNNNNNNNNNNNNNNNNNNNNNNNNNNNNNNNNNNNNNNNNNNNNNNNNNNNNNNNNNNNNNCGGCCCCCUUCCCCCUUCCCCUAUAAAUAGAGGGGCGAGGGGAGGGCUGAACACCUAAUCCAAGGCGUAGCCGCUCCCCUCCCCAACACCUCUCCUCCUCCGGUAAGUGCUUGGCGAAGCCCUGUUGGAGUACUGCCUCUCCACCACCACCACGUCGUCGUGCUGCUGCUGGAGUCUUCUUCCUCAACCUCUCCUUCCCCCUUGCUGGAUCAAGAAGGAGGAGACGUCAUCCGCUCUAUACGUGUGUUGAACGCGGAGGUGUUGUCCGUUCAGCACUUGGUCAUCGGUGAUUUGGAUCACGGCGAGUACGACUCCAUCAUCCCCUUUCUCUUGAAAGCUUCCGCUCGCGAUCUACAAAGGUAUGUAGAUGCACUCCUAUCACUCGUUGCUUAGAUGAACUCAUAGAUGGAUCUUGGUGAAACUGUAGGAAAAAAUUUAUUUUCUGCAACGUUCCCCAACAGUGGCAUCAUGAGCUAGUUCUAUGCGUAGUUCUCUAUUGCACGAGUAGAACACAAAUUUGUUGUGGGCGUAGAUCUUGUCAACUUGCUUGCCGCUACUAGUCUUUUCUUGCUUCAGCGGUAUUGUGGGAUGAAGCGGCCCGGACUGACCUUACACGUACGCUUACGUGAGACAGGUUCCACCGACUGACAUGCACUAGUUGCAUAAGGUGGCUAGCGGGUGUCUGUCUCUCCUACUUUAGUUGGAGCAGAUUCCAUGAAAAGGGUCCUUAUGAAGGGUAAAUAGAAGUUGACAAAAUCACGUUGUGGUUAUUCGUAGGUAAGAAAACGUUCUUGCUAGAACCCAAUUGCAGCCACGUAAAAGAUGCAACAACAAUUAGAGGACGUCUAACUUGUUUUUGCAACAAUUAUGAUGUGAUGUGAUAUGGCCAGAAGUUGUGAUGAAUGAUGAAUAAUAUAUUGUGAUGUAUGAGAUCAUGUUCUUGUAAUAGGAAUCAUGACUUGCAUAUCGAUGAGUAUGACAACCGGCAGGAGCCAUAGGAGUUGUCUUUAUUUUUUUGUAUGACCUGCGUGUCAUUGAAGAACGCCAUGUAAAUUACUUUACUUUAUUGCUAAACACGUUAGCCAUAGAAGUAGAAGUAGUCGUUGGCGUGACAACUUCAUGAAGACACAAUGAUGGAGAUCAUGAUGAUCGAGAUCAUGGUGUCAUGCCGGCGACGAAGAUGAUCAUGGAGCCCCGAAGAUGGAGAUCGAAGGAGCUAUAUGAUAUUGGCCAUAUCAUGUCACUACUUUAUAUAAUUGCAUGUGAUGUUUAUUAUGUUUUAUGCAUCUUGUUUACUUAAAACGGCGGUAGUAAAUAAGAUGAUCCCUUAUAAUAAUUUCAAGAAAGUGUUCCCCCUAACUGUGCACCGUUGCUAAAGUUCGUCGUUUCGAAGCACCACGUGAUGAUCGGGUGUGAUAGAUCCUUACGUUCACAUACAACGGGUGUAAGACAAUUUUACACAUGCAGAACACUUAGGGUUAACUUGACGAGCCUAGCAUGUACAGACAUGGCCUCGGAACACAGAGACCGAAAGGUCGAACAUGAGUCGUAUGGAAGAUACGAUCAACAUGGAGAUGUUCACCGAUGAUGACUAGUCCGUCUCACGUGAUGAUCGGACACGGCCUAGUCGACUCGGAUCGUGUAACACUUAGAUGACUAGAGGGAUGUCAAUCUGAGUGGGAGUUCAUUAAAUAAUUUGAUUAGAUGAACUUAAUUAUCAUGAACUUAGUCUAAAACUUUUGCAAAAUAUGUCUUGUAGAUCAAAUGGCCAACGCUCAUGUCAACAUGAACUUCAACGCGUUCCUAGAGAAAACCAAGCUGAAAGAUGAUGGCAGCAACUAUACGGACUGGGUCUAGAACCUGAGGAUCAUCCUCAUAGCUGCCAAGAAAGCAUAUGUCCUAGAUGAACCGCUAGGUGAAUCACCCAUCCCAGAGAACCAAGACAUUAUGAACGCUUGGCAGUCACGUGCUGAUGAUUACUCCCUCGUUCAGUGCGGCAUGCUUUACAGCUUAGAACCGGGGCUCCAAAAGCAUUUUGAGAAACACGGAGCAUAUGAGAUGUUCGAGGAGCUGAAAAUGGUUUUCCAAGCUCAUGCCCGCAUCGAGAGAUAUGAAGUCUCCGACAAGUUCUAUAGUUGUAAGAUGGAGGAAAACAGUUCUGUCAGUGAGCACAUACUCAAAAUGUCUGGGUUGCACAACCGCCUAUCCCAGCUGGAGAUCAAACUCCCGGACGAGGCGGUCAUUGACAGAAUCCUUUAGUCGCUCCCACCAAGCUACAAGAGCUUUGUGUUGAACUACAAUAUGCAGGGGAUGGUGAAGACCAUUCCUGAAGUAUUUUCAAUGCUGAAGUCAGCAGAGGUUGAAAUCAAGAAAGAACAUCAAGUGUUUAUGGUCAAUAAGACCACUAAGUUCAAGAAGGGCAAGGGUAAGAAGAACUUCAAGAAGGACGGCAAAGAGGUUGCUGUGCCCGGUAAGCCAGUUGCCGGGAAGAAGUCAAAGAAUGGACCCAAGCCUGAGACUGAGUGUUUUUAUUGCAAGGGGAAGGGUCACUGGAAGCGGAACUGCCCCAAAUACUUAGCGGACAAUAAGGCUGGCAACACUAAAGGUAUAUUUGAUAUACAUGUAAUUCAUGUGUACCUUACCAGUACUCGUAGUAACUCCUGGGUAUUUGAUACCGGUGCCGUUGCUCAUAUUUGUAACUCACAGCAGGAGCUGCGGAAUAAGCGGAGACUGGCGAAGGACGAGGUGACGAUGCGCGUCGGGAAUGGUUCCAAGGUCGAUGUGAUCGCCGUCGGCACGCUACCUCUACAUUUACCUACGAGAUUAGUUUUAAACCUCAAUAAUUGUUAUUUAGUGCCAAGUUUGAGCAUGAACAUUGUAUCUGGAUCUUGUUUGAUACGAGAUAGCUACUCAUUUAAAUCCGAGAAUAAUGGUUGUUCUAUUUAUAUGAGAGAUAUGUUUUAUGGUCAUGCCCCGAUGGUCAAUGGUUUAUUCUUAAUGAAUCUCGAACGUAAUGUUACACAUAUUCAUAGUGUCAAUACCAAAAGAUGUAAAGUUGAUAACGAUAGUCCCACAUACUUGUGGCACUGCCGCCUUGGUCACAUUGGUGUCAAGCGCAUGAAGAAGCUCCAUGCUGAUGGACUUUUAGAGUCUCUCGAUUAUGAAUCAUUUGACAUGUGCGAACCAUGCCUCAUGGGCAAAAUGACCAAGACUCUGUUCUCCGGAACAAUGGAGCGAGCAACCAACUUGUUGGAAAUCAUACAUACCGAUGUGUGCGGUCCAAUGAGCGUUGAGGCUCACGGAGGAUAUCGUUAUUUUCUCACUCUCACUGAUGACUUGAGUAGAUAUGGGUAUGUCUACUUAAUGAAACACAAGUCUGAAACCUUUGAAAAGUUCAAGGAAUUUCAGAAUGAGGUAGAGAAUCAACGUGACCGAAAGAUAAAAUUCCUACGAUCAGAUCGUGGAGGAGAAUAUUUAAGUCACAAAUUUGGUACACACUUAAGGAAAUGUGGAAUCGUUUCACAACUCACGCCGCCUGGAACACCUCAGCGUAACGGUGUGUCCGAACGUCAUAAUCGCACUCUAUUGGAUAUGGUGCGAUCUAUGAUGUCUCUUACCGAUUUACCGCUAUCAUUUUGGGGAUACGCUCUAGAGACAGCUACAUUCACUUUAAAUAGGGCACCGUCUAAAUCCGUUGAGACGACACCGUAUGAAUUAUGGUUUGGGAAGAAACCUAAGCUGUCGUUUCUAAAAGUUUGGAGUUGUGAUGCUUAUGCCAAGAAACUACAACCUGAAAAGCUCGAACCCAAGUCGGAAAAAUGCGUCUUCAUAGGAUACCCUAAGGAAACCAUUGGGUAUACCUUCUAUUUAAGAUCCGAGGGCAAGACCUUUGUUGCCAAGAACGGAUCCUUUCUGGAAAAGGAGUUUCUCUCGAAAGAAGUAAGUGGGAGGAAAGUAGAACUCGAUGAAGUACUACCUCUUGAACCGGAAAGUAGUGCAGCUCAAGAAAAUGUUCCUGUGGUGCCUACACCAACUAGAGAGGAAAUUAAUGAUUAUGAUCAAGGUACUUCGGAUCAAGUUGCUACUGAACCUCGUAGGUCCACAAGGACACGUUCCACACCAGAGUGGUAUGGCAACCCUGUCCUGGAAAUCAUGUUGUUAGAAAACGGUGAACCUUCAAACUAUGAAGAAGCGAUGGCGGGCCCAGAUUCCAACAAAUGGCUUGAAGCCAUGCAAUCUGAGAUAGAAUCCAUGUAUGAAAACAAAGUAUGGACUUUGACAGACUUGCGCGAUGAUCGGCGAGCGAUAGAAAACAAAUGGAUCUUUAAGAAGAAGACGGACACGGAUGGUAAUAUUACCAUCUAUAAGGCUCGACUUGUCGCCAAGGGUUAUCGACAAGUUCAAGGGGUUGACUACGAUGAGACAUUCUCUCCGGUAGCGAAGCUGAAGUCCGUCUGAAUCAUGUUAGCAAUUGCCACAUACUAUGAUUAUGAGAUAUGGCAGAUGGACGUCAAAAGGGCAUUCCUUAACGGGCAUCUUAAGGAAGAACUGUAUAUGAUGCAGCCGGAGGGUUUUGUCGAUCCUAGGAAUGCUAACAAAGUAUGCAAGCUCCAGCGAUCCAUUUAUGGGCCGGAGGGUUUUGUCGAUCCUAGGAAUGCUAACAAAACACUUGGAACUAGAAUUUAUUCAUCAAGAACAAACUCUGAAGGAAAGGAUUACUCGCUUUGAGGAAAUAAGAAUAAGAUUUAUUGUAUGCUUAUCCUUCAUCAAAUUAAAUUGAUGACAAGCAAUGGAUUUUUCAUACUACUUAUCCUUCUUGAAAAAGGAUUGAGAAGAGAUAUAGCGCGAACUUGAGAAGGUCUUCAUGAACCACCGGUAGGAUUGAAAAGAACGAUUGGAUUUAAUGAUAAACAAGGAAAAUAAUCUUGGUCGAACCACCGUAAGAAUUCGAAAAUGAUUGACGCAAGAGACUGAAUCACCGGGAAGAAUUAGAAGAACCAACAAGCUAGAGGGGAUUUAGAUGCAAAAGAACAAAGAGAUCAUGAGCUGAUUAAAGAACACUUGAACGAAGCACCGAGAUAAAUAGAGAAUGAUAACUGGAAUGAUGGCCUCCGGUGAAAAGAAAUGGAAAAACAACUCCUGACAAACUCCGGAUGGUUGACAAAAGGAAUAUCUGACAAAUGGAAUAAUUUGAGAGGAUAAUAUGAAGCUAGAACCACGAAACUUCAAGAGAACGGACAAGAUUUAGAGGAAAAACUCUUCUACGAUCGACGAGAAACACCACCGAAAUUGUUGAGAUACUCCGGAAGAAUGAAAAGCAAAGAGGUUGAGCCAACAUUGAAAAGAAUUUGAAAGCGAUCUUGGAGAAGGCAUGUGACUGAUGAAAUCCAUUCUUAUGUCACACUUGGAAAGAAUUGAGAAUAACUCCGGGGGAAUUAGAAGAGUCAGGUAAGAUCCUGGAAAAAGACCUGUGGGUUAGGGCCCAUUGAAGAGAAAACACCGUUGAAAAGGAUGUUGAACAGAUAGAUGAUGCACCGGAACGAUUGAAAUAUUUGAAUGAGGUGAUAACCUCGAAUUAAUUGGAACACAGACGAAUCUCCUUAGAUGUCUUACGAACUCCGGGAUGAUUGAAUGGCGAGAUGCAAACGAGCAAGGAAAACACUUGAUCCAAGGAAAAGAAUACGAUCAACACCGAAAAACAUGAAUUGAGUCCACCGGAGAAGAGAUGAAGAAUGUCCACCGAGACGAGAAUUCACCGAUUGAAAUGAUUGAGGGAAGACUGAAAACCUUCGUACGAAUGAAAAUUGAUGCUCGAAAGAGACUGAGGCUCCGGGAAGAAGAGGGUGGGAGGGCGGGAAAACAAAGGCAACUUGGAAAGGGGAACUAACGAAUAUCUUGAAGAGAAAACACCGGUUGAAAUCAUUGAGGAGAGAGAGCAAAAACUUCGCAUGAGUAGGAUGGAUACUCAAUUACGGACUCCGGUUCCAAGAAGAAGAACAGGGAGGGCGGGUGGGAAAGAAAACAACUGAGGAUUGAACUCAAAGAUGAAGAGGCUCGAGUCAACUUGACGAGAAAUGCACCGGAUCAAACAAGCUGAGGAACAACUACCGGAAAACCAACUGCGUGAUCCUAAGGAAAAAAUUGAAGAGGAAGAGGAGUAGUUCAAAACACCUACGUCAAGAUUCCUCACCAGAGCGACGAAGGGGCUGAGGAGUAAAAAGAAUUCCUACUCUCCGAUAUAACUAGACUCCAAAAACAGUUUUCUUCUAGACUCAACAACGGCCAAACUACACGAUCAAUCAAGGGGGCUCCUAGGGUCGGUCGAGGCUCUAAUACCAACUUGUCAUGCCCAAUAUGCGACCCUAUCCAAAAGGAACUCGAAGGUCCCACCAAGGAUAGACCCGCAUAUCGAAACGCUUUUGCAAGGUGGAUAUCAUUGCAUCAACAUUACAUAAUAGAUGGGGAUACAUACAUAAGGCAUACAAUGCCACUCAAAUACAACAUCACAAUACAUUAGAGCAUCAUCCGGCUACGGAUGAAACACAAACAGAAACUCAAACGACAUCCACCCUGCUAGCCCAGGCUGCCGACCUGGAGCCUAUCCCCUGAUCGAAGAAGCAGAAGAAGAACUCAACGCAAGCAAGCAUCGCUCUCGCGUCAUGAUCAUCGAUUAAACCUGUACCUGCAACUGUUGUUGUAGUAAUCUGUGAGCCACGAGGACUCAGCAAUCCCAUUACCAUGGGUAUCAAGACUAGCAAAGCUUAAAGGUAAAGGAAGGGGGUAAAGUGGUGAGGCUGCAGCAGCGACUAAGCAUAUAUGGUGGCUAACAUACGCAAAUAAGAGCGAGAAGAGAGCAAAAGGAACGGUCGUGAAGCUAGAAAUGAUCAAGAAGUGAUCCUGAACUCCCACUUACGUCAAUCAUAACCCAGAAACCGUGUUCACUUCCCGGACUCCGCCAAAAAGAGACCAUCAUGGCUACACACACGGUUGAUGCGUUUUAAUUCAGAUCUGGUGUCAAGUUAUCUACAACCGGACAUUAACAAAUUCCCAUCUUCCUAUAACCGCAGGCACGGCUUUCGAAAGAUUAUACCCUGCAGGGGUGUCCCAACUUAGCCCAUGAUAAGCUCUUGCGAUCAACGAAGGAUAUACCUUCUCCCAGGAAGACCGGAUCAGACUCAGAAUCCCGGUUUACAAGACGUUUCGACAAUGGUAAAACAAGACCAGCAAGACCGCCCGAUGCGCCGACAAUCCCGAUAGGAGCUGCACAUAUCUCGUUCUCAGGGCAACACCGGAUGAACACUACGUACAACUAAAACCAACCCUCAAGUUUCCCCGAGGUGGCGCUGCAAGUGGCUCUGGUUCGGACCAACACUUAGACAAGCAUUGGCCCGGGGGGGCUAAAAUAAAGAUGACCCUCGGGUUGGCCUACCCAAGGGAAAGGUGUAGGUGGUGGUGAGGCAAAUGGUAAAACCAAGGUUGGGCCUUGCUGGAGGAGUUUUAUUCAAAGCGAACUGUCAAGGGGGUCCCAUAAAUCACCCAACCGCGUAAGUAACGCAAAAUCCGGGAACAUAACACUGGUAUGACGGAAACUAGGGCGGCAAGAGUGGAACAAAACACCAGGCAUAAGGCCGAGCCUUCCACCCUUUACCAAGUAUAUAGAUGCAUUAAUAAUAUAAGAGAUAUUGUGAUAUCCCAACAUAAAUCUGUCCACCAUGGAUCAAUCUUCAACUUCACCUACAACUAGCAACGCUAUAAGAGGGCUGAGCAAAGCGGUAACAUAGCCAAGCAACGGUUUGCAUAGGGAAGGUGUCAAAGGUUAGAGGUUCAUGGCAAUUUGGGAUGGCUUGAUAAACAGGUGAUAGGUAGCGCAGCAUAGCGAUAGAACGAAGCAACUAGCAUAGCAAUGAUAGUAAUGAGAUCCAGGGUAGCGGUCAUCUUGCCUGAAAUCCUGCAAGGAAGAAGAAGGAGUCCAUGAAGUAGACGAACGGAUGAAGCCACGAAGACGAACCAAGCGUAGACGAACGAAUCCUCACGAUCGCAACGAAACGGGAACUAUCGAGAAGAAGCACACAACAUAGUAAACACACCACACAUAGACAAGACAUGAUGCACAACAAGCAUGAUGCAUGACAAAUCUAGAUGAGGUUACUCAUGGCAAGAGAUGAUGCAUACAAGAGCAACACAUCAAGGCAAGUUUAAAUGAGGCCGGGAACAACAUAUAACAAUUCCGGUAAGUCCUCAUAUGCAAAUUUCGAAAUUGGUCCAGAUCUGAAUAAACCUUAUGUUCAAGUUGUUAAACAGCAAGUUAAGAUGCACAAAGAUGAUUUACACGAGAUUCUAGUCAAGUUACAUAUAAAGUUCAUUUACUUCGGAGCUACGGCCUAGAAGAUAUGAGCAAAACAAGUAAAACAUGGCAUUGAUGCAUAAUGCACCCAAACAUCAAGCAAACACCUCAAAACAAGGAUGCAACAUGAUAAUAUGAAACUACAUGCAAAAUCAAGCAAGUUUCAUAUAGAGCACACUCAAAACGGAGCAACGGUUCAACACACACACACUACAAGUUAUAGCAACAAUCUGUCCAAAACAGCGACUAGGCAUAUUGCAAGCAUCAAAACAACAUGCUACAGCAUCUCAACAUGAAAACAAAAGACAUGGGCAUGAUGUACAGGUAAAGCAUAACAAAACAUGAACACUGAGCUAUAUCUAGAAAUCACUAGAACAUGCUCAAACACACAUGGCAAGAUUGCAAAUAAUAUCAGUUUCAGACUUUGCAGAAAAUAACAUCAGGAUGCAAUGUUUAGAGCUAUCAAACAACAUGUUACAGGAACUCAUCAUGGCAAACAAAGGCAUGGCAUGAAUCUACUAAUUGCAUAGAACAAAAGUCCUUUACUGACCAUGGGCCAAAAGGGAUCAGAAGAAAUGAUGGCACCCAUGUAAACAUAGCAAGUUAUAUUACAGAUUCAAACAUGGCAGAAACAGAAUUAUGAAGGCAUGUUGAUGAGUUUGUACCACUCACCACAAGUCAUUGCAUGAAAAUAUAAGCAUAGAAUCAUCAAGAAGACAUGUUUAUGAAACAAACCAAGGCAAGAACAAGUUCAUAGCAUGCAAGGAUCAACUACAACAACCUUGGCCAAAUUGAAUAACACGUAAACAAUCUGCCAGGAAACAUUUUGAAGCAAAAGUAGAGCACGAAAAUGACAUGCUAGACUACUCCAUAAUUACAAACAUGGGCAUGAAUGGAUAGAGAACAACCAUAUGUUAAAAACACCCUUACUGAAGAAUCUCAAAAUAUGCAUGUAUCUCUCUGUAGCAUCAAGUUUACAUGGCAUCAAAAUAACAGCAGAACAGGGACUAAAAUCAGCAACAUCACGAUGUCUAGUUUGCAUGCUUGUGCUAGUCACCACAUUGAUCACAAAAAUACAUGGUAAGCACCUAUGUAAAGAAGACAUGGCAUAGUUCAAAACACAUGUAGACAUCAACCUCAUAGGAUGCACACAUCAAUCAUGGAAAAAUGACAAAUGAGCUCGUUCUGUUAACAGACAGCAGAAAACAUUAUGAAGCACUCUUGCGACGAAGUUUCAGGCGUCAAGAUGACCUCAAAUGAAUAUGAUGCAAUGGAAUGAAAUGAUGUACUCGUUGAGACGAACAAUUUGACAUAUUACACGCACAAAACGGAUCUACGGAUGCAGAGAUACGAUGCGAUGAACAUGGCAUGAUAAUGUGCAAAACUUAGGGACUUGGGCAAAAUUCGACCUCGAGGGAAUUUGGGUCCCGGUGGCUGCGAGGUCAACGACGGCGAUGGCGGCUGGGCGGCUGUGGAGGAGGCCGGAGGGGUCGGGGAAGAGUGGAUCCGGCCGUGGGGCACCGGAUCCUGCCGGAGUUGAGGUGGAGGCGGCGGGCGAGCGCGGUUCCNNNNNNNNNNNNNNNNNNNNNNNNNNNNNNNNNNNNNNNNNNNNNNNNNNNNNNNNNNNNNNNNNNNNNNNNNNNNNNNNNNNNNNNNNNNNNNNNNNNNNNNNNNNNNNNNNNNNNNNNNNNNNNNNNNNNNNNNNNNNNNNNNNNNNNNNNNNNNNNNNNNNNNNNNNNNNNNNNNNNNNNNNNNNNNNNNNNNNNNNNNNNNNNNNNNNNNNNNNNNNNNNNNNNNNNNNNNNNNNNNNNNNNNNNNNNNNNNNNNNNNNNNNNNNNNNNNNNNNNNNNNNNNNNNNNNNNNNNNNNNNNNNNNNNNNNNNNNNNNNNNNNUUCGGGCCCCGCGGGCCGCGGCGGUGGGAGGCGCGAUGGGACAGCUGGCGGCCUGGGAUUCGCUGCGGCGGGCGGCGCGGACAUGUCCGGCGCGACGCGGACACGUCCGGCGGCGCAGGGAGGAAUAGCUAGGGUUUCGGGGGAUUUUCAUCCGCGAAUUUCGGGGGGAGGCACAUAUAUAUAGGUAGAGGGAGCUAGGAGAGUCCAAAUGAGGAGCGGUUUUCCGCCACGCGAUCGUGAUCGAACGACCGAGAGCAUGGAGGGGAGUUAGAUGGGUUUUGGGCCACUUUGGAAGGGUGUUGGGCUGCAAAGAGAAAGGGGGGUUUCAGGCUACGCGGUUAACCGUUGGAGUAUCAAACGACCUCCAAAUGGCACGAAACUUGACAGGCGGUCUACCGGUGCUAUACCAAGGCCGCUUGGCAAACCUCGGUCCAUUCCGAGAACGUUUAACACCCUCUCACAACGAGAGACAAAAGGGGGACGCCGGAGGACAUAGGAGUGCCGGAUUGCAAAACGGACAACGGGGAAAAUGCUCGGAUGCAUGAGACGAACACGUAUGCAAAAUGAGAUGCACAUGAUGACAUGAUAAAAUGCAACACGCAAGAAAAUGACAUGGCAACAACAACGAAUAACUGGCUGACACCUGGCGCAUCGAAUCCGGGGCGUUACAUUGGAUCAAGUGUGAUUAUGGACAUUUUUUCGAACACCCCCGCAUUGUAUGCGUGGGGGCUGAAGCCAAUGACUGCUAACUUUCAGGUUAUAUAUAUACAUCAAACAGCCGCACAGGAGGCACAAUAACACUUUCGGGCGAAAGUAUAAACAUAGCCUCUAUAAUUAAAAUAGAAUUGUUUUUACAAUUGAACAACUUGUCACUCGAGCAUGACACUCUUCGAGCACUGAGCCUCUAUUAAACAGGAACCUCCUGUCACCUGCUCAAAAUAGUGCUCGGCUAGAUCCUGGCUUCCUGCCGGAUUCUGGGUUGCGAUGAUGGUAGCCUCCAUAUCCGCCCAAUAAGUUUUAACACGAUCAAGAGCCAUCCGCGCACCCUCUAUGCACGCCGACCUUUUCAUGGCAUUGAUUCGUGAUACGGCGCCAAGGAAUUGUUGCACUAAACCAAAAUAACUGUCCGGCCUCGGUCCCUUCGGCCAUAGAUGGUCUAUUACAGAUCUCAUUGCAAGACCAGACAACCUAUGGAGCUCGGCCACAGCGACCAUCCAUUCUCUCAAUGGCAACGAGCGCGUCGGAGCACUGAAUUGCGACCAGAACAGCCUUUCUACUUCACUAUCUUUUUGAUCCUCGAAAAACUUGGUCGCAUCAGCCGUACUUUUUGCCAGAUCCGCAUACGCGUCUGCAGCGCUCCAGCGCCGAUCCAGAGGAGUGUACUUUGGAUCUAAGAACUUCAUCCGCAACAAAUAGGGGCUUCCAGCCGUGAUUUCUACGGCCUGUCAAAGCUCCUCCCGCGCAUCCCUAAUUUCAGAACGCGUCUCCUUGGCCGCAUCAAGGGCCUUCUUCAGGUCAGCCGACUUCACCUGAUUCUCCUUUUCAAGGAGCUCAUACCGGCCGGUGGCAUCUCUCAGCUCCACAGCCAUCUCGGCUAUUUUAUCUUUGCUUCGGCGAUGAGCAGCCUGUUCGGCUCUCAAAUCUUCGGCCGCCUUUAGGGCAGCCGCAUUGCUAGCCCGGGCUUGUUCCUUGGCUAGGGCAAGCUCCGCCCUCAGGGCCUCCACGGCAGCAGCUCCGCCUGCAGCCGAAGCAUAUCACAUUAACAUUAUGCUCCUCUUAAUAUUUCCUAUAACAAAUAAGGAAAACAGAGCACAUACUCUGUGACUCGUUUAGCCGCUCAUUCACAAGCGUGAUGUCGGCGUCCACAACUUCAAUCUGUCGCCUCAGUUCGGUGAAUUCAGCGGUCCAGUCUACCGCCGGACCCUUAGCCACCUGCGCAUGAAUGCAGUGCGAUCAUUACUUAAGAGUGUGAUCCUCCGUUUGCCGCCUAGGGCUGGCAACCAGAGUCUCAGGGGCUACUAUCUAUACGGAGCACACCUAGCGCGUGCGGUGCAACCAAAAAAUUACGUAUUUCAUUAUGUACCUCAAAGCCUUUGAGAAGGCUCGUAAAAGCUUCAUUCAACCCGCUUGUGGCGGAUGAAAUCUUCUCAAACACCAUGCCCAUUAAUGAACGGUGAUCCUCCGAGAGAGCAGCUUGCUCCAGAAGGCCCGUCAGCGUGUCCGGCCGGUCGUCAGACUGUGCUGGACCCUUCUUAUUCCCCCCGUGGGAGCCGAACGCUCCGGGCUCAGGGCGGCCGAAGUAUUAGCUUCUGGCCUUGGCGAAUCUGGACUCCUCUGUGAUGACACCUCGGGGUCGCCCGCCCCAUGAGGCGGAGAGGCAGGUGGGGUUUCACUCUCCAUCAUCUCCGGAAGAAGAUCCCCCGAAGACGAACUCUGUCCAGAAGAGCUACUAGCCGGACUGCAAAGGAUGGAUCCUGGUUAUUGUUCUCUGAGAAGGAAGAUGUAACUUUGUAUUUAUGAUUAACUUACAGGUCAGUGGAGGGCUGGCCCGUUUGCGGGCAUGGCGCGGUGAGGAUGCCCUCCGUGGCAGGGCCCCCUGGUGAAGUUUUCUUCCCUUGUCUAGGCACCUCCGCUUCCAAGUCUUCGGAGGCAGCCCUCUUCUUCCCACGGGGGGAGGAGACCUUAGAUUCCCCUCCCCGACUAUUCUCCUUCGUGGAGACAAUAAUUUCCCUGGUUUGGAUGUGCAAUGUGUGAAGCUCUGCUUCUCUACUCUUCCCUUCGUCUUUCCCCGAGGGCACUUGACUUAGCACACAUCUAAGCAUCCUGGCUAUUGCAGGGCUAGGCGAGCCUUCAGGAAGUGGCGCCGGACACCUGAUUCUCUCCGCCUUGCUGAGCCAAUCCUGGCCGCGGAAGGUUUUCAGAAUAAUGUUGUGAUAAAUAUAAACGAAGUGUUCGGUUUCAGGGUUACUUACUUGGGUAUCUGGGCGGUUGCAGCUCAGGCCCGCAUCCUCGGUGGUGUCCGGACACUUUACUUGUGGACCGAAGAAUAACCUACACAUCCCUUCGAGCGUCAUGCCGAAGAAGUGCUGAAUAGUUCGCGGACCUUCCGGGUUGAACUCCCACAUCCGGAGAGGCCGACGUUUGCACGGCAAGAUCCGUUGGACUAGCAUUACCUGAAUUACGCUGACAAGACUGAUGUCCCUCUCAAGAAGCUCCCGAAUGCGGCUCUGCAAUAUCGGUACGUCAUUAGCAGGCCCCCAAUCAAGUCCCACGUUGUCCCACGAUGCCAGUUGAGGCGGAGGGCCCGAGCGGAAGUCGGGGGGCAGCCACGCACUUUGUGCCUCUGGGAGCCAUGACGUGGAACCACCUCCGCUGCCAUAGAUCGGACACCUCCGGGAAGAAGCCCUCUGGCCAUGGGACAUCUGCAUUUCUACUUAUUGCAGCACCUCCGCACUCCGCGUGUCGCCCCUCGAUCGCCUUCGGCUUUACAUUGAAGGUCUUGAGCCAUAAGCCGAAGUGCAGGGUGAUGUGGAGGAAGGCUUCGCACACGACGAUAAACAACGAGAUAUGAAGGAUGGAGUCCGGAGCUAGAUCAUGAAAAUCUAGCCCGUAAUAGAACAUGAGCCCUCUCACAAAGGGAUCGAGGGUGAAGCCUAAGCCACGGAGGAAGUGAGAAACAAAUACAAGGCUCUCAUUGGGCUCGGGAGUAGGGAUGACCUGCCCUGGAGUAGGAAGCCUGUGCUUGAUGUCAGUGGUCAAAUAUCUGACCUCCCUAAGCUUCGCAAUGUCCUCCUCUGUGACAGAGGAGGCCAUCCACCGGCCUUGAAGGUUGGAUCCGGACAUGAUUCAAGAUCCGAAGUGCCUAAGCUUGGGCUUCGGGUGUUGGAACUCGAGAUGCGGAAAGGCGCAAGCAUCGUAGGAAAGAGGGAUAGGCCUCGGCCCCUCUAUAAAGGGGGUGAAUAUCAAGCGUCCUCAGCAUAGCCGCUUGGGACUUUCCUAAAAACACAGAUUCGUACCAACAGGCGUAGUGGGGUUGCUCGCGCCCGUAUUGAUGGGAAUCCCACAAUAAGGGGAACAUGAUCUCUGCUUCGACGAGGCGUGCCAAUAAAACUGCCUUGCAGUGCAUGUCGUGGCUGGCCGAGAAAAUCUGGUUCGUAUUGAGCCAGGCCGCGGCGUAAGGGCACACCGUGAAAAAUUGUUAGCAGAUUAGAUUUGUAAAGUGUUAUGCUCUCUACGGUGGUGUACGUAAAUUAUCUUACAGAGCCGGACACGAUCCUUAAUCUACUUUGGAGUAUUCGGAGAUGGAACCCGCCUUGCAAUGUCGAAGACAAUCUGCGCGCCAGACUCAUCGUCAUUGAAGCCUGGUUCAGGGGCUACUGAGGGAGUCCUGGAUUAGGGGGAUCCGGACAGCCGGACUGUUGGACCUUGAAGAUACAAGACUCAAGACUCCGUCCCGUGUCCGGAUGGGGCUCUCCUUUGCAUGGAAGACAAGCUUGGUGAUACGGAUGUUAGAUCUCCUUCUUUGUAACCGACUCUGUAUAACCCUAGCCUCCUCCGGUGUCUAUAUAGACCGGAGGGUUUAGUCCGUAGGACAAGAACAAUCAGAAUCAUAGGCUAGCUUCUAGGGUUUAGCCUCUACGAUCUCAUGGUAGAUCAACUCUUGUAAUACUCAUAUCAUCAAGAUCAAUCAAGCAGGAAGUAGGGUAUUACCUCCAUCGAGAGGGCCCGAACCUGGGUAAAACAUCGUGUCCCCUGCCUCCUGUUACCAUUAGCCUUAGACGCACAGUUCGGGACCCCCUACCCGAGAUCCGCCGGUUUUGACACCGACAGCGGAUACAUCAUACGAUGAGCCAAAGCGCCACAUAGUUCUUUCAGGAAAAAGAGACAUCGUGGGAUUGGAGGGCAAGACAGACAAGUCUAAAGAUUAUGAAAAGUUUCAUGAUAAUUAUGUUAAACGAUGAAGAUUAUCCAUGGUUACGGCGCAAUAAGCAAAGGACACAAGCAAAGAAAAAGUGAAGACUUUCUAUGCACAACUAUUAUGAUGAUGCCUUUGAUCUAGAAUAUCACUGCAGUUACAUGUGAACAGAUGAAAUCCCUUUGUAACAGACGAGUUUUCGUUCGAAACCCUGAUACUUCGAAAGAGAUUGUCAGUUUUGUACACGAAGUGCAUCAAGUUUUUGUUGUAACCCUCGCAACUUUUAGAACAUGCUAUGUGGGUGAAAUGAUGAUACCAUGCCAACUUUCAACCUUUUAAGAGUUCAUUUAUAGUGCUUUUCAAUUUAAGGGUCAUUUAGCUGAAAGAAUGAACUAAUAGCAAAAAGAAUGAACUAAAAUAAUCAAUUAAAAUAUUCUGUUAUGAUCAACUAAAACAAAACUAUAAUAUCCUUCAAUAGCAAAAAGAAUCAACUAAAAAGCUUUUAUAAAACUCCAAUAGCAAAAGGAAUCAACUAAAAACUUUUAUAAACCUCUAGUAUUAUUGAAACUAAAAUUAUAUAAAAUUUAUGCAACCAAAAUUAUCAAAGUAUUUUCUGUUCAAAAAAUUAAAAGCAAAAAGAAUUUCCGUAAAGAUUUUAUUGUUAGAAACUUUAAUAGCAAAAAGAAUUAUCAUAAAGAUUUUUUUUUGUUAGAUACUAAAAUAACAAAAUCUGUUUUCGAAUAUAAUGAUAAAACACAGUAAUAUUAAGUAGCGGGAAAAAGAAUCACUCAAAAAUCUAUUUUUAUAGUAAAGUUAUUGAAAAACUAGUGAUUCACACAAAUUUUAAAAAAUUCAAAUUUAAACUAUUCCAAUUGGAAAACAAAUGGCACUAACAGAAAGUUUAUAAUUUUUAUUACCUAAAAGCAUAAAGAAUUACAUGAAAAACUAGUAAGCAUUUCGCUCUAAGUAGAAACAAAAUAAAAUAAAUAGAGUAAAAAAGAAAACAAAAUUAAAAUAAAAUAAGUGCCACUUACUGGGCCACCACGACCUAAAUAUGACUAGAAACCCAACCAUGAGCCAGGAUUCAGGCCCGUAGCAGGCCCAUGGGCACAGUGUGACAGAGAUUAGGCCCGAAAGCCUGCAGUUGAGAGGAGCUCGAGAGGGUGGGCACAGCAGCGCUUAUAAACCACUCUCGAGUUCUCUCAACUAGCGAGGUGGGACUAAACUUUUGGCCGCAACACGGGCAGCACCAGGCCUUUUGUCCCGGUUGGUGGCACCAACUGGGACUAAAGGGGUGCAUUGGUACCGGUUCGUGCUACCAACCGGGACCAAUGCCCCCCCCUUUAGUCCCGGUAUUAUCAACUUUGCAUCUUUUGGCAUCAAUAUUAUGAAUAUGUGUACUACCAUGAUCGAGAUUCAAUAAACAAUCAACAUUGGGUGUAUGACCAUAGAAGGUUUUAUUCAUGUAAACAGAAUAACAAUUAUUCUUUGUCUUAAAUAAAUAAUUAUAUUGCAAUAAACAUGAUCUAAUCAUAUUCAUGCUCAACGCAAACACCAAAUAACAUUUAUUUAGGUUCAACACUAAUCCCGAAAGUAUAUGGAGUGUGCGAUGAUGAUCAUAUCAAUCUUGGAACCACUUCCAACACACAACAUCACUUCUCCCUCAACUAGUCUCUGUUUAUUCUGUAACUCCUGUUUCGAGUUACUAAUCUUAGCAACCGAACAAGUAUCAAAUAGGGGCUACUAUGAACACUAGUAAGUUACACAUCAAUAACCUGUAUAUCAAAUAUACCUUUGUUCACUUUGCCAUCCUUCUUAUCCAUCAAAUAUUUGGGGUAACUCCGCUUCCAGUGACCAUUUCCUUUGCAGUAGAAGCACUUAGUUUCAGGCUUAGGUCUAGCUUUGGGUUUCUUCAUGGGAGUGACAACUUGCUUGCCAUUCUAUUUGAAGUUCACUUUCUUUCCCUUUGCCCUUUUCUUGAAACUAGUGGUCUUGUCAAUCAUCAACACUUGAUGCUUUUCUUGAUUUCUACCUUCGUUGAUUUCAGCACCACGAAGAGCUCGGGAAUCGUUUUCGCCAUCCCUUGCAUACUAUAGGUCAUCACGAAGUUCCAGUAACUUGGUGAUGGUGACUAGAGAACUCUGUCAAUCACUAUCUUAUCUGGAAGAUUAACUCCCACUUGAUUCAAGCGAUUGUAGUACCCAGACAAUCUGAGCAUAUGCUCACUACUUGAGCUAUUCUCCUCCAUCUUUAGCUAUAGAACUUGGUGGAGACUUCAUAUCUCUCAACUCAGGUAUUUGCUUGAAAUAUUAACGUCAACUUUUGGACAUCUCAUAUGGUCCAUGAUGUUCAAAAUGUUUUUGAAGUCCCGAUUCUAAGCCGUUAAGCAUGGUGCACUAAACUAUCAAGUAGUCAUCAUAUUGAGCUAGCCAAACGUUCAUAAUGUCUGCAUCGGCUCCUGCAAUAGGUCUGUCACCUAGCGGUGCAUCAAGGACAUAAUUCUUCUGUGCAGCAAUGAGGAUAAAUCUCAGAUCACGGACCCAGUCUGCAUCAUUGCUACUAUCAUCUUUCAACUUAGUUUUCUCUAGGAACACAUAUAAAAACAUAGGGAAACAACAAUGCAAGCUAUUGAUCUACAACAUUAUUUGCAAAAUACUAUCAGGACUAAGUUCAUCAUAAAUUAAAGUUCAAUUAAUCAUAUUACUUAAGAACUCCCACUUAGAUAGACAUCCCUCUAAUCAUCUAAGUGAUUACGUGAUCCAAAUCAACUAAACCAUGUCCGAUCAUCAUGUGAGAUGGAGUAGUUUUCAAUGGUGAACAUCACUAUGUUGAUCAUAUCUACUAUAUGAUUCAUGUUUGACCUUUCGGACUCAGUGUUCCGAGGCCAUAUCUGCAUACGCUAGGCUCGUCAAGUUUAACCCGAGUAUUCUGCGUGUGCAAAAUUGGCUUGCACUCGUUGUAUGUGAACGUAGAGCUUAUCACACCCGAUCAUCACGUGGUGUCUCGGCAUGAAGAACUAUAGCAACGGUGCAUACUCAGGGAGAACACUUAUACCUUGAAAUCUAGUAAGGGAUCAUCUUAUAAUGCUACCGCUGUACUAAGCAAAAUAAGAUGCAUAAAAGAUAAACAUCACAUGCAAUUAAAAUAUGUGACAUGAUAUGGCCAUCAUCAUCUUGUGCUCAUGAUCUCCAUCACCGAAGGAUCGUCAUGAUCUCCAUCGUCACUGGCGCGACACCUUGAUCUCCAUCGUAGCAUCGUUGUCGUCUCGCCAACUAUUGUUACUACAACUAUCGCUACCGCUUAGUGAUAAAGUAAAACAAUUACAUGGCGAUUGCAUUGCAUACAAUAAAGCGGCAACCAUAUGGCUCCUGCCAGUUGCCGAUAAUUUUGUUACAAAACAUGAUCAUCUCAUACAACACAUUAUAUCACAUCAUGCCUUGACCAUAUCACAUCACAGCAAGCCCUGCAAAAAUAAGUUAGACGUCCUCUACUUUGUUGUUGCAAGUUUUACGUGGCUGCUAUGGGCUUCUAGUAAGAACCUUUCUUACCUACGCAUCAAAACCAUAACGAUUUUUCGUCAAGUGUGUUGUUUUAACCUUCAACAAGGACCGGGCGUAGCCACACUCGAUUCAACUAAAGUUGGAGAAACAGACACUCACCAGCCACCUAUGUGCGAAGCACAUCGGUAGAACCAGUCCCGCGUAAGCGUACGCGUAAUGUCGGUCUGAGCCGCUUCAUCCAACAAUACCGCCGAAUCAAAGUAUGACAUGCUGGUAAGAAGUAUGACUAUUAUCGCCCACAACUCUUUAUUUUUUACUCGUGCAUUUAACAUCUACGCAUAGACCUGGCUCGGAUGCCACUAUUGGGGAACGCGGUAAUUUCAAAAAAAAAGCCUACGAUCACGCAAGAUCUAUCUAUGUGAUGCAUAGCAACGAGAGGGGGAGUGUAUCUUCAUAUCCUUGAAGAUCUCAAAGAGGAAGCGUUUAUCAACACGGUUGAUGUAGUCGUACACCUUCACGAUCCGUCCCGAUCAAGUACCGAACAUACGGCACCUUCACGUUCAGCACACGUUCAGCUCGAUGACGUCCUCGCCUUCUUGAUCCAUCAAGACGGGCGAAGUAGUAGAUGAGUUUCGGCAGCACGACGGCGUGGUGACGGUGUUGGUGAAGAACAAUCUCCGCGAGGCUUUGCCUAAGCACUACGGAAACUAUGACGGAGGAUAAACUAGAGGGGACGGGGUUGGCGGCACACGUCUUGGUGUUUCUUGAUGUGUCCUUUGUGCUAGCCCUGCCCCUCUAUUUAUAUGUUGAUCCCUGGGGUCAAAACUUGGAGCAAAAGCCUCCUCAAAGUCGGUUUUGCCCGAAAGGCAAGAGUCCCACUCGGACUCCAGGACCAAACGCCACAAUUCUUGGCGUCUGGCCAAGACGCCAUGAGCCUCGGCGUCUGGCCCAGUGCCAGACGCCAAGGUCUCCGGCGUUUGGCCCCCUGGCCUCCGCAAAACUCCUUUUGCACUGACUUAUCGCCUCGUGGGCCUGACCCCUUGGCCUAACCAUAUCAUCUAAUAUAUGAAUCUUUACCUCCGGACCAUUUCAGAGCUCCUCGUCAUGUCCGUGAUCUCAUCCGGGACUCCGAACAACAUUCGGUCACCAACAUACAUGACUCAUAUAAUACUAUAUCGUCAACGAACGUUAAGCGUGCGGACCCUAUGGGUUCGAGAACUAUGUAGACAUGACAGAGACACCUCUCUGGUCAAUAACCAAUAGCGGAACCUGGAUGCCCAUAUUGGUUCCUGCAUAUUUUACGAAGAUCUUUAUCAGUCGAACCGCAUAACAACAUAUGAUGUUCCCUUUGUCAUCGGUAUGUUACUUGCCCGAGAUUCGAUCGUCGGUAUCAUCAUACCUAGUUCAGUCUCAUUACCGGCAAGUCUCUUUGCUCGUUCUGUAAUACUUCACCCCGCAACUAACUCAUUAGUUACAACUUGCAAGGCUUAUAGUGAUGAGUAUUACCGAGAGGGCCCAGAGAUACCUCUCCGAAACACGGAGUGACAAAUCCUAAUCUCGAUCUAUGCCAACCCAACAAACACUUUCAGAGACACCUGUAGAGCACCUUUAUAAACACCCAUUUACAUUGUGACGUUUGGUAGCACACAAAGUGUUCCUCCGAUAUUCGGGAGUUGCAUAAUCUCAUAGUCUGAGGAACUUGUAUAAGUCAUGAAGAAAGCAGUAGCAAUAAAACUGACACGAUCAUAAUGCUAAGCUAACGGAUGGGUCGUGUCCAUCACAUCAUUCUCCUAAUGAUCCCGCUGGCUUUCGACGAUGGCCGUGGGCCACUGGAAGGAUGUUAUGUACUAUGACCCAAGAAACCCGAAAUUGCUAAACGCAGGGACGAGUUAUGGGAGGUUCACGACCCCCUUCCUCUAAUUCUCUNNNNNNNNNNNNNNNNNNNNNNNNNNNNNNNNNNNNNNNNNNNNNNNNNNNNNNNNNNNNNNNNNNNNNNNNNNNNNNNNNNNNNNNNNNNNNNNNNNNNNNNNNNNNNNNNNNNNNNNNNNNNNNNNNNNNNNNNNNNNNNNNNNNNNNNNNNNNNNNNNNNNNNNNNNNNNNNNNNNNNNNNNNNNNNNNNNNNNNNNNNNNNNNNNNNNNNNNNNNNNNNNNNNNNNNNNNNNNNNNNNNNNNNNNNNNNNNNNNNNNNNNNNNNNNNNNNNNNNNNNNNUGGGGCCCCUCCCUCUCCCUUAACCCAAUCACCAUUUGCCAAGUCAUAAUGACCUUGAAAAACCUCUGUAAGGAUUUGUGAAUGUAGCAUUACUCCAAAAAACCGGGCACGGGAGACCGUGUUCUAGACUAGCAGCUUGCAGCUCAACGCCUUAUAGGCUUCUCCAUCGCACUGUGUUAGGAGGACAACUUAGUUCGUCCAUAUGACGGACAACAUCAUUGCUACAAAUUUCAUUAAUUUAUGCGGUCGAGGAAGAAAGAAAACAUGGUGAUACGGUGGUACUCACUACUCCCUCCAUUCUUAUUUGGACUAAAAUAGCCCUUUUUGCAUAGUUUGUCUUUACCCAUGUGCCUAGUGCUACUGCAUGUCUUGUGACUGUAGCAGGGGUAACUUUUGUCCAAAUGAGCAAUCUGCUACAAAUGCGCACUACAUUUCAGAUUCUGAGAGAAAAAAUCAUACACACUAUAAAAUAAAAUGGAGAUAGUAUUAUAUAUGGUUGGUCAGCAGAAUCAAGAUGCUCAGGAUUUUUUUUGCAGAAAGUCUGUAAUAGGGUUUUGCGAAAGGUUUAGAGAACUACAUUUCCUAUAAAUAAUGUCUGAAGACCUGAAGUAUCUGAUGUGGCCCUGAGGAAGAGUCUAUCUCUAUCUAACCAUCACAGUUAUGUUACAUACAUCGUGUAAACCGAAGUCGCUUUCACAUAGCUAGGUACAUCUUCCCGCAAAAAAAAAAAAAAAAAGCUAGGUACAUCGAAAAUUCGUUUCUGAGCCCGAGCUCAGAUGCACCUGAUAUCUUGGCCAUCCAGUCACAUGCGGAUUCCCGCCGUAAGUAGUAUUCCACCCGGUAUUCAUAGCGUACGUGAUAUAGAAAAAGAAGUGGGCCAUCGCCUUAUUUAUUACGUGCGCGACCUCACCGCUCGGCUGGAACAUACCGCCUCGCACGGCCCUCCUUUUUUUCCUGCGCUAUCCUGAGCCAUCUCCAUCUGCAUGGCCUGUCCACUCGUUCCCUCGCCCCACCUCCUUUAGCCGCCGACUGCUCGUACUCAAACGAACCAUCUUUGUGUGCUCGUCUUCCUCCGCCCCGCCCCAGUGCCAAAUGAUGCACUUCUUCCCAUGAUCCAGUGCCCCUUCUGCGGCGUUGACCUUUCAUUGCGUGGUCGUAGUCAUGUCACUUGCUUCGCCACCAAUAGCCACCGGAGCCAUGGACACGCACAACCGCUCUGCAACCAACAAGCAUGUUCAAGCCGGAGCAGCUAGCUGUUCCAAUUUUGAAUUACAUCACAUUAACCGAGACCGUAGGCUUACUAACUAGAUGCACCACAUGUUCUCCCACUCCACGCGGCUACUUGGGCUUACGGCGUGGGCCACGGCUCAGGACCCAACACUCACGGACGGACACCGCCAACUACGAAAGUGGCCCACCUGUACGCACUGUGCAAAGCCGUAUAUCGAGUGUAUCCUCAUUUUCCGCCGCUCCAACCCUGACGCGUUUGACACUCUUUCGUCCAUCCCGAUGCACCUGCUAGUGGCUCAGAUUUCGGGUGCAGCUGAGCCCGAGCACCAAAACGACCCUCUCCUAGGUACAUGUACUACUUUACAAAAUGAUGGCAUCGAUGGAAAAUAAAGCACAUACCCACCAACCUACUUGAUACCAUCCACAUAUGGGCAUGCAUAUAUACCACGCCAAGUAGCAGCAUGCUCAACAAUCUACCACUGAUAAGAACAAUGGAAGGUGAGAGGGCAAGACUAGAAGUGGAGGAUGUGAAAUUAAAAGUAUUAGGGAGUAGGAGACACCAGGAAAGAGGACACUUGUGCUCAGUUGAGAGCACGAUGAGACAAAACUGCUGCGAGUAGCUACUAUGCUCAUCAAGGCACCAGUGCGCGAUGAAGAACGCAACAGUUCAGUAAUAAACAUGCAUGUACUACUCCCUUCGUUCCUAAAUAUUUGUCUUUCUAGAGAUUUCAACAAGUGACUACAUACGAAGCAAAAUGAGUGAAUCUACACUCUAAGAUAUGUCUAUAUACAUCCAUAUGUGGUAGCCAUUUGAAAUCUCUAAAAAAACAAAUAUUUAGGAAUGGAGGGAGUACUAUGUUAAAUCUUAUCUGUUGCCAAAAGUACAAGCUUUAACUACCUGCCAUUCUUUGUAACUGGCAAAGUGGCCCGUUCAAUGCGCGGGCUACAAAUGUAAUUUAAAUAGUCAAUAUCUUAAGAAAACAUAUUUUUCGACUUGUCUAAAUAAAUUAGGACCAAAUUUGGUGACAGAACCACGCCUUGAACAUAAGAAGGCUAGGUGUAGACAGUAGAUAGAAUACCACCUCUAUAAUAAGCCCACAAAUUAGAACAGUUAUCUCUAUGGAGUAGAGAUGAAUAAAUGAAUCACGGACGAGAGAGUUCUUGCUUAAGAUCCAUUCUAUUGCCUCGUAUUUAGCCAUAUUAAUUAGCUUAUGUCAGCCAAAUACGAGUAUAAAGCAUGCUCUUAUUUGAGUUAACUUGCCUCCUCAUAGAUGUUUUGGUCAAUUACUAUAGCUUCACACUUGAAUUGGGUAUAAUAAGUUUCAGAGAUCACACAUGGUGUCUGCAAGAUUCAAACUUAACGUUCAGCUCUUGUUCAAAUUCAAGUUCAGACUACAAAAUUUACAUGGAGUCUGCAAGAUUCAAAGUUAACAUUCAGCUCUGAUUCAAAUUCAAGUUUGCAUUAAUUCAAAUUUCUUACAUACAUAUGAAGAUCCAACAAAAUGUACAAUUUGAUUAAAGCACCGGAUGCUGCAAGUUUAUUCAGAUCUGAAGUACAACACUAGAAGGAUUACUUUACUUUGCAAAAUUCAAAAGAGAGAAGUAGGAACUUCCCUGAAUAAAACUCACACCACCCAUCAUCAGGCCAUACUUGUCACUGAAACUACAGGACAUCAUAUCAUAAACUAACAGAGCCUUCAGUAUAGUACAGCAAAGCUGUAGCCGCCAUGAUUUGUCUCCUUUCCUGUUAGAAGGAGAACAAAACACCAUCCACAUUCAGUAAAUCAAUAUGCUUCUAUAGCCCAGCCCCUUUUUUCUCUUGAGGAAAAGUCGGCAUCUUCUCAGCCGGUGGUAAUUAAGUACUUCGUCUGCCGAUCCGCCCUUGCCUGCAUUUCAUUAAUCUUGGUUCUUGAAGCCUUUCUAGCCCAGCGUGUGAGGCUUAGGCUUAGUGGGCCUUGAAGCCUUUUAGUAGUCACACCAGAAAUCCCAAGUAAUCUGGAAGGAUCUUCACCCCUCCAAAAAAAAGUAAUCUGGGAUCUCAACUUGCAGCAUAUACAUGUCGCCUCUGAUUGCAAAGGUGGUCGUCGAUGAAAUUAAGCUAGAAGUGCUGCUACCUAUAUGGACCAAUUAUUCAGGAGAUCAAGCAACAUUCAGAUGUUUUAAUUUCAUGUAACAUAUUUCAUGAAUUUAGGAGCUCCAAUUUGAAAGCUCACAAUUUAGCAAAGCAUGCGUUAUCUUUAGGGGCUGGCCCCAAUGUUUAGUUAGGUCAGCGUCAGCCCAAUGGACUUCCUUUCGUCCAUAUAAACAUCAUGAUGGUUUAAUAAAACUCCGUGCGAUUGUAUAGAAAAAAGUUGUUUAUCUGCCAGUUGGUCCCAACUUGUGGCUAUGGUUCUUACCAGACAUCAUUUGUAUCCCAAGCAUUGCGGAGUUUUAAUAAAGACCCUAGUGCACUUGAAAAAAAAAUUGAGAACACUCACAUCAAUUAUUUUUUCUAGAACAGAAUGCUUGUGUAUUACCUUUUGGCCCCAAUUCAUUCGUUCACUUACUUAAACAGAGGCGACAAAUACUUUGUUACAGGAUACAAACUGUUGUCAUCUAAAAAAAAUGACACACAUUACUCUUAAUAUUUUACGUACUUGAUUCAUGUACUUGCUAGUGAUUCUGAGUUGUGACUCAAGUUAACAAUUAAGUCAGAGUUCACUAAUUAAAUCAGGUCUGAAAGAAUAUUUAGAGCUGAGAGUGCAUAAUUUACAGGGCACAAACUGAUUGUUACGCACAUGCAUGACUCGUUCAAUUGUAAGAUUUAAUAGAAACCUACAGUAGGUAGCAUCAAUGACACUCGACUUGGUUGUAACAAGUUUCAGAGCUCAACCAUCAAGUCUGAAAAUUUCAGAGUCCCAGAGCUCACUUUGGGCUCCGGUUUAAAUUCAGAGUUCAGAGUAGGAAAAUCAUACCACAUCGAAUCGAUUGUUCACUCAACUUGUGGUUUGUUCAGGCUGCCUCACUCCAUGAUGGAAUGCCGCGUUGUUUUUAGGAGCCAUAGCUAAGGUACAUUCCCUGCGGCAUCUAAUAUCUUGUGAUGCUCUUCUCUCUGAAUGUUUAGUUCAACCGAAUCCCCGUACGUGGCACCAUGCCUGUCAUCUUCAAACCCAACCCCAGUUUACAUAAUACAUAGACUCAUCAACUUGUAGUCAUGUUCAAUCCCCUGAAUCUCUCCUCUUUGUGUCAAGUUCAGUUGGUAAACAGCCUUACCGAGUUUGAUCUGGAGACAGAAACACUAGUGUUAUCAUUAGGCUCUCCUCUUUGACCAUCCCCCAAUUGCUGCUCUUCUUUUUCUCCUGGUCCUCGUCAGGUCGAUUGCUCAUCAUGGCCUCUUCCGCAAGUUUUUCAUCUCUGCUCCAUACAUGUAGAUAAUUGUUAUAAUUUUCGGAUUAAUUCUGGAGUUGGAGUGUUUUAUUAUCAACUGUCAGCGUAUUGCCUUCAUGCAGUAAGUUCACUAGUGGAUUAUAUUAUUGUCUACUCUAAAUGAAUACGAAUAAAUGUUGGAGAAAUAGAUUGCAGAAAUAAGAAUGAUGCAAAUCAGAUAGCAUUUGCACUUGGAUUUCAUCACAUGCCUUCAAUACUUUCAGUGAAACUGUCUAAGUUGGACAUUUAUGAUAAAGACACAAGAACUUUUCGCUCAAAGUCCUCUAAUCACUGAUGUAGUUUAAGAUAAGUGAUUUCUCGACAUAAUUAGUUAAGCCCAGUCCCAAUGUUCUGAAAGCGUAAGAGCUCGCGUCAUACAGAUGCCGCUAUGAUAAUGGAAAAUACUGAUAAAAUAGUUGUGGCUUUGAAGCAUCUGAAGCAAAUCACACUAGAAGUUGGCCAUAUUAGGUUCUUGCAGGCUUGCAGCCAAAAAUGGAACAUGCCACUGUUGGGGAAAAGGAACAGUUAAAAAACUUUGUUGUAAGAUCUCUAUUUUUCAGCUCUGAUUCGAGUUAACUUGGAUUCUGAAAGAUUUUUAAACACAUACUUACUACUCCCUCUGUCCAUAAUAUAAGACCGUUUUUGACACUACACUAGUGUCGAAAACACGCUCUUAUAUUAUGGGACGGAGGAAGUACUAUAUAUAUAGCUUCACACUUGACUUGGGUAUAAUAGGUUUCAGAGUUCACACAUGAAGUCUGAAAGAUUCAGGGCUAAUUUUCAGCUCUGAUUCAAAUUCAGAGUUCAGAGUACAAAAUUUACGUACCACUUACUGUUUACAUGCAUGUGUGACUCGUUCAAAUUGUUUACAUCCAAGUGAAGAUCCAACAAAAUGUACAAAAUUGAUGAAAGCACCAGAUGCUAGAAGGAUUAUUCAAAUCUAUAGUAUACAAUACUAGAAGGAUUACUUAACUUGCAAGAUUCAGAAAAGAGAAAAGUAGGAGCUUCCCUGAUUAGAACUCAUGCCAUCAUCAGGCCGUACUUGUCACUGAAGCUUCAGGCCACCAUCAACUAACAGAGCCUUCAGAAUCAUGUAUAGUACAGCAAAGCCAUUGCCGCCAUGGUUCCUCUCGUUUCCUGAAAGAAGAAGAAAAGGCACCAUCAACAUGCAGUUUUAGCACAUCUUCACCUGGAAGAAAGAAAGCACCAUCCACAUUCAGUAAAUCAGUAUGCUCCUAUUGCCCAGCCACUUUUUGCCCGAGGAAGAACUCCACAUCUUCUCACCUGGUGGUAAGUCACUUCAUCCAUCGACCUGUUCACCUCGCCUACAUUCCAUUAAUCUUGAUUCUAUAAAUUCAACAAGCACUAGAGAAGGGACACACAACUGAUCUUUAAAUCACAUCUCUUCGCCAGUAUAGCAUGAACCAUCUCUUUUGCUUUACAGUAAGCAUACACACCUAACAUCUCAUUUCUUCCAACUUCUACAGCCUCAAAUCAGGAACAAAUAAAUGUGCACCAUCCUCGCGCAGGUUGGUUUGUAAACUGAGGUACACACUAUUCCUAUAUUUGAAAUUCUGCAAGACUCUAUACUACAUGACAUCCCAUCUGGCUUUUUUUCUUUUCCUACCACGACUUAAUUUUUCCUUGUGAAAAUCAUAACGACACUAUCUGUCACUGAACUUCAAUGAUAUCUUUCUCAAGUACAGAUCAUGUGGUCAGCUGGAAGUAAUCUGUCCCAAAAGGCUAGCAGAUUAUGUGCGGCAUUUCGAACAAACAGAUUACUAGGGGGGAGUAAUUAAGAACCUGCAGUAUCUGCAGAUAUUCAGACCAUGUAUUCAGAGUAUGGAUAUAGUACAUGAUACCAACUGUUUGGUGCCUAUAUUCACAAUCACACUGACCAAAGUAAUAAAUUAAGCACUCGGUUUAGCCAAAUUGAAGAAGAGGUAGCUUGGUUAUACAAGGAAGAGACAUGAACUAGCUGAAUUGCCCAUAAGAUCAAAACACGAUAAUGAACAAAAAAAAUCUAUAGCUGCCAUCCACAGUAAACACAUGAUUUAUGGCCAUGAUGCAGAGCAUGAACACAAUACACACCAGUACAAAAUUAGUGCUUCUUUACUUACUUACGAAGCCUUUUAUCCCAAACAAGUUGGGGUAGGCUAGAUAUGAAACCCUUUCACGAGGACUUCCCAGGAGGUCACCCAUCCUAGUACUACUCUCGCCCAAAUGGGUUUCAUACCCAAAAGACUGGCUAGUUUUUACGUUGGCUCGCCAAGCCUAUCACAACCCUUAGAUAUGAAACCCUUUCACGAGGACUUCCUAGGAGGUCACCCAUCCUAGUACUAUUCUCGCUCAAAUGGGUUUCAUACCUAUGGGACUGGCUAGUUUUUACGUUGGCUCGCCAAGCCUAUCACAACCCUCCUCCUUUACCCGGGCUUGGGACCGGCUAUGCCUAGAAGACAUAGGCGGAGUUAAAAUUAGUGCUUCUUUGUCUCAAUAAUAUCACUAGCAGCAAGUGCUUCUUCAUUGUCUCAAUAAACAAGAUGACCGAUGGCUCCAAACCAUUACCUCUGAUCCAAUUAAAGGAGAACUCACUUGUAGACGCUUUCUAUAGUUGAAUGAACAAGUCUAUCUUUAGUUCGUUAGUUAAAGCAAAGACGGAUCUCUAUGAAUCUGCAUAUGAGCAAACCAAAAUGAUUUUUAUAUGAAACCAUAACUAAUAAAUAGGUUAAGCUAAAGCCAGGUGAAUUGACCAUGCCAAAAAGACUAUUUACCUAGAUUUGGGAAGGGCACCAGAUUUAUCCUCAAAUUAUCCACUAUGAAUUGCAAAAACAGAAAUAGAACAUUAGGAAUACAUUACCCACAAUGAAGGAGACCUUACCUUGGCUCAUCUCAAUGCACAGGCAAUUAACUUGAAAACUGAAAUUUUAGUGCAUUACAGAAUGGCCUGAUCUCACACUUACUUAGUUUCAAUACAUGUGUUUAAAACAUGAAUGAGGACGAAAAAGUUCAUAACCAAUCCAUGGUUUCUUCUCGGCUGAGUGGUGACAUUAAAUAUCAGUAUCCAGGGAUCAAAUUAUCAGCUUCAUCACUCGUUAACAACCACCAACCCAGCAUCUAACAGACAUACAGCAGCGGACAACCAGCACACAGUUACAUCAGAGCCCGUUCUUGGCUUAUGUGAAUCUGAAAUUAGUGGGCACCUCCCCUUUGCAAGCAGCAUCGUAGUCUUUUUCAAGGUGUGGUGCAGC
rnacentral:lncRNA from 1 species